UAUAUGAUACAAGCAGGUUUGCAAUUAGAAGAGUUACCAGAAAAGGAGCAAUGGAGUCCGGAUAUUGAGAAAGUGUCACUUAUGUAUAACUCCAUAUCAGAAAUUUCCAUACAUGUGCUGCCCACAAAAUGUCAACUGCUCACAACCUUGUUAUUGCAGCAUAACCCUAUAAAGAAGAUCUCAAUUUCUUUCUUCACAAACAUGCCCUGUCUUUGUGUCCUCAAUUUGUCCUUUACAAAGAUAGAGAGUUUACCAAAUUCCAUUUCUGAACUAAAGAACCUCACAACAUUGUUGCUUCGUGGCUGUGUAGAAUUAAGAGAUCUGCCAUGUCUUGCGAUGCUUCAAGAAUUGAAGAAGUUGGAUCUUUUUGCGACUAAAAUUGAGGAAGUCCCUGAAGGAAUGGGUAUGCUGAUAAAUCUAAGAUAUCUUGAUCUUAGAGUGCGCACUCUGAAAGAGAUACCCGCUGGACUUUUACCAAAACUCGUUCACCUUCAGCACUUGGGUUUUUAUGAGAGCAAUGAAAAAACAAGUCUAAAAGCAGAGGAGAUGGAACCAUUGAAGAAGUUGGAGUGCCUUACCGGACAUUUCAAAGACAUCAGUGAAUUCAAUAAGUUCAUCUCCUCAAUGCAACAAAGUAAGAAAAAUCUCAUCAAGUACUCUUUACAUGUGGGCUCAUCUCUUUUGCAUGCUGCAGGAGAUAAAAGAGUAACAAUUGGAGGAGUCCAGAAUUGGGAAGGUGAGUUAAUUAUGCACCCCAUUGAAAUUCAAGAGUUGCAUAUUAUUGAGUGUGACUAUUUGAUAAACUUAGUCGAUGAUAAUUCUUUCUUCAAAAAUGCGAUUGACUUGAGGGUUUGUAGAAUUUGGUGGUGUGAAGAGAUAGAGUGUCUUGUUCCCCUGUCCUCUUUUGCCUCUUCUUCCGCUCAUCCAUUUCAGAGCCUCGAGGUGUUAGAACUUUCUGAACUGCCAAAGUUGAGUGCCCUUAUUAUGAAUGAUGAAGGAAUUGGUUCAGCAAAAACAUCAACAUUGGCUCCGUCUACCACCUUUUCCCAUCUUAAGAAAAUUUGUGUAGGGAGAUGCUCAAGUAUGAAGACGUUGCUUCCACAUUGGUUGCUUCCAAACCUCCAAAACUUGGAAGAAAUCCGUGUGAUAGAAUGUGAUGAGAUAGUAGAAAUAUUGGGAGCAGAAACAUCAGAAGUUGAAGAAAAAGGGAGUGAUGCAUUAAUCAAAUUCCAUUUUCCCAAAUUGAGAGAAUUGAGACUAAGUAACUUACCAAAUUUGAAGAGCAUUUGCAGCAAAAGUGGAGUGAUGGUUUGUGAUUCUCUCGAGUUUAUCGAUGUUUAUAAGUGUGAUAAACUGAAGAGAAUUCCUCCAUUUGUUCCCCUUGUUGGGAAUGGGCAGCCAUUUGCAUAUGCUCCACCUUCUCUUACCAUCAGGUCAUGGAAAGAAUGGUGGGAAUCGUUGGAGUGGGAUGACCAUCCAAACUUUAAAAAUGUUCUUCGCUUCGACCCCUUUGGAGGAUAAGAGGUAUGAACCAUUUAUGGUUUAGUUUAUUUUCUUAUUUUAUAAACCUAAUUUCUCCAUUUUAAUAAAAUUGGAAGUAUAUUUGUGAUGAUUUUGAAGAGAAAGAGAAAAGGGUUGGUGGGAAAGAAGUAGGGGCGAGGAUAGUGCAAAAGAGAGGAGAAAAGGAAUGAUGGAAGAGUAUGGAGACAGAGAGGCAAAGGUAAAUUAGAAAUCCAAACACUGCCUCCACUUUUUAAACAUUGUCCCUCUCUCACCAUUCCUUCUAUUCUCUAAAAAAAAGUGUUCAUUUCUUUUAAAAUAUAUAUGUACUUCCCAAAAUAACCUUCUAUAUAUUCAUUUUUAUAAUUAAAACAUUUAAGUUAUAAAUUUCUGAAAAUUUAAAUAUCAAAUAUGUUUUAAAUCUUUAUAUUCUUCUUAUAUUUUAAAUUUAAUCUCUAUUUAUUUUUAAGAAUUUAUUCUCUUUAUUUUUUGGAUUUAAAAAUUUAAGUCUAGUUAUUAACAACAUUAACAUUAAAAUUCUUUUGUUAAAUUCGCUGGUGUGACAUGUUGAAAUUUUAAAAAAAAAAACUCUUAUUUGGUAGCCAUGUAACUGUUUUGCUCACUCAUUUAGCGUAUAAGGGCUAAUUUAUUAAUUUUUUAAAUAGAGAAGAGAAAACGAAAUUUAACUCCUAAAUUCCCAAUUUCAAUGACUUUUUCAAGUCUUCCAUACAAAAUGAGACAGAAUAAUUAAGAAUAGCGGCUAUACUAAGUUGAUAAGGUCAUUCUAUUUUGCUUUUCCUCUUCUUCAGAAAGCUCCCACACAAACAGAAACUGAAGAAGAUAUAGCAGCCGUUCCCCUUUUUUUCUUUUUUCUUUUUUCUGAAAAUCGAUAUGUCAAAGGAGCUCCAUUGGCAGCUUCUAUUUCGCUGUGGAUUUCACUUGUUUUCUUAUAGUCUUAUGUGGUUUUGGCCCAGAGAUUUGAGGAAACAUGGCCGGGAUUGUCGUCGGAAUCGUUUCGUUUGGUCUUCGCGAACCUGAAACUCGUCAUCCCUUCUGCGGCAAUGGUUUGGUGAGUUCAUUUUUUCCAAAUUAAAUUAUACAAUUUUGAAGAGUCAAACAAAAUUUGUCCUUGUAUUAUUUUAUAAUUUUUCAUUUUUUAAAGGACUAAACUUCUAAAUUUAUUAUUUUUGGGCUAAAGACUUAAGUCUAAUUAUUUUGAGUUGGGUUAAAUCUCAAAAUUAUACGUGAACUUUGAUUUAACGUGUAUACACGAACUUUAUUUUAGUACAAUUAUAUGCGUGAAACUUUAAUUGUAGUUCAAAUAUAUACUUGAAACUUUAAUUUUAAUUUUAUCAUACACAUUUAAAGAAAUAAACUUAUUUAUUUAUUUUUAUAUUAGAUAAAUAUAAUUACUUAUGCAUGCGAUAUAUAAACAUAAAAUGAUGUUAUAUUAAUAAUGGUGUUAAUAAUUUACAAGAAUUGGAUCAAAUCAAAAUUUCAUGUAUACAAUUACACAUUAAACCAUAGUUCAUGUAUAAUUUUGGUACAUAUCCUUUUUGAGUUUGAGUCAAAAGUAAGCAUUUGAUUAUUUUAAUCGGUUUGAUUUUUUUUAAUUUAACCGACUUAAUCGGCCUUAAUAUAGAAUAAUUGAACCGAUCGACUAAGAUAUUGUUAACGGAUUUAAUGAAACUGACUAAGAUGUCAUUAAUUGGGUUUGGGUCGGUUUUCGAGUUGGGUUAGGUUAGAUAAUUGGAUUUUAAGUUUGGGUAAUUUAAAUUAUAUCACAUAUUACAAAUAUAUUUAAAAUAAUUUAAAAAUAAUAAAUAAAUAAAUAUAAGUCAAUUAAGUUGAUCGAUUCAAUUAUAAAUUUUAGUCAUCGGUACUCCACUGUCCAAAUCGACAAAACCGAAUUAAUUAAAAUUAAUCAAAUCACCAAUUAAGUCGAUUAAAUCAGUCAUAACUGAAUAAUACUCUUUCCUAAUUUGAGUUAUUUGGAUUUUGUGGUCAAAUUUUAAGUCGGAACAAUUAGAAUUAAGUUCUUUUGAAUUCAAAUUAGUCUAAAUUAGAGUCAUUUUCAUUUCGGAUUUGAAUUUACCUAUAAAAAAUAAUGAUCCAACUAAAUUAAAAUUUAGAUAAUUUUUUUAAAUUAUUUUGAGCAGUUUGGAAUAUUGGGUGUUCGAGCUUCUGGUACUAUUAGCUGGAUUGAUGCCUAAUUCAGAAGUAACUACUUCCUUGAUUGCCAUGUGGUAUGCUUGCCUUUUAGGGGUGAAUCCAGAAAAUCUUUUUGAGGGGGACGAAAUGAAAUUUUAAUUUGUAAUAGUCUAUAUCUUUAUAAUUUUUAAAUGAUUAAAUUAAUUUUUUUUAAUUUUAAGGGGUUAAAGUGUAAUUUUAUCUUUAUUAAUUUAAAAAUUUUUAUUUUAAGGAGCCAGGCCUUACGAGCCCCUGGAUUUGCCUCUGAUUCCACUUUUAUACUUUUCACAAAAUCUUAAAUAGGGUUAAUUUUUUUGUAAACUCUCAUUGUUUAUUAUUUUGUUUUUAUUCCCCUUUAACACCAAAACUAAAAAGUUCUCUUACCCAUUAGUCCAGUUUAAAUUAUAUCUGGCAUAACAGUUAACAUUGUUGAUAGUAAUUCCCCUUUUUAAACAUUUUCCUUCUAUUCUCUUAUUCUUCUCUAAAAAAAAGACUUCAUUUCUUUUAAAAUAUAUAUGUACUUCCCAAAAUAACCUUCUAUAUAUUCAUUUUUAUAAUUAAAACAUUUAAGUUAUAAACUUAUUUUGAUAUGACGUCAAAUCAAAUAUUAUUUUUUUGAAUUUCUGAAAACUUAAAUAUCAAAAUAUGUUUUAGAUCUUUAUAUUCUUCUUAUAUUUUAAAUUUAAUCUCUAUUUAUUUUUAAGAAUUUAGUCUCUUUAUUUUUUGGAUUUAAAAAUUUAGGUCUAGUUAUUAACAACAUUAAAAUUCUUUUGUUAAAUUCGCUGGUGUGACAUGUUGAAAUUUAAAAAAAAAAAAGAAAAUUCUUAUUUGGUAGCCAUGUAACAAAAAAUAAUGACAAUCUAAUAACUUGAAUUUAACAGAGAAUUAAUUAAACAAUGUUGUCAAUUCUUAAAAAUUUACAUCAACAGUUUAAUUAGAAUACGAUGUUUAGACUAAUUAAUGACAUUUAAAAAAAGUGAAGUACCAAAUUAUGUCAAAAAUUAAGACAUAGAGAAUAAAUUUCCAAUCUGAACAUAUUUUAAGGACUAAAAUUGAAAACUAACUAUUGUUAUAUAAUUUCAAAAAGAAAAAUCAAUAAUUUAGUCAAAAUGAGGUAUUUAAAUUGACGAUGACAUUAAAAAGUUGAGGUAUCACAUUAUGUCAAAAAUUUAAAUUUAAAUAUUAAAAUUUAAAUUUAAGCUAAAUAUAAAAAUCAAAACUAAAAUUUGAUAUAUAAUUUCGAAAAAGAAAUAAUAAGUUGUGUAUUUGGAUAUGUAUAUGUAAAUAAAUCCGAAUGAAAUUUUAAUGAUAUUAUAAAAAUUAAAGUACAAAAUUAUGUUAUAAAUUAGUAAGCUUGAAGUAAAUCUCUUAAAAUUUCUUACUUUACUUACUUUUAUUUCCCUCGGUAAAUAAGGUUAGAUGCAUGAAUUGUUUGACUAUUAGUUUUCAAAUUUGUAAGCUUCAAGUAAAUAUCUUAAAAUGAAUUACUUCCCUCACUUAAAAGGUUAGAUGCAUGAAUUGUUUCACCAUUUAUUUUGUUUUUGUUUCCCUCAUUUAAAAUAUAUGAAAUUUUUUAUCACUCAAAUAAUAGUAAGAGUAAAUCACAUUGCAAGUCACUUUAAAAUAGCGUCAUUCUUAAUUUUUUUUGUCAAUUUAGUAACUUUAAUUAAGAUAAUUGCUCAAAUUGGUCACUAAUAUUAAAAUUUUCGUUAAUCCACUAACAAACUGUUGACAUGACUUCUUUUUUUUUUUACUUUUGACUAAAACUAGAGAUUCAUCUGUAAUUAGUCCAAAACACUUUAUUAUGGUUUAUUUGCUACAUAAAGCACUUUUUCCUUCUUGUUUAUUUCUUGGGAAAAGUAAUAAACAAAAAUAGGCUAUUUUACCAAAACAGUCCAAAAAAUAUUAUAUUUACAAAAAUAACCCAGGUUUAAAAACAAUCACCAAAAUAACCUAAAAUGAACAGUAAAAUUGGAUUGUGGCCUGUCAAUGGCCGGAACCCACUCGUAUUUUGCACCAUGAUUGCCUAAUAAUUGUGUCAAACUUAAAAAAAUUAAUUUUUUGGGUUUUGGCCUGUCAAUGGCCGGAACCCAUGUAUUUUUUUAAAAAAUUGUACAAUACUGAUAUACGAAAAAGGAAAAAGAAGAAAAAGGAAAAAAAAAAAUUUGAGUGCUGGCCUGUCAAUGGCUGGUACCUAGUACAAUUAAAAAAAAAUUACUUUUUUUCAUGUCAGAAUCAGAUAUCAGUAUACAAAAAAAUAAAAAAAAUUUUGGGUGCUAGCCUGUCAAUGGCCGGCACCCAGUACAAUUUAAAAAAAAUUCUUUUUUUUUUCAUGUCAGAAUCAAAUAUCAGUAUACUAAAAAAGUAAAAAAAAAAAUUUGGUGCUGGCCUAUCAAUGGCCGACACCUAGUACAAUUUUAAAAAAAAAAUUCUUUUUUUUCGUGUCCAAAUCAGAUAUCAGUAUACGAAAAAAGUAAAAAAAACUUUUUGGGGUGCUGGCCUGUCAAUGGCGGGCACCCAGUACAAUUAUAAAAAAAAAAUUUCUUUUUUUUUCAUGUCAAAAUCAGAUAUUAAUAUACGAAAAAAGUAAAAAAAUCUUUUUUUCGUGUCAGAAUCAUAUAUCAGCAUACAAUCAUUCUACAAUAUUAAUACAAAAAGUAUAAAUUAUUACCCGAUAAUAUAAAAAUACAAAUGUUUGAAAAAGCUAUUACACGAAAAUAUGACAGUAUAUAAUUCAACUCGAUUAAAAUAUGACAGUAUAUAAUUCAACCCCGAAAUUUUGUUGUACACUACGGAAAACUCCAUACACUAUCCGAUCCAAAAAAACUCAUUUCCUAAUACUACAAAACACUAUCAUUUUUAUGCCUCUCAAAAAAUUUUUCUCAUUCCAUUUACACUACAAUAACCCAAACCACUCACUAUAUAUAGAGUUUAAUGCCGGCCAUUAGAAGGUGGUGCCGGCCAUUGACAGGCCAGCACCCAAAAAUUUUUUAUUUUACUUUUUUCUUAUACUGAUAUCUGAUUCUGACACGAAAAAAAGGAAAAAAAAUUUUAUAAUUGUACUGGGUGCCGGCCAUUGACAGGCCAACACCAAUUUUUUUUUUACUUUUUACUUAUACUAAUAUUUGAUUCUUACACAAAAAAAAGGAAAUUUUUUUUUUAUAAUUGUACUGGGUGCCGGCCAUUGGCAGGCCAGCACCAAAAAAAUUUUUUUUUAUACUUUUUUCGUAUACUGAUAUUUGAUUCUGACAUGAAAAAAAAUGAAAUUUUUUUAUAAUUGUACUGGGUGCCGGCCAUUGAUAGGCUAGCACCAAAAUUUUUUUUUUUACUUUUUUCGUAUACUGAUAUCUGAUUCUGACACAAAAAAAAGGAAUUUUUUUAAAUUGUACUGGGUGCCGGCCAUUGACAAGCCAGCACCCAAAAUUUUUUUUUUUACUUUUUUCGUAUACUGAUAUCUGAUUCUGACACAAAAAAAAAGAUUUUUUUUUUUUAAAUUGUACUGGGUGCCGGCCAUUGACAGGCCAGCACCCAAAUUUUUUUUUUUCCUUUUUCUUAUAUCAGUAUUAUACAAUUUUAAAAAAAUACAUGGGUUCCGGCAAUUGACAGGUCAAAACCCAAAAAAUUAAUUUUUUUAAGUCUGACACAAUUAUUAGGCAAUUAUGGGUACAAAAUACAAGUGAGUUCCGGCCAUUGACAGGCCACAACCUAAUUUUACUGUUCAUUUUAGGUUAUUUUGGUGAUUAUUUUUAAACCUGGGUAUUUUUAUAAAUAUAAUAUUUUUUGGACUAUUUUGGUAAAAUAGCCAGAAAAAUAAGUAUAGUUUUGACUCUUUUAAAACAAGUCAACCCCAUUCUCACCUCAACUUGACAUCCUCAUCAUUGUUUCUCUUAUUUUCGUUCUAUCCUUGUUAUUUGUCAUGGGGUUCUUCUUAACCAUUGGUAAUCAAGUUCAUCUUGUGAAUUCAAUUUUCCAACAAAUCAAGCUAGCUUUAACAAUCCAAUAAUAUUUACACAACCAAAUUCAUCUUAGCAACACGUUGUAUCAAAAUCAACAAUUUUGCUAUAAAUUUUUUAAAAUAUUAAAAUUGUCAAAAAAGAGAGAGUACCAAUUAGCAAUACAGAAAAUAACACUAAAACCAGAGUUUUCAACGUCUAAAAUGCCGUUACUGCCAUAGAAGAAGUGUAGAGAGUUCUUUGAUGGUGAGAGAAAGCAUUACAAAUAAGCAAACAGUAUGCAGCGAAAGAAAAUGGAGAGAAAGACUACAACAAAUCCAUUAAUACUGAGCGUAGCAAUAAGUGAUGACCAGUAAGAUAGAGAAAGGGAAAUAUGGUUGGCUAUCAAACUUAACCAAGAAGUAAGUUGAAAGAAUUUCAGAAAGAAUCAUUUAAGAGUUCAAAAUGCUAAAAAAAUUCAAAAGUGCCAAAAAUCUUCUUGCCGGUGGCAAAAGGCUCCUAUUUAUUGUUUUUCAAUAAUAGGAGUUACAAAGUUAGAAAUUAAUGAGAGUAUUAAUAGAUAUUUUUAAGAUAGAAUUGCAUAUUAAUUAAGAAGUGAUAGUGAAAGGAUUUCCUGGUGAUGGGGAAUAAUGAAGAAGAAUUCACUAUGUUUCUAAAAGGAAAGAAAACCACUCAGCAUUAAAAGAAAAUGUUAAGAGGAAGCCUUUUAACUACCUUCAUAUUUGAUACACCAAGUCAAGCUCUCCAAAACAUUCCAAAAGUGAAGAUAACCCAAGAACUCUAUUAUAUUCUGAGAUUACUUCUGUUUCUUCCACUUUAAUGAAGUACCAUGUGAAACAUUUUUCGUGGAAGAUCUCUUAAAAUGCAAGACGAUAGUUGUUCUUGGAUAAAAGUUGUUCCUAAAUGAUUAUUUUGACUUGUUACAAACGUGAGUUGUUCUCAAUAUAAAGGUUGUUCCAGAUAAGAGAUGUUUUGUUGUGAUGUUUUUCUUGGUAAAACUUGUUUUGAAUAACGACUCUUUUGGGAAAAAAUAAUUUUUCUAAAUACAAAUUGUUCCAAACAAUAGUUGUUCUAAACAUAUAGCCAUUCCUGAAAUACUAUUAUUCUAAACAAGAGUUAUUCUCAAAUAACAAUUGUAGGGCACAAUUUUUUGCCCGGCCCGCUAAAGAAACCAAAAACAAAAAACCAAACAAAAACAAAAAUGGUUCAGUCCAGUUUUGUUACAAGCCCAAUAAGCCUAAAAGCCCAACUAACAGCCCAAACCCCCCAAAUCACCGAAACUCUAGCAGCAUUCAGCCUCCAGCAGACCUCAGCCGCCGCAAGACUCGGAAUCGGCCUCCUUCACAUGCGCCACUCCUUCAUGUUUGCCUGCAAAAUAGACUCAAAGAGUCCAACGGGGAAAAACAGUAUAAAAUAACAAAGAAAAUUGAAUUUGUUUUUCUUUUUCGGGCUAUAUAAAAGCCAUUUUAUUUUGUAAAGGGUGGGAGAGAAAAAUAGAAAAGAACAAACGAAAAAAGAAGAUCCAAAGAGAAGAUUAAAAUACAGAUUCGAAAAUUUUUUAACAAAGGUUUUUUCGCUUUAUUUUUUGUGUUCAUUAUUUUUUUCCCUUUCUCUGUUUAUUAUUGUUUUUAUAAAAAAGAGAGAGGAGGAGAUUACCUCUUUGUUGGAGUCGCCGAUUCGAUGCCAUCUCCGUCGUAAUCGGAGCUCUGGUACGAGGACAAAUGAGCGGCUACGUCAAAGGGUGAGGAGAGAAACCCUAGCAGAGCAAAUGUUUUGAAAAAAUAUGAAACAAAAUUGUUUUUUUGUGUUUAACUUAAAGUGCAGGCAAAACGGCACUGUUUAGUUGGGGGAGAUCCGAGCGUCGACCCGACCCGCAAGCAGGGUCCGCGCGUUCCUCAAAAGGGGGAAUUUUCGCAAUGAGGCCCCCCUUUUUGUGAUGUGUUUUAAUUAAACCCAUUUUAUUUUUUAAUUUGGCCCAAAUAUUUUACCUGUAUGGCAUUUUAGUCCACAUCGCUGCACAUCGUUUCGGGGAGGCGGAUUAUUUCUGAUUUGGCCCCCAUGUAAUUCGUGUGUCGCGAUUUGACCCACCAUUUUGCUUAAAUUUCAUUUAUUUCCUGUUGUUUUAGUUUUAUUGACUCUUUAGUCCUUUUUGCAAUUUGUUUUUUUAAGAAAAAUUUAUUUUUCUUCUUUUAUUAUUAUUAUUAUUAUUAUUAUUAUUAUUUCCACUUACGUUCAUACAUUUUUUUUAUAAUAUAUGUGCGUAUAUGUUUUAAACUUUUGUGGAAGAUAUACGUGUACAUAUUUUAUUUAUAUUUUAUUAUUAUUUUAUCUUCACAAUUUUUUUAUAUAAAUGUAUAUACAUAUACAUUUUUCUUAUUUUAUAAUCCAUGCACAUAUGCAUGUAUUGUUUAUAAUAUAUAUAUACAUAUUUUUUUUAGAAAUUAUUAUAAGUUGUUUUGUUUCAUAUAUUUCAUUCCUUUUCUGUUUUUUUAUAUGUAUACUUAUAUAUAUGUGUGUUUUAAUAUAUGCAUACACAUAUUUUCAAAUUUACUUAUAUAUUGUAUUUAUAUAUAUAGUUCAUAUUAAAGUAUUUAUUUUAUGUUGUAUAUUAACAUUUUAUCAUUUUUUUAAAAAGAAAAUAUAUUUGGUUUCAUCAAAGCAUUAAAACCAUUUUUAUUCAAAGGCUUUCAAGAUCAUGUAAAAUUCGAUAUUUGGAAUUUUCGAGGAAAUGGAGCCCUAACGUAUUGGGUUUCAAUUUUCUUUGUUAACCCUAAAUAAAUCGAGAAUAUUUCUUCAAAACGCAUAAAUAAAAAUCAUUUUCGGGAAUUCAACAUGUUGCGUCCUAAUGUAUUGGGUAUGACAUAUUGUUUUCUUGAAUUUUCCCAUAAAAAAGGGGUAAUAUUCAAAGUUUGGGGGUUUUUGAGAAAUUGUACUCUAACGUAUUGAGUCUCGAUUUCUUCAUCUAACUGAAACAAUUGAAUAUUCCCUAAAUAGGAGGAUUUUAAUAUGUAUACAAGUUUUUAAAUAUAAGGGUCAUAUUUUAAAAAUCUUUUCAAGCUUUUGACAUCAUGACAUUAAUAAUCAAUUUGGUACCAAUUUUGGGCGUUACGAGGGUGCUAACCCUUUCUCGUGCGUAACCGGCUCCCGAACCUAUUUUCUCAAAAUUUGUAGACCAAAAUAGUUUUUGAGGUGAGCCGAUCACACCUCAAUAAAUGAUCGGUGGUGACUCUAACUUUUGUUUUUUUUAAAGUCGACAACUAAAUUUUUGUUUUCAAAAAAACAGUUUCGACAACAAUUAUAUUGGAUGACAGCUGUUCUAACUAAAACUAUGUUUUGAAAUAGUUAUUCUGGACAAAGUUAUUCUAGAACAAUAGUUGUUUUGAAUAACUAUUCUAAACAAGAGUUGUUACUUCGGAAGAGAUAUGCUUGGUAGAACAAUUUGCUCAAAUAUAAUAUUCUUGAUUUCAAGGAAUAGAUAAAAUAUUAGUAAUCAAAAAUUGAGUAUUUACAAAAAUUUGAAAAUUGAAGUGUUAAAUUUGAUUUAUAAUUUUUUAUUUUACCAUUUUUAUCUUUACUUUUAACAUUUCAUGUUAAUUUAAUUUACAUAAAUUCUAAACCACAUUGAAUAUACAUAUAAAUAUUUGAAAUAAAUUAAAUUGAUGUUAGGAAAAACAAUUACUCAAUAAAGAAUAAAAAUUAUUAAAAAAAACUUAUAUUCGACAAAAAUAUAAUGAUAAUAAAAGAUCAUUUGUAACAAAAAGCCUUUAAGAAAAUGCGAAAAAUUAAUUAUGAUUUUAUAUUAAAUUUAUAUUCAAUUAAGCCAUUGUCAUUAAAUAAAAUUAAUUAAGCCCUCCAUUAAUAGAAUCUGUGAUUGACCGUUAAGAUAAAUUAAUGAAACAAUCAAAUAAUGACACGUGGUAACUUUUAAUUUAAUUUAAUAUUUUUUCAUACAAAUGUUAAAAAUCAUAAAAAUUAGAAUAAAAGGUAAAUAAAAAACAAAAGUAAGUGAUAUAUAAUGUUUAUAAAUUUCAAUUACUUUUCCUUUUUUCUUUUCUAAUUUUUGGUACAAACGAGAAGUGCAAUUUACCGAUAAUGUUUUUUUUUUUUUGCAAUUCCAAUAAUGUCUUUUUCUUAUGAAAAUUUAUUUUGUCUGCUUCUUGGCUUAAAAUUUGGUGUAAAAAUGAUAACACUAAAGGUGGUUUUAGAUGGACGGUGAUUGUGGUGUAAUGAAAUCUUUUAUUUCACAGUUACAGUAAUUAAUCUCAUCGCUACCACUAUUUUUAACCUUAUCGGAGGUAAUCACAUCCCCAAAGACACCCUAAAUCUAUUUACAACAAUAAUUAUUAUACUUUUUCAUAAAAAAACAAUAAUUAUUAUACGAAUAAUAAAAAAUGGUAAAAGUACGAUAAAACCUUUUAUCUUAUAUAUUGGAUUGCAUUUUAAUUUUUUAUUAAAAAAUUAGCCCAUAUAAAUUAGAUGACUGAGCAAAACACGUCCUUCCAUUUUGUUGUCUAUAUAUAAGAUAUAAUAAUAAAUUUAGCCCUCAGUCAUUACAUAUUUAUUCAAUUUGACCCUUACUUUUUUUUAUUGGAAGUAAAUUAAAAAAUUUUGAACUAAUAAACUAAAGGGUCAAAAAGGCCUUAGUAAUAAAAUUAAAAAAAAUCAAUUAAACCCAUUUAAAUUUUAAAAGUUAUUAAAAAUCUUAAAAAUUAUAAAUAAAAUUUACGAAAAUUUUAAAAAUAUAUUUUUAUUAAAAAAAGCAACACCUACCCAUUAAAAAAUAAUAGUUAGAAGAUUUUUUUUAAAAACAAUUGACCCUACUCUUUUAUUGAGUCAGUAUUGUUAUUUUUUAAUAAAAUUUUUUAUAAUUUUUAAAAAUCUUAAAAAUUUUAGCUUAAUUAAUUUUUUUUUAAAAAAUUUGUUACAAAGACCUUUUUGACCCAUUAGCUUCAUUAGUUUAAUUUUUUUAAAUUUACUUUCAAUAAAAAAAAGUAUAGGUCAAAUUGAAUAAAUGUGUAAAAUUUAGAACUAAAUUUGUUAUUAUACCUUAUAUAUAAACACCAAAAUAGAAGGACUGUUUUGCUCACUCAUUUAACGUAUAAGGGCUAAUUUACCAAUUUUUUAAAUAGAGAAGAAAAAACCAAAUUUAACUCCUAAAUUCCCUUUUUCAAUGACUUUUUCAAGUCUUCCAUACAAAAUUAGACAGAAUAAUUAAGAAUAGACGCUAUACUAAGUUGAUAAGGUCAUUCUAUUUUGCUGUUCCUCUUCCUCAGAAAGCUCCCAGACAAACUGAAACUGAAGAAGAUAUAGCAGCCGUUCCCCUUUUUUUUUGUUUUUGUUUUUUUUUUGAAAAUCGAUAUGUCAAACACGAAUAUUUCAGAAACGGUUCUGCUUUUACCGGAGAUCGAUGAUAACGACAACGAAGAUGGGAGGUGGUGGAAGAAUGUUUUGGAUUUGGAAGAGGCGAAGAAACAAGUGUUGUUUUCACUCCCAAUGAUUGUGACGAAUGUUGUGUAUUUUUCCAUACCUUUGGUGUCUGUCAUGUUUGCCGGUCACCUUGGGGAGCUUCAGCUUGCUGGUGCCACGCUUGCUAAUUCUUGGGCCACCGUCACUGGCUUUGCUUUCAUGGUUAGUUUUCACUAUUUUCUCAUUAUUCUUUAGGAUAACUUACGUACCCACUUAACUAUGGUUUUUUAUUUUUAUUUUUUUAGUCAAUGAAAAGUUAUAAAAUAGUCACUCAAUUAUUAGUAUUUUUUUUGUCACCAAAUUAUAAUAAGUUCCAAAAAUUGUCAUUCAACUAUUCAAUUUUGUCUUUUUUGGUCACACAACUAUAUUAGAUUUUGAGGUAUUUCUAUUUUUACGUUAGUCAAUUAGUGACCAAAAAGACAAAAUUGAAUAGUUGGGUGACAAAAAAAAAAGAAAAAAAAUCGUAGUUGGGUGACAUUUAUUGUACUUUACCUUUUUUUUAAUCUUUCAUGUUCAUUUUACAAUUCAUAUUUGAAGUUCGUGAUUCUUUUUUCUAAUAAUGUUAUCUCCAAGAUUUAAAUUCGUAUUCUCUCAUUAAGAGUGCAAUCUAUAUUACCAUUACACCAUACUCUUAUUGAUUAUUUUAUCAUUUGGUACCUAUAUUUUGCUUGAAUGUUUAAUUAAUUUGGUACUUCAACUUUUUUUGUCCCAAUUUGGUACCUGAGUUUGGCUUCAAUGUUCAAUUUGGUGCCUAAGUUUUUUCAAAUUGAUACUUGAGUUUUUCUUUGUCCCAUACAAAUACUUAAGUUUGACUUCAAUAUUCAAUUUAGCACUUGAGUUUUUCUUUUACUAAAACACAUUUGUCAAAUAUUUAUUGGACCACAUGUUGUUUAGUCGAGGUACCAAAUUAAACAUUGAAAUCAAACUUAGAUACUAAAUUGAGACAAAAGUACCUCAUAUGCCAAAUGGAACAUUGAAAUUAAAUAUAGGUACCAAAUAGUAUAUUAACCCUUUUAUCAUAACUUCAACAUUUUGUUUUUGUGGAUUUACUUGUUUGUUAGACAGGAUUAAGUGGAGCACUGGAAACACUUUGUGGUCAAGGAUUUGGUGCCAAAAUUUACAGAAUAUUGGGAAUUUACCUCCAAUCCUCAUGCAUAAUUUCCUGUUCUUUCGCCAUUCUAAUUUCAAUCUUAUGGUUCUUCACCGACCCCAUAUUGAUCUUCCUUCAACAAGACGCCGAAAUCUCCAAAACGGCGGCGCUUUACAUCAAAUAUCUCAUCCCAGGCUUAUUUGCUUACGGAUUGGUACAAAACAUACUGAGAUUCUUUCAGUCGCAAAGUAUUUUAAUGCCUCUGGUGUGGUUUUCGGUUCUGCCAUUGGCACUUCAUUUGGGCAUCGUUUACGCAUUGGUUAAUUGGACGAAUCUGGGUUUCAUAGGAGCUCCAUUGGCAGCUUCGAUUUCGCUGUGGAUUUCACUUGUUUUGUUAUCGUCUUAUGUGGUUUUGGCCCAGAGAUUUGAGGAAACAUGGCCGGGAUUGUCGUCGGAAUCAUUUCGUUUGGUCUUCGCGAACUUGAAACUCGCCAUCCCUUCUGCGGCAAUGGUUUGGUGAGUUCAUUUUUUCCAAAUUAAAUUAUAAAAUUUUGAAGAGUCAAACAAAAUUUGUCCUUGUAUUAUUUUUCAUUUUUUAAAGGACUAAACUUCUAAAUUUAUUAUUUUUAGGCUAAAGACUUAAGUCUAAUUAUUUUGUGUUGGGUUAAAUCUCAAAAUUAUACAUGAAAUUUGAUUUAACGUGCAAUUGUAUAUAUGAACUUUAUUUUAAUACAAUUAUAUGCGUAAAACUUUAAUUGUGGUUCAAAUAUAUACUUGAAACUUUAAUGUUGCUUCAAUCCUACGUAUUUAAAGAAAUAAACUUAUUUAUUUUUAUAUUAGAUAAAUAUAAUUAUUUAUGUAUGCGAUAUAUAAACAUAAAAUGAUGUUAUAUUAAUAAUGGUGUUAAUAAUUUACAAGAAUUAGAUCAAAUCAAAAUUUCAUGUAUACAAUUGCACAUUAAACCAUAGUUCAUGUAUAAUUUUGGUACAUAUCCUUUUUGAGUUUGAGUCAAAAGUAAGCAUUUGAUUAUUUUGAUCGGUUUGAUUUUUUUUUUAAUUUAACCGACUUAAUCGGCCUUAAUAUAAAAUAAUUGAACUGAUCGACUAAGAUAUUGUUAACCGAUUUAAUGAAACUGACUAAGAUGUCAUUAAUUGGGUUUGGGUCGGUUUUCGAGUUGGGUUAGGUUAGAUAAUUGAAUUUUAAGUUUGGGUAAUUUAAAUUAUAUCACACAUUACAAAUAUAUUUAAAAUAAUUUAAAAAUAAUAAAUAAAUAUAAGUCAGUUAAGUUGAUCGAUUCAAUUAUAAAUUUUAGUCAUCGGUACUCCACUGUCCAAAUCGACAAAACUGAAUUAAUUAAAAUUAAUCAAAUCGUCAAUUAAGUCGAUUAAAUCAAUCAUAACUGAAUAAUACUCUUUCCUAAUUUGAGCUAUUUGGAUUUUUUGGUCAAAUUUUAAGUCGGAACAAUUAGAAUUAAGUUCUUUUGAAUUCAAAUUAGUCUAAAUUAGAGUCAUUUUCAUUUCGGAUUUGAAUUUAAUUGUUAAAAAUAAUGAUGUCAACUAAAUUAAAAUUUAGAUAAUUUUUUAAAAUUGUUUUGAGCAGUUUGGAAUAUUGGGCGAUCGAGCUUCUGGUACUAUUAGCAGGAUUGAUGCCUAAUUCAGAAGUAACUACUUCCUUGAUUGCCAUGUGGUAUGCUUGCCUUUUAGGGGUGAAUCCAAAAAAUCUUUUUGAGGGGCCGAAAUGAAAUUUUAAUUUUUAAUAGUUUAUAUCUUUAUAAUUUUUAAAUGAUUAAAUUAAAAUUUUUUAAUUUUAAGGGGUUAAAGUGUAAUUUUAUCUUUAUUAAUUUAAAACUUUUCAUUUUAAGGAGCCACCCUGGAUUUGCCUCUGCUUCCACUUUUAUACUUUUCACUGGAUCCAUUUAAAGAUUUCAAGAUUAAUGGAAUUUGAGUAAAAUAUUUUAUUUCAGUGUGAAUACAGAAUCAAUUGCGUACAUGAUUACUUACGGACUUAGCGCUGCAGCAAGGUGAGUUCAAUUUUAUUAUUAUCUUAAUUAAUUUACGGAUUUUAAGCUAAUUUAAUUGAAACAGCACGAGGGUUUCGAAUGAAUUGGGGGCUGAGAAUCCGAGGAAGGCAAAGACCGCCAUGGCUGUGUCACUCAAGCUUUCAAUCCUUCUCGCUCUAACAGCGGUUGUUGCAUUAGCAUUUGGGCAUAACAUAUGGGCUGCUUCCUUCACCAACACUGCUUCCAUUAUCAACCAAUUUGCUUCAAUCACACCCUUCCUUUUAAUCUCCAUUACUAUUGAUUCUUUUCAAGGCAUCUUAUCAGGUAAUUUCAGAAACAAAAAACAGACAACUGAGUGAAGAAAUGGAAGGAUUAAAAUGAAAUGAAUAAAAUGUUGCAGGGGUGGCCAGAGGAAGCGGAUGGCAGGUGUUGGCUGUGUGGGCCAACUUGGGGACCUUUUAUUUAAGCAGGGCUUCUUGCUUUUAAAUUUAAGCUUUAUGCUAAGGUGAGUGUCUCAGCUAGAUAUCAGUUUGACUGCUCUAAUUAAUUUAUUCCAUUUAAAAACAUAAUUUUUUUCAUAAGUCCUCUGGAUAAAUAAUUUUGUUCUCAAUCUUUCCUUAAUUAUUCACAUUUUAAUGGAAUUUAACCUUUUUUUUAUAUAUAUUUUUUCUUUCAUCAGGGUUUGUGGAUAGGGUUGAUAUGUGGUCUUUCAUGCCAAGCUGGUGCCCUCCUGCUUAUUACUUUGUGUAGAAAAUGGACUAAAAUUGAACUUUCCUAACAAAUUAAUAUUGAACCAUAGUUCAAUCUUAACUAAUCUUCAUACUUUAUGAGUAUUCAUUUGUCGAGACUUAUUUAAAAUAGUGAAUUUGAAAUUUAAAUGAUUCGAGUUUGUUGAUAUGUUAAAUAAAGGAGGGAAAGGAUUUUCUAGUGAAGAAGCAAGGAAGAAGAUCAUGGAAUGGAGUGUCUAAAGUGUCGUUCCUUAAAGAGUAUUUUUAAAUUUAUAUUCCGGAUGAAAUUAUGAUAUAUUUUAUUAUAAUUGUAUAAUAAAGUUCAAAUUUUGUUAUGUUUUUUUUGUUCUAAUAUUGGAGAUCCUUUUAAUAAAAAGUGACUAGAAAUUAUAAUUGGAUAUUUACAAAUUUUUUAAAUAAAUUCUCUUGAUUUACCUAAAUAUGUUUUCUUAUUAUUAUUUGAAUGAUUAAAAUAGCAAUAUUCUUUGAAUAUUAUUUUUCAAAAAAACCAAUUAAGCUUUUACUCUUUUUUUUUUUUCACUCAAUUGGAUACUUGAGCUGCAAAAUGCAUGAAAAAGGCCAUCGAACUUUAAAAAAAAAACCAAUUAAGCUCCAACUUUUAUUCCCACUCAAUUAGGUACUUGAACUAUAAAAUGCAUAAAAAAGCCUCUCAAACUUAAAAAAAAAAAAAACAAUUAAGCUCUUAUUCUUGUUUUUUAUUUUGCAUUCAAUUGAGUACUUCAACAGCUAAAAUGCAUAAAAAAGACCAUUUGACCGUUAACUUUAAUGUUAACCGUUAAAAUUAACGCUCCUAAUUUAUUUCAAUUAAAGCCACCAUGUGUCACAACCAUUGUGUGACAUGUGGUAAAAAUGAUAAAAAUAAAAAUUUAUAAAAUUUAUAAAAAUAAUUAAAUUUUAAUAAAAAUAUUUAAAAUUGAUUAAAAAUAGAAUAAAACUAUAAAAAUUAUAAAAUAUAUAGAACUGUAAAAUAUAUAAAAAUGUAAAAAAUUUUUAAAAUUAUUCCCGCAAAAAUUAUAAAAUUUUAUAAAGCAGUAAGAAAAUUAUAAAAAAUGUAAAGAAAUAUAAAUUUAUAAAAAAAUUAUAAAAAUUAUCAUACCAAAAUAAGUAUUUUAUAAUUUUUCUAUAACUCUUAUUAAUUUUUAAUUUUUAUCAUUUUUUGUCGCAUGUCACAUUGUAUUGUUACACAUUAUGGCUUUAAUUGGAAAUAAAAAAGAAGAAAUCUAAGGGUUAAAGUUAAUGUUUAAAUGGUCCUUUUGGUACAUUUUAUAUUUUUUUAUGAUUUUUAUAAAAGUUUACAAUCUUUAUAAAUUUUUGUACAAUUUUUAUAAUUUUUUACUAAUAAGAAUAGGAUUUCUUACUAAUAAUUCUGCCUCUGUGGAUCCCACCAGAGACUUCAUAAUUUGCCUGUUUUUAUCUUCACUUUCUUCUUACUUCUUCUUCACUGCUUUUAAUUUGUUUCGAUGUCCAAGUUCUAUCACAAAUUUUGAAGCAUCCAGUCAAGGUAAUUUUCUUUCAUUUCCUUAAUUCAUGGCGUGCUUUUCUUUGCUUUGAUUAUCUGCAACUGUUAUAGCAGCUAGCUUUGUAAGAUUGUCAAGGAACUCAACUUCACUGCUUCCUUUUCAGUUCUAAUCUCUCAGCACUUUUCAGCCACUAAGUCAGGUAAUAAGAUCUGAAGCAAUUAUUCAUUGCCAACUUCAACGAUUUUGUUUUGAUGUCCAAGGUCUAUCACAAAAUUUCAAUCAUCCUGUCAAGCUAAUUAUCUUUCAUUUCCUUAAUCCAUCACAUGCUUUUCUUUGCUUCAUUCAUGACUUUGCAAUGAUUGUUGCUGACUAUCUGCUACUCUUAGCAGCUAGCUUUGUAAGACAGUCAACUUCACUGCUUCAUUUUCAGUUCUAUUCUCUUAACACUUUUCAGCCACUAAAUCAGGUAAUAAGAUCUGAAGCUAUGAUUUCCUCUACUGAUUAUCAACAGUUUUAGACUUUAAGAUAAGAUGAUCAGCAGACAUAAUCUACUCUAGAUUGAAAUUAAUACAGAAAGAGCUACCUAGAAGCAAUAUAAUGUUGAAAUCUCAUACUGUUAACAUUUUAACUCUUAAUAUUCUGUAAUGAACUGUUGCACACUUGAAUCUAGCAUUUCAUAUACAUCGAGAGCUUAAUUCUGGUGACCAGAAUUUCAUCAUGUUUCUGUCUGCCACCCAUCCAUAGCUCCAUCUAAUAAACGCCAUUGCUUGAAACUUGCAUUCAUGCUUACACUGACAUAUCAAUACUUCAUAAAAUAUCCAAUUCAUUCACAGAUUUUCAUUCUCUGCUACUGUUAUAUAUGAUUGCAUUGCAGGGACAUAGCAAUGGAGUACGUAGAGCCUGUUGUCGGUAUUGCAAAUUGUCUCGGAACUCCUGUUUGUAAAUAUUUGCAAUAUCACAGAAAGCUGAACGAUUAUGUGAGAAACUUCAAGAGGAUCAGAGAUGAAUUGCAUUGCAAAAUGGAAGAUAUAGAGCUGCAAUUGAAAGCAGAGCUUCUUCGUCCUCUGGGUAAAAUACCAAAGCAGGGAGUUGAAAAUUGGUUGAAAGCUGUGAAUGAGAUGAUUAGGGAAGCACAAGUUGUUGAAAACAAAGUCAGUAACGGGAGAUAUCUCUGUCGUGCUUGCAACGGGAAGCUGGUUGAUGAAAAGACUCAAGAAAUGAAGGAAUUUCUUAAUAACGCUCCUAAGGCCUCUGAAGGUCUUGCCAUGGAUGGUCCAAGUGGUGGGUUGCCACUGCCAACAUCAGAACUAGUUGGAGAAGAAGCUGUCAGAAAUGAGAUUUGGGCAUGUUUGAUGCAGGAGGAGGUGAGCAAGACUGGGGUUUGGGGGAUGGGCGGUGUGGGUAAAACCACUAUCAUGAAGCACAUCCACAAUGAUCUUUUGAAACAACAAAGAUUCGAAAGGGUAAUCUGGGUUACCAUAUCAAAGGAGUUCAAUGUAAUGAAGGUACAAGAUAAAAUUGCAAGUGCGUUGGAGUCGAAGGAAUAUUUAGACAAAGAAGAGGACAAGCUCAGACGAGCUGCAAUCUUGUCAGAAAUGCUGAAGAACGCAGGAAAGCAUGUUCUAAUCCUAGAUGAUGUGUGGGAUAAAGUCUCUCUAGAGGAAGUUGGGAUCCCCGAGCCAAGUGGCAGCAAUGGCUGCAAGUUGGUGUUGACAACCCGUUUGGAGCAUGUCUGUAAGUAUAUGGGUUGUAAGGUGAUAAAAGUGAAGCCCCUUUCAGAAGAAGAGGCAUUGAUACUAUUCUUGAAUAAAGUUGGACCUAACAUAGUUCAAAGUCCAACUAUAAUGCCUACUUUGAAGCUUGUUGUCAAGGAAUGUGCGGGUCUACCUCUUACGAUUGUUGUGGUAGCUGGUACCAUGAAAGGAGAAGAUAACCCUCUUAUUUGGAAAAAUGCACUCGGGGAAUUAAAAGAGAGAAUAGGGAAAGUUGAAGGAGUGGAAGCUGAGGUAAUCGAGCGCUUGACAUUUAGCUUCGAUCACUUAAAGGACGAGAAAGUGAAAUAUUGUUUCUUACAUUGCGCAUUAUAUCCCGAAGAUUUUGAAGUUGAAAAGGAUGAACUAAUUGAGUGCUGGAUUGAGGAGGGAUUCAUAGAUGAUAUGGGUACAAGACAAGAAAUGAAAGACAAGGGCCAUGUUAUUUUGAAAAAGUUAGGAGAUAACUGCUUGUUGGAAAAUAUUACUAAUGUAUUUGGUCAACCUCGCGUAAAGAUGCAUGAUGCAGUGAGAGACAUGGCACUGUCGAUCACAAGUAUGAAUUCUCGAUAUAUAGUACAAGCAGGCUUGCAAUUAAAAGAAUUACCGAAAAGGGGGCAAUGGAGUCCAGAUAUUGAGAAAGUGUCGCUUAUGCAUAACUCCAUAACGGAAUUUCCCGCAGAUGUGCUGCCCACAAAAUGUCAAUUGCUCACAACCUUGUUAUUGCAGGUGAAUCCUAUAAAGAAGAUCCCAUAUUCUUUCUUCAUAAACAUGCCCUGUCUUUGUGUCCUAAAUUUGUCCUAUACGGAGAUCGAGAGUUUACCAAAUUCCAUCUCUGAACUAAAGAACCUCACAACAUUGUUGCUUUGUUGCUGUUUUCAAUUAAGAGAUAUACCAUGUCUUUCGAUGCUUCAAGAACUGAAGAAGUUGGAUCUUUAUAGGACUAAAAUUGAGGAAGUCCCUGAAGGAAUGGAUAUGCUGAUAAAGCUAAGAUAUCUUGAUCUUAGUGUGCGCACUCUGAAAGAGAUACCCGCUGGACUUUUACCAAAACUCGUUCACCUUCAGCACUUGGGUUUUGAUAAACAAAUAAGUCUAAAAGCAGAGGAGAUGGAACCAUUGAAGAAGUUGGAGUGCUUUACCGGACGUUUCGAAGACAUCAAUGAAUUCAAUAAGUUCAUCUCCUCAUUGCAACAAAGUAAGAAAAAUCUCAUCAAGUACCAUUUACUUGUGGGCUCAUAUCUCAUCAAGUACCAUUUACUUGUGGGCUCAUCUUUUAUGCCUACUGCAAGAGAUAAAACAGUAACAAUUGAAGGAGUCCAGAAUUGGGAAGGUGAGUUAAUUAUGCACCCAAUUGAAAUUCAAGGGUUGAAUAUUGUAGAGUGCGGCUAUUUGAGAAACUUAGUCGAUGGUAAUUCUUCCUUCAAAAAUGUGAUUGACUUGAGGGUUCGGUUUUGUGAAGGGAUAGAGUGUGUUAUUUCCUUGUCCUCUUUUGCCUCUUCUUCCGCUCAUCCAUUUCAGAGCCUCGAGAUGUUGGAUCUUCAACAUCUGCCAAAGUUGAGUGCCAUUAUUAUGAAUGAUGCAGGAAUUGGUUCAGCAACAACAUCAACAUUGGCUCCGUCUGCCACAUUUUCUCAUCUUAAGGAAAUUACGAUAGUGAACUGCUCAAGUAUGAAGACGUUGCUUCCACAUUGGUUGCUUCCAAACCUCCAAAACCUGGAAGAAAUACAUGUGGGUGCUUGUAGUCAGCUAGUAGAAAUAUUGGGAGCAGCAACAUUAGAAGUUGAAGAAAAAGAGAGCGAUGCAUUAAUCAAAUUCCUUCUUCCCAAAUUGAGAGAGUUGACAUUCUCCGAAUUACCAAAUUUGAAGAGCAUAUGCAGCAGAAGUGGAGUGAUGGUUUGUGAUUCUCUCCAAAUUAUCCGUAUUACUAGAUGUGAUAAACUGAAGAGAAUUCCUCCAUUUGUUCCCCUUGUUGGCAAUGGGCAGCCAUUUGCAUAUGCUCCACCUUCUCUUACCAUCGCGUCAUGGAAAGAAUGGUGGGAAUGGUUGGAGUGGGAUGACCAUCCAAACUUUAAAAAUGUUCUUCGCUUCAACCCCUUUGGAGGAUAAGAGGUAUGAACCAUUUAUGGUUUAAUUUAUUUUUUUAGUUUGAUAAAUCUAAUUUCUCCAUAUUAAUAAAAUUUGAAGUAAAUUUGUGAUGAUGUUGAAGAGAAACUACAAAAUAUAUAUAAGGGAAGUUUUUCGAGUAAAAUUCCGGAUAGAGCUAUGAUAUAUUUUACUAAAAUUGUAUAAUAAAGUUCAAAUUUUAUUAUGUUUUUUUUUGUUAUAAUAUUGGAGAUCCUUUUAAUAACAAAGAGACUACAAAUGAUAAUUAGAUAUUUACAAAUUUUUUAAAUAAAUUCUCUUGGUUUACUUAAAUAAGUUUUCUUAUGUGUUUAUUGCCUACAUAUUAUUAUUUGAAUGAUUAAAAUAGCAAUAUAAUUUGAAUAUUAUUUUCACCUACAAAAUUACUUUCACAAUGACUGUGGGUCAAGUUAAUUUGACUCGGGUCAAUUUAAAAUUCAAAUAUUUUAUAAAUAUAUUGUAUAAGGUUUAAUGGUGUAAAAAGUUUUCAAUUUUUUUCAAAAAAAAGUAAUUAAGUCUAAUUUUUUUUAUUUUACAUUCAAUUGAGUACUUAAAUUUUCAAAAUGCAUAAAAAAGGACUUCAAUUUUUUUCAAAAAAAAAAGGCAAGUGGUAUCGAUGAAGUCUCAGCAUAGCUACUGAAUGUCAUCAGUACGAAGCCAAGUGGUUCAAGAUGGCGUUUUGCGUUCCUGAUGGCCUUCAAGAGGUCUGCCUCGCUUGUUUUGUCCAUAUCAACACUCAAAACACUAUUCCGUCGUUCGACAAAUUGGAACUGCAGAGAGUUGUUAUGGAAACCGGUUAACUUGAGAACUGUCUCCAACUCGGUAUCGAUACAGGCCUGGAAAGACAAUUAAGACACUUUAUUAACCAAAAGAAAUCUAAUAUUUCAAAUCUAAAACAAAUGGGAAAUAUUACCCGUGAAAUUUGUAACGACAACCUCGUAAUAUUGACCGAGUUUCACAUUUGUAAAAUCAACAUGUUCAACAUUUCCGUUUGCAUUUAUCAUUUCUGACAACCAUUGGCUUGAAACACCAUCAAGAUUGGAUUCUCGAGCCUUCUCUUCCCCGUCUUUAUCCACAGGGAGAAACUCAAAGUAUGCCAUGUUUGGGAGAAAGGUGUAAGAGACAUCGUAGGGGUUGCUUAAAGGAUUUAAAUUGACCCCGAAAGUAGACUCCGAAGAACCAUAACUUGGUGAAACUAAAGGGAUCCCACCACCAUAAAAAUCAAGCAACGAAAUGUAUUGGCUCAUGGUACCAGUAAUGACGGAAUUAAUAUAUUUUGCUUUAGGCCAAAGUUUCUUAAUAAUCCCUUCCCAUGAUUCAUUGCCACAUAUGUGUUCAAUCGUAUCAGCCAAAUCUGGAUUAGGCCUAGUCAGGAUCGAUGACACUGCGUUCCUACAACCAGGGUCAGUAAUCCAAUCACUAAGGCAACCAGUUCUUAUGUUCGAACAAAGUUCGUUCCAGUAAUCUUCUAAGAACUUGAUGCUCCUUGCCAAAACGGAUCCAAAGAUCGAACUGAUUGAAACAACAUGAUCACGUUGCAGCAAACCAGUAAGCAAUUGGCAGUACAUACUUUGCUUGUGGUCCAAGCAGAGAAUCGUCUCAACAGGACUUGUGCAGAUUUUGGGCACACUUUUCUUGAAGCUAUCGCUCAUGAAAUAGCACGAUGAGAGCGUCUCACUAUUAAACCUGAUGGAGUUUCACUCCCUUUUUUGACAAAAAAAAGGCUCAUUGUUUUGCCUUUUUCCAAGCCAUCAAAAUAUCUGUCAUACCAUUAAAAGAAUGAAAAGAAAAGAGCAAGUUAAACUAGUUAUUUCUUUAGACUAUGUUACCCGAACACCGGUGCAAGUGUGUGAAGUGUGAUAUAUAUAGACGUAAAUUUUUCCCAAGAUGCUUAUGUAUCUACAUCAUUCUUCAAACUGAUAUCCUUAUAUGCACCAAAAUGAGUGUUAAACAUGGAUGCUAGCAAAAAUAAAGAGUCGGGAGUAAAAUAGAUUUAAGCUGCAUAGUAAUAAGUAAGGGCAAAAUACCAAUAAAAGCCCCUUUUUUUAAAAAAAUUAUUGAAAUGGGCUAGGUAAAAAAUUAAUUAUCGAAAUGGCCCUAUUUCCCCGAAAAUGCAUUCACAUCAGCGCGUUGUCAGGUGACGAAGCAGGAAAAUGCUUCCUUUUACCCACGUUUCCUACGUUAGGGUUAGGGUUUUGGGUGUUUAGUGUAGGGCUUAGGGUUAGGGUUUAGGGUAUAGGGUCAAGGUUUUGGGGUUUUUAGGUUUAGAGUUUUUAAGAAAAAAUUAAAUAAAUAAGGGAUUAGAGUUUAGGAUUUCUUAAUUAAAUUAAUUAUAAAUUUUUUAAAAUUAGAUUAGGGUUUCGUGUUUAUAGUAUUUAAAUAAAAAAUUAAUUAAAUUAUGGUUUAGGGCUACUUGAGUAAAUUAAUUAAAUUUUUAAAAAAAUCAUAUUAGGGUAAUAGUUUUUAAGGAAAAAUCAAAUAAAUUAGGGUUUAAGGUUACUUGAGUAAAUUAAUUAUAAAAUUUUAAAAAAAAAUAGAUUAGGGUUUAGUGUUUAAGGUUUUUAAAGAAAAAAUCAAAUAAAUUAGGGUUUUGGGUUUAGGGUUACCUAAUUAAAUUAUUUGUUAAUUUAAAAAAAUUCCCACGUGGACGCGCUUUUGCUACAGUAGCUACUAAAAAAAUAAUUUUGAGAAGACAUUUCUGAGCAAAUAGUGUCAAAAACGCUUUAAGCAGGAUGCUUUGUCAACAAAAGUACUAAAAGAAGCUCCCACGUGGACGCGCUUUUGCUACAGUAGCUCUUGAAAAAAUAAUUUCGAGUAGACGUUUCUGAGCAAAUAGUGUCAAAAACGCUUUAAGCAGAAUGCUUUGUCAGCAAAAGUACUGAAAGAAGCUCCCACGUGGAUGCGUUUUUGCUACAGUAGCUCCUGAAAAAAUAAUUUCGAGUAGACGUUUCUAAGCAAAUAGUGUCAAAAACGCAUUAAGCACGAUGCUUUGUCAGCAAAAGUACUGAAAGAAGCUCCCACGUGGACGCGCUUUUGCUACAGUAGCUUCUGUUUGGCCUGAGGAUAUAAAUGAGGCAAAAGUUUUUAUCAGAUUGUAUAAGUUACAGCAAAAAAAAGUUAGAUAGGCUAAGAAGGAUAGAAAUUGAAGAUGAGUGAAUGUAUUAGUGUUGUUAUUUACUAUGAUGGUGAGGUUCGUCACACCGAGAAUGGUGUUAUUUUUUAUCGAAAAAUAUAGUGUGACUGAUUUUUAACCGGAACAUAGAUUUGACAGAAUUUCGUAAAAGAAUUAGGCGUAAAAGAAUUAGGCGUAUCGGUUUUGUUCUUCUAUUGAUCCAGUGACAUGACUCGUUCGACAUAAAAGGUGCUCGUAACUUGAAGGCAAUGAUGCAAACUCGUCUCGCUAGUGGAGCAUCUUAUAUUGAGUUAUAUGUACAAUUUACAUCACCAAAUGAUGUACUUGCGACUAUUGUUUGAGAGGUAUACAUGACCCCUGCCUGACACUCGGUUAGUGGGUUACAAAACACGUAAUAGCCUAUGUUUGGUAGCGAUAUAGAAUACACAAUCCCUGCACAACACUCUGUCAGUGGAUGGGACAUGCACCUCGGUGGAUCAAUGUUUGAUGUUAGAAAUACGUACUGGGGAACGGCAUCAACUUCUAGUGGUUGGCAAUCUACAUCGAAUUGGGGAUGUUGUGAAAUGCCUAGAAGAAAGGAUGAUGUACUCCUUAAAACGUCAACGAUGAAGGGACCUCGUACGUUUCAGAUGAUGGUGGGUCAGAAGAUGACACCGAUGUGCAUCCACCUUGAGAGUCCGGGCCCGAUGGUGCAGAAGUUGCACUAUUUUCUAAAUCAGAGCCUAUUCCAACUGAACCUGAAGAUGUUGAAGGGGGUUCAGAUGAAGAAAAAGAUUCACAAUUCAGGGCAUACUCACCUCCAGCCCAUAUGCAUAAUGUCGAUCCGUCUGCAAAUGAUGCGCUGGAGUUUCUAGAUCUCUCACACAGGUUGCAUGAUCGUACAAGUUCGCUACUAGAUUUGGGUGAAUUUGAAGUUGGUAAUGAUUUUUCCAACAAGGAUAGGUUUAUUGGUGUAUUAAAACAGCAUAGCAUUAAUAACGACGUUAACUACCAUGUGGUUAAAUCCAAAGCUGAUAAGUUUAAGGCGAAGUGUGCAGUGCAAGACGGUACAUGUUCAUGGAAAAUCUACGCCUCGUUAAGGAAAAUGACAGGAUUGUGGGAGAUAAAAAAGUACAAAGGUUCACAUACAUGUGCUGCAGGUACAUUAUUUAAGGUUUCUAAAUAAUAUUGUUAUUAUGUAAUGUUGCAUUAAAUAAUGCACUCCGUUGAUGGGUAUUUCAUAAGAUCAUCCCAAGAAGGAUUCAGCUAUGUUAGCUAGCUUGAUACUACCCACGGUGAAGGCAAAUCCCAAGUCUUCAGUGCCGGUCCUAAUUGCCAAUAUUCGUAGCCAAAUGAGGUACACGCCCUCUUACCGCAAGGCUUGGAUAGCUAAGCAGAAGGCGUUGGAGAAGAUGCGUAGUGGAUGAGACGCUUUAUAUAAUGAAAUAUGGUAGUGGUGUCAAGUGCUAGAGAGAUACAUCCUAGGUUGCAUAACAGACCUUGAAACGGAACAUGCAUACUAUAACGGUCGAUUGCUACGUGGAUGCCAAGUGUUCAAAUGCUUGUUUUAGACCUUUAUGUUUGGUAGAUAUACCCAUCGGCUAUUACUAGCAGUGGCACAUGAUGACAGUUUGAGAAUUCUUCCAAUUGCAUUUGCAAUAACACCGAGGGAGUCAGCAGAUGACUGAGAUUUCUUUCUAUCUAGGUUAAGGAGACACGUGUGCCCCCAACUUGAUAUCUAUGUUAUUUUGGAUCAGGGCACCGGAAUACUAACUGCAAUUGAUUGACAGGGAAGCUUAUGGCAGCGCACAAACCAUCAGUAUUGUUUAAGGCACGUUGCUUCCAACUACUACAGGCAAUAUCCAUCUAAGAGUGAAUGACGACAAGUGACCUGUUAGAGUAUGCCCAAAGAUCAAUCAUGAGAUGGUUGUAAUAACAUACUUGAUUUAUCAUGUUUAUUAAUAUAAGGCGUUACCAUUAUUAUUUCAGUUUCUUUUUUGUGUAUAUAAAUAAACUGUUUUAUAAUAAUGUCCUGAGAAUAAUAUGAUUAUUCUUAAAAGUUUCUUAGUCAAGUAUUAUUGUUGGAUAGGACAACGAUAAUGCAUUAAGACUAACAUGUAGUUGAUUGAUGAUAAAGAGUUGUCAUUGAUAUGGAAUGUCAGAAUCAUUACAUGAAUAUGUGUGUUAGAUAACAACAUAUUGGACUGGCCCGUUAUGAGUAUGUUUCUUAGAUUAUUAUGUAAUUGCCACGACAUUACUCAUAAUGAUUAAUAUUUAUAUGAUCCACAGACUUGAGAUCAUCAUAAUCCCAACAUCGUGAGUUGUAUAUUUUGAUACAGUCAAACGUACACUGUAACUGAUUGUUCUAUAAAGACUGAUGUUGGAUAUAUCACAAUCUAUGUAGAGGGAUAUGGUUGGUCGAUAUAGGAUAAGUCCCUCUUACAUAAUAGGAGUAAUAUCUUAGGCCACUUGAUUAAGUGAGACUAGAAAUGCAUGGUCAUGCUCAAAUAAGUUGAUAUUAGAUGUCAUACUUAUUUGUAUAUCGUAGUCUGCUUAAGAUAUCAAGGAACAUGGAAUGGACAAUGCAAGUGUGACUAUUCCAUGACUUGUGUCCAAUCCAGAGAUAAAGGACUUAAGGAUUAUUGCAUAAAAGGUUAAUCAUAAAAAAAGGUUAUGUCGAAUCAUGAUCUCUUGUGACUUAGGUAGCAAUGAUGCAUUGCUAGAUGCCACUCAUUGUUUGUAGCAUUAGAAUCAUUCUAGUGUUACUGCUAACGUUACAGGAACCUAUAGGGUCACACCCUAUAGUUGAAAUGAACGAAAUAAACCAUAGUUGGUAUUGUUUUUGGGGUCGCUUGAAUUAAAUUAAUUAUAGAAUUAAUUUAAUUCGGUAAUCAAAUUUCUAACACAUUAUGUACAAGGUUGUUGUAUGUAUAAUGACGACAUGAAUUUAGUUAGCAUAAGAAUUCAAAUAAAUAUAUGGUUUACCGAACUUAUAUUAUAAUUAAUGUAAUUAUAAUUUUUGGUAUAAAAAUAUUAUUAUAUUUAUUUAAUUCCUAAAAACCCUAAAACAAACGGAUAUAUAUAAUCCCAUUUUUCUUUAUUUGAGCCUAGCAGCCGUCAAAGAAAAAUAACUCUCAAAACUGUUUUGGGGAUUCCUUCCGUUCGUAGUCAACUGGGUGGAUUACAUAGAGGUCGGGAUCACGAUAGAUUGCGACUUGGUUCGACAGCAGAUCAGACUACUCAUUGUUGAGGUGUUGCUGUCUACUCUGAAUAAACAUUAGGUAAUUUCGUAACCUUGAUCACCCCGAUUCGUUCCUCACACAUGAAUCCAUGGUUAGGGUCACCGAUUUUACUUUUUCGCUGCGCCGUAGGGGUGCCGGUGAUCCAACAUGACCAACAUCGGUAUUUAGUCUCUAUUAAUAUAAUUUUGUUUGUCAUUUUGAAUUUAUUCUAAAUGAAAGAGUGGUAUGUAAUAUUCGUUAUGAACUUAUAUUGGCAAGGUAUGAAAUAAAUAAAGACCGUUUUCAUGAGAUGUUGGUAGUUUUGCGUUCAAUUAACGGCGAAGGAGCGGACUACCUCUGUAACAUACCUUUCGAACAGUGGGCACAAGCAUACGACGGAGGCCUACAAUAUGGUUAUAUGACCUCAAACCUGGUUGGAUGCAUAAAUUCUGUUCUAAAAGAAACGAGCCAUCUACUGAUAACGUCGGUUGUGCGAGAGACACAUUUUCAGUUAGCGGUGUUAUUUCCAAAGCGUGGAGUGAGUUAUGCAGGCUAGAUGCAGGGAGGCCACGUAUGGUGCAGUAAGAAAUUAACAAGGCCAAGGCGAGGGCGAACACCAUACACACAGUGUGCCACGAUCAAUACAACUUAUGGUUUCACGUGACAGAGUUUGACAGACCGCACCAAGGUGUUAUUGGCGGGCAAUAUCGUGUACACUUGCGAAAUAGGACUUGCGACUGUGGGAUGUUUAACGCAUUUCGUUAUCCACGCGCUCUUGUAAUUGCAGCUUGUCAGAAUCUCCGUCUGGAUCUGAUGAGCUAUGUCGACGAAGUGUACAAAUUAAAAAAAUUUGUAUUAAAUGAAAUAAUGUAAGGACCCACGCUAUACAAGCCGAUCAUGCCCAAAUUGCAAUAGUUGAACAUUAUUGUAAAAAACUUUGUAUUAUUUAUAUUUCUUAAAAUAAAAUAAUAUAGAAAUAUUCAGAAUAUUGACUUAUUUAAAAGAAAAUAUAUUUUAUUAAAAAUAUUAAAGUAAAUUACAAUUACUUUACUUAAAACAACAUUUUAUUUUAUUAAAUGAAAUAAUAUAGAAAUAUUCAAAAUAUUUCCUUACUUAAAAGAAUUUCUAUUAUAUUAAAAAUGUAAAAGUAAAUUUCUAUUUUAUUACAUGAAAUAAUAUAGAAUAAUUUCUAUUUUAUUACAUCAAAUAAUAUCAAAAUAUUCAAAAUAGGCGUACAAAUAUAUUAAAAUAAAAAUCAAUCUCCGUGCUUGUCAGAUUCAGUGCCACAUGGUCGCCGUUGACGGUUACUUGCUGGAUUCCUCCUUUGUCCAGCUUCUAGUUAGGGUUGUGGUUGCUCUGGUGGGGAUUCUGGCUCCUCCAGUAGGGGAUCUAGUUGUCGGUGUUGGAACAAUGAGCCACCUUGAUAGAAUAGUGACUAUGGAGGUGUUUGCAUCACCAACGGCGAAGCUGAUUGAAACUCAUACGGUGAUGAGUAUUGGUAAAAAGAAGAGCUCCUCGACGGCCCCUCCUACAAUCCUUCGUGCGAUAGUGGCCUAUACAUCGGCGGUCCACUCGGCGUAAUUGAAAAAGGAGAUGAAUCAGGCCAUGGACUCUAACUUGCCAUAGGACUAGAAAAAAGAAACAUAUAAAGGUUAGGAUACAUAAAAGGGCUAGGAUACGCACUUGGCAUCAUCUGAAAAGGCUGUGUCGUGGGUGUCAUCGAUUGAAGUGCUGGGCCGAGUGACUGUAUCAGUGCUGUUGCUGGGCCUGUGAUUGUAUGAGCGAUGUUGAUGGGCCGAGUGAUUGUGUGUGCACUAUUGAUGGGUCUGCAUCGUCGUCCCUUCUUCUUGGAUUUAAAGGGCCACGUCGUUCCCUUUGAACACGCAAUUGCCGUUGCUUCUCCUCUUUCGACAGUAAAUACGGCUUGCCAUGGAUCUUAAACAAUGACAUGUAUUCCGGCACGCACGCUAACUCUAGAACGAUGAUCGGUUCCCGAAUAGGUAUAUAAUCAUACCGAUCUUCCCACAUUUGGAUGUAGUGUGACUAGAAUCUCGGCCAAUCCGUAUGCAAUUUCCAUAGGUCGAUUUUGUGAUGAUCAUCCAACACAUCAGGUGCCAUGGGUAUCGGUUGUCGGAAUCUGAAUUGCCGUAAUACUCUGUCCGACUGAUGCAUCUCCAUGGUUGCAAAGUUGACCAAUGGGACUUUCACAUGCCAAACAUUUGGAUUUUGGAGGUACUCAUCCAGAAUUAUUGCUCGAAUUGCUGGAUCCUCGUAUGGUGUCCAUUGAAACUAUAUGAACAUGAUGAAAAUAUUAGUUAUAUGCAUAAGUAAUACUAAAUUCUAAAUACUAAAUACCAAUCGACUAUCUCAUGAUGGAAAUAUCUAUUUUAUUUAAUACUUGUGCUUCCGACCGUUGGUCCAAUAGAAGCCGUAUAUCUUCAAGAGAUGUAGGUAAUCAAGCAUAACUUUCCGAAUAGUUCCACCUAAUUAAAUAUUUUUUUAUCAUACGAUUAUAUUUUAAAUCUACGUAAUAAUUAUAAAAUCUAUUAUAAAAUUUAUCUCGUUAUGAGUGGGAAUGUGUAUGGGUGGUUCACUCGAGGACGUAAAAAUGGAAAGUGAAACUGUGCCCAUGACUGCAGUAGUGAUAGGCAACCUCUGAUUUUCACUUUAUUCAGUCGCGUCGCCCCACGUAUCUCCCGGUACAAUGUUGCCAACACGGCAGACCCCCAACUAAAUUCACCAACUGCUCUAAAAUCAACGAGUUUCAGCAGCCAUCUCAAAUGUAUAAGGUUCUAUGACAAGUCCGGCAUCAGAUAAUCUCCAAUUAUUUGAAGAAUGUAUGCCCGAGCAUAUCAGAUUCUUUCUAGUUCCAUAGAAUCAUCAUCCGGCUCCGAAAAUAUGUCUCGUAACCAGCCCAUCUCGAUCCAACCUCUGUUAAUAUUAUUUGGAAUAGUGCCGAAAAGCUCGUAACAUACCACUCUCCAAUCAUCAAAUUGAACAGACCCGGUGACUGUGUACCCGUCCACCGGCAAUCCCAAUUGCAAAUUUACGUCUUCCAAAGUGAUAGUAUACUCUCCACAUGGAAGAUGGAAUGUGUGCGUCUUGGGUCUCCUCCUCUCAAUCAACACACUGAUGAGUUUUGGGUCCAACUUGCAUCCCCGGCCUACCAUCGCCAAGUGCCAAAAACUCACUUCCCGUAGGUAAUUCUCUACGAACUGUGAUGGAGGACCAUGCAUAUUACGAAUAUAGCAUUGCAAUAUCCGAUCUACAGACUUUUAUAACAAAUAAUAAAAUAAAAAUUAUUUAAAAUUGCAUAAAUCAAAAUAUCUUAAAUAAUAUUUAAAAAUUAAAUUUAACACUUACCAUUCUCAUUUGUUCGAUGGAUAUGUGCUUGUUAUCGAGACGAAUUAAUUCUCCGGCAAUUGCUAACACGAUCAAAUUUUUAUGAUUAAAAAAAUUCAAAAAAAUGAAAUAAAAACUUUUUUAAAAUAAUUAAAAAAAUAAAAGCUUUUUUAACAAGAAAUUGAGAGAAUAUUGAGAGAAAGGAUUUAGGUGUAAAAAAAUGAAAUAGAGGUUUAUAGUUUUUUUUUACCGUUGGGGGGUCACCAACGGUCAAAAAAAUAGUCGUUACUGUUCAUGCGUGGGCAAAACGCUUCCUCAAAGAAGCGCUUUCCUGCCUCGUCACUUGAGAAUGUGCUAACAUGAACGCGUUUUCAGGGAAUUGCACCAUUCCGGUAAUUAAUUUUUUACCAAGCUCAUUUCGAUAAUUUAAAAAAAAAUAGGCUUUUAUUGGUAAAAUGCCCAAUAAAUAAUACCAACAAAUUAAUGAGGGUGGUAAUUAAAAUUUCAACAUCACUUUACACUUUGGAUCAAAGUUCAUGGCCUUUUUUAAUUUUUAAGGAUUGUGGGUGGUUUGGGAUUUGUUAUUCAGGUGUUCCGGUUAACUGCUGAUCUUGGAAGGAUUUGGGUAAGUCCAAUUUCUGCGUUUUUGUGUUUUCUAAACAAUGCUCAAGAGGUGUUUGAUGAUUUGCCCUUUAGAAUAACAAAGCCUGGGUAUUUUUUUCAAGGAAAUUUUGGGUGAUUUUGUAAUGGUAAGUGCCUAAUUCUUUUCAAUAAAAAUGCAAAAAAUUAAGGCUUCUUACUUUUUUACGACUGGAUCAACCAGGGUGAGUUCUAACGUCUUUUUCUCAAAAUUUUCAGCUGUCAUAGGUAUCAACUUCGGCUGCCCUCCUGAAGUACCAGAGCUGCAUAAAAAUUUAAUGGUUUAAUAACAUAAAAAACUUAUGGAAAUCUUUCAAAAAUUAAGAGUAAAAAAUCUAAGAACAUGUUGCAGACCUUUGGAUGAACUCAGAGAUGGGGUCAGCUAAAAGGAUAUUUGAAGUCUCCCUAUUGGCAAUUCAAUUGAUGUAAGGCCUUAUAUCUUCGUAAGUAACAAUGGGUACAUUGUUUUUGAAGAGUUGUUUAUCAGUUUGGCCAUGGAGGAAUCGAGUUAGAUAUUCAGUUCCAGCAUUUCUCAGCAGUAUCUCCUCUAAUACUUGUUCUUGAAUUCGAUGACCAUUUUCGGUUAAUUCCUCCAAAAAAUUCAACCCAUUUCCAUAAUCUUUCGUUCCUAUCAGAUCAGCCAUGAAAACAGGUAUUUUUUUAAUGAGCUGAUAAAUAUUCUAACACUUCAAGAAACAUGAUCACAAUUUCCAUCUAUGAUUCUGAAACUGGUUGACAUAGCUGAUGUGAUGGCGGCCGUAAGUAGUGUACACCGCACAGAAAGAUACAAAUCCUUUAAAUUACUGCAUUACAUAAAAAAAAUUAUAAGAACUUUUAUAAAUAAAAAAUAAGAAUAUACAUUAAGAGCAUGUUUGGUUGGGUGUAUUGGCAUAGCCAAUACACCCCUAAUCAGUGGGCCCCACUUAAUACUCCUUUUAUCCAUUGUUUGGUUUAGUGUAUUGUUAUUACAGGUCUAAUCCAUUACAGACCUAAUCCCCAAAAUCCACCGAUUUCUAUUCCGGAUGAAAAGCUCUGUUUUGUUGCGUAUUAAGUUCUCCCCAUUUUUCUACCCUGUUUUACCCUCCUAAUUGCUUCUUCUGAUUUUUCUGAUUCCAUAACUUUUUCCUUCCUUUCUGCCGCCACAUCUGCUUCUUCUUCAUCACUCAUUAGCAGACUACUUCUUCUUCUUCAUCCGCUCGACCCUGUUGCUGUUUCAUGGUGGUAACCGCUUGAUUCUCAACUUAUUGGCUCUCCAACAAUGGGAACAAAGACUCCAAACUUCGCCACUUUACCGGAAAUGAUAUUCGGUGAAAGUUGUUUGAUUCUCUUAAAGACGUCGCAAGCGGCAACGAUAUUCGUUUCAAUGCAUUAGAUGCUUUUUUCGAUUGGAAGCAUGAAGGUUUGCCUCCUGUUGAAGUUCCUUCUGCUGCUCAAUGGAAAUUCAGAAGGUAAAAGAAAUGUCGAUUAUUUUAUUUAACGUUUUUGGUGAUUUAAAUUCAGUUUUACGAUCAUUUAUUUUACUGAGAACAUCCCGUGCAGGACUUACAUCUGAAGAUGCUGAAGUUCGAGUCCAUAUUUUUGGUCAGAAUAAGCUCGAGGAGAAGCCCAUAAGCACCCGUAAUUUCGGAUAUAUAUAUAGAGAGAGUUUCAAAUUUUCAGUUAAAUCAUCAUUAUUUAUCUGUAGUUCUAGUUAUAAAAUUGCAAUAGAGUAAGACCUUGCAGCCUAUUAGCUAAGCUAGCUGUAGUUUAUCUGGUUUGGUUUGAAGCACUGUGACAAUGCUAGCUUUUUUAUCAUACUCCAGGAAAACAAGUUUUUGAAGUUUCUAAGUUUUAUGUGGAACCCAUUAUCAUGGGUUAUGGAAGCUGCAGCAGUGAUGGCCAUUGUCCUUGCCAAUGGUGGAGUAAGUUAUAUAUCUUUCCCCAUAUACUUUUCAAAGCUUGAAUGGUCACCCUGAUAGCUUUCUGCGGUUUGUUUUGUUUCAGGGUGAGGGUCUUGACUGGCAGGACUUUGUAGGGAUUAUAUGCCUUCUGAUUAUCAAUUCAACAAUCAGUUUCAUUGAGGAAAACAAUGCUGGAAAUGCUGCAGCCGCACUCAUGGCUCGUCUGGCUCCUAAAACAAAGGUCUGCAACUCUCUUCAAGUUUCUUUAAUGCCUUUGCAAAUACAAUAAUGUCUAAAUUUUCAUAAUCAUUUUUCUUUUAUGCAGGUUCUCAGAGAUGGUCAGUGGCAAGAGACAGAUGCUGCUAUUUUAGUACCAGGAGAUAUAAUUAGCAUAAAACUUGGAGAUAUCAUCCCUGCAGAUGCUCGCCUUCUUGAAGGCGAUCCACUUAAAAUUGAUCAGGCAAGUGCUCUACUUGAUAGUGAUAAAAGUCAAUUAAAUAACUGAAGAUAUAUCAUGUAAAAAUUCCUGUAUUAUCUGUUAUUCUUGCAAUCGGUUCUCAUCGACUGUCUCAACAGGUACAACUCUUAUUCAAUGCACAUCAUUUUCCAGUAAAAAUAAGCUAAAACAUCCAAAACAGCACAAUGACAAACUGAAAUACUUAUUCUACGUUGUUUACAAAUCUAUUGUUUGGUUUGUUUUUUUAGGGUGCCAUUACUAAAAGGAUGACUGCAAUUGAAGAAAUGGCUGGAAUGGAUGUUCUAUGUAGUGACAAAACUGGAACUCUGACCUUGAAUCGUCUAACCGUUGAUCGGAACCUUGUUGAGGUACAAUAGCUGGACUUCAAAAUUUUGAAACUCCUAGUUCUUGCAAUGACUCAAUUUUCAGAUAAAGGUUAAAUAGCCAUGUUCACCUUUUUCUUAAGGUUUUUAGCAAAAAUAUGGACAAAGACUUGGUUGUUCUGCUAGCAGCAAGAGCCUCCAGACUGGAAAAUCAGGAUGCUAUUGAUGCAGCCAUCAUUAACAUGCUUGCAGACCCGAAGGAGGUAAUACAACAACAAAAAUGUUCAAUUUCAAGGUUCUCUUUUUCAUUUGAUUCUUUUAGAUGUUCAUGUCAAAUAAUGAAAGAAACCUUGCAUAUUCAGGCUCGUGCAAACAUCAAAGAGGUUCACUUUCUUCCAUUCAACCCAGUCGACAAACGUACCGCAAUUACAUACAUUGACUCUGAUGGUAAUUGCAAAGGUUUAUUUUUGUGUCCCAGGAUAUUUAGGAUAGUGAUUGAUGAUGAUUUUGUUGUCAUUUUAAAUUGCAAUCAGAACCCAAGGGAAGAAAUUUCAAAGGGGAGCUCAGGCCUCCAUUGGGAGGAUUGCACACUGCGGCUUGCUUAUGCAAAUCUAUGUGGUUGACAUUUUCUUAACCAUCUCUUCAUUUUUUCACUCUGUAUCCUGAAAGAAAUGCUAAUUUCAGGUUCAUCUGGUUGCUUGAAAAACUCUUAAUACAUAAGCCACUGCACUCUUUUUCUCUCCUGAAUUGAUUGAAUCAAUCUUUAUCUACUGUAAGUAUAUAAUCAUUGACUUCCUCUCUGGUUUUUCGUGUUUGCCUAUGCCACACUAGCAUGUUCACUUUUAUAUGUGUUUACUUGGGAAUAUUAUCUGUCAUACUUGUUAAUUUCCUUGUAAGUUAAAGUGACAAAUCUUAUUUCCUUGUUACUGCAACUUUAAAAUGUACCAUUUCAAGUAGCUACUCUCCCCUUCUCCUUUUGGUGUGAUUAGGAGUCAGAAAGAUUGUUUUUCCUGAUUUAUCAAUGCAUCACAUAAAUCCAGAAUUGGCAGAGAUUGCUUUUUCCCUUAACUUGUGGAAUGGACACAUGAAGUUGGAGGUUAUUUUCAAUGGCAACUUUGGACAGUAUUCGUUUUCCUGCUAGAUUGAUGAGCUAUUUUGUUUGAAGUGAAGAAUCGGUUUCAUGGAAGGCCAAUUGGAGUUGAGAGCAGGGUGAAAGAGAUAUUGUAUCGGCUUGAAUUUCUUCUAUUGAAUUCUUACUUUAUAUUUUUAGUUGAAGUGAGAUAUUGAGGCAGUACUUCCAUUUAAUUCAGAAUUGUUGUAAAUUCAAUCGAGUUGUUGAUGAUAAUUCAAUAUGGUUAUGUUUUUUUUUAUUUUUAGAGUUCAAUUCUAUAUGGUUAUGUUUUUUUUUUUAGAGUUCAAUUCUUACUCACUUAUUAAAUUUUAUUAGUUAUAAUUAUUUUAAAUUUUAUUAAAUCAUAUAUUUUAAUUAAAAUAUAUUUAAUAUUAAUUAUUUCAAAUUAUCUUUUAUAGUAUAAUAUAUUAUGAUUUGAGUAAAUUCAUAUAAGAAUAUUAAUUAUUAAGAAUUUUAUUAAAUUAUAUAUUUUAAUUAAGAUAUAUUUAAUAAUAAUUAUGUUAAAUUAUCUUUUAUAGUAUCAUAUAUUAUGAUUUGAGUAAAUUCAUAUAAGAAUAUUAAUUAUUAAGAAUUUUAUUAAAUUAUAUAUUUUAAUUAUAAUAUAUUUAAUAAUAAUUAUGUUAAUAUAUAUUUUAUAGUAUCAUAUAUUAUUAUUUGAGUAAAUUCAUAUCAGAAUAUUAAUUAUUAAGAAUUUUAUUAAAUUAUAUAUUUUAAUUAAAAUAUAUUUAAUAAUAAUUAUAUUUAAAUAUGAUUAAAUUAUUUAUUAUUGAUAAUAAUAAUCUUAUUAAAAUUUAAAUAACAAUAAUAAUAAUCAUUUACCAAAACAAAUUUAUGCUAAGGGUAUUCUAGUCAUUUUAGUUUUUUCCAUUAUGCUAUUACACUUCUAUUCCAUUACACCUCUAUUCCAUUACAUUCAACCAAACAGUUGAUUUGCUAUUACACCUCUAUUCCAUUACACCUCUAUUCCAUUACACCUCUAAUCCAAUACAUCUCUAAUCCAAUACAGCGAACCAAACAUGAUCUAAGAGUUAAAAAAAUACAUUUGAUCUCGUAUGAAUUUGGUUAAAAAUUCUGAUAUUAGUCCCUGUACUUUAUAAAAGCUAUUGAUUUAGUCCUUAUAAUUUAAUUUGGUCAUCUUUAGUCCUUGUACUUUUUAAAUUUGAAAAUUUCAAUCCUCACCAAAUGAUGAUUGUUAAAUUCACUAAGUUAAGUUUUUAUUAUUUCCAAAAUCUGAUGUGCUAAAUAAAUUAUCAUAUGUGUAAUAUCAUGUCAGCUUGUUAUUUCCACAUAUUACAUAAAAAACUUACAGUUAAUAGAUUAACAACUAUCAUUUACAUCAAGAUUGAAAUUUCAAGAUUAACGAUUAUCAGUUAAUAGACUUCUAUUUUCGUUCAUUGGUCUUUGCAGACAUCUCUGUCUUCAAGAUAGUCUUUGGCAGACAUUCCAUAUAAGAUAGUCAUUGGUUGACUUUUAGCAUAAGACGGUCUUUGGUGGACUUCCUUUUUGCUGGCGACCUUGUUGCCAAUACCCAUUUAGGAAUAAGUUCUGUAGAACUGUCUCACUUCCUUAUGACCCUGUUGACUUGUCUGUCACCUCUGGUGGGCUCUUAUUAACGAAUAUUUCUUUGCAGUUACUCUGAAGAAAAUAUCUUUGUUUUUUCCACACAUAUCUACGCACAAGGCAUUUUUACAUAUUCCUCAUGCCUUCCCAUCUUAACCGUACCUCUUAUCAGCACGCUUGUCCACGUUCCUAUAUGUUAUAAGUAUUGUAACUAACUUCAUCACGGGAUUCAUAUAAGGGUUUCCACAUAUAUACCCCGAUUGACUUCCCUGUUUAUUGCCCUGGUGGACUUCAUUUUGUCAAAAGGUGUACCUAUCUUUCAUCCAAUCAUGCCAUGACUCUCCAUGGACUUUUGACUCUGAGGAUUCAAUAAACCUCUUUCGAAGUGUUGCUCUAUAGAGCCUGUAGAUAAUCAUUUUCAUGGUGUCGCUUCGUAGAGCCUGUAGGUAACCAUACCACAACGCCGCCAGACUUUCUUAAAUCCCCUAUCAACUUGUCCAUUCCUCCAUUAUGCCAAUUUUUCUAUCUUCAACUAACCCACCAGAGUAACUUCCAUCAUACUCCGCAUUUUAUAUACAUACAUUUCACGCAUAACAUUAUGCCUACUAUCAUAACAUGUAGUACGCCAUAUGUUAAUACAUCAAUACACAACCAUAUUUUGCACCAAGAGAACAUACUUGCAAGCAUUCAUAUAUUUAUACAAGUUUAUGCAUACAUAACUUUCUCAUUCACCAUAAUAAUAUACAACCAUGGAAUUCAAACUGAACCUAGAGCAAAAAUACAAGCAAAAAUUCAAGAAACACAAUAACCAACAAACACCCAAAAGUGGAGUACGAAACUCAUCUGUUAUCCUUCAUCCUCGACAACUUAGCUUUUACUUAUGCCAGAGCCUCCUUCAUCCUAGCAACUAAGCAUGACAACCAAAUAUAUUGGUUAAACUGAAGGAAUUUGAACUAAAAACCCAGAAUCCAAUAUAAUGUAGAAACUUUUAUUUUCAAAUAUUUCAAAAAUCGUUACUUCUCUUUUUCUCAAUUUUACGAAUACAAAGAGAUGAAGAAGCCUACAGCUCACCGAAUUCUCUACUUUCUAUACUUAAACCUCAUGAUCAUUGUCUCAUGUAGGGCUUUCCUCAACUUUCUCUUCUUCGGAGCAAAUAAAGAAGAUGAUGCAGACGAGAAGAAAAUGAAACAGAAGUGAGAAGAAUUUUACCUCCUGAAAAAUCCUUCUCACACAUAUAUAUAACCAUUCUUGCACGGUCACCAAAGUCUCAAGUAACCUAUCCAUCAGUGAUCAUUCUGCUUCCUACUAAGGAACCAGCUGGUUCCAGCUUAAUUGAACCAGAUUGAGACCUAACUUAGUACCAUUCAGUCACUAAAUUUCCCAGAUUUUUUUAAUGGAGCCCACCAACUUAAUAUCCUUUUCAAUUAAUCCCAAAUCUUUCUUAAUUUUGAACCUUAAUGGAAAUCGAGUAUAACAUGCCUCAACAAGUCGAUUCUGACUCCUUAACAUACAAUGAAAUUGUUGCUUUACCGAUCACCAUUGAACCAUGUAGAAUGUAAAGACUAUCGAUUUUUCGACCUCUCUUUAGAACGAGAGUUAUACGAGAUACUUUAAUGCCGUUUAACUUGAUGGUGAUCCUACAACCCUUCAAGUCUAAAUUUCCUUUCUUUUUAAAGAACAAUAUUAUUAUUUAAUAUUUGAUAUUUUGUAUUUUAUAUGAUAAUUAAAGUAUUCUUUUAUAUUCUAUAUUUCCUAUGACCGUUCUAGAGAUGAAAUUGAUGCAAUCAUGGAUUAACAAUUCAAUCGUUUAAUCGAUGAACCAAUAGAUUGAUAUCAAGAACUAAACUUGAAGAAAUAACUAAAAGCAAAUAACAAGCAUCUCAAUGAUUCUUUUACCAAAUUUGCUAAGAAGUUCAACCAGAUUUAGGAUACCAAAGAGACAACACUAGCAUAAAAAGCUAUAUUUAUUUCCAUCAAAGGCUCACCUGCUAAAAAGAUAUAAAAAAACUAAUAAGAUUCCAAGUUCAUGCAAGAUUUCCAUUGCUGAAGAACUUCCCAACAACCCUGGAAUCCAGUAUUUCAAUGGCUUCCUUAAUUUUAAGGCAACAAGGUGUCUUGUAUUGGAGAGGUGCAGCACCCCUCGAUACAAAGAAAUUCAUCAGUUCAUCGAAUGCUCCGAAUUUCACCACCCUGAUCUCCAACGGCCCGAUCAAAUUCAUCUUCCUAUACAACCUGUAAGUGAAAUCAAGCGAUUCUUCGACUCUACGACAGCAUUGUUCCAUCGUAUUAGAGUCGAGUUUUAGCCGAUCAGUGUUGCUAUCUCUCAGCUUUAGCUCCCAGAACAGUAUAUAUCGACCCGGUAUGGACCAUGUGUCGGCAAAGCUACUGUAUGCCGUCAAAAGAAAACCAUGGGGCUCGAGUUCGAUUUCGGCAGCUUUGAUAGCCUUGCUGAGAUCGGCUUCACUUGUUUUGUCCCUAUCGAUGCUCAAAGCCACGUUUUGUCGUUCCACAAAUUGGAAUUUCGGAGAUUUGUUAUGGAAACCAGUUACCUUUAGAAUAUCUCCAACUCUGUAUCGGUAUAAACCUGACAAUUGGAAAUGAAUCAUGAUAAAAUGAAUCAGUAAAAAUGCAUUAAAUUUCUUUUCGAAUACACCUGACAAUUGGAAGGGACAGAUUGGUUUUUAGUUGAAUUAAUCUGAUAGCGGUCAAAAUUAGUUUCAGGUUUGUGAUUUCAAAAUUCCAUCGGGUUUGUGUUAUUUUGAAUAUUUUCAUUUCGGUUCGGCAGUUUAAUUGAUUUUUUAGUUCAGUUCUGAGUCAACUAAUUUUAUACUUCUUAUUGAUGGAUACUCUAGUCGAUUCUCAGUUUAACCAGUCAGGUUUUGACAUCACCGGCUUUUUAAGUUUAGUAUAUUGAUUUGGGUUACUUUUGAAAUCAAAUUGACUAUUAAGUUAAAUCGAAUUCAAGUUAAUCAAUUUGAAUUUUUAUAUUCAAGAUUUUGCUUAGUAUAAAAGUUGGAAAAGAGAGAUGAAAUUUUUUCAUAAUCACUUUUUUACUUUGUAGCUUAAUAAUUAAAUUGAAGAAUUUUUCAUCCUCAAUAUCAUGUAGAGCCAAACGGAUAUAGUCUCCGAUAUUUUUCGGAGAACAAAAAAUUUGAGAUAAAUUACCUGCCAAAGUUGUGACCACCACUUCGUAAAACUGACCCAUCUUCACAUCAACAAGAUCAACAAUUUGAGCACUGCCAUUCUCCAACUUUUCAAUCGAUUCUUCAUUAGAGACGCCAUUAAAAUGAAGCUUUUGAGCCUUUUGUGGGCUCUCUUUAUCCACAGGGAUGAACUCAAAAUAAGCCAUAUUUGGAAGAAAUGUGUAGGAAACAUCCCAAGGCUUGUUUAAUGGUUCCAUAUUGAUCCCAAAACAUGCUUCUGAAGAAUUAUAAAAAGUUGAAAUUAUAGGCAAUCUUCCACUAUAAUAAUCAAUUAAACCAAUGUAUUGACUCAUCGAACCCGUAACAAUGGCAUCGAUAUACUUUGCUUUAGGCCAAAGUUUCGUGAUUAUCCCUUCCCACGAUUCGUUCUUGAAUAUCGGUUCGAGUAAAUCUGCUAAUUCCGAAUUAGGUUCUAAAAGGAACGACAACAUGGGAGUUCUACAAUCCGGUUCGGUGAUCCAAUCGCUAAGAUGGCCGGUUCGGAUGUCGGAGCAAAUGUCCUUCCAAUGAUCUUGCAAGAACUUGAUGCAAUUGGGAAAAGUCGAAGCGAAGAUAGUGCCGAUACGGAGAACCUCGUGUCGUCGGAUUAGGCCGAUGAGUAACUGACAAUACAUGCUUUGGGGUUUGUUUAAAGACAAGAUGAUUUCAAUUGGAGUGGUGACAGUUUUAAAGAGGGUGGUUUUGAAGGUGGGGCUUGAUAAGUAGCUAGAUGAGAACAUUCUUGCUUUUAAACCAGAUGGAGUGUCGAAAUCUGGGUUGCUGAAUAAAAGGUACAUUCCUUUGCCUUUGUCUAAACCCUCAAUAUGUCUGCAGGUUUUGUCAAUUUAUUACCAACAAGUUAAAGCACACAUUGAAAUUAUUAUCAUAGAUAAGGAUACAUCAUAUAGGUACCGUAGAUGAUAGUAAUAUUUCGAGUUAAAUUACUAUUUGGGACCUAAAUUUGGUAACAAAUUCACAUUGAAACCUUAACUAUUUUUUGGUUUAAUCUAAUAUUGGGGCUUGAAAUAAGAAAUUUUUCCGCAUUGGGGCUUAAAUUUUUUUUGUCCAAGUUAGUCUCUGAAGUUGACAAUUGUUCUCAUAUUAGGCCUUGAAGCUGGCAGUUGUUCUCGUAUUGGAGCCUAAACUUUAGGGUUUUCAACGAAAUAUCAGGGGCUAACUUGGACUAAAAAAAUUCAUACCCCAAUUUGUGAACAAUUACCAAUUUUAAGGACUAACUUGGACAAAAAAAUUCAACCUUAAUGUGGAAACAAUUACCAAGUUCAAGGACUAAUUUAAAAAAAAUUUAAACUUCCAUAUAAAAAUAAUGGUCAAAUUCAAAUCUCUAAAAUUGAUUUAACCCUGAUUUUUUUAGUCAAUUUAUAAUUUUCAUCAUGGUACUAUAUUCAAUUUCAUGAUUUAAUCAUUAUAAUCUGAUUUGGUCCACCUACCAUUAUUUUUGUUUAGAAUCCUCAAUUAUUAUUUAUAUAAUAUAUUCAUCUGGUGUUUAUUUAUUUUACAAAUAAUUUGGGUUUGAAUGUGUGAUUUAAAAGGGUGGAAUUAUGAUUAUGAAAUUGUGAGUAAAGAUGGUUACUUGUGCAUCACAGCUUCCAUCAACAUAGGGAUUGAAGCCCUUUUCUGCGAGCAAUCAGCAGUGGAAAGUACAUACUUCGGCUCCCCUCCCGAGGUACCCGAGCUGCAUCAAAACUUUGUUACGCCCAACUUCAAUUGAAUUCUUAAUCCAUGGCUAAUGGUAUCAGUUAAUAUUAUAAAUUUAGUGUACCAGUGAAUUUUAUUAUUAAAAUUAUUUGAAAAAAAUUAUCACAAAAUAAUUAAAUUCAAGUAUUAGAUUUUGAAUGGAAAUUUAAAAUGACUCGAUAAACUUAAAAUAUCUUAAGAUUAAAUGUCAAACCUGAAUAAUAAAAAAAUACAAAAUGCUUUAAACCUUAAAUAAUUUCAACUCAAAGUAAUUUGAACUCAAAAUGCAUAAAAUCUAAAAUAGUCCAAACUUAUAAUCCAAAAAUUUUGAAGUCUAAUUCAAUCGAGAUUGACCCAAACCAAUCUAAGAUCAACCCAAUCUAUCUAAUUGAUAAGUCUAAAAUUUAGGGACAAAUGUGAGGGGUAGGCAAGGGCAUAGCCCCCUCUAAUAGAAAAAUUGUCAUUUAAGUUCUUUAUUAAAUGAUUGAAUUAAAAUUAAUUUAUAAUAAAAUUAUAAUUUGACCCCUCAAAAAUGAAACUGUAUCAAUUCUUACAAAAAUGAUGAAAUCAUAGAUCAGUGUAUUAUAAAAUUAUGUUAUAAUCCCUUAAAAUUUUAUUAUUCUUCUCUAAUUCUCUAAAAAAAAAUUUUAGAUUCACCUCUACUAAAAUCAUAGAAGUAUAUAUAUUAACUUCGUACCUUAGGAUGAACUCAGUAAUGGUUUCGGUAGUAAGGAUAUUCGGAGGCUCCCCGUCGACGAUCCGGUCGAUAUAAGACUUGAUAUCUUCGUAAGUAACGACGGGGACAUAUUUUUUGAAGAGUUGUUUAUCAGUUUGGCCAUGGAGAAACUUGUUCAAGUAAUCAGUUUCAGCAUUUCGUUUCAAAAUGUUCUCCAAUAUUUUCUCUUGCUCUUCACCAGCGUUGCUUGUUUGUUCCUCUAUUUUUUUCAAAAGAUAUUCAAUCCUACUUUUCUCCAUAAUGAACUACUCUUUCGAAUAUCAAAAACUAUGCAACUUGGGAGACACAUGCAUGGUCUCAAGAUUGAUAUUUAUAAUGAAUAGCUUGGACAACCUCACGUAACGAAUAUAUCAUCUCCUCUCUCUAUAAUAGUUAUAAUCAAUAACUACAUUUUAUUAUAAUAGUCAAGCUUGUGGUACAAUCGAUUUUUUACUUCUUUUUUUUUAUUACCCUCUAUGAUAACUUUUAUCUAUGAUUGCAAACAUAAAGUAUGAAAUACAUUUUUUAGUUAAUUAGUUCUAUUCCUAAAUGAAAUAAAAAUGAUAAAUUUUAGUUACUAUAUUAUUUCAAUAAAAUAUUUAAAUUAUAUAUAAAAUAUAUUAAUUAUAUUUUAUUAGAUAAAAAUAAUAUUUUACAUUUGUAAAUUUUAUUAAAGAUGCGAGUUAAAUCUUAUUAAUUAAUAAUAUUGUUAAUAUGUUAUAGUUUUUAAUUAUUUUGAAAUUAAAAAAAAUCAAAUAUGAUCUAAAACUCAAAUGUCGGUAUAAAUGUUUCAGAUGUUGUUAUAGCAUAUAACCCCUCCUCAACCCAUAAAUAGGAAGUUAAUGCACUUCAGUGCACUUGAACUUACGUUUUUUUGAAUUGGCAACAAUACUUAUAUCAAUCGAGUUAAGACUCAAUCGAAAAAUAUUGAUAUAUUAAAUUUUAUUAAAUAAGUCUAUGAAAUAGAAUAAACAAAACAAAAAUGCAUCCUUUUUAGGGUAUAAUUUAGCCAAGCAUUUGGAUUGCUAUUUGGUAGGUCGUAAAUAAAUUGAAGAUAGGCAAUUAUUAAAGUUAGGUGAUGGCACAAUAUGUACAGUAGAAAACAAUUAAUUUAUUCAUCUAACAUUAUUAUAUUAGGACACAAGUGAAAAAUAAAAAUAAAUAUAUUUAUAAAAAUCGAUAUAAUUGAAUAUGUUUUAAAUUUUAUAAAGAGAUUUUUUGAUAAUUUCACUAUUUAAUUAAUAUUCACUUUUUAGUAAAGAUAAACUUAUGCUCAAUAUAAAAAAUAUUCUCAUAAAAUAAUUAAAAAUAAAUAAGCUUCUAAUUGAAAACAACACUCAAUUCAAUUCUUUGAAUUAGAAAUUGCACUAAAUUAAGCUUUACAAAAUAUAGUUUUUUUUCUGAAAAGACUUAUAUUAUGGUGUGAUGGUUAACAUUAGAGGUGUUUAUGGGACAGGUCAGGUUGAGUCUAAGCAUGAUAUUAGCAUACUUUAUGCUUGCUCAAGCUCAGCCCGGCCCGAAAUGUGAGCUUAAAUUUUACUCAGAUUUGUCUAUAUUUGCAAAAAUUAACUGAAGCCCAUUUUAGACUCGUCCAUAUUAUUUUUUAAAAUUUUUUUAAAAAAUAUUUAGAUUAUAUUAUUUUAAUAUUUAAUAAAAUUUUAUAUAUUUUUUUUAUUUAUUGCAAGUUUUUAUAUUGUUAUCUUAACAUUUUAAUAUUCAUAUUAGAGUAGUAUUAUAUAUUUAGUAUAGGUUUAUUUUUUUAAUGUGUUCUAAAUUACAUAAUAUAUAAAAAUAACAUAAUAUAAGUAUUAUAAACUUUAAAAUGGGUCAGCUCGGGUCAGACUCUGGAGUUGAAUGUUCAAGACCGAGCCCGACCCAUAUUUUAAACGGGCCUAAUUUUUUUCCCAAUCUCAUUUUUCGAGCAUAAUAUUUUUGUCUAAACCCUCUCAAAUUUCGAAUGAGCCUUUGAGCUUUGAUAGAUAGCCUGACCUAUUAACAAGUCUAGUUGACAUGACGUUUGAAUUGAAAAUUGAUAACAUAAUAGUUGACGUGAUGGCUUAAUUUUUUAAUUAUUUUUUAAUGAUUUAAUCAAUUUUUUAAUUGUUUUGAUUGAGAAGAGAUGAUGGAAGAAAAGUUUAUAAGAAUAAAUUGUGAUGUAGGUAGUGCCUAAAAAGAAAUAAAAAAAUAGUAGUAACUUUUUAUUUUUUAAAAAUAUUUAUAAUUUUUAAACAAUUUUUCUAAAAUUAUAUAUAUUAUAGUUUUAUAAUUUUAAAAUAAUUUUCAUAAUUUUUUAUAUUUCUUAUAUUUUUUUAAAAAAAUUAAUACUUUAAUACCUUUCUAAUUUUUUAUAACAUUUCUAAUAACUUUUAUAACUUUUUAAUAAUUUUAAUUCUUUUCUAAAAUUUUCUAUAAUCGUUUAUAAUUUUAAUAAUAUUUUAAUUAUUAAAAAUAACUUUUUAGUAUUUUUAUAUUUUUAUAAUUUUCAAAUUUUUUUCCAUGCCAAUGGUUAGAUUAUCAAUAUUUUACUUCAGUGCUACAUCAAUUAUCGUGUCACCACUUAAUUAACAACCUAUAAAAAGCUUUAACAAAAAACUAUAUUUAAGAAAUUUAGUUUAAUGUAACCUAUGAUUCGAAGGGUUGUGAUAUGUUUUCAAUUAGCACCUUAAUUAAUUUUUAAUUAUUUUACAAGUAUAUUUUUGCAUUUAAGCAUGAGUUAAUGUUACAAACCAAAUAACACUAAUUCAAUUUCAUAAAAAAAUAAAGCUACUUCAAUUGAAAAUUAAUCAAAAAUUAAAUAAAUUUAAUUAAUAAAUAUAAUAAUAUUUGUUUCGCUUAAAAUAAUUACUAACAAUUUAUUUUAAAAUAUUACUAUCUGUCUAAGUUCCAAAGGCCCGUUCGAAAUUUGAGUAAAAAUAUUAGGCUUGAAAAUGGACUUGAAUAAAAAAAUUAGACUCAUUUAAAAUAUGUAUAACUCGAACAAAUAUAAAACCAAUGAACUCCUCGACUAUUUACUUAAAAAAGUACCGACAUUUUAAUUUAUAAAAAAUUAACCAUCUUUUUAAAGAGAAAAUAUUUUUCAUGCAUUAUUUUUCCAAAAAAAAAUUAAAUAAAAGACCUCCAACAUAAUCUUUGUGUCAAAUUCUAGUAUAAAUGUAAAUUAAAAGUAACAUGAAUUAUUUUAUUUUCUUAAGUUAAAAUUAAUUAUAUCACUUUUAUACAAAUACAAGGUAAUUUCUUUUUGAAAUAUAUAUUUUUUGUAAAUAAAAUUAGAUUAUGAGUAAAAGAAAUUAUGUAAAAAUUUAUAUUUCUUAAAAUAUUAUAAAAGAACCAAAUCAGACUUUAGUUGAAAUAAUAAAGUUGGAAGUUUAAGAAGUAUGACAUUAAAAUAUAGUAUUUUUUUAUUGUUUUCACUAAAAAUGCUUUGUAAAAUUGAAAUUGAUGAAAAUAAUAGUUCUUAACUUUAAAAGAAUUGAUCUUGAUUCAAAUUCAUAUAGAGACACAAAAAAUAUUUUUUUUCAAUACUCUUUUUAAUAUCAAAUCCGGUAACUUGAUUCAAAUCGAUAUAAAUGUAAUUUUUUUAAUUUUUUUUAUUUUUCAUGUUUCUAUUACAUAAAAAUUCGCACAAAAAAUGUUUUGUAACACCCCAAAAUCUGGCCCAGAAGUUUUGACGGAUCUCGGAGGUCACAUUGACCACCGAAAUGAUCUAAAAGCAAUUUGUAAAAGAAUUGUUUAAAACUCGUUUUGAAUACAGUUUGCUAAAACCGAACUAAAUUAUUUAACAAUUUAUGGUUCAAAAUUGUAAUAAGUGGCGUUAAAAAUAUUCAGAAAUAAAAACCACAGUUUCUAAAACUCAAUCCAAAUAACACUUACGAAAAUCCAACGUAAAAUUUAUACCACGACUCCCAUAAUUACUUACAGACCAAAACAGUUUAAUAAAUUAAGAAUUGAAGAAAAACUUUAUUAGCUUAGGUCAAAACUUAUCAUGCCGAGACCUCCGGUAUGUUGAGUCCAGCUCUAGAAUACGAGAGUUCUUGAAAUGUUUAUUUACUAUUGAAUUGAAUUGAAUUAUAUAUGUUUAUUUGUCUUUGGAUUGCUAUAAAUGUCAAAUGAGCAACUACGAGCAAGAAUCGACAGAGUUAUGAUAUUUGAAAGUCUCAUACGAACCUUAGGAAUAGUAUAGGAUACAAAUGUCAUGACAUUAGGUGACCAAAAUGUGAUUACAUGUAAGACCAUGUCUGGGACAUUAGCAUCAUUAAUCAAUUUCGUGUAAGACCCUGUCUGGGACAAUGGCAUCGAUAUGUGAUAACAUGUAAGACUAUAUCUGGGAUAUGGCAUUGUACGAGUUAUAUGUGAUUGUCGAGCAUCCUUAACGAUUUCGAAUGGUUCAACAGGCAUAGUCAAGACAAGAAUGAAAGUACGAUCGAAAUAAAUAUUAGAGGUAUGUACAAAACUUAUGUGAGAAUCGAAUGAAAGUGGUGAGUUCGUAUUAUAUCAUGUAUAUGAAAUGAAAAAGAUUUUUUUAUAAGUAUAUUUCAUGCCAAAAUGUGUUUAUAUGGCUAUAAUAAGGUAUGAAUUGAAUGAUAUGUAAGAUAUGAGUUAUAGUUGUUUUAACUAAAUAUACAUAUGGCACAUAGUGUGUGAAACAUCGUUAUUUGAUAUUAUUUCACAUAAUUCACUUGGCUAAAGAAAGGUGAUAAAUAUUGAAUUGAAUAUAGUUUUAUAUAUAUAAUUGCUUAUGCAGAUGAAAAUGUGAAUGAAUUGAUAAGAAGUAUUCAAACCAUACGUGUUUUGAAUGAAUAAACUCAUGAAAAUCUUGAUUAACUAUGUGCAAUCAAUUCGAGAUAGAAUGGUGAAAUCAUAUGAAUUAUAACAUGUUUUGAAUAAUUGUUUAAAAUGCGGUUAUUUAAUAAUAUGAGUUUAUUACCAUAUGAGCUUACUAAGUUUUAUAGCUUACUUUAUUUUCUUUUCCAUGUUUUUAGAGUUUCAGAGAAGCUUGCUCGGGUUGGAAGUCGUUAGAGAUUUCAUCACACUAUCCAGCUAUGGUUUGGUAUUUAUAAGCUUUGUGAUAUUGGUUAUAUGGCAUGUAUAGGCUUGAGUCUUUUUUAUGAAUAUUUUGGUGAUGUAUUUGGUCAUUUGGUAUAUGAUGAGUAUUUACUUAUGAAAAGCAUGAUUUUAGACUUGAUAAGUGAAUGGCUAAUAGAUGAUAUUUAUGAGUCAAGCUUUGUGUGUAUUUGAUGGUAGCAAAAAUACAUAUUGAAAGAGGUUGUAUUGAUGAGUAUGAUAUGUACUUUGGUAUAUGAUUGAAUAGGUGAUUAAUGAGGAAUGACUCAUGCUAGUUUGGUAUGUGUUUGAAUGUACAAAUAGUAUUGAUUUGAGUUGAUGAAAUGGAUAGAAUUGAUAUUGUAAGUUUGGUGCAUGAAAUAGCAUGGUUUGGCUGCCUAUUAAUGUAUUGAAAUGGCAUGAAAUGUGGUGUUUUAGGUAUGCUUGAAAAUGGUAAGAAAUAUGGCUUCAACCAAGCCUAUUUUCACUCCACACGGCCAAGCACACGGGCGUGUGACUUAACCGUGUAUGACACAUGGCCUUGGUACACGGCCGUGUGUCCCUUGGGGUACCCUUUCGAAUUAAGUCAGUAUACCCUGCAGGUUUGGUGUAACACCCCUUAACCCCAAACCGUCACCGAAACGAGGUUAUGAAGCAUUACUAGACCUAUCGGACAAUUUACAAUUAAUAUACAAAUAAUUAUUAAACAUAAUAUAAAAUAAUCUUAAAGUCCCUUAAAUGGACCCUCGAGGCCCAAAAUACGAGUUAGGAGUGAUUCGGGACUAAUUCAGGUGCUCGGGGAAUUUUUUAUUUUUAUUUUAUUAUUUUAUUUUGUUUUAUCUUUUUGUGUGAACUCAAUAUAGCCCCUUUAUAAAUAUCUAACAUUCCCUGCAAUUUUCAAACUGAAUACAAUUCAAAACACCAAACUUACCAAAUUUGUCAUACCAUUUUAUUAAACUUAGUACCAAAACACCAAAUAUCAUUCAUUACAACCAAAAUUAUAUAACUUUUUAAAGUGACCAUUACAACACCUAUGUACAUGUCACUUUCAUUUAAGGAAGAAAACAUCACCAAUUUUUUUUCUACUAGAGUCAGGAUCGUUCAUUAAACUAUCCAAUUAACAAUAACAAUAUAAUUUUUUUAGCUAUUCUUCAAUUUCAUUCACAUAUCAUAUGUCUUAAUUUCAAUCACUACAUGAACAUUAAGUUCAUGCCUUUCAUUUCCAAUCUCAAUUUCAGUCCACAAUUCAACUUUCUCACAUUUUCAAUAGUACAAUCAAUCAAAUUAAUUUAACUUUUCCUAUUUUGGUUGUUCACCCUACUAACAAACCUGAACUUUGACAGACACACGGAUUCCAACCCAAACACACCAAUGCGACACAUUGUGCCUAAAAUGGUACAUAGUACCUGAUCAGUAUACGACACAUAAGUGCCUGGAAUAUGGCACAUAAAGUGCCUGAUCAGCAAAGCCUAAAUUUCGUACUCUUCCAAAUCCUAUGGCAUGCCAACUAUAUCUGACUUAGCCCGACUAGUUAAUAUGGUAUUCCAAUUCUCAAUUAAAUUUUCACUUUCAUACUAAAUUUUAUAUCACUAUUCAAUUUCAAUUUCACAUUCAAUCAAUAUACAAUUCAAUUAUACAUACAAACUCACCAUCCAAUCCAAUUCCCAUUCAACUCAAAUAUUAAUACUCACCUUAUGCUCAUUUAUUAAAUAUAAAAUUUAUAUAAAAUAUUUAAUAAAAAGUAAUUUGAAUUAUAGUAAUACAAGCCCGGAUUUAUUCGAUUACUCCUCGACAACUUUUCCCUUUCCUUUCGAUGCUAAUGCUUCGGGUUCUUUGCUAGCUACGAAAAUUAAAAUAAUUAUACCAUUAAUUACAACACUAAUUAUAAGAAAUACAUAUAUCACAAUUGUACAUAUAAAUAUUUUUACAUUUGUAUAUUAUCAUGACGAUCCAUUUGUCUUUCUUUUAUUUAUUUAUCAUACAAAAAUCUUAUAAUAUAAUUAUUUAAUUAAUAAAUAUCUUUAACUUAAAUUUUAAGUAAAUAAAUAAUUAUAAUACAAGUGUAUAUAUAUACAUUAUUACACUUGUACCAUCUUAUCACCAUACACUUGUCUUAAUUUAUUUUAUUUCAUAAUAUAAUAAUAUUAAUAAUAAUAUUUAAAUAGAAAACUAUAAUAAUUAUUAAUAAUUAUAAAAAUAAUAAAUUAAUAACAAAAUCUUAAGAUUUUAUACUCAUUAACCGCCUCAUUCUAAACAAUUAGUCUAAUUGCUUAUUUAGCUCAUUAAGUUUUUCUUAAAUCUAUAAUUAAACUUUCACCUUUUUCGCAGUUACUCUUAAUUAUGCUAAAUUCACCUAAUUAAAACUUAAUUAAGCUCACUACUAGACUUAUAAAUAUUUCUAAUAAUUAUUUACGAACUUGGUUUACUAAGACGGAGGCCCGAUAAUAGCCUUUUUUGAUGCCCGUUAAUUUUGGUUCAUUACAUUUCUCCCCCUCAAUAAAUUUCGUCCUUGAAGUUUACCUGAGAAAAUAUGAGGAUAUUGUGCUCUCAUCAUUUCGUAGUGAGCUUAAUUAAGUUUUAAUUAGGUGAAUUUAGCUCAAUUCAGAGAAAAUAGUAAAAAGGAAUACUAGCUCGGGAAAUAAAAGAGCUAAGAAAUAAACGGGUUCCUCUAGUGAAAGUUUUAUGGAGAAAUCAUAAUGUAGAGGAAGCAAUCAUUUCUUCCGGUUCCCAAGUUGCUUCCUCUACAUUAUGAUUUAUCCAUAAAACUUUCACUAGAGGAACCCAUUUAUUUCUUAGCUCUUUUAUUUUCCGAGCUAAUAUUCGUACUGGCUCUUCUUCAUAGGAUAAAUCUUAUCUAAUUUCAAUUUAAUCCUUUUUCGCAAUUACUCUUAAUUAAGCUAAAUUCGCCUAAUUAAAACUUAAUUAAGCUCACUACUAGACUCAUAAAUAUUUCUAAUAAUUAUUUACUAACUUGGUUUACUAAGAAGGAUGCCCAAUAAUGUGUUUUUUCAAUGCCCGUAAAUUUUGAGUCAUUACAUUUGGCAUGGCCUACACACACGGCGUGUCUACUGGUCGUGUGUGGCACACGGGCUGGCAUAUGGGCAUGUGGUCAGACGUGUAACCCAAGUCAGUAACCCCUCUAGAUUUCACACGGCCUAGCACAUGGGCAUGUCUUCGGUCGUGUGGUGCAAGCCAGUAUGUAUGCCUUGUUUUUACAUGGCCUGUGACACGGGCGUGUUUGGUGGCCAUGUGAGGCACACGGCCUGUUCACACGGGCGUGUGACCCUUAAAACCUUGAAAAUUUUCUAAGUUUUCCAAAGUUUUCAAAUAUUAUCGGUUUAGUCCUGAAUCUCUUUUAAGCAUGUUUUAAGGUCUCGUAGAGCCAUAAAAGGGUACACUUUUUUAUAUGACACCUUUAAAUGCUCCAAGCAGUGAUGGGUUCCAUGCCUUGUUCUAUCAGAGUCAGUGGGAACAUGUUGGUGCUUCGGUUUGUGAGUGGGUCAAAAGGGUUUUUUUAUGUGAGCAAAUGAAUCCGAGUUUAAGUAAUACACUCAUUAUACUUAUCUCCAAGAUUUAAAACCUAGAUAAUUUUUUCUCAGCUCCGCCUUAUCAUCUUUUGCUCUGUCAUUUAUAAACCAGUUAUUAAGGUUAUAGCAAUCACUUCAAAGUUAUAUUUCCGAAGAUCAUCACUCCUGAGUAGGUUGGGUUUGUAGCGGGUGGAAAUAUCAUAGACAAUAUCAUUUUGCUCAAGAGGUUGUUCACUCUAUGAGAAGUAAACAGAAGAACAAAAUAUGGAUAUUUAUCAAAAUUAAUCUAGAGAAAGCGUAAGACACAUAUUGGGAUUUCAUAGAUGCUUCACUCCAGGUUACAAGCAUCCCCAACUUUCUCCGUAAUGUUAUUAUGUUUGUUAUUUCUAGUUCUUCUGUGUAGAUUCUUUAGAAUAAGGAUCCGAUUCAAAAAUUUAGGCUAGUGAGGGGUGUUUAUUAGGGUUGGCCUCUAUCCCCUUAUCUAUUUAUUUUGUGUAUGGAGUGGUUGGGCCACAGUAUCCGUUUAGUCAUUGAUUCUGGUGAUUGGUCACAUAUACAUCUAUCACGCACAGGCCAGCCACUGUCUCAUCUCUUUUUUGAAGACGAACUGAUUCUCUUUGGCCAUAUGGAUAAGCGCCAAGUGAAGAUCAUUAAAGGCAUCCUGGAUAAUUUUUGUAAUUUUUUAGGUCAUAAGAUUAAUAUGCAGAAAACCAACAUCUUCUUUUCAAAAGGUCUGGAUGGUACCUUAGAAAGAUGUAUAAGUAACAUUUUUAGCUAUUAGGAAGUACAAAACCUAGGGACUAAUCUAGGAGUGUAUCUCUUUCACCACAAGGUAACAUACAAUACCCUAUGAUUCGUUGUUGAUAGAGUGAGAAGUAAGCUUUCAAGUUGGAAUGCUAGAAAACUCUUUCUAGCCCAUAGGGUCACUUUGGCCCUGUCAGUGUUACUUGUAAUCCCAAGCUAUUUCAUGCAAUCUAUAAUGAUCCCUGAAGGUUUGUGCGAUGAAAUUGAAAAAUAGUCAGACAAUUCAUAUGAGGAUCCUAUAAUGAGUUUAAAAAGAUGGGUUUAGUGAGCAAGGAUCUAGUGUGUCAACCUAGGGAUCAUGGUGGUCUUGGGCUGAGGCAUUUGAGGGACCAUAAUACUUUUUUUAUGAUGAAGACUAGUUUUAAUAUUAUAACAAAUACCAACGUUCUUUUGGUUCGGGUUCUCAAAUCAAAAUACAGAGUGCAAAAUUGUUUACCAGAAUCCCUUUCGAGUGGGCAUGGCUACUUCUUAUGGUGUUCUCUCGUCAAAGUAUGGCCACUUAUUCGUGAGAACUUACUUUGGUCAGUUCGUAAUGAGGAAGAUAUUAAUUACUGGAAAGAUCUUUGGAUUCCAAAGAUUGGCCUUCUAAUCGAGCAGAUCCCAUAUGUUUCCAACUUUGACAUGGACUGUUCUCUUAGGGAUAUGGUUACGGGUGAUGGUUCUUGGAAUCUUAACUUUUUUCCCCUUUGGUGCAUCAAGGAGAUCAUUGCUAGGAUUGUAGGAAUUCCACCUCUUCAUCCAUAUGCUGGCUCGGAUAGGGUCAUGUGGGGGAGUUCUUUAACGGGUUAUUUCUCAUUGAAAAGCGCUUAUGGUAAACUACAGGAGGAAGAUUGGUUUGAAAGAAUCUAUUUGGCAGCUUUCCUUGAAAGUUUCAAGGACCUUAACGGGUUAGAUUCUUCAUUUGGAUUGUUCUAAAAUGUCAAUUACUCGCGAAUGUAGAAAGGGUAAGGCGAGGAAUAAGGAGUGUCAACACUUGUAUAAUUUGUGGGCAUGACCUAGAAGAGCUACUGCAGGUCCUUAAAGAUUCCCUGUGGCUAGGGAGAUUUGGAACAAGCUUAUUCCUAUUGAAAAACAAGUUCGUUUUUACUCUGGAUCCCUUCAUGAAUGGAUCUUUUUGGAUGAUUUCUUAAUGUAUAUGGAAAAAUCACAACAGUUUUGUUUUUCAGGAUAUCACUUGAAGCACGGAGGAAAUCAUCAAGGUUUCUUAUAGUUGGGCAAUGCAAUAUGCAUCCUUUUAUAGGUUGCCUUCACAGAGGACACGUAGUUCUCCUACUAGUCCGCACUUGGCACAUAAUUGGGUGCAUUUGAACACAGAUGGGUCGAUCAAAAUUGAGGAUGAUUUUGCAGCAGUUGGAAGCUUGGUACAAGAAUGCAAUAGUGAAUGGAUUUUCAGUUUAUACAGAUAUUUGGGUUGUAAUGUGUUGGAGGCUGAACUGUGUGGCAUCUUGGAUGGGUUGAAUCUGUCACUAGAUCAGGGUUUCAAGUACAUCUUAAUUCAAACGGAUAGUUGUAAAGUUGUUAACGCUAUUCAAGAGGCAUUUGUAGGAGAUUCCAAGUCCACUAUGAUUAGAAGAAUCCAUCAACUCUUGUCAAAAGUCCUUCAUUGGAGCAUUCAACAUCCCUCGAGAUGAGAACAAGUUUGCAGAUAGUUUGGUUAAGAUGGUUCGUGAUAAGAGAACAAGAUUGCGCCUUUUGGAAGAUCUCCGCUUGAGGGAGUAGCUUAAUUUCUUUUGUUUGCUUUUAUUUUUUUUCACAAAAAAAAACAUGUUUUUUUAUUUUCAUUUUUGUAAAAAUGUAGAAAAUAAAAAUGAUUUUUCAGAAAUAAAAAUAGAUAAUGAAAAAUAUUUUUAAAAACUAAAACGAGUUUUUUUUCAGUUUCCAAUUAAUUAAAAUUUAAUUGACAUGUUAUAUUAAUUCAAUCAAAUAUUUAAAUAAUAAUAUAGAUACGGAAAUAUUAAUUGUUUCCCUUAAACAACUCCAGCUAAAUUACACUUUAUUAAAGACUUAUUUUAUGUUGAAUGUAGUUUUCAAGGUCAAUUAUUUUUAUUAUCUAUACUAAUAUAACUAUUUUGAUUUAAUUUGUUGUCAUGAGUUAAAAAUAUCAUCUCAUAAAUUACAAAUAAAAAUUGAUAAUUACUUACUUAAAAAAUACUAUAUUUUUUUACAAAAAUAAUAUGUUUUUAUUACAAAGGGUAAACCACACUAGUAGUCACCCGACUAUUAGUAACUAUUUUUUAAGUCACUCAACCAUAAAAAGUUACAAAAUGGUCAACUAAUUAUCUGACCUUUUCUGUUUUGGUGACAAGCCGUUUAAUAUUAAUAGAAAGAUAACUUGACAGCUUUUAAAUUUGACAUAAUAGCAACUUUAACCAAAUUUAUACAUUGAAUCAAUCAGUCUUGAUUCUAAAAAAUUGAACCCUCAACAUUUACGCAUUAUGUAAUUGAUCUUUUUUUUUUGUAGCUUUACUUUCUUUCUCUUUUUUUUUAACACUGAAGGUUAAUUUUAAAUGAAUGAGAAGCGAUGAAAUUAUUAUCUUGAAUUUUGGAUGUUUCCAUUUUUGGUAUAUUUUCAAUCAAAAUUAACUGAUAAAAUUUAUUUUUUUUAGCUUUUUAGGUGAAAAUGUCACAAAGAAAAGUAAUUUUGCAAAAAAAAAAAAGAAGAUCAAAUUACACGACGGGCAAAUGUUGGAGGUUAAUUUUUUUUUUUUUAGAAUCAAAGCUUAAUAUAUACAAUAUAUAACUGUUGAGGGUUAAUGUUAAUGUUAUGCCGCUAGCUAUUUAACAACUGGUGACCAGAAAAAGCAAAAUUGAAUAAUCGAGUAACCAUUUUAUAACUUUCUAUAAUAAGGUGACCAAAAACGAAACAUAGAAAUAGUUGAGUGACUGAUAGUGUUUCAAAAUGUAUUAUUCUAUUAGGACCAUGUUAAUACAAAAAUUCCUUUGAUUCACCCCUAAUUAUUAGUAGUUAUUGGUUCAUUCCUAACUAAGCAUACAUUAAAUACAUGCCAUUAACCCCAAUUUAUUUAUUUAUUCUUGCAUCUGCCCUAAUCCAAAUGUGAUAAACAUGAACACUUGUAGGAUUAUUGUCCAGUUCUGCCUGUAUGAUCCAACUUUGGAUUAAAAAAAUUUUGUUUCCAUGUCAACUUUACUUAAAUUCAAAUUAAAUAAAAAAUUAUUUAAAUUUAAUUAUAAUAUAUAAAAAUAUUUUUAUUAUUAUGUGAACAAAAAAAGAAAUUGAAAAAUUAAAUAAAAUUCAACAUUCAAAAACCGUAGCAUGAACCAACCUAGUUUCUUGACAGUGAUCGAAUCAAACAGAUCAUUAGUUCACUGUCCGAUUAAUUUAAUUGAUUUAUGUUAAUUUGAUUUAGUUGGUCCGCAUUGAUUUAUGAAUUAAUUAAUUUUGUAUCUCUUAAUAAAUUUUAAAUUUAACUAAUAGACUAAUCCAAUCUAAUUCGAAUAAGAUUGUUUACACCGUAUUUGCAAUGUCAUUAAAGAGUAUUGUACGAUGCUGAAAUAGUAAAUCCGCCGGCUGAAGCCUCUAGCUUGAAAAUGGCCACCUAACUCAGCCGACCUAGCCGGUUGGUAAAUUAUUCAAAAUAGUAGAUUUACAUAUUUUUAAAUUAUUAAUAUUUUAUGUAAACCAUACCUAUCGAAUUUUAAAUAAAUUAAAAAAUUGAUGUUGUUCAUUGAAUGUUUAUAAAUUUAAUUAUUAAUUAAUUUUUUAAAUAAUAUAUCUUUUAAAAUUAUUUUUUUUGGUAAAUUGUAAAAAUAGUCACUUUUGUUUGCCUCAUAUUAUAUUUUAGUCACUUAUGUUUGAAACGUUACGUUUUAGUCACUUACAUUAUCGUUUUGUUACGAAGUGGUCACUCUACUGUUAAGCUCCAUUAACUUCCUAACAACGGUCCUACGUGGUAGUCCAAAUGGGCUUUAAAUGUUAACUUGGAUGUCCUACGUGGCAGUCCAAAUUAAAUUUAUUUAAUUAAAAAUCUAUUUUUAUCUCAGCAACUGAACAUCUAAAUUGGCACUUAAAACCCAUUUGGAUUACUAUGUAGGACUGCCAUUAGGGAUGUAAUGGAGUUUAACGGUAAAGUGAUCACUUUGUAACAAAACAAUAACAUAAAACAUAACAUUUCAAACAUAAGUGACUAAAAUGUAAUCUGAGACAAACAAAAAUGACUAUUUUUGUAGUUUAUCCUAAUUUUUAAGUCAUUAUUCAAAUUGUUUGAACAUAAUUAAAAUAUAUUAUUUAAUAAUUCAAUCAUAAUAAAAAAAUUAAUUUUAAUUAAAGCACUAUCAUAUUCAAUGCAAAAAAUAAAUUUGCUUUAAUACAAAAAAAAUUAUUCAAAAUAAUUUACUUUGAUAAUUCGCUAAUAAAAUGAAGUACUAUAAUUAAUAAAAUCAGUUUCUGAAUAAUGUAUUUUAAUUAUUUUUUAGUUAUUUUAAAAAUUAAAUUCUUCAUUAUUGAAAUUUCAUUUAAAUUUUAAUAUAAAUAAUAUUCUUAAAAAUAUUUAAUUAUGCUUUAACAUAAAUAUAAUUUAUAAAUAAAUAAAAAAACCACUUCACAAACUAAUUAGCCAGAUAAAAAUUAACAAAAUCCAAAAACUUAUAAAACAUAUAUUAAUAUUUUAUUUUACAACAAAUACAUCAAUUUUCCUCAAUUUAAAUUCCUCCUCAAAAUAUAAAAAAACCUUUAUUAUUCUAUGAUUUAUGCAUACGUGAUUUUUUUUUUACUUUUUUUUGAAAAUGUUUUAUUUUUUAUAAUAAUUUUUUUACUCGUCAUUUUAAUUUCAAGUUUAAACUUGUAUUAAUUAUUUUUUAUUUUAUGUCUAAUUAUUUUAACACAUGUAUUAAUUAAAUUUUUUCAUUAUAUUAUUAUACUAGUAAUCAAAUGAAACAUUAACACUAUAUAUAAUGUAGUCAGCGAUAAUUUUAUUCUAAUUUCUAUUAUAGUUUAUUUUCUUUUUAAAAAUGAUAUUUUUAAUAAUAAUACUCCGAAAUUGCUAUGUUCAUCGGUCGCUUAACUCAAAUUAUCAUAUCAACCUCAAAGAUUUGCUUAAUAUUUGAGAAAGUUUUAACAUAAGUAUUAACUUUAAAAAAUGAGGUUGAGAAAUAAAAUUAAUCCCAUUUAAGAUAGUAUAAGAUUACAAUUUUUAAAAUCUAAACUCGAUCAUUUUUCGAGUUAAUAAUAUAAUUAUUUUUUUUUCCUUUAUUGCUCUGUAAUUUGUAUUAUACGUGAAUUACAUAUUAAAAAAAUUCCAAGAGUAACAGCUAUGUAUUUUAUAGCUUUAUAGAAGCAUAAGAACGCGGCAUACCUUAAUGAGGAAGGAGAAUUUUUCCCUAGCAAAACGGCCAACCCACCGGUUCAGUACCAGUUCAACAUUUUCCCAAUGAUUCAGCUCCAAAACCUUCUGGAAGUGAUCGCCUUCUACACGCAAACGAUACCGUUUAGGGAUAUGGGCCUUCCUGAGUCCACUCACCUGAGUGGAAACCUCGUGCUAGCCCUUGUUGUAGUCGACGAACCCGGAUUUAUGUUCCUCAAACGCGGUGUCGUUAUUGCGUUUCUAGCAAAGGAUAAGGGAUUUGGAGGUAGUGGAGUGAGUGGAAAUUGGCGAGUUGAGAGGGAAUUUGAUAAGGAGGGGAUGGGAUGAAGUGGUCAUUUAAUUAGAUACGGAGGUUUUGACGGUUGGAAUGUUUGGAAGACCACCGCAGGAGUGGAAUGGUCAUUCAUUGAUUUGCGUUUCGUCAUGUUUUUAUCCACUAAAAUAAUGGACUAACCCCUCCUACUACUCCUUCCUAAAUUAUAAGCUAUCGUUAUCGUUGUUGUUUUCCCUAUUAUUUUUCUCUUUAGUCUCACUGAAUGAUUGAUCUCUCUUUCUAUUUCAAUGAAUCCAUCACAUCUAUUGUUGUUCUUUUAUUCCUCAAUGAUUUUUCCUCUGGAUAUACCCCAUUUUUGUAAAAUGAGUUUUCUUCCGGGACAGAAUAUAUUUAGGGGCAAAAUUAUCCAUAUAUGCCAUUUAAAAAAUAAAAAAAAUCUUGGUAUAUUUUUAUUUUGUUGAUAUCAUUAUUAGUUUUUUGAGUUCAAUAUAUAAUAUUUGAGUGUGCUUAUAUUAAUAUAAAUAGGACAAAGACUAUAUAAUUCAGAUGCAUAUACACAACUUAAGUGUCAGAGCACCACGCAUUAUAGAGUGGUACUUAAAUGAUGUAAGAUUCUUGCAUGCGUCUCAGAUACAUAUACAUAUACUAUAUUUUGACCGUUUUGUUCCUCCAAGGUAGAGCCACAACUCAGUUUGUUGUUAUCUGAUGAAUCUUUGUCCCUUUUUUUCUUCUCUCUUUUUCUUUUUUUCUCUUAACUCUAGUCACUGUCGUUCAUGGCCUUCUCUGGCCAAUCGUCAUUUCCAAAUGGCUCCUCUUUUGCUCUUCUCAAGUCUCACUUUAGAUUUCCCAAUAAGCCUUCAAAAUAUCAAUAUUAAAAACUUAAAGCUUCGAACAAGGCCUCAACAGAUCUUCGUCAUCCACCAUCUGAUCACCACCAUAUUCUGACCACAGCUUUUUUUCGACCAACCAUGACUCUUAACCACUCGGAUCAUCGACCUGGCUUGAGCUCUCCAACCCACAAAACCCAAAAUGGGUGUGGGUUUCUUCUCUUUUGAUUCUCUUCUUCUUUAGUUUUUUUUUUUUUUUACUUCCCUCUUUUGAUGCAAGCCAAUUUGGGAUUCUUGCUCUUUUUUUGUUGGUUUGAUUUUGGAUGCUUGCUAUUUGGUAUUUUAGUUUUUGCUGAUUUUUGUUGUUUUGUCGUCGAUUUUGGUUUGAAGCUUCAUAUCAUUGCACAAGCAGAAGCUCCAACUAAACCGAUGCCGAUGAAUGGGUUGUGAUGGGCAAUUUUAGGUAAAUUCCAUGUCAAUCUGCCACAUCAGCUAAUUGCGUUAAUUGGGUUUCCAAUGUGGCAAGUUAAUUGUCCACAUCAGCGAUCCCAUUAAGACAACAAUAGAAAAUAUUAAUAAAUGACUGAUUUGUCAAUUUUAAAUAACGUUAAUGAUUGUUUUGUUAUUUUUCUAAAGUUAAGUGACUGAAAUAAAAUCUAUAUAACUGCUUUGUCAGCUACCCCAAAGUUAGUGACUAUUUGUGUAAUUUACCCAAAAUAGAAUUUAUUGCAUCUUUAUUUCAUUUUUAAUAAUUUACAAUAUUAAAAUGAUAAAAUAUAUAAUUUUAUAUUAUUAUCUAUUUAUUUUUAUAAUUAAAUUUAAAUAAAUUUAUUUUAAAAAAUAUUUAAUUGAAAUUCAGGUUAGGCCGGGUUGAAAACAAAAAUAAAUUCAUUAAUACACACAGGAAUGGAUCGUGGUUGUGGCAGUAUACUAGAAAUAUGAGACGUUGCUCGCUGCUUGAAGCUGAAUUGUGGCUCAUUUUGGACGGUUUGAAUCUUCUUCGCAUCCAAGGCUUUAAGCGUGUGGAGAUUGAGAGCGACAGUGCUGCUGCUGUCCGCAUCAUAUUGGAUGAGUCUGCUGCUAAGCAGAGUAGAUCGCACAAUUCGAGUUCUUUAGAAUCGGCAAAGGAAGGUCAAGAUACAUCACAUUGUCCGGGAAGCCAAUGCGUUUGGCCUAAGCAGGCUGCUGAAUCCACCACCUGCUGCACCGAGGAGCAUUCUUUGCAAGGACAGUACAGGGACUGUUGGGUAUAGGCUGAAAUCACUACCCUCCUUUAUAUAAACAUUCAACCCUUUAUUACCCAACACACGUAGAUCAAUACCAUUAAGUCACCUUAAUAUUUAUUUCAAUUCCUUUUAUUCUCUCAACUCAUGUUUAGUUGUUCAUACAAAUGCCCCUGCUUUAAAAUUCACAAGCAAUAUUGGUUUUCCCCUAAUUUCUUAACAUCACCACCAAAAAGAUCAAGAAGUUGCUAAGAUCAAGAUCAACAAGCUACACAAGUCAGAACAAAAUCAACAAUAUUGAAAAUAGACACUAAACCUCACUCUAGUUUCCACAAUCUUUUAUCACUCUGCAAUGGUUAUGUACAACUGAUUCACAUUGCAAGUGAUGAUCUUUACACAAUUUGUGAAACAUUUCAGAGCAAGAUUGAUUUAUCAGAGUAUAUGAUAAGAUCCAUAAAUAAGGUGGCAGUGAAUAUAUCUGCAGAAAAGCCCUUACCAACCAUUUCCUUAAGAAGUUGCGUUGCCUUUGAAGUAUAGCUGUUGCGAAGGAACCCCCGAAUCAUUACAUUAUAACAGCAGCUAUCAGGCAAACAGUCAUUAUCUCCCAUGCUCCCAAACAACCUGUAUGCUUCAUCUGGCAAUCCCUCUUUACACAGUCUAUUAAUCAUUACACAAUAUGUGUAAACAUCCGGUUUUAAACCAUUGUUUGAGAGUUGAUGAAAUAAUUCCUUGGCAACUUCGAUAUGCCCAGCUUUACAAAACCCAUCAAUUAGGAUAGUAUACAGGACAAUAUCAAGUUCCAACCCACUGUUUCGCAUUGCUUGAAAAAGUUUCAAUGCCUCUUCGAUAUGACCUGUUUUGCAUAAACCAUCCUGCAAAAUCAAACAGGUCGCUAUAUCUGGAACUUGUCCAGAAGCUAGCAUCUUUCUAAAAAGUUCACAUGCAGUUGAAACUUUCCCUAACUGAAACAUACUCUGCAUAAGAAUGCUGAAAGUGACAGUAUGCGGGAUUGGUCCCUUUCGAGAUAUUUCAUGAAAGAGUUCCAUUGCUUUGUCUAACCUUUUACCUUUGCAAUAUCCAUUGAUCAUGGUGUUGUAAGUAACUAUAUUAGGUGCACAACCCUUCUCAAUCAUCAAGUUGAAAACUCUUCUAGCUUUAUCCAUUUUGUUCCGCAAGCAAUGACCAUUAACUAAUGCAUUAUAGGUAACAACAUCAGGCUCGAUUUCUAGCUUUAUCAUUGAGUCAACAAAAUCCUCAGCUUCAGAGACCAUCCCUUCCUUGCAAUGCGCAUCAACCAAUGUAUUAUGCGUGACAACAUCAGGCUCAAUGCCUUGCUUUCUCAUUGUGUCAACGAUCUCUACAGCUUUAGAAAUCGUUCCUUCCUUGCAAAGAGCAUCAAUCAAUAAAGUAUAUGUGACAAUAUCAAGUGAAAUAUUGUUAUCAGCCAUUUCAUUUAAAAGCCUUGUUGCCUCCUCCUGCUGGCCCAAAUUACACAUACCAUGAAUUAAGCAAGUGUAAGUAAUGAUAUCUGGUCUAAUGCCCUUAACUUCAUUUCAGAUAAGAGAUUGAGAGCCUCCUGUAACAAACCGUUUUUACAAAGGCAGUCAAUGACAGUGUUAUAUGCUACAAUAUUGGGUUCAUAACCUCUGCUUUCCAUCAGCCUUAGAAACCUAACAGCUCUAUCAGUAUUUCCGGUCUUACACAACCCCUUAAGUACUGUACUGUAAACAAUCAAAUUAGGUUGAUACCCUUUUUCAGUCAUUUCAUCGAACAUACAAACGGCCUCAGAAAUCUUACCUUGAUUACAAAGCCCAUUAAUCAAAGUUGAAAAAGUUACAGCACUAGGUUCAACACCUAACUUCUUCAUUUUCCCAAAAACAGAAAACCCAAAAUCAAUUCGACCUAAUUGACAAAAGCAAUUAAUCAAGAUGCUCAUAGAAUAAACAUUAUGGGAAACGCCUAAUAAGUCCAUCUGGCUACACAUAGGAACAACAAUGGCAUAUUGUUUCAUUCUAACAAUGGCUGCAAAUAAUUUAGUGAAUUCCACAAUUGAAGGCACUGGGUACCUGCCAAUCAUCUUAUUGAACAAACUCAAAGCAUGAUCAACAUUAUCGAAGCGGUGGUCUCUUUUUCCCUUUCCUCUAACAGGCAUGGACAUGGGUUUCUUACUUAGGCAUUCGAUGUGGGUAGCAAUGGUGUUAGAAGAAGAAGAAAAAGAGUGGAAAUUAGAAAGAAGGCUUCCAGCAUUAACAACGGAACGAAGAAUAAAAGAAGAAGGAAGCCUACCCAUAUCUUGAAAGCAGAAAUGGCAGCGGCAGUAGCAGCAGAAGUGUAAAUUUUGGGUUGCGUAAUUUGGGUUUUUAAUUUUUUUAAUGUGAAUAAUAUUUAAUAAAAAAAUUAAACUUUAUUUUUAAAUGCAAUCUUCAGUUAUUAUUAACAUUAUUAUAUACUUAUAAAUCUUCCUUUUAAAUUUAAUAAAAAAUUAUUAAAUUUAAAUUUAAAUUUUUAGACUAACUUGAAAAAAAUAUACUAAGAUUACAAUACAAUUAAAACUUAAAUCUAUAAAAUACUCUAUUUUUAUAAUUUAUAUUUUAUCGAUGCAUCUAUGAGCGAGCAAAACUUGAUUUCGAGUUAAUCGAAUCGAGUUAUUCAAUUUUUUCGAGUCAACUAAAAUAAGUAAUUCGAGUUUAAGUCGAUUCGAAUUUUACAAUUCAAUAAGUUAAAUAAUUCAAAUAACAUAUUGGUGUAAAUAACCUUUUGGUCCCUAUCAAUUUUGAAAAUAAGCAAAUUAGUCUCUCUAUCAACAAAAACUACAAAUAAAAUUAAAAAAUAAAAAUAAUUUUUAAAUAUUUAAAUAUUUAUAAAUUUUCAAAUUUUAUACUUUUAAAAAAUUUUAAAAUUUUAAAAAAAUCUAAAGAAUAUAUAAAGAAAAUUUAAAAUUUUCUAACAUAAAAAUUAUGGGACCUAAAUAAGUUAAUUAUUAAUUCUCGUUUAUAUAUAUUUUUUCUUUGAUAAAGGUUUCAAAUAUAUAUAUUUUUUCUCAUGCGCCUUCUCAUUAUCAUACUUCUCAUAGUACAACAUAUAUAUUUUCUCAAUACCACACUUCUUUUUUUUAAUCGACCAACUGCGGAUCAUUUUAUAUAUAUAUAUUACAAUUAUAACAUUACAUAAUAUAAAUAUUAUAAACAAUUAUAAAAUAAGUAUAUAAAGAGAUAAAGUAAUUAAAAUAAAACUGUCAACCAAUGUUUCCAUGGUUAUAUUUCUAGAAAAAUAAAUGAAAAAAAUAAAAUUACAUAAUUUUUUGUCAUAAGGCAUUCCUUGGAUCUUCAACCGUCAUCGCUCCAUCUUCUUCUUGUUAUGGACUCUUUCUUAAUAAAGUAACUAAAAAUAACCUGAAUAAACAAUUCAAAAUGCUCUAAAUCUAAUGUCAAACUCAACUAAAAAAAACCCAAAAUGAUCCAAACCAAAAUGAAAAUAUUCGAAAUAACUCAAACCCGAUGGAAUUUUGAAAUCACAAACCUGAAACUAAUGUAAUUUUAUUUUGAAAUUUAGUUUAAUGUAAUCUAUGAUUCGAAGGGUUGUGAUAUGUUUUUUACUUAGUACCUUAAUUAAUUUUUAAUUAUUUUACAAGUAUUUUUUUACAUUUAAGCAUGAGUUAAUGUUACAAACCAAAUAACGCUAACCCAAUUUCAUAAAAAAAAAUAAAGCUACUUCAAUUGAAAAUUAAUUAAAAAUUAAAUAAAUUUAAUUAAUAAAUAUAAUAAUAUUUACUAACAAUUUAUUUUAAAAUAUUACUACCUGUCUUAGUCCCAAAGGCCCAUCUGAAAUUUAGAUAAAAAUAUUAAGUUUGAAAAUGGACUUGAAUAAAAAAAAUUAGACUCGUUUAAAAUGAGUCUGACUCGAACAAAUAUAAAAUGUGUUUAUAUAAUAUUUAAACUCAGCCAAUGAACUCCUCGACUAUUUACAUUCCCUUACCCACAUUUUUACUUAAAAAAGUACCGACCUUUUACUUUAUAAAAAAUUAACCAUCUUUUUAAAGAGAAAAUACUUUUUCAUGCAUUAUUUUUCCAAAAAGAAAUUAAAUAAAAGACCUCCAACAUAAUCUUUGUAUCAAAUUCUAGUAUAAAUGUAAAUUAAAAGUAACAUGAAUUAUUUUAUUUUGUUAAGUUAAAAUUAAUUAUAUCACUUUUAUACAAAUACAAGGUAAUUUCUUUUUGAAAUAUAUAUUUUCUGUAAAUAAAAUUAGAUUAUGAGUAAAAGAAAUUAUGUAAAAAUUUAUAUUUCUUAAAAUAUUAUAAAAGAAUCAAAUCAAACUUUGGUUGAAAUAAUAAAGUUGGAAGUUUAAGAAGUAUGACAUUAAAGUUCAAAUCCCAUCAUGUGAAUUUCUAUUAAAUUUAUAUCAAAAGAUAAAAACAUCCUCCAAUAAUAUAACCUAUUUUGUAAAAAGUGUUUGGUUAGAAUUUUUAAAAAUUAUUUUUGGAAGAUGAAAAUAUACAGAAUUUAAAAUAUAAUUUUUUUUAUUGUUUUCACUAAAAAUGCUUUGUAAAAUUGAAAAUGAUGAAAACAAUAGAUUUUAGCUUGAUUCAAAUCCAUAUAGACACAAAAAAAUAUUAAAGACUUUGGAUUACUGGAAAGAUCUUUGGAUUCCAAAGGUUGGCCUUCUUAUCAAGCAGAUCCCAUAUGUUUCAAACUUUGACAUGGACUGUUCUCUUAGGGAUAUGGUUACGGGUGAUGGUUCUUGGAAUCUUAAUUUCUUUCGCCUUUGGUGCACCAAGGAGAUCAUUGCUAGGAUUGUAGGAAUUCCACCUCUUCAUACAUAUGCUGGCUCGGAUAAGGUAAUAUGGAGGAGUUCUUUAACGGGUUCUUUCUCAUUGAAAAGCGCUUAUGGUAAACUUCGGCAGGAAGAUUGGAGUUUGAAAGAAUCUAUUUGGCAGCUUCCUUGGAAGUUUCAAGGACCAUAAUGGUUAGAUUCUUCAUUUGGCUCGUUCUAAAAUGUCGAUUACCCAUGAAUGUAGAAAGGGUAAGGCGAGGAAUAAGGAGUGUCAGCACUUGUAUAAUUUGUGGGCAUGACCUAGAAGAGCUACUGCAUGUCCUUAGAGAUUGUCCUAUGGCUAGGGACAUUUGGAACAAGCUUAAUCCUAUUGAAAAACAAGUUCGUUUUUAGUUUGGAUCCCUUCAUGAAUGGAUGACAGAAAACCUCCAAACAAUGUUAUCUUUUGGUUCGAAUAGAAUUGAUUGGUCUUGUCUUUUUGGGAUGAUUUCUUAAUGUAUAUGGAAAAAUCGCAAUAGUUUUGUUUUUCAGGAUAUCACUUGAAGCACGGAGGAAAUCAUCAAGGUUUCUUAUGGUUGAGCAAGACAGUAUGCAUCCUUUUCGAGGUUGCCUUCACACAGGACAUGUAGUUCUCCUACUAGUCCACACUUGGUACAUAAUUGGGUGCAUUUGAACACAGAUGGGUGGACCAAAAUUGAGGAUGAUUUUGCAGCAGUUGGAAGCUUGGUACGAGAAUGCAAUAAUGAAUGGAUUUUUAGUUUCUGCAGAUAUGUUGGAGGCUAAACUAUAGGGCAUCUUGGAUGGAUUGAAUCUGUCACUAUAUCAAGGUUUCAAGUAUAUCUUAAUUCAAACGGAUAGUUGUAAAGCUGUUAACACCAUUCCAAAGGCAUUUGUAGGAGAUUCCAAGUCCGCUCUGAUUAGGAGAAUCUAUCAACUCUUAUCAAAAGUCCUUCAUUGGAGCAUUCAACAUCCCUCGAGAUGAGAACAAGACUGCAGAUAGUUUGGUUAAGAUGGUUCACGAUAAGAGAACAGGAUUGCGCCUUUUGGAAGAUCUUCGCUUGGGGGACUGGCUUAAUAUCUUUUGUUUGCUUUUAUUUUGUUUCACAAAAAAAAUGUUUUAUUUUAUUUUCAUUUUUGUAAAAAUUAGAAAAUAAAAAUAUUUUUUUAGAAAUAAAAAUAGAUAAUGAAAAAAAAUUUCAAAAACUAAAACGAGUUUUUUUUUCAAUUUCCAAUUAAUUAAAAUUUAAUUGACAGAUUACAUUAAUUCAGUCAAAUAUUUAAAUAAUAAUAAUAUAGAUAUGGAAAUAUUAAUUGUUUCCCUUAAACAACUCCAGCUAAAUUACACUUUAUUAAAGACUUAUUUUAUGUUGAAUGUAGUUUUCAAGGUCAAUUAUUUUUAUUAUCUAUACUAAUAUAACUAUUUUGAAUUAAUUUGUUGUCAUGAGUUAAAAAUAUCAUCUCAAUAAAUUACAAAUAAAAAUUGAUAAUUACUUACUUAAAAAUACUAUUUAUUUUUUUUACAAAAAUAAUAUGUUUUUAUUUCAAAGGGUAAACUACACUAGUAGUCACCCGACUAUUAGUUUUUUUUUUUUAAGUCACUCAACCAUAAAAAGUUACAAAAUGGUCACCUAAUUAACGGACCUUUUCUUUUUUGGUCACUAGCAGUUAAAUAUUAAUGGAAAGAUAACUUGACAGCUUUUAAAUUUGACAUAAUAGCAACUUUAACCGAAUUUAUACAUUGAAUCAAUCAAACUUGAUUCUAAAAAAUUGAACCCUCAACAUUUACGCAUUAUGUAAUUUGAUCUCUUUUUUUUUUUUUUGCAGCUUUACUUUGUUUCUUUCUUUUUUGUAACACUGAAGGUUAAUUUUAAAUGAAUGAGAAGCGAUGAAAUUAUUAUCUUGAAUUUUUGGAUGUUUUCAUUUUUGGUUAUUUUCAAUCAAAUUUAACUGAUAAAAUUUAAUUUUUUUAGCUUUUUAGGUGAAAAAGGUCACAAAGAAAAGCAAUAUUGCAAAAAAGAAGAAGAUCAAAUUACACGAUGGGUAAAUGUUAGAGGUUAAUUUUUUUUAGAAUCAAAUGCUAAAUAUAUACAAUAUAUAAAUGUUGAGGGUUAAUGUUACUAUUAUACCGCUAGCUAUUUAACAACUAGUGACCAAAAAAGGUAAAAUUGAAUAAUCGAGUGACCAUUUUAUAACUUUCUAUAAUAAGGUGACCAAAAACGAAACAUAGCAAUAGUUGAGUGACUAAUAGUGAUCGAAUCAAACAGAUCAUUAGUUCACUGUUUGAUUAAUUUAACUGAUUUAUUUUAAUUUGAUUUAAUUUGUCCGUACUGAUUUAAGAAUCAACUAAUUUUGUAUCUCUUAAUAAAUUUUGAAUUUAACUAAUCGACUAAUCCAAUCUAAUUCAGAUAUUUGCAAUGUCAUUAAAGAGUAUUGUAAGGUGCGGAAAUAUUAAAUCCGCCGGCUCAAGCCUCCAGCUUGAAAAUGGUCACCUAACUCAGCCGACCUAGCCGGUUGGUAAAUUGUUCAAAAUAGUAGAUUUACAUAUUUUUAAAUUAUUAAUAUUUUAUGUAAACCAUACCUAUCGAAUUUUAUGUAAAUUAAAAAAAUAGAUGUUGUUCAUUGAAUGUGAUUUUAUAAAUUUAAUUAUUAAUUAAUUUUUUAAAUAAUAUAUUUUUUAAUUAAUUUUUAGGGUAAAUCGUAAAAAUAGUCACUUUUGUUUGCCUUAUAUUACAUUUUAGUCACUUAUGUUUGAAAUGUUAUGUUUUAGUCACUUAUAUUAUCGUUUUGCUACGAAGUGGUCACUCUACUGUUCAGCUCCAUUACCUUCCUAACGGUGGUCCUACGUGGUAGUCCAAAUGAGUUUUUGGUUAACAAAAUCCAAAAAUUAACAUUUGUAGCGACGUAAAAAUUUUGGUUUGGGGUCGCUAAUUGUGGCAAUCUAGUGAAAAAGUUUGAAAACUGAAGUUUGAUUUUAAAAUAAAGAGGGAGUCGCCACCGAUCCUUUUCCUAGGUGUGAUCGGACACCUAUUAGAUUCAUUUUUUUUAAAACAAAAGGAAGGCUGAAUUUAGGUCUACGUUAAAAGCCAGAGGAAAAUUAGGGUUCGGGAGUCGGUUACGCGCGAGGAAGGUAUUAGCACCCUCGCGACGCUCAAAAAUUGGUAUCUCAUAAACACAUGUUGUCUUAAUUUUCAAAAAUGCGAAUUCAAUGUAAAGUUUAGUUAUGAUCCGAAAAAAACGAGAAAUUUUAGUUUAUUCCGGUUUUUGAGAAGGGUAUAUCGCUUUAACACGAGUCAAUUGACGUUCACCCAACGUAGCGAUGAACUCGAUGACUUAAUGUUAAAUCGAUAUGUUGCCUUGAUUAUUGAAAUUAAUUAGCAAAACAAGAAUACGAUUUUCGAAAUAAUGCAAAGUAAAAUAAUAUAAAAUAAAAAUCAAUAAAUGAAAGAGCUAGGGAUAUAUUGAAACAAAUAAUCGAGAUGACAAUAAUAUUAGAAAAGAUGAAGGUAUAAUGUAAUAAUAGAAUUGGACACGAAAUUAAAAUAAUGAAUGUAUACACAUAAUAAUAAUAUUAAGAAUGCGUGUGUAAGAUGACAUAUAUAUUUAGCGAUAUUAAAAAUCCAUACAACAUACAUAGAACAUAUAUAGUAUAUGCAUACCUUAGGAAUGAUAAGAAUAAUAAUAAAACUAUUUUGUACACUACACAAAUACAUACACACACAUAUAUAUAUAUAGAUAUAUAAACAAUAGUAUUAGGAAUAUACAAUAUAAUAUUAGAAACAUGUAUAUAAUAGUGUAAAAGAAAAAUAUGACAAAUAAGAUUAAAAUAUAUAUAAUAAUAUAUAAAAUAUAGUGUUAAAAUCUUAUAUACAUAACGUAUGUGCAAAACACAUAAGAUUAAAACAUUUAUAUAAUACAUACAUAUACAACAAAAAUACAUAUAUAAAAUAACAUGAGAAAUAUACGUAGGAAUUUAGUAUACAAAACUAACAAUUAAAUAAAAUCAUAUACAUACACGAAAUAAUGCGUAUAAAAAAUAUAACCAACAAUAUAAGAAUAUGUACAUGAAAUGGUAUAAGUAUAUAUUAUUAACAUUAAAAUACCUACGUAAUAUAUAAAAUAUACGUAAUAUGUAUUAGAGACGAUCAUAAUAAUAUAAUAUAUAAUAAAAAACUGUUCACAUAUUACAUAAGUAUGUACAUAAAUAUAUAUAUAAUAAUGGUACCAGAAAUAUAUCUAUAAUAGCAUAAAAGAUAAUUUUAAAAUAUAUAUAUAUGGGGCAAUAUGCAAACUAUAUACAUAACAUAAUUAUAAAAAUGCAUGGCCUUAAACACACAUAUAACGUAUGCAUAUAUAAUAACAUAAACACAAACAUUAUAAAAAUAAAAUAAGAUAACGAUAAUAUUAAAAUGAAGUAAUCAAAAAACUAUAUAAAGGUUAUAUGUACAUAAAAAUAUAUAUGUAUAUAUAAGUAAAGAUAAACCAUAGUAAUAAAAAUAAUAUAAUAAUAAUAUAAAAAGUGGAUAAAAUAUAAUGAUAUAAAAGUAAAAUAAGAAUAAAGUAAUAGGUAAUUAUAAAUACAAUAUCAUUAAAAAUGAGAAAAGGUAAGAAAAAGGACUAAAAUUAAAAUAAAAUCGAAGUUAUGGGGCCAAUUUAAAAUAAAAACAAAGAAAAUGGACUUAAUUGUAACACGCGUGCAACUUGGAGGGUCAAAAGCGCAAUAAACCCAGGUAUUAAAACGCUGCGCAGCAUGGGGACCAGAAUGAAUUCGGGGCAAAACCAUGGGGCCAAAUUAAAAAUAAAAAAAACCUUGAUUGUAAACUCCCAGAAAAGCAGAAGGGCUAGAAGUGCAAUUAGCCCUUCCAAAGAAAAACACGCGGAUCCUCCCUGGUGCGGGUCGGGUCGACCCGACCCGCUUCCAAAACGACGUCGUUUUUAUUUACUUGGGGGGGACCAAAACGCACCGUUUUGCUUUUUUUUCUCAUUUGUGCAGCUGAAAGGAAAAAAAAAGGAGAUGAGAGAAGAAAGAGAGGAGAAGGGGGGAAAGGGGAGAGCUCCGGCCAGGGGGGGUCACUGGAAGCUCGCCGGCGCUGGCACCGGCCACCGCACGCGGUGGCCGGAAAGGUAAAAAAUUUGAUUUCUUUUUUAUUUUUUUAUAUUUUUAUACUUUUAUAUGUAUAUAUGCAGUAAAAUGGAUUUUAUAGCGAAAAUGAAAUAAUAAUGGAGAAAGAAAUAACCUUUAGUUUUUUCUUAGCUUCCGAUUCUUUGAUUUUGGUAUUCGAUUGACUUGUAUGCUUUGAACGUUGCUAUUGAAUUCAAACGAUUAAUGGACUGCUAUUUUGAUUCUGGACUUUUUGAUGAUCUUUCUUGUUUUUUGAUUUUUAAAACUGCCAACAAAAGAGAAAGAAAGGCCAGCCCCCCUUUACAAUGGGUAGAUUUUCAGUUUUUAUAACCGAUUACAAAUGUUUUUUUUUGUAUUUGUUUUUUGUUAUUUCUCUAUUUGUUUAUCUCUGCUCCGCUUUGCAGGUGCUCGUGGUGUCAGACACAUGGGCGUCGGCCGGCGUGCGUUGGCGUGGCAGCCGAGAAGGUGGAGCGUCAUGGGGGCGAGGGCGCGCAUGCGACGCUGGGGGGCAGACGAGGCUGAGCGGCGCACAUGGGCAUAGGGCUGCUAGGGUUUCUGUCAUUUUUUGAUUUGGGCUAGGGUUUAUUUUUAUUGGCCCGUUGGGUUUGUUUAGUUAUUGGGCUGGUGGUAUUUUGGGUUUGACGGGCUUUAGUGUGAAUGGGUCAUGUUGGGUUUGUGGGUUGUUUGGUUUAGGGCCCAAAAUUGGCCUGUACAACAUUGUUGGAUACUUUUAGAUAUUACUUAACUUAUAAAACAUAUAUUAAUAUUUUAUUUUACAACAAAUACAUCAAUUUUCCUCAAUUUAAAUUCCUCCUCAAAAUAUAAUAAUAAUAAUAAUAAUAAUAAUAAUAGUAAUAAAAUCUUUAUUAUUCUAUGAUUUGUGUUAUACGUGAUUUUUUUUUACUUUUUUUGAAAAUGUUUUAUUUUUUAUAAUAAUUUUUUACUCAUCAUUUUAGUUUUAAGUUUAAAUUUGUAUUAGUUAUUUUUAUUUUAUUUCUAAUUAUUUUAACACAUGUAUUAAUUAAAUUUUUUCCUUAUAUUAUUAUACUAGUAAUCAAAUGAAACAUUAACACUAUAUAUAAUGUAGUCAACGAUAAUUUUAUUCUACUUUCUAUUAGAGUUAAUUUUUUUAAAAUGAUUUUUUAAUAAUAAUACUCCAAAAUUACUAUGUUCAUCGUUAGCUUAACUCAAAUUAUCAUAUCAAGCUCAAAGAUCCGCUUAAUAUUUGAGAAAGUUAUAACAUAAAUAUUAACUUUAAAAAAUGAGGUUGAGAAAUAAAAUUAAUCCCAUUUAAGAUGGUAUAAGAUUACAAUUUUUAAAAUCUAAACUCGAUCUUUUUUCGAGUUUAUAAUAUAAUUUUUUUUCCUUUAUUGUUCUGUAAUUUGUAUUACACGUGAAUUACAUAUUAAAAAAUACAAAGAGUAAGAGCUAUGAAUUUUAUAGCUUUAUAGAAGCAUAAGAACGCGGAAUACCUUAAUGAGGAAAGGGAAAUUUUUCCUAGCAAAACAGCCAACCCACCGGUUCAACAUUUUCCCAAUGAUUCAGCUCCAGAACCUUCUGGAAGCGUUUGCCUUCUACACGCAAACGAUAUCGUUUAGGGAUAUGGGCCUUCCUAAGUCCACUCACCUGAGUGGAAACCUCGUGCUAGCCCUUGUUGUAGUCAACAAACCCGGAUUUAUGUUCCUCAAACGCGAUGUCAUUAUUGUGUUUCUUGCAAAGGAUAAGGGAUUUGGAGGUAGUGGAGUGAGUGGAAAUUGACGAGUUGAGAGAGAAUUUGAUAAGGAGCGAAUGGGAUAGAGUGGUCAUUUAAUUAGAUACGGAGGUUUUGACGGUUGGAAUGUUUGGAAGACCACCGCAGGAGUGGAAUGGUCGUUCAUUGUUUUGCGUUUCGUUGUGUUUUUAUACACUAAAAUAAUGGACUAACCCCUCCUACUACUCCUUCCUAAAUUGUAAGCUAUCGUUAUCGUUGUUUUUUUCCCUAAUAUUUUUCUCUUUAGUUUCACUGUAUGAUUGAUCUCUCUUUCUAUUUCAAUGAAUCCAUCACAUCUAUUGUUGUUCUUUUAUUCCUCAACGAUUUUUUCCUUUGGAUAUACCCCAUUUUUGUAAAAUGGGUUUUCUUCCGGACAGAAUAUAUUUAAGGGGAAAAUUAUCCAUUUAUGCCAUUUAAAAAAUAAAAAAAUCUUGGUAUAUUUUUAUUUUGUUUAUAUCAUUAUUAGUUUUUUGAGUUCAAUAUAUAAUAUUUUGAGUGUGCUUAUAUUAAUAUAAAUAGGACAAAGACUAUAUAAUUCAGAUACAUAUACACAACUUAAGUGUCAGAGCACCACGCAUUAUAGAGUGGUACUUAAAUGAUGUAAGAUUCUUGCAUGCGUCUCAGAUACAUAUACAUAUAUUAUAAUUUGACCGUUUUGUUCCUCCAAGGUAGAGCUACAACUCAGUUUGUUGUUAUCUAUUGAAUCUUUGUCCCUUUUUUUCUUCUCUCUUUUUCUUUUUUUCUCUUAACUCUAGUCACUGUCAUUCAUGGCCUUCUCUGGCCAAUCGUCAUUUCCAAAUGGCUCCUCUUUUGCUCUUCUCAAGUCUCACUUCAGAUUUCCCAAUAAGCCUUCAAAAUAUCAAUAUUAAAAACUUAAACCUUCGAACAAGGCUUCAACAGAUCUUCGUCGUCCACCGUCUGAUCACCACCAUAUUCCGGCCACAGCUUUUCUUCGACCAACCAUGACUCUUAACCACUCCAAUCAUCGACCUGGCUUGAGCUCUCCAACCCACAAAACCCAAAUUGGGUGUGGGUUUCUUCUCUUUUGAUUCUCUUCUUUUUUAGUUUUUUUUUUUUACUUCCCUCUUUUGAUGCAAGCCAAUUUGGGAUUCUUGCUCUUUUUUUGCUGGUUUAAUUUUGGAUGCUUGCUAUUUGGUAUUUUUGUUUUUGCUGAUUUUUGUUGUUUUGUCGUCGAUUUUGGUUUGAAGCUUCAUAUCAUCGCACAAGCAGAAGCUCCAACUAAACCGAUGCCGAUGAAUGAGUUGUGACGGGAUCUCCUUGACGUUAGCCCAGUCAACCGUUUCGAUGCCAGACUCACCAUUUUCGUCGUCGAUUUUUAAUUUUCACUACUAUGGAAAAAAAUCAUGCCUCACGAUAGUUACGAGCUUUUCUAGGUUUCGUCAGCCAAAACUUUUUCCCCAAAUUUUUUUCCAUUCUGGGCCUAAUUUUAGGUAAAUUCCAUUUCAAUCUGCCACAUUAGCUAAUUGCGUUAAUUGGGUUUCCAAUGUGGCAAGUUAAUUGUCCACAUCAGCGAUCCCAUUAAGACAAUAAUAGAAAAUGUUAAUAAACGACUAAUUUGUUAAUUUUUUAUAACAUUAAUGACUAUUUUGUUAUUUUUCUAAAGUUGAGUGACUGAAAUAAAAUAUAUAUAACUGUUUGGUCAACUACCCCAAAGUUAGUGACUAUUGGUGUAAUUUACCCAAAAUAGAAUUUAUUGCGUCUUUAUUUCAUUUUUAAUAAUUUACAAUAUUAAAAUGAUAAAAUAUAUAAUUUUAUAUUAUUAUCUAUUUAUUUUUAUAAUUAAAUUUAAAUAAAUUUAUUUUAAAAAAUAUUUAAUUGAAAUUCAGGUUAGGCCGGGUUGAAAACAAAAAUAAAUUCAUUAAUUCACACAGGAAAGGAUCGUGGUUGUGGGAAUAUACUAGAAAUAUGAGAUGUUGCUCGCUGCUUGAAGCUGAAUUGUGGCUCAUUUUGGACGGUUUGAAUCUUCUUUGGAUCCAAGGCUUUAGGCGUGUGGAGAUUGAGAGCGACAGUGCUGCUGCUGUCCGCAUCAUAUUGGAUGAGUCUGCUGCUAAGCAGAGUAGAUCGCACAAUUCGAGUUCUUUAGAAUCGGCAAAGGAAGGUCAAGAUACAUCACAUUGUCCGGGAAGCCAAUGCGUUUGGCCUAAGCAGGCUGCUGAAUCCACCACCUGCUGCACUGAGGAGCAUUCUUUGCAAGGACAGUACAGGGACUGUUGGGGAUAGGCUGAAAUCACUACCCUCCUUUAUAUAAACAUUCAACCCUUUAUUACUCAACACACCUAGAUCAAUACCAUUAAGUCACCUUAAUAUUUAUUUCAAUUCCUUUUAUUCUCAACUCAUGUUUAGUUGUUCAUACAAAUGCCCCUGCUUUAAAAUUCACAAGCAAUAUUGGUUUUCCCCUAAUUUCUUAACAUCACCACCAAAAAGAUCAAGAAGUUGCUAAGAUCAAGAUCAACAAGCUACACAAGUCAGAACAAAAUCAACAAUAUUGAAAAUAGACACUAAACCUCACUCUAGUUUCCACAAUCUUUUAUCACUCUGCAAUGGUUAUGUACAACUGAUUCACAUUGCAAGUGAUGAUCUUUCCACAAUUUGUGAAAUAUUUCACAGCAAGAUUGAUUUAUUAGAGUGUAUGAUAAGAUCCAUAAACAAGGUGGCAGUGAUUAUAUCUGCAGAAAAGCCCUUACCAACCAUUUCCGUAAGAAGUUGCGUUGCCUUUGAGGUGUAGCUGUUGCAAAGGAACCUCCGAAUCAUUACAUUAUAACAGCAGCUAUCAGGCAAACAGUCAUUAUCUCCCAUGCUCCCAAACAACCUGUAUGCUUCAUCUGGCAAUCCCUCUUUACACAAUCCAUUAAUCAUUAUACAAUAUGUGUAAACAUCCGGUUUUAAACCAUUGUCUGAGAGUUGAUGAAAUAAUUCCUUGGCAAAUUCGAUAUGCCCUGCUUUGCACAACCCAUCAAUUAGGAUAGUAUACAGGACAAUAUCAAGUUCCAACCCACUGUUUCGCAUUGCUUGAAAAAGUUUCAAUGCCUCCUCAAUAUCACCUGUUUUGCCUAAACCAUUCAUCAAAAUCGAACAAGUCACUAAAUCUGGAACUUGUCCAGAAGCAAGCAUCUUUCUAAACAGUUCACAUGCAGUUGAAACUCUCCCUAACUGAAACAUACUUUGCAAGAGAGUGCUAUAUGUGACAGUAUCCGGGAUUGGUCCCUUUAGAGAUAUUUCAUGAAAGAGUUCCAUUGCUUCGUCUAACCUUUUACCUUUGCAAUAUCCAUUGAUCAUGGUGCUGUAAGUAACUAUAUCAGGCUCACAACCCUUCUCAAUCAUCAAGUUGAAAACUUUUCUAGCUUUAUCCAUUUUGUUCUGCAAGCAAUGACCAUUAACUAAUGUAUUAUAGGUAACAACAUUAGGCUCAAUGCCUCUCUUUAUCAUUGUGUCAAUGAUAUCCUCGGCUUCAAAAACCAUCCCUUCCUUGCAAUGUGCAUCAACCAAUGUAUUAUACGUGACAACAUUGGGCUCAAUAUCUUGCUUUCUCAUCAUAUCAAUGGUCUCUACAGCUUUAGAAAUCAUUCCUUCCUUGCAAAGUGCAUCAAUCAAUAUAUUAUAAGUGUCAAUAUUAAUUGAAAUAUUGUUAUCAACCAUUUCAUUCAAAAGCUUUGUUGCCUCCUCCUGCUGGCCCAAAUUACACAUACCAUGAAUUAAGCAGUUAUAAGUAAUGAUAUUUGGUCUAAUGCCUUUAACCUUCACUUCAGAGAAGAGAUCAAGAGCCUCCUUUAACAACCCGUUCUUACAAAGACAGUCAAUGACAGUGCUAUAUGCUACAAUAUUGGGUUCAUAACCUCUGCCUUCCAUCAACCUUAGAAACCUAACAGCUCUAUCAGUAUUGCCAGUCUCAGACAACCCCUUAAGUACUGUACUGUAAACAAUCAAAUUAGGUUGAUACCCUUUUUCAGUCAUUUCAUCGAACAUACAAAAGGCCUCAGAAAUCUUACUUUGAUUACAAAGCCCAUUUAUCAAAGUUUGAAAAAGUUACAGCACUAGGCUCAACACCUAACUUCAUCAUUUUCCCCAAAACAGAAAACCCAAAAUCAAUUCGACCUAAUUGACAAAAGCAAUUAAUCAAGAUGUUCAUAGAAUAAACAUUAUGGGAAGCUCCCAAUAAUUCGAUCUGUCUAUACUUAGAAACAACAAUGGCAUAAUGUUUCGUCUUAACAAUGGCUCCUAAUAAUUUAUUGAAUUCCACAAUUGAAGGCUUUGGGUACUUUUCAAUCAAAUUAUUGAACAAAAUCAAAGCAUGAUCAACAAUAUCGAAGCGGUGGUCUCUUUUUCCCUUUCCUCUAACAGGCAUGGACAUGAGUUUCUUACUUAGGCAUUCGAUGUGGGUAGCAAUGGUGUUAGAAGAAGAAGAAAAAGAGUGGAAAUUAGAAAGAUGGCUUCCAGCAUUAGCAACGGAACGAAGAAUAAAAGAAGAAGGAAGCUUACCCAUAUCUUGAAAGCAGAAAUGGCAGCGGCAGUAGCAGAAGAAGUGUAAAUUUUGGGUUGCGAAGUGGUGUUUAGGGAAAGGGUUGGGAGCGUAAUUUGGGUUUUUUAUUUUAUUUUUUUAAUGUGAAUAAUAUUUAAUAAAAAAAAUUAAACUUUAUUUUGAAAUGCAAUCUUCAAUUAUUAUAUACUUAUAAAUCUUCCUUUUAAAUUUAAUAAAAUUACUAUUUACUUUAAUAAGAUUUAUUAAAUUUAAAUUUAAAUUUUUAGACUAACUUGAAAAAAUAUACUAAGAUUACAAUACAAUUAAAACUUAAAUCUAUAAAAUACUCUAUUUUUAUAAUUUAUAUUUUGUCGAUGCAUCUAUGAGCGAGCAAAACUUGAUUUCGAGUUAAUCAAAUCGAGUUAUUCAAUUUUUUCGAGUCAACUAGAAUAAGUAAUUCGAGUUUAAGUCGAUUUGAAUUUUACAAUUCAAAUAAGUUUGUAGCGACCUAAAAACUUGGCGCGGGCGCUAAUCGAAUUGAUUGUUGAAAAUUUAAAAAUAGUAUCUCGAUUUUAUUUGAAAAGGGAGUUGCCACCGAUCUUUUUUUCUAGAUGUAAUCGGACACCUAUUAAAUUCUCUUUUUAAAAGAUAAAUUCUUUUUAAAAUUCUUUAAAAGAGUCAAUUUUAGGUUCACGUUAAAAAAAUCAGAGAAAAUUAGGGUUCGGGAGUCGGUUACACGCGAGGAAGGUAUUAGCACCCUCGCGACGCCCAAAAUUGGUAUCUCGUUAAUCGCGCAUUGUCAUAAUUUUCAAAAAUACAAGUUAAAUUUAAUAUUUAAUCGUGAUCUGAUUGAAACAUGAAUUUUUUUAAAACACGAGAAUUUUGAAGCACAAAAAUUUUUGAAACACGAAAAUUUUUUAAAAUACAGAAAUUUGUGAAACACGAGAAUUUUUUGAAAACAUGAAAAUUUGAAACACGAGAAAUUUUUUUGAAACACAAGAAUUUUUGAAAACAUGAAAAUUUUUGAAACACGAUUCUUUUUUUAAAAACGUACCGUAUUUAACAUGAAUCGAGGAUAUUCACCUAAUAUAGCGAUGAAGUCGACGAUUAGUGUCAAACCGAUUCAAUUUAAUAUUUAAUCGUGAUCCUAUUAAAACACGAGAAAUUUUUAAUAAAAAAAACACAAGAAUUUUUGAAUAUUUUCGAUUUUUAAAAGGGCGUAUCGUGUUUAACACAAACCGGUGAUAUUCACCCAACAUAGCGAUGAAAUCAACGAUUUAAUGUUAAAUCGAUUCGUUGUCUUAUUUAUUGAAAUUAAUUAAAUUAAAAUUAAAUUAAAUUAAAAAUAUAAAUACAAAAAUAUAAAAAUGCAUAAAAGUACCAAUAAUAUUUAAAACGGAAUAGCAUAAAAAUAUAUGCAUCAAAUUAAAAAUGAAAUAAACAAAAUUACCGAAAAUGUUCAAAAAUAUGAGCUUAGUCGAACGGAUUACGCAAAUUGAACCCUUUUUACUCCUUUUUCCCCUUUUUCUUUUCUUUUUUUUUCUUCUUCUUUUUUCCUUUUUUUUUUCUGCAGGGUUGGGCUUUGGUGGGCUGGCCUGCUCGCUGCUUGCAGGGCUGCUGCUGGUGCUGGGCUGCUGCAACCGGGCCUGCUUCACUGCUAUUGGGCUGCACUGGUCUGGGCUUGGGACUGCUGGAGCUGGCCUGCUGGACAGGCUGGGGAGUUAGGCUGUGGCCAGCUGUUGGGCCUGCUUUGUUUUUUUUUGCUGCAGGCCUGCUGUUUUGGGGCCGCUGGAGCGCGGGUCGGGUCGGGGGUUGGUGGGUCGGGUCAAAGUUUCGGGCCGGGUCGGGUCAACCGCCUUUUCUAUUUUUUCUUUUUCUUUCCCUUUUCUUUCUUUUUUUCUUUCUUUUUUCUUCUUUCUUUCUUCUCUUCUUCUUCUUUCCCUUCGACCUUGCUCUUCCUCGCCAUCGCCGCUUCCUCCGCCUGGUGCGACGAUCGCCGGUGUCUCCUCUUCUCUUCUUCUUUCUUCUUCUCUUCUUUUCCCUCUUCUUUUUAUGGUUUUGAUUUCUGUUUUUAUUUCCUUUUUUUUUUGCUUGUUGCUUUGCUUGUUUGAGUUGUAGGUGUUGACGACGGUGGUGUUGCGGCGGUGGGCACAGUGGCGCUGGUGCGACGGCAGUGGGCCGCUGCUGUUUUGAUUUUUUUUUAUUUUUUUUGCUUCUAUUUAUUUAUUUUUUGGUUGCUAUCCCUCCCCUGCUCUCUUUCAUUUUUUCUUCUUUUAAUCUUACCAAAUUUGUCUUUUUUUCUUUGUCUUCAGGUAGCAGGUAGGGGUGUGCAAAAUUCGGGUAAAACCAAAAAAAUUCGGUUAACCGACCAAAUUUGGUUAAUCGGUCGGUUAACCGAAUUUUUUCGGUCGAGAGUCGGUUAAUUAUUUUUUGAUUUUACGGUUAACGGUUAAUUCGGUUCGAAACCGGUUGGUUAACCGAAUUUUUUCGGUUAACUGAAAAAAUUAAUAAGUAAAAUUAUAAUAUAUAAAUAGGCCCACUAUUCACCUAAACCCAAUCCAAACCCAAGUAUUCAAUCCAACCCAAUUACCCAACUCAAUUACCCAACCCAACCCAAUCAUAAAAAUUACAAAUAAUUUAAUAAAUUAAAAUAAAAUUCUAAAACUAAAACUAAAGUAUAAAAGUCCAAAAAUAAUUUAAUUAUGUUUGAUUCAAUUAGGUUAAUUCGGGUAAUUCGGGUAAUUCGGGUAAUUCGGUUAAGUCGGGUAAUUCGGUUAAUUUGGUUAAUUCGGUUAAUUUUUAACCAAAAAUAAAAAAACAUAUAAUUUUCGGUUAAUUCGGUUAACCGACCGAAUUAACCGAAAAAAUUUCAGUUCGGUUAAUUUUUUUGAAAAAACUUUCGGUUCGGUUAACGAUUAAAAAUUUUGAAAGGUCGGUUAAUUCGGUUAAUGCUAUUUCGGGUCGGUUAACUGGUCAGUUAACCGAAUGAACACCCCUAGUAGCGGGUAGCUAGGGAAGAGGGAGGCCAUGCACUAGGCCGACGGCCAAAAAUUGCGGAGGGCAGGUGCGCAAAUCGCGCCUGUCUGCCAGAGGGACCAGAUUGAAAAUACAGCAAAACAUUUGGGGCUAAAGUGUAAAUUUUGGAAAAUUUGGGUCAAAAUGUAAUUUUAGGAAAGUUAAGGGUUAAAAUGUAAUUUUAAGAAAGUUUAGGGGUCAAAAUGAAAUUUAAAAAAAUUAGGGGUCAAAAUGAAAAUUUCUUAAAAACACGAAAUUUGUCCCGGACAAAAUUCAGUGAUUAGAAAGUUAAAUAAUUCAAAUAACAUACUGGUGUAAAUAACCUUUUGGUCCCUAUCAAUUUUGAAAAUAAGCAAAUUAGUCUCUCUAUCAACAAAAACUACAAAUAAAAUUAAAAAUAAAAAUAAAAAUAAUAUUUAAAUAUUUAUAAAUUUAUAAAUUUUCAAAUUUUAUAUUUUUAAAAAAUUUUAAAAUUUUAAAAAAAAUCUAAAGAAUAUAUAAAGAAAAUUUAAAAUUUUCUAACAUAAAUUUUAUGGGACCUAAAUUUAACGUUUAUUAUACUAAAGUGUUUUUUAUUUUGCUUUGAUAAAGCUUUCAAAUAUAUAUAUAUUUUUUCUCAUGCACCUUCUCAUUAUUAUACUUCUCACAGUACAACAUAUGUAUUUUCUUAUUAACACACUUCUUUUUUUAAUCGACCAACUAUGGAUCAUUUUAUAUGUAUAUCACAAUUAUAACAUUACAUAAUAUAAAUAUUAUAAAAAAUUAUAAAAUAAAUAUAUAAAGAGAUGAAGUAAUUAAAAUAAAACUGUAAACCAAUGUUUCCAUGGUUAUAUUUCUAGAAAAAUAAAUGAAAAAAAAUAAAAUUAUAUAAUUUUUUGCCGUAAGGCAUUCCUUGGAUCUUCAAUUGUCGUCACUCCAUCUUCUCAUUGUCAUGACUCUUUCUUAAUAAAGUAACUAAAAAUAACCUAAACAAACAAUUCAAAAUGAUCUAAAUCUAAUGUCAAACUCAACUAAAAAAAACCCAAAAUGAUCCGAUCUGAAAUGGAAAUAUUCGAAAUAACUCAAACCCGAUGGAAUUUUGAAAUCACAAACCUGAAACUAAUGUAAUUUUAUUUUGAAAUUUAGUUUAAUGUAAUCUAUGAUUCGAAGGGUUAUGAUAUGUUUUUAAUUAGUACCUUAAUUAAUUUUUAAUUAUUUUACAAGUAUUUUUUUGCAUUUAAGCAUGAGUUAAUGUUACAAACCAAAUAACGCUAACUCAAUUUCAUAAAGAAAAAAUAAAGCUACUUCAAUUGAAAAUUGAUUAAAAAUUAAAUAAAUUUAAUUAAUAAAUAUAAUAAUAUUUACUAACAAUUUAUUUUAAAAUAUUACUACCUGUCUAAGUCCCAAAGGCCCGUUCAAAAUUUGGAUAAAAAUAUUAGGCUUGAAAAUAUUUAAAAUAUAUUUUAAUUAUUUUUUAAAAAUAUUUAAUUAUUUUUGGAAGUUUCUGAAUAAUAUAUUUUAAUUAAUUUUUAGUUAUUUUAAAAAUUAAAUUCUUCAUUAUUGAAAUUUCAUUUAAUUUUUAAUAUAAAUAAUAUUCUUAAAAAUAUUUAAUUAUGCUUUAACGUAAAUAUAAUUUAUAAAUAAAUAAAAAAACCACUUCACAAACUAAUUAGCCAGAUAAAAAAUGUUGUUUUGGUUAACAAAAUCCAAAAAUUAACAUUGUUGGAUACUUUUAGAUAUUACUUAACUUAUAAAACAUAUAUUAAUACAAAUACAUCAAUUUUCCUCAAUUUAAAUUCCUCCUCAAAAUAUAAUUAAAAAAAACCUUUAUUAUUCUGUGAUUUGUGUUAUACGUGAUUUUUUUUUUACUUUUUUUUGAAAAUAUUUUAUUUUUUAUAAUAUUUUUUACUCAUCAUUUUAAUUUCAAAUUUAAAUUUGUAUUAAUUAUUUUUUAUUUUAUGUCUAAUUAUUUUAACACAUGUAUUGAAACAUUAACACUAUAUAUAAUGUAGUCAGCGAUAAUUUUAUUCUACUUUUUAUUAUAGUUAAUUUUCUUUUUUAAAAAUGAUAUUUUUAAUAAUUAUACUCCAAAAUUGCUAUGUUCAUAGGUCGCUUAACUCAAAUUAUCAUAUCAAGCUCAAAGAUUUGCUUAAUAUUUGAGAAAGUUUUAACAUAAGUACUAACUUUAAAAAAUGAGGUUGAGAAAUAAAAUUAAUCUCAUUUAAGAUAGUAUAAUAUUACAAUUUUUAAAAUCUAAACUCGAUCAUUUUUCGAGUUUAUAAUAUAAUUUUUUUCCUUUAUUGUUCUGUAAUUUGUAUUAUACGUGAAUUACAUAUUAAAAAAUGCAAAGAGUAACAGCUAUGUAUUUUAUAGCUUUAUAGAAGCAUAAGAACGCAGCAUACCUUAAUGAGGAAGGGGAAAUUUUUCCUAGCAAAACGGCCAACCCACUGGUUCAAUACCGGUUCGACAUUUUCCCAAUGAUUCAGCUCCAGAACUUUCUAGAAGUGGUCACUUUCUACUCGUAAACGAUACCGUUUAAGGAUAUGAGCCUUCCUAAGUCCAUUCACCUGAGUGGAAACCUUGUGCUAACCCUUGUUGUAGUCGACAAACCCAAAUUUAUGUUCCUCAAACGCGAUGUCGUUAUUGCGUUUAUUACAAAGGAUAAGGGAUUUGGAGGUAAUGGAGUGAAUGAAAAUUGGUGAGUUGAAAGAAAACUUGAUAGGGAGCGGAUGGGAUAAAGUGCUCAUUUAAUUAGAUAUAGAGGUUUUGACGCUUAGAAUGUUUGGAAGACCACCGUCAUUCAUUGUUUUGUGUUUCUGUAACACCCCUUACACGUAUCCAACACCGAAAUAGAGUACGAGGUAUUAUUAGAACACAUACACUUAUAAACGUAUUUAACCGAGUUAUAAAAUUUCAUCUAAAUUAAAACUUUCAAAAUUAUUAACAUGCCUUUAUAACCAUUCAUAAUAUAUCCUCAAAAUAUUAUAAUCAUAAUAAAUUGGAUCUACGAGACCUGAUAAAUAUUCAUGCAAUUCACAAGUCUUAAUAAUUCAAUGCUUCAUUUCCAUUUCAUUCAAUUCACAAAUUUCUCAUGUUCACAAUUCAAAUCAUUAAGUUCAAUACUAAUACGUAUUUAUCAUUUAACUCAACGUUUAAUUGAUUAUACCAUUCAUUAACACAUUUAUGAAGUUCUCAAUUUUUGCAAUGAAAAUAUCAUUUUAGCUUAUAUAACAACAUCAAUUCAACUCAUCAUCCCGGUAUAAAUUCACUACCACUUAUCCAUUUACUAUAAUUCUUUUGGGACCAUUUGUCAGUUACCAUCCUUAAUCAAAUUAGGGAACGGUUACGGAAAAUUGAGUACUUCACUUCCACUUUGCCAUAGUAUUACUAUGGUCUUGCGUAUGAUCACUUAUCACUUUCCGAAGCCGUAGCCCUGCCACGGUCUUACACAGAUCGUAUUUAUCACUUAUCACUUGUCCCUGAUCAGAUAAGUGUAGCUAAAGCUAGUACUUAUCACUUGUCCCUGAUCAGAUAAGUGUAACUAAAGCUAUCACUUAUCACUUGCCGCUUGUCACUGAUCAGAUAAGUGUAGCUAAAGCUACUACUUAUCACUUGUCACUGAUCAGAAGUACUCAAAUCCGGCGUUCCGCUCAAUUUGAUCAUUUAUUCGGUUUUCACAUUUUUAUUUUAUUUUCAUUUCAUCAACAAAUAUAUAUCAUCAUAUACUAUAUAAUUCAUUAAAUUGACAUUUAAUCAUUAAAAUUUUAGUCAUAUGAACUUACCAGACUAAUUUGCAAAAAUACCAAGAUACAAGAACAUUUUAGUAAUUUUUCAUUUUUCUCGAUUUUCUACCCAAUCUUGAUCUAAAUUAAUUUUUUAUUUAAUAAAACAACUCAUUUCAUGCAAUUUGGUCAUUUUUGAUAUUUUUCCAAAAUUACCCUUAAAGUUUUACUUUUAUUUAGUUUAGUCCCUGAGCCCAAAUCAUGCAAAUUAACCAUUUAUAAUGCAAACCCAUGCUAGCAAAAUAUUCAUAUAUUUAUUUCCCUCCCCCUCCUCUCCAUUCCACAUCCUUAAUGUGUAUAACACACUUAAACAACAUUAACUAUAAUUUCACUAUUCACUCACAUGAAUAUUCAAAACUGUUUAUCCGAGUUAGAGUCACUAAAUUAUUUUUAUCUGGAGCUACAAAGCUCCAAAUUAAGAUCCAUUAAUUUUAACUGAAACUAGACUCACAUAUCUUUUUACUAUAAAAUUUUCAGAAUUUUUGGUUCAGCCAAAUAGUACAAUUUAUUCUUUAAAGUUUUCCCUAUUUCGCUGUCUGACAGUUUCGACCACUCUUCACUAAAAAUGAAUUAUCUAAUUGCACAGAAUUCAGAUGAUGUAAAAUUUUGUUAAUAUCAUUAUUAGUUUUUUGAGAUAAAUAUAUAAUAUUUUGAGUGUGCUUGUAUUAAUAUAAAUAGGACAAAGACUAUAUAAUUCAAAUAUAUAUACAUAAUUUAAGUGUCAGAGCACCACAUAUUUUGAGUGGUACUUAAAUGAUGUAAAAUUCUUGCAUGCAUCUCAUAUGUUUCGUGGAUGUGAAUUGGAGCUUCCAUUUAUCAAUGCUUUGGUAGAGAAAAAGAUAUGAAACUCGGACAUUCCAUCUACUGUGAGAUGAGUGCACCAUUACACUCAAAGGUGUGGUAUUACAACUCGAUUUAUCAAUAGAUGAAUCAAUCACUACAAGUCUAGUGAACCCAAAGAAUUGAAGGCUAAUUUGCAAAUAGCUACCGCCCAAAGUGGCAGAUAAAUUUAGUAGUAAUCAAACAUAUAUAGCUAGAAAAUAAUUUUUACAUAUCUUAUUCCAAUAAUUAAACCAAAAAUUAUAUAAAAACUAAACUAAAUUAUUUUUACAUAUUUUAUUUCGAUAAAUUUUUAGAACCCAUUCCUAAAACAUAAUUUUCUAAACAAAGUUAUAACAUAGAAUAAUAGAACCUUUAGAUUGAAAAAGGAAAUUUGUCUUAUCUAUUAGUUUUUGUUUUUAGUAAGCCUUUACUUGGUUUAAUGAAGAAACAUGUAAUAGUCUCUUUUAAGUUUAAAACCAUACUAUAAAAGGUGAAAUAAAUAAUAAAACUAUAUUUUCUCCUUAAAUAAAAUAAAAUAACAAUAAAGUAAUGUUUAUCAUGGCAGAAAUAACUUCAGCUUACCUACUUUUUCUUUUAUUUUAUCUGCAUAUUCAACCCCACAUCUUUUCUGUGAAAAGGAGACAAUAUCAACAAACAUCCCUUUCGAAGGUUGAAUUCCGGAAUCCUCCAUCCACUGAAGAACCUGCACAGAGAUUUGUCGAGGAGAUUUGAGUCUUAUAACGCAUUUUGUACCAUAAUGCCAUUGCAGAAAAGUAAGAUGUUUGAGGACCUGCGUCUCCUAAUUCAAAGGCCAUUCAGAUUUCAAACAUUUAGCCAUCAUGCCAGAUGUUAAAACUAGAAAAACAGAUGAAUCCAACACCAUUGACAUCAUUUAUCUAAGAAACUCUAUGGAGUGUGGAUUGAAGAUAGACGCUAAAAUGGUUAACAGAUAAUACAGAGUAUAACCUCGAUAUAUUUCCGCCAAUUUUCAGCUGCCAACAGAUUUUUCAACAAGAUUGAGUAGGUGUUGAAACUGGCUGGAACACCUGAUGCUAUUAUCUUGUAAAACAGCUGCAUGUUUUCCAAAGAAAAAAAAAAGGAAGUGGAGAAUAAUAAUAAUCAAACAUAGAACAAACCUUUAACCUUAGUGGUAAGAUAGAACUUGAGAACUUUGGAGUUUUUCAAAGACAGAGCAACAGCAAGGACUUCAAUUGCAUUUAUAAACAUUAAGGAAAUCAAGUACCUUCAUCAUGGAUUCAAUCUUUCCACUCUUCCCAAGCAGAUGAAGAAGCUGAUUCAAAAGCCCAAUGGAAACCAAAGGGAACCAAGGCUCCAUUAGUUUGAUCAGGUCAAUUGUAGUCUUCGAAUCUUGUAAACUUCAUUUGAAUCCCCCAAUGUUAGUUUCUAGUAAGCAGAUAAAGCAUACUAAAUGUUCAAUGAAAAAAGGAUCUAUUUUGUCAUGUAGGAUAUAUCGUGAAAUAGUGUGCAGGCAAGCAAUGUUGGAUGUGGCCCCAACAAAAUUAAUUUCUUCUAUACAUGUUCUUCCUUUAAAAAUGCAAAAAGGAUACAAUUGGGUGUCAAUAGAAUUGGUUAAAUUAGAUUCAUUAUCCUCAAAUUCUGCAACUCUUUCAAAAGUUAAUUUUCCUCUGCUAUAAGAGUAAAAUGGAAAGAUCUGCAUCAGGUAUCAAGCACUCUAAAAAAUAAUAAACAAUAAGCAAUAUUUUUGACAAAAGGGGAAAAAGCUAAUGAAACAUGAUUUCUUUUCAGAAAAUAAAGACAUGAAACUUACAUGCUACAAGCUGAUACCAUUUCAAAGAAAACAGCAUCAUUUAAAGGAAUUGCUUUCUCUCUCAUAUACUUUGCCAAAACAAGAACUUUGGACGGUUGUCCUCCCUUGUUAAAAGCUCGCAGUAGAGCAGAACAUGCUAUAGAGUCUGGUUGGAUACCAUUUUCUUCCAUCUCUAGGAAGAUUGCAGAAGCUUUUGCCCAAUUUUCUGUAGUUAAUAAGCACCAAGUUUUUAGUUCCCAAAGAAGUAGUUUUUCCAGCUAAAGAAGACAUACUUACAAACAAAUUGAACAUAUUAGCAUGAGAAAUAGCCAGUUCUGAUGCAGCUUUAAAUAAAUGUCCAAGACAAAGUGGAAAAUGUUCUUUAGGCAAGUUCAACCAAUAAAUAACAAAGAACUAAGCUCACACCGUACCAUGAAAUUAAUCAAUAAACUUCCAGGUAUAGAAUAAAAAAACAGUUUAAGAAAAGAUCAGCUAUGAUAAUAAAAUUUCUUCGACAAAAAGAUCACUUCCUCCUAUAGCUUGUACAUGUAUCCAGAAUUGGUCUCCACAGUUAGUUAGUUACUUCAAAAGUGUAUCGUGCAACUUACCUGCAGAAUUAUAAGCAUGCAGCAUUGCAGUAUAUGCAACAACAUCAGGACAACAACCAGAAACCUUCAUCAUGUUGAACAUUGAUUCAGCCUCAGCAACUUGGCCCUGAAAUGGGUGUUAAAAGGAAGAAUAAAAUAAAUAAGAAAACAUUUCCCUCAAGUUGUAUAUCAGCAAUUAAGAAGCACACCGUGCAGAAGCACCUGCCUGUUUACUGUAGACACAAAUAACAGAUGAGUACACCUCCUUCGUUAAGGGAAUUUUUAAACCAACCAUGUCAUCAAGAAACCCAAGUGCCUCACUAUAUCUGGACAGUUUAUAGGAACCACUUAUUAAUAUUGUAUAAGUAACAGAAUCUGCUAAGACUUUCCUUUUCCUCAUGGAUUUGUACAAAGCUAUCGCCUUCUCAAACUCUCCGACAUUCAUAUAGCUUCCAAUUGCUGAAUUGUAGGCAACUGUAUUCAGUUUGAUACAUCGCAGCUCAGCUGCUGACAGUACAGCAUCAAUAUUCACUUUCUGCCGACAGCGCCCACAGGCAGCUAAAAGGGUGCAAAUUGAGACGAUGUUUGGCUUAAUCCCAUCUUGCUCCAUUUGACGCAAGACUUCUACAGCCUCAGCUAAUAAACCAUUGGAUCCAUAGGCAUCAAUCAAUGCAUUAUAACUUACAAGAUUUGGCUUAACAUUGUUUCUCUUCAUCAUAUCAAAAAUUUCUCUAGCUUUUUCAGGUAGCUGCGAUCUUCUAUAAGCAUUAAGUAAAGAAGUAUAAGAAACAACAUCUGGACGAAAUCCAUUUUGUUUUAUCUGGUCAAAAACAGCAACUGCCUCUUUACUCAUUCCAUGUGAAGCAUAUGCAGCCAUUAGUGUGUUAUAUGAAACAAUAUUGGGUUGUAUACCUUCUGCAAGCAUUGCAUUGAACACAGCCUUACAGUUUUCUAUCUGUCCGCAAACAGAAUAUAGGUGUAUGAUGCUAGUGAAUGUAACGAUGUCAGGUCGGGAAUCUGCUCUCUCAUCUCUCAUGGAAUUAAAUAUAUCCAUAGCUUUUCCAUAUUGUCCGAGCUUCACUAGGCAAUUUAUCACAAUAUUGAGUGUAGUUGUAUCAGGACGAAUAUGUGUCCCUUUCAUCAAUUCAAAAUAAGAUAAAGCUUUUGAAUACUGGGCCCCACUCUUAUAUGCUGACAAUACAAUGUUAUGUGUCACCAGAUCUGGUCCAACUCCAUUUUCCGUCAUUUUCUUGCAAACCUUCAGAGCUUCUCUCCAGUUUCCACUAGAUCCACAAGCGUUUAUCAAGUUGUUAUAAGUUGAUCGACUUGGAGGGAUCUGCCCAUAUACAUUAAGGUUACAAACAUCUAUUGUUGAAAAGACAUAAAAUUUCUGAAGAGAUGGAAAAAGAAAUUAGGGAAAGAACAGUAGCUUAAUAGAAAAAGCUAGGUUGAUUUAUUUUUUAUAAAACAAGAAAACAUCAAAGCAUUGAUGCUAUCUAUCUAUAUAAAAAAAAAUAUGUGCUAACUUCACUGUUAUGUUAUCAUGUACACUGCAUGCAUGAAAGUUUUAUUUGGUUUCUUCCUCUAUCUAUUUUCCUCCAAAUAUUUAUCAGAGAACUGGAAAAGAAAGAAGCACCCUUUAUGCCACAUCAAUUUUGAUUGCUUAGUCUAGUUUGAAGGGGAAACCCCGACAAAACUCUUAAAUCCCAUUUAAACUUCCAUAAUUCUAAAUCAUAUAAUUUAUCUCACUAUGUGCAACUCUGAAUGAAUUUACAAACUUAAAAGUGGGACUUGAAGCAUGUGACCAAUAAAAAUCAUGCAAAGCAAUCUGCUCAAUCAACCAGGGGAAGAUUAUAUGAAUAGUACAGCCUGCAGACACCAAAUUUGUAUCAACCAUAACAAUAAUUAUAGUGACAACUAGAUAAUAAUAGAAGCACUUUGUGGGUGUUGUUUGACCUUAACAAUAAUAACAGUGACCAUUGCAAGAAAAUGAACGCACCAUGUAGUAUUGUGAACAUUUAUUUUAUAUGCAGUAUGAUUUCAAUGUGAAAAUAACAAAAAGAAGCUCACUCAAGUUAUACCCACAAAGAGUCAUUAGGGAUCAAAAAUACAAAUACACACAGCUGCACUGAGCAUGUCUUCCAUGAUAUUCAUAGCCCAACGCCAUUGCCCAACUUGACCAUGUGCAUGGAUAAGAGCAUUGUAUGUCUCAACAUCAGGCUUGCACCUACGGCAGAGAUACUAUGGAAUUAUCAUGUCACCACAAAGUUAAAUAAGAUUUUUGAAUGAGAAACCGUCAAAUACUUCAAAAGUUAAUAUUUAUAACAUUUGAGGAUACAAGAAGGCUAUUGCUUGGAAAAUUAUAAAACUCCAAAGCUAACAAUAUAUGCACAUAUCAUUUUAGUGUCAGCCAUGCAUGUCAAUCUGUCACCUGCUUGUAUUACACUAUUUAUGUCAUUUCAUGUAAAUUACAUUAUAAUCUUUGUUGUAAAUAAGAUAUUAUUUAGGCUAAAUCUGAUAUUACUGUGUAUGGGUUUUAUUUACUUUGAUUUAUUUCUGUGAAAUCGAGUGAGAGAGAAAAAGAGAAAGAAAACAGCCUUGCAGUCACUGUUUUGGCUGUAAUCAGCUGUGAAAAUGAAGAAGAAAGGUAGAGGAGUUGAGAGAAAGGGGUAUUCUAAAAUAAUUUCUUGUGCCUACACAUUAUGCUACAUAACAUAUUUAUACUAGUACCUAGAUAUACAAAGAAGGAAAGGUACCUAUUUUAAUGCUAAUUAAUCCCUAGAAUUAUGUACAAUAAAUCUAAAGAUACUAAUAGGAUCAUAACAAUUUCCUUAAGUUGACUAUAGUAACUUGUAUAAAUGAGAUGCUCUUCUCAUAAUUUUCUUCUUACACUCUUCUCGAUUCCUACCUUGGUUACAUGGAAUCAGUGCCUUUCGGCUUUUUUUUUUUUUUUUUUUUGGUUUGUGUUUCAUUGUUUUUUGGGGUACUUUAAUGAGUCACUUUUAAAGUGAUUUUAUAGUGUGCACUGGCAGCAAAAGGAGCGCCAUCAUUUCUUCAGCAGAUUUGCAACUUCUGACAACUGGAAAGCAAGUGUGUGAAGCUCACGCACCAUCCAAAGCUGAGCAAACCUUCGUCACAUGGCGGUGCGUGGGGAAGCUUGGGAGGCCUUCUUUCACCGAAUUCUUCCUCCGGUGCCGACUAGUCUGUUUGACCAUAACCCAGCCUUUGGGUGCCUGAUCAGAGCUGGGUUUCAGGGAAUUUGUAUCGGUUUGGAUUUGUGCGAUUGUUUGACCAUUUUGUGGCUAAUAAGUUUUAGGAAAUUCAGAUGAUUCCCCUCUUCGGUUUGAAGUUGGUGGCUUUCCUCGGGUUAUUUUGGAAUAUUUUGCUUGAAAUUUGGUUCUUUAAAUUUUCUUUACUUGUUUUAUCCAUUGUUACUUGGAUUUAAAGGAUGGCUUGUUUUAUCCAUUGUUACUUGGAUUUAAAGGAUGGCAAUAAAACCUAAAGUCCUUACAAGCGAGAUGAUUUUGAUAAUGUUGAGAAUUACAGAGCACAAAUUAAAUGAAACCAAUUAUCUAGAUUGGAGCAAGAUGGUUAGAAUUUACUUACAAAGCAUUGAUAAAGAUGAUCGCUUGAAUAACGAACCUCCUACUGAUGAUACUAGACAAGUGUGGCUGAGAGAAGAUGCUCAAUUGUUUUUUCAUAUUCGAAAUUCUAUUGAUAGUGAGAUAAUUUCCCUAAUUACCACAGUAAUUUUGUUAAGGAGCUAAUGAAUUACUAGGUUUUUUUUUUUUUUUGUAUUUAGGUAAAGAAAAUAUUUCUCAUGAUUAAGAAGUACGUCAACUAAUUGCUUGUCAAAUGUCACAUGAACUAAAAGCACCUAUAGUCAAUUUCUGUUUGAUAAAGUGAUGAUCAAUCUUAAUGUAUUUUGUUCCAUCAUGUUCAACUGGAUUUUGAGCUAUGUUGAUGGCAGCCUUGUUGUUAUAGUACAAGGAUAGUUUUCUGUUUUCUAAGAAGAGCACUAUUAUUAGUCUGAGCUGAAUGAGUGUCUUCAAUACACAACAUUCUCGUAAAAGUAUCUUGAAGAGAUGAAAUUUUAGAUCCAGAAAGAAUAUGUGAUUUGGCAGUCUCAAACUUCGAAGGAAGGUCAAUGAGGAAACUCAUAAUUGUCAUUUGUUCCUGUUAAGGAAGCUGAUCUUUAACAUUUGGGCUAAACGACAGUAGAACAUUAAACUCUUUAUACACCUUUUUAAACUCCAUAAACUGAUUUUUAGGGAUUUCAAUUUCUGAUAUUUGGGGAUAUUAUUACAAUUUACAACUUUACUGAUCUAUUUCUGAUUCAGACAGCCAUAUACUUGUAAAGCUUUAAACAACAUGAUGAAAUAUUCUAGCAAUCCACAGUGCCCUAAAGUUACUUAAGGAUAAUCAAUCAUGGCCGUAUCAUAGUUCUACAGCCAAAUAGUCAUUAUUUAGGAUAUAAUUAACAUGGGGUUCAGAACUUUUCCAGGUUCCACCAAUUACAGUUCCUUGGUCAUUAGUAUGAAGGCUCCCCACCAAAAUGUACGAGUUCAGAAUAUUCUAUAAAAGUUUAUAAUUAAUUGAGAUCUCAUGCCAAUUGAGCAAUUGUAUUGAUGCAGUCUGUAGCUGUAGCUUUAUUAGAAAUAAUUAAACUAGGAUAAUGACUUCAAAGAUCUUGAUAGAAAAACUACAAAGGCUACUUCUUGCCCAGCAUAAGAAGACUCCAAAAAGCUACACUUUUGUUAGACAGACAUGUACUUGUCUACGAACAGCAAAUUUAUUCUUGACUUCUAACCAUUUUAUAAUCAUCAUGAGAUCUACACGAGUAAAGUUUUGCAUACGGUUAAACGUAGUUUAUGUAAGUUGGAAAUGACACACUAAAUUCUAUAUAACAUUAAACAAACAGAAAGCAUUACCUCCACUUUUGCAUUUCAAAGAACAACCCCCUAGCCUGAUCUGUCCGUUUAUGUCUAGCAUGUAAUCUUAUCAUCAUAUUGUAGAUAUCAGUUCGAGCACAGUAGUUCUUCUGCUUUUUCAUCCACUCAAAUACUUUUAUACUAUGUUCAAUUGCACCCCUUUGUGUCAGUUCCUGCAAAUUCAGCAUCAAAAUCACUCAACCGAAUCACUAAUUAUUCUUAGGCUUUGUUUGGUUCUUACUUUCGUAUCUGCUUUUUUUUUUUUCUUAUUAAAAACGAGUAAAUGAAGAAUGUGAGGCGAGGAAGCAUUUUCCAUUAUUUGAAAAUUUUAACAUUUACUUGUUCAACACGUGCACUUAUGCUUGGAAUUAUUUUAAGAAAAAAAAAUACAGAGAGUAACAGCUAUGUAUUUUAUAGCUUUAUAGAAGCAUAAGAACGUGGCAUACCUUAAUGAGGAAGGGGAAAUUUUUCCUAGCAAAACGGCCAACCCACCGGUUCAGUACCGGUUCGACAUUUUCCCAAUGAUUGAGCUCCAGCACUCGGUCGACCACCUCAGAUAUGGUCCAGUCCUUCUGGAAGCGGUCGCCUUCUACACGCAAACGGUACCGUUUAGGGAUAUGGGCCUUCCUGAGUCCACUCACCCGAGUGGAAACCUCGUGCUGGCCCUUGUCGUAGUCGACGAACCCGGAUUUAUGUUCCUCAAACGCGGUGUCGUUAUUGCGUUUCUUGCAAAUGAUAAGGGAUUUGGAGGGAGUGGAGUGGGUGGAAGUUGGCGAGUUGAGAGGGAAUUUGAUAGGGAGCGGAUGGGAUAGAGUGGUCACUGAAUUUGAGGGUUGGAAUGUUUGGAAAAUUUUAGUAUUAGCAACAAACCAGUGGAAUUUUUAAUACAAAAAUCAAUAAAGCAAAACAACUUCAAAGAAAGGAAAAAAACAGGGUUCAGAUUUAUUUAGCAUAGCUGAAGAUUUAAGGUUACCGUCGAAGAUAAUUGGGAAUCCCCAAAGCCUAAACCUGCAAAAAUAUCAAAUAUAUUAAAGGCACUAAAAUGUUAAUAAAAUUAAAAGGAAGAAGACGAAUAGACUGUCACUUACAGAAGGAGAUGUGGAAUUAAAAACUCGACUGAGGGUUUUUGGGUGAUUAUUAGUAUCUACCUUGGGAUCCACACUUUUUAUGGGAGGAUAAGGUUAAGAGUGGGUUGAUUGGGUAUGAAGCACAUUUCCUUUCAUUAGUUCUGCAACUUCGUUUGGGGAGGAAGGCUUGGCAGAAAGGAAUGUAUGUCGCAAUUGCUCAAAAUUUUGAACAUUCUUCUUUUCAGAAUUCAAUCUGCCCCCUCUUUGGUGCUCUCUUCAAGCUUCUGUAAUAUCUUUUCUGACACGUAUGAAUGGUAAAAUAUCAUUAAUAGUCCCCAUAUUUCAUCAAAAUUUCAUGAUUACAAAUUUUAGUUACUUUUUCAAUUGUCAUUUCCCCCAGUUUCAAUACAAUAUUAAGACUUUGGUGGUUGAAUUUUUUAAUUUCUUCUUUUAAAAAAUUUAUCUUUUGGAAUUUUAAUAAAAUGUUGAGGGAUCAUUUGUGAUAUUUUCCAUUCUAAGCCCAAAGCAUAGAAAGCGCAACCACCAAAGAACCGCUUUUGAAAAUUAAAAUUGGAUGGGCUAUAUUGAAAUUUUGAUAUGCAUUCAAGGGUCAUUUAUGAUAUAACAUCAUUUUUCAUCAUUUAUGAUUUUACUAAAUGGCCCGUGAAUGUAUAUAAAAUUUUCAAUAUAGUCCGUCAAAUUUAAAAUUAUGUUUUUUGUAAUUUUUUAUUAUUAGUAAAAAAAAUACCAAUAUGAAAACCAUUUUGUAAGUUUAAAAGUAACAUAUAAGUUCCAAUAUAAAAGUGUAAAUACAAUUUCUUUAAUUAGUAAAUUUUAAAUUCCCAUAUUUUACAAGUAAUUGAAUUUCAAUUUUCUAAAUUUUUUAAAUUCUUAUAAUAAUUUUUAAUUUAUUUUUUAAGUGUUUUUUAGUUUAGAAAAUAACAUACUAUUUUAAAAUAAAAUUUAUAAAAGGAGGGACCAUAUCAAAAUUUUGAUAAAUUUUAAAGUGGAUAGAAUAUAUUGAAAUUUUGAUAAACUUUUAGAGAUUAUUUUUUAUAUUACUCCAUUUAUAUUUGAGCAUUUAAUCUUCCUUUGCCCAAAGUGGAAGACGGUUUUCGUAGGUAUAGGUAAUUCUCGAAGCCCCGAGAGGUGAAUUCAGCAUCCAGACCAUAGUCUUCAACUCAACAAAGUUUGUAUACCUCUUUUAAUUUUGUCAAAUGGUAUAUACCUAGUAUUACUUAGUUCUAAGUUGAAAAUGGUCAAAUUCAUGUAUCAGAGUUGUGGACAUAAGAAAAUGAUAAUGGUUCAUGCAUGAAAAAGAUUUUGUUGAUUUAAAGUUCUAUAUUGAACUUGCCAUAUGUGUGAAAUGGUCUUUUGGGACUUAAGAUUUACUAAUUGUUGUUUUAAGUUAAGUUGAAAUUAAGAGGAAUCACAAUUUUGGUAUAUGUGUGAAAUGGUCUUUUGGGGACUCGGUCUGAUGAAUACUUACUACUCAUAAAUUACAAAUACGCUAGAUUUUCCGUACUGACUGACUAAUAUGGCAGAUUCACCCUUCAGCUAACACUACUGGAAACUCUUUUAGGAAACAAGGGUUAUUUUCAUUUUCUUGAAAAAUGGUGAAGAAAACAUGUUGGGAUAAAAAAAUUAAAAAUAAUUUUUGAAAAAUGAAAAUAAAAAUAUGUGAAAAUUAGAGAAUAUUUUAGAUAAAAAAAUGAUUUAGAAAAAUAGAUUAGCACGACUCAAACCCAAACCACACCUGAGACGAUAAACACCCUUAACUAUUAUGCCAUCACAUGGGUUAACAUUUUUUCUUUACUUUCAAUGCCUUUAAAAACACAAUUUGGUUCUCAUUAAAAUCAUCAUUCAACUUGGUAAGGUUAAAAGAGUUAUGCUAGUAUUGGUCACAUGGGCUUGAACCACUUCGGCUCCACUCAUUUCUCAUUAAACAUAUAUAUAUUGCCACAACAUUUGCUUUGAUUAUUUAGUUUAAGGUUAACUUAAAGUUUUUCUUUGGUUGCCAAAGACGCUUAUAAGAAUCUAAGCACCAGAAUCACUGUAGUUCUCUACACAUCUAGAAACUGACCCUUUAUCCAUCUGCACAAGACUAGCAGUAGCAUUAGGCAAAUUUUCAAAUAGACUCAACACCAUUCCUAAAUUUCUUCCAAUCCUAGCCAAAGAGUUUGCAACUUUGUCAUGUAGUUAUAUUUAUUUUGUUCAACCUAUAGUUGUAAUUUUGAAUCUAGUAGAACAAAAUAAUAUAAAAUUUACAUGGUGUUCAAUAAUGGUAUUGAUUGGUUAGCAAAAUCAGCUCUAUGUAGGAAAAAUUAUGGUAUUGUGCAGCACUUGUAACUGGUUUUGAUUUUGUAUAUGGUAUUUUAUCAUGCACAGGCAUCAAUCAAGAGGGAAAGAAGAAUUAUUUAAUGAGGUAUUCUUUUGGUAGCGAUUUCAUCAAGAGAAGGGAUUUUAACCGUAAGGAGGCUGAGGAAACUUGGAGAGUCAAUAGAUUAAUCGGGAUGACAACUAAAAAGGAUGAUGAUUUAGUCAUGAAAAAGUUAGUAGUCUUGAGGUGCGACUUCUCUCUUAUUUCUUAUUCGUGUUGAGGUGCUCUUUAUCUGCGACUAAAUGAAGUUGGUUUACUCAAAAGUGGUUUGGUGAAGAAAUUAGUGGUUAAUUUGAGACUUGAUCUUAUCAUGUUAACUUAAAACAAAACUAGCAAAGGUGGAAGAUGGGAUUGUUCAAAUGAUUUGGACGGAUUCUAAUAGUUGGUGUGAUUGUGGAGCUCUUAAAUAUUGUUAUCCUACUAUGUCUUUCCUUAGGAAUAGACGCAUUUCGAUCUCGGAUGAGCAUGUUGUUUGUCAUUGGUGCAAAGUGAAAUCUAAGGAUGUUAGUCACAUUUUGUUGAACUAUGCCCGAGUUAACAAAUUCUGAGGUAUUUUAUCCUUUCUUUCGUUAUGCUUUGAUAAGUUGGUGUCUAAACCUCUGUUUAAUUGGUGGUUGAUGUCUAUUAUGGUUGCCUUGUGGACCAUCUAGAGUGCAAGAAAUGAUUCUAUGUUUAGAGCAAAAGAUUUUAAUUUGGAGAACAUUUUUUUUCUGGUUAAAUUAAGAUCUUUGCAUUGGAUAAAAGUCUUGCCAGAAUGUAUGAAUUUUGAUGGAUAAAAGUCUUGCCAGAAUGUAUGAAUUUUGAUGAGUCAAUGUGGGGGAAGGGGGUGUCCGCGAGAUUGUGAAAGGAGUAUCCGUAGCCAUCAUACCAAGAGUGUGACGCGUUGGGAACCUUCAAAUGAAGGCUGAUUAAAGUUUAACGAUGAUGGUUCAACAUUAGGUAAAUUUGGCCUGACAGAGUGUGGAAUGGAUUUUAGAAAUUCAAAGGGUCAUGUCAUUGAUAUGCUUCAGGUCCCUAAGGCAUCCAAGAUUCUAAUUUCGCUGAAAUUAUGACGAUUAAGUUGGCUCUUCAUUUCUUCUUAGACUCCAAGAGGAUUAAAGACUAAAAGCUUAUGGUUGACUCCGACUUCAUAGUCGCGCUUACUUGGUGUAUCAAUGAGAAAUCUAGGCCUUGGAAAUAUUAGCACAUUUUAGCAAGCAUUGAUGAGAUUAAGAUGUCCAUUCAUGAGGUACUAUUUAGAAAAAGUGGGAGAGAUGCUACUGGUAUGGCAGAUUCGUUGGCAAAAUCAGAAUGCUUUCGAUCUUAAAUGUUUUUUUUGUGAUUGGUGAUGAGCAUCGUUGAGUUUAAUUGAGAUGAUAGUUUCAUUGUUAUUUCAUCCAAGAAAAUUCACCGCAGCGAUUAUUAGACUAUCAAACAACAGUAUUUUGUGCCUAUUUGAACGUCAGUGCUGCUGUUUUAAGGUGUGCUGCAGUUGCAAUAAUCAUAACCAAUAAUUCUACAAAAAUAAUUAAGUUAACUAAGUUUGAUUAAAGAUAAAUACUUUAUUUUACGAUAGUUUUGGUAAUUAAAUAAUGAAAAGAAUUAUUUUUUCUGUUAUGAAAAUAUUUAUCUUGUAUCUGUUUCACUUGAAACAAUUUUCAAAAAAUGAGUUCAAGAGAACUUAUCAAAUACUGUAAAAUUUUUUACAUAAAAUCAUUCGGAAAAUAUUACAUUUUUCCGAAAAGCAAACUAUUUUCCGGAAAUCAUUUUCCAGAAAAUGUUUUCAAUCAAACAAACAAACCCCAAAUUUGAUUGAAUUCCACACUUGGAGUUAGAAGUUCUGAGCAGCCGAAAAUUAUACAGAUGCUAUUGUCAUUGCUACAGAUAUUGGUUUUCCCCUAAGUUCUUACCAUUACCACCAACAAGAUUCUCACUUACAACACAAAGUCAGAACAAAAUCAACAAUAUUGAAAAUAGACACUAAAACUCAUUCUAGUUUCCAGAAUCUUUUAUCACUGUACAAUGGUUAUGUACAACUGAUUCACAUUGCAAGUGAUGAUCGUUACACAAUUUGUUAAACAUUUCAGAGCAAGAUUGAUUUAUUAGAGUGUAUGAUAAGAUCCAUAAACAAGGUGGCAGUGAUUAUAUCUGCAGAAAAGCCCUUACCAACCAUUUCCAUAAGAAGUUGCGUUGCCUUUGAAGAAUAGCUGUUGCGAAGGAACCCCCGAAUCGUUACAUUAUAACAGCAGCUAUUAGGCAAACAGUCAUUAUCUCCCAUGCUCCCAAAUAACCUGUAUGCUUCAGCCGGCAAUCCCUCUUUACACAGUCUAUUAAUCAUUAAAUAAUAUGUGACAACAUCCGGUUUUAAACCAUUGUUUGAGAGUUGAUGAAAUAAUUCCUUGGCAACUUCGAUAUGCCCAGCUUUACAAAACCCAUCAAUUAGGAUAGUAUACGGGACAAUAUCAAGUUCAAACCCACUGUUUUGCAUUGCUUGAUAAAGUUUCAAUGCCUCUUCGAUAUGACCUGUUUUGCAUAAACCAUCCAGCAAAAUCAAACAGGUCACUAUAUCUGGAACUUGUCCAGAAGCAAGCAUCUUUCUAAAAAGUUCACAUGCAGUUGAAACUUUCCCUAACUGAAACAUACUCUGCAUAAGAGUGCUGUAUGUGACAAAAUCUGGGAUUGGUCCCUUUCGAGAUAUUUCAUGAAAGAGUUCCAUUGCUUCGUCUAACCUUUUAUCUUUGCAAUAUCCAUUGAUCAUGGUGUUGUAAGUAACUAUAUUAGGUGCACAACCCUUCUCAAUCAUCAAGUUGAAAACUCUUCUAGCUUUAUCCAUUUCAUUCUGAAAGCAAUGACCAUUAACUAAUGCACAAUAGGUAACAACAUCAGGCUCAAUGCCUCGCUUUAUCAUUGCAUCAACAAUAUCCUCAGCUUCAAAGACCAUCCCUUCCUUGCAAUGCGCAUCAACGAAUGUAUUAUACGUGACAACAUUAGGCUCAAUGCCUCGCUUUAUCAUUGCAUCAACAAUAUCCUCAGCUUCAAAGACCAUCCCUUCCUUGCAAUGCGCAUCAACCAAUGUAUUAUACGUGACAACAUUAGGCUCAAUGCCUUGCUUUCUCAUCAUGUCAACGGUCUCUACAGCUUUAGAAAUCGUUCCUUCCUUGCAAAGAGCAUCAAUCAAUAAAGUAUAUGCGACAAUAUCAAGUGAAAUAUUGUUAUCCACCAUUUCAUUCAAGAGCCUUGUUGCCUCCUCCUGCUGGCCCGAAUUACACAUACCAUGAAUUAAGCAAGUGUAAGUAAUGAUCUUUGGUCUAAUGCCCUUAACCUUCACUUCGGAGAAGAGAUCGAGAGCCUCCUUUAAUAACCCGUUCUUACAAGGACAGUCAAUGACAGUGCUAUAUGCUACAUUAUUGGGUUCGAAACCUCUGCUUUCCAUCAACCUUAGAAACCUAACAGCUCUAUCAGUAUUGCCGAUCUUAGACAACCUUAAGUACUGUAUUGUAAACAAUCAAAUUAGGUUGAUACCCUUUUUCAGUCAUUUCAUCGAACAUACAAACGGCCUCAGAAAUCUUACUUUGAUUACAAAUCCCGUUUAUCAAAGUUGAAAAAGUUACAGCACUAGGUUCAACACCUAACUUCAGCAUUUUCCCCAAAACAGACAACCCAAAAUCAAUUCGACCUAAUUGACAAAAGCAAUUAAUCAAGAUGCUCACAGAAUAAACAUCAUGGGAAACGCCUAAUAAUUCCAUCUGGCUACACAUAGAAACAACAAUGGCAUAAUGUUUCAUUCUAACAAUGGCUGCAAAUAAUUUAGUGAAUCCCAGAAUUGAAGGCACUUGGUACCUGCCAAUCAUCUUAUUGAACAAAAUCAAAGCAUGAUCAACAUUCUCGAAGCCAUCAUCCCCUUUUCCCUUUCCUCUAACAGACAUGGCUUUCUUACUUAAGGCUUUGAUGUGGGGAGCAAUGGUGUUAGAAGAAGAAGAAGAAGAAGAGUGGAAGUUAGAAAGAUGGCUUCCACCAUUAACAAGUGAACGAAGAAUAAAAGAAGAAGGAAGCUUACCCAUAUCUUGAAAGUAAGCAAAAUGAAAACAAAAAAAAAAACAAAGAGAGCUGAGCUUGAAAAUGAAACCUUAUUUGGGUUCGUUACUUUCCCGGCUGAAAAAGCCGUAACAGAGAGGCUCCGGAGAUUUCAGCUUCCUCACCUUACUGUCUACUCUUGUGUCGAUGGUGGAUGGAUGAUUAGAAACAUCAACGUUGGGCACCUCUCCCAUAGCCCAAACAUUCAGCCCAUUCUUGGCACCCAUCAUUUUUUUCAUUUCUAAAAUUUCAAUCCUCGUUUAAGUUCAAUUCUGCUACUUACAAAAUUUUAUCUAACAAAUAUAUUAAUACAUAUUAAAUAUUACAUCAAUUUAUUAUUUUAGUAUAAUAAUUAUAAAAAAAUCAUCUUAUUUUAAUUAAAAAAAUUUAAUGACUAAUACACAUACCACGAGACUAAUAAUAAAAUUUUAUCUAUCAAAUUCAAUUGUUACGGUUUACCCUAAAAUUAAAAUUUUAAAAGUUUAAUUUUUUUUAAAGAUCUUAAUCAUUUGAAUCAAGGAAUAGCACUAAGGUCUAAAUGUUAAAAUAUUCACGCUUAAUUUAUCUUAUCUUUUCAUUAAUUUAAAAUAACAUCAUAGUUACUAACAAGCAUAGCGUAUAACGGUAAUUCAUAUUGCAUUUUUAAAGAAAUAUGUAAGAUUAAAUCUUGGAGGCGACAUUGUCAAAAAGAAAAACCUCUAAAACAAACAUGAAAAAUACUAAAAAAAUUAAUGUAAUUAUAUAUAUUUAUGUGUGUAUAUGUUCAUACCAUACAUACAUGCCUUUGGAGAUAGCUUUUAAAGUUUAAGGUAUACAUGGGAUGUUAUCUUUAAUGUGAAUUUUUUUUGGUAGGCUUGAAUUUAAAUAUUUAUUGUUUUAUAUAACCUUUUUUCGGAUCAAAUCAUUUAUAAUAUAUAUGAAAAGUAAAUACAUGAAUAUCGUAGAUAUUAGGCCUUGAAAUUGUGAUGGUUAGCUUUUUUGAGGGUGUAAUUGAAAUGUGAGAGGAAAAAAAGAGAGAGGGAAAGUAGAAGUCAGGGUCGAGUUUGGAUCAUGUCUCAACAAAAUUUUAGGCCUGUUUUUGAAGUCUAGGUUCGGUUUAACUCGAAAAAUAGGUUUGAAAAUUACCCAAGUUUAGUUCAAAUUAUAAAAUCUAAACCCGAGCCUAACCCGUAUUAAAUUUUUUUAUUAUAAAAGUUGAGAUACAAAAUUAUGUCAAAAAUUAAAAUAUAAAAAAUAAAUUAUUUUGCAUUUUAGGCCGAGUUUUGUAAUAUUUAGGGAAAUAAAUUGAUUUUGGAGAGAGCGUGAAAACGUAUCUAGCUGAAAGCGUUUUUUACAUAAUUGGCAGGAAUUUGCACCCAGCUAGACUCGUUUUCCCUUACGCAUUUUCUGAUUUUAUUUUUAAUAAAAUUAGUUACUUUGAUCAGAUGAUUAAAUGUUAGUGGUUUUGUACGAUUCCUCUUUUAAGCACAUUUAUAAUUUUUAUUUCAUCAUGUUUCAAGCUUUUUUAUUUAUUUUUAAUUAAUAAAUAUAUUGUUUUGAAGUUUUUUUAUUUUUAAUUCAUCUUUUUAAUUAAUGUCUCUUUUAUUUAUAAAAUUAAAUAAUAAAUAUGUAAUUAUAUAAUAAAAAUAUAUAUUUUAUGUAUAACUUCUUUAUAUAUAAUACAAACAUCAACUAAUUUUGUAUGUAAUAUAAAAUGAAAUAAUUAUUUCAAAUAUAAUUAUUGUUUUUAUAUGUAAUAUAUUUCAAAUAUUUUUAAUCAUUUGACCAAAAAAACUAAUUAUAUUAAAAAACUCAGAAAAUGUGUCUUAAAGUAAAAAAAUCAGGAUAGUAAAAUCAAGAGUGGUCAUGCUUUGUUUUUAAAUUAAGGUUGUAGGAAUUUUGUAAAGUGAAUUAAUUUGGUUUUGUGAUUAAGUGUUGUGUUUGUGUAUGAGAGUACCUGUGUUCAAAUUUUUUUCCUUGAACUUUUGCUAUUUUUGCCCUAACCUGUAACACCCCUAACCCGUAUCCGUCGUCGAAUUAGGGUUGCGAGACAUUAUUGGACAAAACACAACUCAAUACAGACAUUCAACAAAAUUCAAGAAUUUAACAUUUAUAUGCAAUUCGUUUGAAUACGGGUUUAAAUCUACUAUUUUCAAAUCAAGAUAUAAGCAUCGUAUAUAUAUAUAAAAUGAAAUAUAUUAAGCUUAGUCAAAUUUUAAGUAAGUAUAAUUAUAAAUUCUACUUUAACCUUUUAAAACAAAACAAAACAUUUCGAUCCCGUUAAACCAUAAUAAAAUAAGCCAUUUUCGUAUGGCUAUUAAUUAUAUAUACAGUACAUCAAAGUACGACUUCCAAAACAUUAUUUAGCCUAUACAUGCCAUAAGUUAAAAUUUAAACAUUUCAAUACCGAGACAAUAGAUAGAGUGAUGAUCUUUGCUGACGAUCCCCGAGCCUGCAGCUUUAUUUUUAUCUAUAAAACAAAUGGACGUAAACUAACAAAGUAAGCUUUUAUCGCUUAGUAAGUCUUUAGCAUAUCUAUAAUACAUAUAAAAGAAUCAUAUAACUCCUUAAGUAAAUUUAUUGAGAUCACAAAUACCAUUCAAACAUUGCUAUCUUAAGUCAUUUUGUUGAUAUCUAAAAGAAUGUAUAUUUAAUUAAUACAUAUAAACGAACAUAUGUAUAUUCAUUAUAUGCAUAUAACCAAGCUAUACACAUACUGUAUAUUCAUUAUAUGCAUAUAACCAAGCUAUACACAUACUCACUAUCUGCAUAUACUGAUUGCUAGUGUACUUAUCGCUUGCACUUCAUCGAACACAUUUAUAUAUAUAAUUAUUCAAAUACAUAUGCCAAAAGCAUAUAUUUAUACUUAUCAAUUACAUGUGCCAAAUGCACAUAUAUACUUGUAAUCCACAUAUGCCGAAUGCAUACAUAUAUAUAUCCAACAAUUUCAUAACAACCAAUAUACGUACUUACUCGCUAAACACAAAGAUCCAAACGUUUAUAUGCUCAUCAAAUACAUAGAAACAAAUGUUCAUAUAUUUAUCCAUUACAUAUAACCAAAAUCAUAUAUAUACCCGAUGCAUAUAAUCACUUAAUUUAAACAGAUUCACCGGCACUUAGCCUAUUAGGCUUAAAGCCUAAUUCAGAUCACCGGCACUUAGCCUGUCAGGCUUAUAACCUGAUUCAGAUCACUGGCAUUUAGCCUGAUUCAAAUCACUGGCACUUAGCCUGUUAGGCUUAUAACCUGGUUCAGAUCACCGGCACUUAGCCUACUAGGCUUAUAGCCUGAUUCAGUUCACCGACACUUAGCUUGCUAGGCUUAUAGCUUGAUUCAGUUCACCGGCACUUAGCCUGCUAGGCUUAUAGCCUGGUUUAGAUCACCGGCACUUAGCCUGUUAGACUUAUAGUCCGAAAUGUUUCACCGGCAUCAAGCCUGCUAGACAUAAAGUCUGAAUUAUCCCACUGGCGAUAAGCCUUCUAGACACUGAGCCUGAAAUAUCAUUUCACAUAAGUUGUAACUCAUAUUCAAACUAUAUAUGUAUAUAAAAUCCAUACAUAAAAAUUCAACCCAAAAUUUAUAACUUAUAUGCUUGAACCACAUGGAUAUAUAUAAAGUUCAAUCACCAAAUCCAACAUUAAUAUCUCAAUGAUUCAACCGAACAAAUUUAUAUAUAACUUCAUACUUUAGAUACUACUACUAAUAUCAUACUAUUUAACUUAGAACAUACUAUGUACAUUUAACAUUCGAAUCUCACAUAUACCUAUAUAAUUUCAUACCCCAUUUCAAUAUAAAAACUUAUACAUGUACAUAUAUACAUAUUCGAAUCUAACAUAUAUACAUAUAUAAUUUUAUACUUACAUUCGAAACAAGUACUUAUACUUGUAUACACAUACAUUUUCGAAUUUAACUAAUACAUAUAUAAUUUCAUACUUAUACUCAAUAUAAGCAAUUAUACAUAAAUAUACAUGCUUAUUCGAUCCAAACAUAUACAAAUAUAUUAUACAUAUAUAUAUGUAACAUCCAUACUUUUAAUAAAAUCCAAGAAUUUAUACUCAUAUAUACAUACCUAUUCAAACCUCUUGUAAACAUAUAUAACAUUCAACAUUAACUAAAUUCAAAACUUAUUCAUGUAUAUACACAUAUAUCCGAACUUUAUUUAUAUAAAUAUAACAUACAUACUUUUAACUAAAUUCAAGAACUUAUACAUGUAUAUAUAUAUUAUCCACUAUUAGUUCUAUAUUAUUGAAAUUUAAACAAACUUUAGCUAACAUACAUGUAAUUUGCAUCAUUAAUAUCAACUUACCAAAGUAAAUUCUUGUUUUCGGCUAUCAAUAAUAAAAUUUAAAGUUUCAUUCAAUUUGAAUAUAUUAAGUUUCAGCUUAUCAUAUGUAAAAUAAAUAUAAUAAGCAUAUAUUUAAUUUAGAUAACAUUUAAUUGCUAAUUGACUUACCUCGGAUGUCGACAGACACGUUUGACUAUUCCACUACUUUCGUUUUUCCCCAAUCCAAUUCCGUUUUCUUCGUUUCUUGAUCUAAACAUAUUCAAAUUUAGCAUUUUUAUUCAACAAAUCAUUCAAUUAAAUCCAAAAAUACAUAAAUGGGCAAAUUACCAUUUUGCUCCUAAUAUUUUACACUUUUUACAAUUUAGUCCUUUUUGCACAAAACACAAAAUACACAAAAUUUAAUCACACCAUACUAGGGCCGAAUGUUCCUAGUGUUCACACAAGUCCACACAUUUCAUUUAUUUCACAUUUUAGUCCCUAGAAAAAUUAUUUUCACAAUUUUGCCCUAAUUACUCAAUUUCACCAAAAAUUCAAAGACAAAACAUGUUAAUCUUUCACAUAUCUUUCAUUUUUCAUCAUCAACUAUCACAAAGCUCAAUCAUUCAUCAAUUGCACAUUUCAAAAUCAUCAACAAUUCACAAAAUUAAGACAUGGGUUUUGAAGUAUUCAAAGCAACGAUCUCAAAAACGUAAAAAUUAUCAAAAACAGAACAAAAACUAACCUUGAAUUAAGCUUCAAAAGAUGGCCGAACCUAGCUUAGGUUUCUUUCUUUUUCUUUUCUCUAGUUUCGGUCAAAAUAAGAUGAAAAUGUAGCUUUUAAUUUGUUUGUCUUUUAAUAUAUUAACUUUAUAAUAUAAUAUAUUAUUAUAACCUUUAUACAUAAUAUAAAAACUAUAAAUUAUAAGCAUAAUGCUGUCCACUAUCUUGAUUAAUGACCUAAUUUCCUAUUAAGGACUUCACAUUAUAAAGACAUUAGCAAGUUAGCACUUUACACAUUAAUUAGUCAAUUUCACAUUUUACGCAAUUAAGUCCGUUUAUUAAAUUAAGCACACAAACAAUAAAAUCAAUUCACGAAACUUUCACACAUGUAAAUUAACACAUAAUAAACACAAAAAAUAACAUUAAAAUAUUUUUUUAGACUCGGAUUCGUGGUCCCAAAACCACUAUGUCCUAUUAGGGUCAAAAUCGGGCUGUGACAUAACCCCUCUAUCCUUGAACGUUUGGUUUAUAUAUUAUUUUCGCUUAAUUGAUGACAAAAAUGAGCUUGUUGGUUUAGUGGUAAGGCUUCAACUUAUUUAAAUGUGUUGUGUUUAAAUGUUGUUUGUGUAAAAUAGAAAUUACUUUUUUUUAUUUUAAACUUUGAAAAAAAUAUGAUAAGGAUAACUAAUCAGAUUUAGUGGGAGUUAAUGGGGAUCUGGGUAGUUUUUUGAUAAAUCUGUUUGAAAUUAUUUUCCCAAAAUUCUCAAUUGCUUUUCCACUCUCCACUCUUUCAAUUUUGGCUUUUCAAGUUAGAUUACUGCAUAAGAUUUUCUUUGUUUUCUUCUUUUUUCCCCCUUUUUUUCUGAAAUUUUCUCUUUUUCCUUCCUUCUCUUAUCUUUUUUUUUUGUCUGCCAUCAUUAUUUUGGUGAGUUCGUCACUCGAAUUUUGUAACCAGUCUUGCGUGUCUGGAAGUUCUUUGCUACAAUAUUUAAAUCUUACUGUAAAGUAAAAUUUAUUCUUGUGGUUGGGAGUGUUGAAUGUGAAAUUUUGGUUAAUGAUUUGUGAACGAUUUCUUUUGGGUUAAUUUCUCUUGUGUUUCUGAUAGGAGAUAAUAGAGAGACGCAAAACUCUCAUUCUGUAACACCCCAAACCUAGCCUAGACAUUAUGGUCGUAUCUGGCAAUGGCACAUGAUCGUGUUUUUGAAACCUCGUUGUUACGAUGAAAGCAUUCCAUGUUAUUAUCUUUAGUAAACAUUUGUUAGAACUUAGGAAGUCGCCUUUAUUCAUUUAAAAUAUUUGUUUUGAAACAUCUCUCGUUGGGGAAGCUUUAAUAAAACAGUCUAAGGGCAUGUUUGGUUCGCUGUAUUGGAUUAGAGGUGUAUUGGAUUAGAGGUGUAAUGGAAUAGAGGUGUAAUGGAAUAGAGGUGUAAUAGCAAAUCAACUGUUUGGUUGAAUGUAAUGGAAUAGAGGCGUAAUAGUAAUCUUGUGUUUGGUUGAAUGGAAUAGAGGUGUAAUAGCAUAAUGAAAAAAACUAAAAUGACUAGAAUACCCUUAGCAUAAAUUUAUUUUGGUAAAUGAUUAUUGUUAUUUAAAUUUUAAUAAGAUUAUUAUUAUCAAUAAUAAAUAAUUUAGUCAUAUUUAAACAUAAUUAUUAUUAAAUAUAUUAUAAUUAAAAUAUAUAAUUUAAUAAAAUUCUUAAUAAUUAAUAUUCUAAUAUGAAUUUACUCAAACCAUAAUAUAUGAUACUAUAAAAGAUAAUUUGAAAUGAUUAAUAUUAAAUAUAUUUUAAUUAAAAUAUAUGAUUUAAUAAAAUUUAAAAUAAUUAUAACUAAUAAAUUAUCUUAUAUGAAUUUGUAUAAUUUAAAAUAAUUAUUAUUACAUAUAAUUUAAUAAUAAUAUAUAAUUUCAUAAAAUUAUUGAUAAUAAUUUUUCUUAUAUGAAUUUAUACAAUUUAAAAUAAUUAAUAUUAAAUAUAAUUUAAUAAUGAUAUAUAAUUUCAUAACAUUCUUAAUAAUAAAAUGUUCUUAUAUGAAUUUACUAAAAUCAAAAUAUAACUUGAGAAUUAUAUUCUGCAUAAACAUAAUUAACUUAUAUUAAGAAAAGGUUAGAUGAAAAUGAAAUUCUACAUCAUAAUCCAUAUGUUAUAUAGUUUUACAACAUCAAAAAGUUUGAACAUCGAUUUUUUGCAUGUCAGAGCUGUGUUCUCCUACAUAUUAGAACAGCAGUUGUCGGCUCACUAGUUCUUGUAAAAACCACCCAAGAGAGAGCGAGCGAGAUGAGUGGCAUGGCCAAAACAAAAAUGUCAUGUAUACACACACCCAAAGUCUCCACGUCAGAAGGUCAAAGGAAAGACAGUUCAAUUUCUGUGUUAUUGCCAGCCAUUCUUCAUCGUAUUGAACCUCAUAAGGUCCUGGAUCAUAUUAAAUAUCAACAAUCUAAAAGAUCAGAGAAAGCCAGAAUUCAUUAAUUAGCUUCCAGCAAAGACCAAAAGAAAGAACCUAAACGAAAUGGUCAAAACUUAUGAUAGAUAUCUACAAGAACUUGCGCCCUGGAAGGCAAUUAUCGAGUGCAAGAAAUUUUGUCGCUCGACCACCCUCUUCAUGUUCAACAAGAGUGGUGAAUUUGCAGUGCAAGUAAGCUGAAAACCAAUAAAAUGGUUUGAAUUUUUUGAGCAGCUGAGCAACCAGGAAUGGUCAACAAGAAAACUGAAUACGCUUGAUAUGAAGAUUUUCAUUUUUUCACAUAUAUGCAUUUCCACCAAUCGGUUAUAAUUACCUCAUCUUUGAAUUGUUUUUUUGUAGCGAACAAGUUGUUGCCAGUUCCCAUAAUUAGUGCUGCUGAGCGGCCAAUCGUGUGAAAGGAAAAUUUAAGUCGGUUCCUCUAGGUGCAUGAGCUUGUGAACAUCAUACUCCCAGUUAUAAGAUGGCCUUUCAUGGUGUCAUGCUCAAGGAAAAGCUAAUUCAUUUCAGUUUCAAAGCUUCAACUCUCCACCCUAAAUAAGAAUCAAUAUAACAUAUCUGACACUCGCUUGCAGUAAAUAAACAAUUACCAUUAAAAGAAAUCCAGAAUAAACACAAAAUAGACAAGUAAAAGAACUUCAAACCCAACCUAAACAAUAAUUACUCUCAAAACUGCAUAUGCUUAUUGAUGCUGUCACUGAGAGUUAUAACAAAUAUUUCUUUGGGGACGUUGGGAGAGAAAUAUAUGAGUUCUUUUGGGGUUAUUUUGCUGACUGGUAUGUAGAAUGUUCUUUUAUAAUCUACUUUCUGCUAAUAGAACGUAGUUCUAUUGUUUUAUGCCAUUAAGUUCUGGAUUUUAUGCCAUUUACAGAUCAUGAAAACUGAAAAGUAAUGGAGUUUAUGCUGUUGUUAUAUAGCACAUAAUGCCCUUUUUUUCUAAGGUUAAAGUUGUAAAAUUCAUUUGGUGGAUAGUUUAUUGUUAUCAUUACUAGAAUUCUAUUGUAAGUUGGAUCAGUAUAUGUUGUUGACACAUACAUGAAAUACCUGUCAUGGUUGUAUGUUUUUUGCAAAAAAUACUGGUAUAAACACAGUGAAUACUCCACCUAUCCAAUAAUUAAUAAAAUAUAUGUGCCAUCGAAACAGUAUAAGUUCCUUUGCAAUGCCAUCGAAAGAAGCUAAACAUAUGUCAUAAUAGCAACUAGUAGAAAAUAACAAAUCAACAAGACAAAUGCUUAGAAAUACAAUGUAACAGACAGUGAACAGAAAAAUGGAAGUGAGAAAGAACAAGUGCAUCUGCAUGUGUGUUGCAGUGGGAGGAGAAUGCACCAGGCAUCACAACAAGUAAUAGCUCCAAUACAACAAUAGGAAGGGAUAUGUAAUGUUAGAUGGUAACGCCAAAAAGAAUACCAGAUCAUUGGCAGAACAAAAAGAUGAGCAAGACAUGUAGAGGUUCCAAUGUCACAACAAAAUUGGAAAGGAGACCUAAUUGUAAUCGCACUUGACAGCAAGUUGCAAGAAGUAUGGCAUGUUUAGGUCACCCAACCCUGAUACAUGAACACUGGAAGAACUGACACAACCAUUUCAAAUUAAAGGUUAUUACUCCGAACAGAGUAAUAGAUGACACACUUCAGCAUAUUGUAUUUUGACACCAAUAAAUGUGAUAAACACAAAGAAAUGCCAACAAGUAAUGCCCCAAGUUAAUAAAUUGUAGAUCCACCAAAACUAGUUGAAUUUAUACUACAAUAAUAGGGAAUCGGAGACAUCUUGUACUUGGAAGAGGAUGCAGAUACAUCUAUAUCUAUUUUCAACUCUAUUUAUACCUGACGGAGCCGUCUAUACUGCCCGCUACCAUAACUUCUGUUUCCAUUUGACCCUCUAGUGCCUGGACAUCAACUUGUCUGCUCCAAAGGACUAUAACAUAUAUUUCUUAAUAAAUUUUCAUCUAUUGCACCUUAUCUCCAAACCUGAAACAAAUCUGAAAUACUGUAAAAUAUAAUAAUGAAGACUAAGUGAUUAUCAAUAAGAAAUUUGGGAAUAAAACUCUAACUUAAAGAAUGAAAAAUAUUGCAAAAGAUAUAUGCGUGAGUAUUACAAACAAUAUAAAUUCAUCAAAUUUUGAGUUAUCUCCUCCAUUAAUUAGUUUAUUUUUGUCCUCUCCAGCAGCAAAACAAGGAUUAAGAGGAAGAGAUCGAUAUGGUGAUUACGAUUGACUCCAAGCAAUUUAAUUCUAGUCCAUAGGUUUCCCAUAAGAGAACGAAACAUUAUCUCCCCCGAAAGACAGAGACUUGGGAGUUGAGUUGUAGCUUAUAUUUUUAGAAAAAUUUAAAGAAAACCCAUCACCAAAAACCCUUCUAAACAAAAUUUGAUUAUUGCAAGAACAGAAACCAAACGAAAUUAAACUUGAAAAGAAAAAUCUGCUAACCUGAAAGUGUAAUGCUGUGAUAAAAGAAGCAACUUUGAACGCAUUUGCAGAGAAAGUGUGAAAGAGAUUUUGGGAAGAAUUUUCUUUAUUUCUAUUCAGCCAUAGUCGGAAUGGCCAUUCAAAGCAUUCAGCACUGAAUCCCUAUUACGCAUUUGAGGGAACCAACCAAACAAAGGCAUUGAUAUUCUCCCAAGAAUAAAGAGGGUGCCAACCAAACAUGGCCUGAUUCUUUUAAUCUAAAAACCGAAAAGAAACGGGGGGAGCAAAUCGGUAGAAAAGAAAAGAAAAUAAACUAGGAGCAAAUCGACAGAAAAGAAAAACAAAGAAACAAGGAAGCAAAUCGGAUGAAGGUAGAAGGAACAGAAGAGAAACAAAGGGGAUUGGGGAGGGUAAAACAUGGAGGGUUUGCUGAAGCGGUACCUAAUCUGGGCAAAAGAGGAGGAAUAGAAAUCGGUGGUUUUCACCGAUUAGGGAAGUAAUGGAUUACACGCGUAUUAGCAAUACAUUGAACCAAACGGCGGAUUAGAGAGUGAUUAGGUGGGGCCCACCAAUUAGAGGUGUAUUGGCAUAGCCAAUACACCAAACCAAACAUGGUGUAAGUGAUCAUGCGUUUAGAAAAUACAUUAACUUUUUGAAAACCGAAUUUCCUACGACCAGCAGGUAUAAAUUCAUAAAGUAAAAUAAAUAAAUAAAAACCCAAAAUAUAAAACUAAAGUCCUAGAGAGUCCUUAAAUUACAACCCAAAUAAUCAAUAAUAAUCAAAUCAUAAAUCAUAAAUUGAAAACCAUGUAGUCUAAAAAUUACAGUGGUCACCGCUGAGUCCUCCGUCACAUCGAACCGUCUAAGUUUAAGGAUUACCUGUACACAUUAAACAAAAAGGGUGGGUUUACGUAAACUCAGUGUGUAAUCUCGUAGAAACAAACAAACAAUCAGUAUUCACAGUGCACAGUUGAACAGCCUUGGGCCUAAUCCCUUUUCAGUAUCAGUGACAGUUUGGGCCUUAGCCCAUCUCAGUACAGUGUCAAAAUUGUAGUAGGGCCUUAGCCCAUCACAGUAUCAGUAGUAGUAACAACUAUGCAAUAGCAAAAUCCUACCCAACUAGCCUCUACACACCAUCUCCGUCCAACCCUACACUUUAUGUAGGGAUAUAAUCAACCCCCAUCCCUACACUCCUAGUGGUACCGAAUGUGGCACAAAACAGUAGUUUACAGCUGAGCUGCUAGUAAAUUAGGCUUAAAGCCUUUCAGUACACUUCCUCCAAAUAACAACCCCCAACCUAAUACAAAGCAAUAUACCAUGGAUGAUAUGCUAUUAUGUAAUUUCAAUACAUAUAUUCAGUUCAGAUAUUAACAUGCUCAGUACAAAUAUCAUUCAGUCAAUUUCACACAUUUAGGGGUCUAAGUAGCGUUUACCGACCUUACAGUAGGUUCACAGUCAACUUGGGCGACCCGUGCAACCUUAGAAUCUUUUCAGUAAAAAUGGGCCCACACACCCGUGUGUGCCUGUGUGGCCCACUCGACCCAAAUUGGCCUUGGCCGUGUGAUCCAUUUUUAAUGUAACCUAUGCUAGCUAAAUAUUCAUAUAUGUUUCCACUGUUUACUUAUAUGAUCAUUCAAAGCUGUCUACUUGAGUCAUUGUCACUAAAUUAUUUAUAUCUUGAGCUACAAAAUUCCAAAUUAAGAUCCGCUUAAUGUUUUCGAAACUAGACUCAAAUACCUUUCUAACAUAAAAUUUUCAGGAUUUAUAGCUUAUCAAAUAAGUACAGUAAAAUCUUCAAAAUUAUCCUUAUUCUGCUGUUUGAUAGCUUCAACCUUUCCUUACUAAAAAUUAUUUAUCUCUUAGUACGAAAUUUGGAUGAUGUUUCCAUUUAUUUCUCUUGAAAAUAGACUCGUUAAUGAUUUAAACGUAUAAAUUUUUUAAGCCCCUAACUACUUUUUUACAAUUGUUUACGAUUUCCCAAAGUUAGAAUUCUAACCUUGUCUCAUAAAAUUCAUCAUAUCUCAUAACUUACAAUUUCAUUGCUUACACUGUUUCUUCCAUGAAAAACUAAACUCAAUAAAAUUUAAUUUCAUAUUUUAUUCAACGUCUAACUCAUUUUCCACUAUUUUUGAUGAUUUUUCAAAUUUAGACUACUGUUGCUGUCUAAAACUAUUUUAGUGCAGAAUGUUGAUUUCCAAGUUUAUAACAUCAUUAUUUCCUUUUUCUACAAUUUUUUUUGUAUCAUUUUCUUUUAUUUCUCUUAUUUCUCAACAACAAGCAAUUUCGGCUUUUGUUCAAAUCCUAUUUUUUGCGUUUUGGGUACACACCUAAUAUCAUUUUAUUGUGCAAAGUAACCUGAGCCUUUAAAAACUUAUAUCUGACCAAUAUAUCCCUUAAUUAAUCACUUGAUUCGUCAAUCAAACCAAAUAUCCCCAACAUAAAACUCGAGAAACUAAACCAACGAUGAUUCGAAAACUUACCGCGAUGAAUCUGAUAACCAGUCGUCUCCACAAACUGGAAUAUCUACUUAAAACCUUUGAACAACACCUAAACGAAAGUAAAACAAACCCUUUGUUAAUUGCCUAAUCGAAAUACGAUAACUAAAGGGGAAAAUUCCACUUACCGAAAUAGAUGAAGUCGAAAGUUACACCCAAAGAGAUGACUCGUAAAAAAAUACAGAAACAAAAAGGGAGGGGAAGGAAAAGAAACAAGAUUUGGCCAAAGGGGAAUAAAAAACCAAAAGUGACCAAAAAGAGAGAAGACACGAUAGAGAAACAAAAGUCUAACGUCAGAAAAUUUGUUGGGGAAAAAAAUAGAAAACUGAUAAGAAUAAAAUCUUAUUUUGAUAACUUCUCCCCAAUUCAUUCAAAAUAUCCAAAUACCAAAAUUCAUUCAAAAUACAAAAAUUUGCCCAAGUGAAGGCUUGAACUUAGGACCUCCCAAAUACUCCCAGAACACAUAACCACUAAAGCUGACAAAUAUUUGUGUCAUAUUUUCACAAUAACGAAAUUGGAAAUUUUAGGGCGUUACACAUUCAACGAUUAGUUAGCGUUAGAAACUAUUACUUCAAAUCGGGGUAAGUGACUGAAUGUUUAUAAAUGCAUGAUUUUUGGUGCUAAGGCUAAAUAUUUAGCAUGUGUGGUUGAAAUAGUGUCUGGCUUUUAGUAUAUUGAGAUUUGAUUUGUAUAUAGUUAUUAAUUGGUUCGUUAUGAAUGCUGUUUUUAGGGUCUGAAAGUGUGUUGUAGUAUUGUUUUCCAUUUUUAUUAGGUCUGUACCUUUAAUCCUGAAAAACAGCGAACAACGCAAAGUUGAAAAACUCACUGCCAAAGCUACAUAGCCAUGUGGGUCACACGGGCUAGGUUAAAUGGGUCAUGUAGGCCACACAAUCGUGUGUUAGGCCGUAUGGUCCACACAGGCUGGGCUAGUUGGGUCGUGUGGGCCACACGUGCAUAUAGGCUCAUUUUAAGUAAAAUUUUGUCAGGGGUGUAUUAGAAGUGCGAUUCAAGAUCAGCCACUUCGUAGGUUACAAAAUGUGUUAUGUGUGACUUAUAGAUGUAAAAAUUGAUGUUCUACCUCUGUUUAUCCGAUUUUUGAAAGGAUGAUAGUAUGAUUUAUUGUGUAUAGCAUGUAUGACUUUUAGACAUGAAAUCUGAAAUACUGAUAUAACAUGUGUAAAAUCCGAGAGCAUAUCUGUGGUAUAAUUUCUACAUUUGGUGUAACACCCCCAACCCGUAUCUAUCAUCGAAACAAGGUUACGGGGCAUUACCGAGCUUACAGAUCAAACAGACAAAAAACUCAAACAUUUCAUAUCAUUUAGUAUUCAUGUCAAAAACCAAUCGACAUCAUACAUAUUGUCCCUAAUACUAGCCAUCGAGGCCCUAAAUACACUUUAGAAACAAAUUGGGACUAAAUUGGAAAUUUAGAGAAUUUUUUAGAAACUUAUAAAAUUUUAAAACUGCAAGGGACACAUGGCCAUGUGAGCAUACUGACUUGCUCUUUUAAAAGAUACAGGGGACACAUGGCUGUGUCACCUGGCCGUGUGUCACACACAGUUAAGACACACGCUUGUGUCUCUGCCUGUCUGGACGAAAAUAGGCUAUUUUUCAAGCCAUAUUUCUCACCCAAAUUGGUACCAAUCUAAACAUAACAAUUUGCAUAUAACCAAGUCAUAAAUAGGCAUCCAAAACCAACCAAAAUCAAGCUUAAAAUAUGUAAUAUUAUCACAUACAACCAAUAUGCUCUUAGGCACCUCAAAUGACAACUUAUAACUUGUAAAUCUAAGCAUUCAAUUUAUCCAAUUGUUUGACUAACUUAUAUAUAUAUUUGUAUCAAAACUUACCAUAUAGAUCAUAAAUCAAAACAUAGCAUUUAGUACUAUUUAUGUACUUGAUCUCUAGCAUCAAAUAGUCAUAUAAGUCACUUAUAACAAGUACACCAAAACACCAAUACAAACCAUUCAAAAUCUAACAUCAUUUUACAUAUGUGCUUUCCAUAACAAGCACUAAAUCACUCCAAAGUAAUAUACAUAUUAACCAUACCACACCAAACAUCAAACAUGAUAAGGCCAUUUAUACAUACAUAGCAAAAUAUUCUAAAACACAAGCCAAUUCAAAUGGCUGAAAACAUAACAAAACAUGUAGACUAUCAUUAGCCAAAAUAACCUAUACAUGCCAUUAUAACCAAAAGUACCGAAAAAGCUGAUAGAUAGUAUGAUAUAGCUCCGCCAAACUUUCAACCCGAACGAGCUUCCGAAUCACUAUAAAACACAAAAAAUAACAUAGAGUAAGCAUUUAAGCUUAGUAAGUUUGUAUAACAUAGAAUUUAACUUACUAUUUAACCACAAUUUAGGUAAAUAACUCAAAGCAUAUCACACUUCAAUUUGGCCAAAGCCUAACACAUAUUCAUCAACCAAGUUAGCCAUGUAAUUCAUAUAAAAAUUGAAAAUCAUGUAUGAGUUCAACAAUUAUUUAAAUUCCAUGUACAUGUAACAUCUAUACCAUGUAUCCGUAUAUCAUAUAUAAACCAUUUCCAUGUAAUUCAUGUAAAUACCUGUACUAGUUCGUAUCGAAAUCAUAUAAACUCGUAACAGAACUGUGCCCGUUAAACCAUUUAGAAUCUCGUUAGAUACGCAGGUAGUACACAUGAGGUGUACUGAACUGUAAUCCAUCAAUUCCUGUACAUGUAUGCUUACAUGAGGUAUAAACUGUAAGCUCUUUCGAUCUGAAUAAUGGUAAGCUCCUCCAGGUUGAAUAACGAUAAGCUCAUACGAGUUGAGUAUCGGUAAGCUUAUAAGAGCUGAAAUUGGUAACCCUAAUGACAUGUCAUUUGUAUCCUACGAAUUUCUAAGGUUCAAACAGGACUCGAUAAUCGUCGUACGUUGUUAGAUAUGCGAUCGAUAUUCAUAUAUGAUGAUCAUACAAUUAAAAUACAUUUAUUUCAAUUAAAGCAUAUAAUUACACAAUUUAAUUACACAAACUUACCUCGAUAAAUUUACAUAGAUUUGAAGACGACUAAUUCAAUUUUUUUCCUUUGCCUCGAUCUAACUCCAAACAAGGUCUAACCGGAUCUAUACGAAUGAAUUUAACUCAAUUCAAUAUUCUACUUAGUUCAACACAUAUUUUUGAUAAAAUUACCAUUUUGCUCUUAUACUUUUAAUUCUUUGCAAUUUAGUCCUUAGGCUUGAAAAAUUAAAUUCAUUCAAUUCUAUCCCUACCCAAGCCUUUAAACAUGCUUAUAGCAACCCAUAAAUUUAAAAAUUUCACACUUUUACUACAUAAUUUAUCACGUUUCUCAAUUUAAUCCCUAAUUGAUAAUUUCAUCAAAAAUUCCUUUACAAAAGUUGUUUAUCUAACAACAAACAUUAUUUUUCUACCAUUAAACUUCAAAACCCUAACAUACUCAUCAAUGGAAAAACUCAAAUACUUUAAUAUCUUAACAAAUUAGUCCUCGGGCUAGCUAGAAUAAGCUACAAUGAUCCUAGAAACAUAGAAAUCAUCAAAAACGAGAUGAAAAAUACUCACACGCAAGCAAAACAGGGAUGGCCGAAUGAAGCUUCAUCCAUGGCUUCUUUUUGUUUGAAAUUUCGGUUGAAGAAGAAAAAGUAAAGAUGAAAGCUUUAAUGUUUUGUUUAUUUUAUCAUUUAUUACCUAUUUACAAAAUUACCCUUAUCUAACCUUAAAAAUUACACUAAUGUCAAGCCAUGCACAUCCACUAUCACAUUUGAUGGUCUAAUUACCAUAUAAGGACUUCCAAUUUAAAGUUCUAUAACUAUUUAAUGCCUUUAGCUAUUAGAACUCAACUUUUGCACUUUACGCAAUUUAGUCUUUUUUAUCAAAUUGAACAUGUAAACGGCAAAAUUUCUUAACAAAAUUUUUAUAUGGUAAUACUAUCAUGUUUUAGAUCAUAAAAUAAUAUUAAAAUAAAUUUUUUGACUUAAGAUUUGUGGUCUCAAAAUCACUAUUCCGAUGUUACUAAAAACGGGCUGUUACAUUUGAUCUGUAAUUUGAGAAAUUUGUUUAAGCAUGAUGGUAUGUUUUGAUGUGUAUAGCAUGUAUGACAUAUGCAUCUGUUAUUUAUUUAGUGAUUGCAUGUGCAUUGGGGUGAGAUUAUGAUGCGAUAGAGGAAGUGUCAGUAAUUUAAGUGCAUAUUGAUAUUAGUAAGCCAUCGUUGCCGGGCAACUCGAGAUGGCAGGUCAUUGUUUUCAGGCAACUCGAGAUGACUUAACUGGUGGUAUAAUCACAUAUCUAUUUUUGUGGUUUGACCACAUUUAUCUAAUUUUGGCAAAUUACCGUACCAUAUUCGGCAGCAUGACUACACUAUUUUGAAAAGUGACAUACAUUCACUUAUAGGUGUAUGGGGUUGGAUGGGUAUUCGUUACCCUAAUUGGUCUGUAGGGAUGAACAGAGAUGGUGUGUAGUAGAUGAGGGUAGGAUAUGUAUUUACAUCUGUGUCUAUAUUUGUGUCUGUAUUUGCAUCUGUAUCUGCACCUGUAUCUGUAUUUGUAUUUGUAUAUGUAUAUGUAUAUGUAUUUACAUCUAUAACUGCAUCUGUAUCUAAAAUUUUCAUUUGUAUCUAUAUCUUUCUUCUUCUUCUUUUUGUGGGUUGAGUUACAUACUGAGCUCGUUAGCUCACCCAAUUUUUCUGACUUAUCAGGUAAUCAACAAACUUAGGACCGAACAGUGUAGGAGCUCAGAUUGAUUUUUUGGUUAAUAAUAUAAAUCGAUUUAUGAUUAAUUUAUUUAUGAUCUUUUGGAUUGUAAAUUUGUUUCUGGACUUUCUUUAUAGUUUCUGCUCAUUUUGUUGAAUUUUGGUAUUUUUAUCAUAAGACUACGAUAACGUAUGAAUUAUCAAAUUAGAAAUCAAUUUCCAAAAUUAAAACUCUAAAAUUUUUUUGCUGUAAUGUGAUUUGGUGGUUUUUCUGUAAAAUAAGUGUUUUUUCGAACAUGAGAUUUUCCAAAAAAUAUGUAAGAGUUUUGCCAAACUUAUAUUUUUGACACACACACUAAGUUAGAUAAAAUCAAAAUUUUUUUUUAGAGUUAAUGUAAUUCCUCAAGAUCUAGUAAUAACUUCUACGUCGAGUGUGGGGUGUUACAAAACCCAUUCCUUGAAGCUUCCUCCCCAAGACCUCCUCUUCCAUAUUGCUUGAACCAUCAAUACCUAAUUUAAACCAUGAUUAUAAUUUGCACAAAUUAAUAAAUAUUAUAUAAAAAAUAAAAAAUUAAUUAAAUAUAAUAAUUAUUAAUAUUAUUAAAUAUAAUUUUUUUGUUAGAAAAAAAUUUCUUUAACAUAUUGUUUUCUUAAAUUUCGUUUAGUUUAUAUUGUUUGAUGAACUCAAUUAAUUAAAUUACUUUAAAUAAAAAAAACUUAAUAUUUAUAUAAUUAAAAAAAUCAUAAUUAAUAUGAAUUUAUUUUAUAAUAUGGGAUAUAAUUAUAUUUAGUACAUAUUGUAUUACAAAAACAUAUAUACAUAUAAUAUAUCAAUUGUUAUAUAUACAUAAAAUAUGAAUAUAUAGUAAUUAUUAUACAAUUAUGAUAUUAUAAUGUACUUUCUUUUAUUAACAAUAUGUAACCUAAAUUUUAAACGUUAACUAAUUUAUGGUAAUUAUAAUAUAUAUAAUUAACAUUAUAUAGUUAAUGUAGAUUAUUAAUGAUAUGUAUUCAUAUAUACAACUAUGUUAUUAUAAUGUACAUUCUUUAUAUUAAUGAUAUAUGUAACCUUACACCCUAAACGAGUAACUAAUUUUAUGGUAGAUUAUAAUAUGUACAACUAUUUUUUUUAUCUCGUGUGAUGCUCGAAUUUAGUUGUAUGUAUCAAUUAAAUAUAUUGCAUGUAUUUGUGUAACGUUUUAAAAAUUUUAUGAUCGAGAAAGUAAAAAGAUAAUCACUUGGCUACAUAAUUUUAAUCUAAACUAGAUUUUAUUGAUUAUUUUAUAAAAUAAUCAAUAUUAUUAUGAGGUUAUUUUUGUCAUGUUAUUUGAUGGUAUUCAAACCCAAAACACCAUAAUAUUUAACAUUUUAAUUUUAUGAUUUCAACUGAAGUCUAAUUUGUUUUUUAUAUUAUUUUUAGAAAUAUAUAUAUUUGUUUUAUAUUAUUUUAUGAUAUUAGUUUUGGCCCAUUGGGCACCAUCACUGUCCUCCCCUAAAAAAAACCAACAUAUUUUUUUAUUGUGGGAUCAAAGCAAAUAUCAAAUCCUAACCCUAUGUAAUAACUAUGAAGAAAGAAAGAGAAGAAAAGGGAAAAAAAUUAGAAGAUCAAAGAAAACAAGUAAUGUGGUUUAUUUUAUUUUGAUAGAUAAAAUUAGUAAAGGAAACUAAAAAUUUCUUAUAAUCAUUUUCACCAAAUAUUUAAUAAAAUUUCUAAUAAUUAUUAUUACUAAAUGACUUAAAAAAUAUAAAUAAAAAUUUAUCUAAAAUGUUGUUAUAUCAAAAGCUUAGGACAUCAAAGCUAACAACUUUCAUCAGAUCAUAACAAUUAUAAAAUUUAUCUCAAUCACUCAACCUCAAUUUAUCUCCUUGGAAUGUAAUGUGCAUUACCAUUGACAUUUUCUAAAACAAGCAAAUAUGUUAUUUUAGCUCAUUUUCGUUAGGAAGAAAAUAAUGGUGAAAUGUUUGGGAAAAAUAGAAGGGAAAAUUAUACCAACUGUCACUUAAUUUUGAUGUAGCUGAAAAAAUAGACACUCUGGUUUCAAUUCAGUCACUCAACUUUUGAAAAAUAACAAAAUAGUCCUUUUAACUUUUUCCAUUACAAAUGUAACAAAAAAGUGACGUGGCAUUUAAUGGAAGGUUAGCUAUCAUUUAAACAGCCCCAUAGCCCUAGCAGGGCAGCAGAAAAAAAGAAAAGAAAAGAAAAAGGAGAAAAGAAGAAGAAGAAGAAAUGGACAUACCUUAGCUACGACCGUUUUGUUCCUCUAAGGUAGAGCCACUACUCAGUUUGUUGUUAUCUGUUGAAUCUUUGUUCCACCGUCUGAUCACUACCAUAUUUCGGCCACAGCUUUCCUUCGACCAACCAUGACUCUUAACCACUUGGAUCAUCGAACUGGCUUGAGUUCUCCAACCCGCAAAACCCAAAAUGGGUGAGGGUUUCUUCUCUUUUGAUUCUCUUCUUUGUUAGUUUUUUUUUUUACUUCCCUCUUUUGAUGCAAGCCAAUUUGGGAUUCUUGCUCUUUUUUUGCUGGUUUGAUUUUGGAUGCUUGCUAUUUGGUAUUUUUGUUUUUGCUGAUUUUUGUUGUUUUGUUGUCAAUUUUGAUUUGAAGCUUCAUAACAUCGCCACAAGCAUGAGCUCCAACAAAACCGAUGCUGAUGAAUGGAUUGUGACAAGAUCUCCUUGACGUUAGCCUAAUCAGCUGUUUUGAUGCCAGUCUCAACAUUUUUGCCGUCGAUUUUUAAUUUUCACUACUAUGGAAAAAAAUCAUGCUUCACGAUAGCUAAGAGCUUUUUUAGGUUCUGUCUGCCAAAAUUUUUUCCCCAAUUUAAAUAAAAUUAUUUUAAAAAAUAUUUAAUUGAAGUUCAGGUUAGGCCGGGUUGAAAACAAAAAUAAAUUCAUUGAUACACACAAGAAUGGAUCGUGGUUGUGGGAGUAUAAUAGAAAUAUGGGAUGUUGCUCGCUUCUUGAAGCUGAAUUGUGGCUCAUUUUGGACGUUUUGAAUCUUCUUUGGAUCCAAGGCUUUAGGCGUGUGGAGAUUGAGAGUGACAGUGCUGCUGCUGUCCGCAUCAUAUUGGAUGAGUCUGCUGCUAAGCAGAGUAGAUCGCACAAUUCGAGUUCUUUAGAAUCGGCAAAGGAAGGUCAAGAUACAUCACAUUGUCCGGGAAGCCAAUGCGUUUGGCCUAAGCAGGCUGCUGAAUCCACCACCUGCAGCACUGAGGAGCAUUCUUUGCAAGGACAGUACAGGGACUGUUGGGGAUAGGCUGAAAUCACUACCCUCCUUUAUAUAAACAUUCAACCCUUUAUUACUCAACACACGUAGAUCAAUGCCAUUAAAUCACCUUAAUAUUUAUUUCAAUUCCUUUUAUUCUCAACUCAUGUUUAGUUGUUCGUACAAAUGCCCCUGCUUUAAAAUUAACAAGCAAUCUUGGUUUUCCCCUAAUUUCUUAACAUCACCACCAAAAAGAUCAAGAAGUUGCUAAGAUCAAGAUCAACAAGCUACACAAGUCACAACAAAAUCAACAAUAUUGAAAAUAGACACUAAACCUCAUUCUAGUUUCCACAAUCUUUUAUCACUGUGCAAUGGUUAUGUACAACUGAUUCACAUUGCAAGUGAUGACCUUUACACAAUUUGUGAAACAUUUCAAAGCAAGAUUGAUUUAUUAGAGUAUAUGAUAAGAUCCAUAAUUAAGGUGGCAGUGAUUAUAUCUGCAGAAAAGCCCUUACCAACCAUUUCCGUAAGAAGUUGUGUUGCCUUUGAGGUAUAGCUGCUGCGAAGGAACCCCCGAAUCAUUACGUUAUAACAGCAGCUAUCAGGCAAACAGUCAUUAUCUCCCAUGCUCCCAAACAAGCUGUAUGCUUCAUCUGGCAAUCCCUCUUUACACAGUCCAUUAAUCAUUAUAUGAUAUGUGACAACAUUUGGUUUUAAACCAUUGUCUGAGAGUUGAUGAAAUAAUUCCUUGGCAAAUUCGAUAUGCCCAGCUUUGCACAACCCAUCAAUUAGGAUAUUAUACGGGACAAUAUCAAGUUCCAACCCACUGUUUCGCAUUGCUUGAAAAAGUUUCAAUGCCUCCUCAAUAUGGCCUGUUUUGCCUAAACCAUUCAGCAAAAUCAAACAAGUCACUAAAUCUGGAACUUGUCCAGAAGCAAGCAUCUUUCUAAAAAGUUCACAUGCAGUUGAAACUUUCCCUAACAGAAACAUACUUUGCAAGAGAGUAUUGUAUGUGAAAAUAUUCGGGAUUGGUCCCUUUUGAGAUAUUUCAUGAAAGAGUUCCAUUGCUUCAUCUAACCUCUUACCUUUGCAAUAUCCAUUGAUCAUGGUGCUGUAAGUAACUAUAUCAGGUGCACAACCCUUCUCAAUCAUCAAGUUGAAAACUCUUCUAGCUUUAUCCAUUUCAUUCUGCAAGCAAUGACCAUUAACUAAUGUACUAUACGUAACAACAUUAGGCUCGAUUUCUCGCUUUAUCAUUGCGUCAACAAAAUCCUCAGCUUCAGAUACCAUCCCUUCCUUGCAAUGCGCAUCAACCAAUAUAUUAUACGUGACAACAUCAGGCACAAUGCCUUGCUUUCUCAUUGUGUCAAUGAUCUCUACAGCUUUAAAAAUCAUUCCUUCCUUGCAAAGAGCAUCAAUCAAUAACGUAUAUGAGACAAUACCAAGUGAAAUAUUGUUAUCAACCAUUUCAUUCAAAAGCCUUGUUGCCUCCUCCUGCUGGCCCGAAUUACACAUACCAUGAAUUAAGCAAGUGUAAGUAAAGAUAUUUGGUCUAAUGCCUUUAACCUUCACUUCGGAGAAGAGAUCGAGAGCCUCCUGUAACAAACCGUUCUUACAAAGGCAGUCAAUGACAGUGCUAUAUGCUACAAUAUCGGGUUCAUAACCUCUGCUUUCCAUCAGCCUCAGAAACCUAAGAGCUCUACCAGUAUUACCGGUCUUACACAAUCCCUUAAGCAUUGUACUGUAAACAAUCAAAUUAGGUUGAUACCGUUUUUCAGUCAUUUCAUCGAGAAUACAAACGGCCUCAGAAAUCUUACUUUGAUUACAAAGCCCAUUAAUCAAAGUUGAAAAAGUUACAACACUAGGUUCAACACCUAACUUCAGCAUUUUCCCCAAAACAGAAAACCCAAAAUCAAUUCGACCUAAUUGACAAAAGCAAUUUGUCAAGAUGUUCAUAGAAUAAACAUCAUGGGAAACUCCCAAUAAUUCGAUCUGUCUAUACUUAGAAACAACAAUGGCAUAAUGUUUCAUCUUAACAAUGGCUCCUAAUAAUUUAGUGAAUUCCACAAUUGAAGGCUUUGGGUACUUUUCAAUCAUCUUAUUGAACAAACUCAAAGCAUGAUCAACAUUAUCGAAGCGGUGGUCUCUUUUUCCCUUUCCUCUAACAGGCAUGGACAUGGGUUUCAUACUUAGGCCUUCGAUGUAGGAAGCAAUGGUGUUAGAAGAAGAAGAAAAAGAAUGGAAAUUAGAAAGAUAGCUUCCAGCAUUAACAACCGAACGAAGAAUAAAAGAAGAAGGAAGCUUACCCAUAUCUUGAAAGUAGGCAAAAUGAAAGCAGAAAUGGCAGCGGCAGUAGCAGAAGAAGUAUAAAUUUUGGGUUGCGAAGUGGUGUUUAGGGGGAGGGUUGGGAGCGUAAUUUGGGUUUUUAAUUUUUUUAAUGUGAAUAAUAUUUAAUAAAAAAAUUAAACUUUAUUUUUAAAUGCAAUCUUCAAUUAUUAUUAAUACUUAUAAAUCUUCCUUUUAAAUUUAAUAAAAUUACUAUUUACUUUAUUAAAUUUAAAUUUAAAUUUUUAGACUAAGUUGAAAAAAUAUACAAAGAUUACAAUAUAAUUAAAACUUAAAUCUAUAAAAUACUCUAUUUUUAUAAAUUAUAUUUUGUCGACAUUUUUUUAAUGUCGAUGCAUCUUUUUGUGUGGCAUCUCCUUGCAGACAUGCAUCAGAGCCAAGCAUAAUUCGUUAUGCAAAAAUCGCCCUGCAGUUACAAAAAAAGACAGUCCGGGAUGUGGCUUUGCGGUGCAGAUGGAUGACGGUAAACGAUACUAUUCUCAAAAGUCAAUCUAAAUUCAUCACUUAACUGUUUGCCUGAGUUCUAGAAUAUAUGGACUCAUAGGUGUAGAACAUAAUUCUCGACUGGCUUAAAAUGCUGCUGCAACGAGGCAGGCUGUAAUCAUUGGAGUCAAUUUAUAUUCCAUAAUUCUACUCUGUGUUUUAUAUAGUGUAUAUGUGUUUGUGUACGCGCCUGCAUGCACAUGUGUCAUAAGAGAAUAAUCUGAUUUAUGCUUGAUGCAGAAAAAGGAAAAUAAUAAGAGAAGGAAGAAAGAACACAAUAUAUGCACAUGUGUGGUAAGAGAACAAUCUGACUUAUAUUCUGUUAUGAGCGUUAAUAAACUACCAAUUUUUAAAUAAAGAAAAGAAAGUGAGAAAAGUGAAGAGGAAAAUUUGAUGUUCUUCUAUAGAUACAUUUUUUGUCACAGAAUGCAAGUAACAGAAGAAACGGUCCAGUCUUCUAGCUAUGACUUCUCAUUGUUGUCCAAUUUUCAGAAGAUUGGACGAAAUUGAAAGGAGUGCAUGAUUUCUAUGUGGUUAAUACAAGUGUCUUGACUGAUUCAUUUAUUUGUUCAACCAGUCUGUGCUUCCGAUGUAUUUAGAUAAAAGCUUUCGUUACUCUACAGUGAAAGGGUCUGCAUCAUUAUUUUCAAAUAUUUAUGAUAUUAUUUAAACCCCCGAUUGAGUUACUGUCACGAGUCGAUCGAGCUCCAAUUCGGUUAUAGAAAUUAUUAAAAUGUUCUUCCUUAAUUAAAAUAAAUUGUAUUAUUUGAGGGUAUUUUAAUCUUUUUAUUUAAAAAUAAUAAUAAGUUUACAUGUGGUGGGAUUUUAAUAUUAUAUUUGUAUUUUAAUUGUAUUAUGCUUACUUUAUUGCUUCAAUGAAUUGUAUAUCUGCACUUAAAAUAAACCCUUGACUAGGGAAAUAUAAAAAAUUUGCAUGUGGCAGGAUUUAAACUCGUGUUAAUAUUCUAGCUUAAUAAUUGAGUAUUAUUAUAUAUUUAAUUUGAAUUAUUUAUAAACAUUACAAUAUAUGUAAAAACAAUUUAAAAUAUAAAUUUAUUAAUAUAUGUAAAAACAGCUUUUCAGGAAAAUAUUUUCAAGAAAUCUGCCAAACAAUAAAAAAUAUUUUACACAGAUUCAUACAAACACCAGAAAAGUAAAUUAUUUCCAGAAAAGUAAAUUAUUUUCUAGAAAUCAUUUUCCAGAAAAUAUUUUACUGGCAAAUAAACGGAGCCUUAGUUUUUGGUUGAGAUUCCAUUACAAUUGUUGUCUCAAGUUCAAAGAUGCUUCCACUAAAAUGGUGGCAACGAUGUAAACAUAGACUUCACGCAUCAAGGUUCUGGUCACCUUGAUGCUCGAGUGUGCCGAUGUAACUUGCUGAAGUCUAUUCUUGCUCCCAAUUAUCAACAAAGAAGCUUGAUUCAAGUAGGGGUGUUCAUUCGGUUAACCGACCCGAAAUAGCAUUAAUCGAAUUAAUUGACCCUUCAAAAUUUUUAACCGUUAACCGAACCGAAUUUUUUCAAAAAAUUAACCGACUCAAAAUUUUGCUGGUUAAUUCGGUCGGUUAACCGAAAAUUAUAUAUAUUUUAUUUUUGGAUAUUUUUGCAACAGUUGAGGAUAUUUUUAUUCAAGAACUUUCGAGAAUUAGGUACACAACUUGUUUUACUGAAUCAUUUAUUAUUUCAACCAAAUAAAAGUGUUGGCAUCAACAAAGAAGUGUAUCUCAUUUACAAGAAAGGUGUAGCAAUCCGGUUUUAGCUAAAUCGAAACAAUAGUUUCGGAACCACAAAUCUGAUGUCAGAAAAUUAUUUUAAUAUUAUUUUAUGUGUCUAAAGCAUGUUAUUUGAUAUUAGUGCAAAUUUAAUGAGCCAAUUUUAUCAUUUGGAUGUCUAAUUUGAUAAAAGGACUUAAUCGCGUAAAAUGCAAAAGUUACAUUCUACUUGUUAAAAGUGCUUAAUUGCUAUGGUAGAUUAAAUUAAAAGUCCUUAUGAUGAUAUUAAAUCAUUCAUAAUGUAAGUGGACACCUAUGUGCAUGGUUAGGUGAAUUAUAAUGGUUAAAAUUCAAGGUUAUUAUAGUAAUUGGAUAAAUAUAUGUUAGUAAAUUAAUGAAAGAAAAGUAUCAUCUUUCUUCCUCAUUGUUUUGACCGAAAAUAAGAAGAAGAAAGACUCCAUUGCUGCAUUUUGAAGGUUCGGCCAUUGUCUUACUUGCAUGUAAGUGUUUCCUUGCUUGGUUUUUUAUGAUUUAUAUGUUUUCGACAUCAUUAUAACUUAAUCUAGCUAGCCCAAGGACUAAUUUGAGAAAUUGUUAAAAGUAUAGGGUUUUUAAAUUGAUAAAUAAGCAUAUGUUUUGAUGUCUAAUGGUAGAAAAUGCAUGGUUGUUGUUAGAUAAAAACAUUUGUAAAGGGAUUUUUGUGAAAAAUGUCAAAAAGGGAUUAAAUUGUGAAAAAUGCAAACUGAGUGGUUGAAAUAUGUAAUAAAUGGAAGUUUUGGGCUGCUAGGGACCUAUAGAAAAUUCGGUCAAGCUUGGGUUUAAUGAAAAUUUGUGAAUUUUGUGUAUUUUUAAAAUAGGGACUAAAUUGAAUAAAUGUGAAAGUUUAGGGGCUAAUGUGUAAAACUGACCAAAUAUGUGUUUAAGGAUUCAAUUGAAUGAAUGAAUGUUUGAAUGAGUUAAUUUUUAAUACAUAUAGAUCAAGAAAGAAAGAAUUCGAAUUUAGAUCGGGGGAAAAGCAAUGUUAUCGAGUAAUCGAUCCGAUUCAUUAAUUUCGAAUACGAGGUAAGUUCGUAUGUGGUAAUUUCAUUAUAAAUGCAUGUUAAAUGCUUUGAUAUUGCAUAAACUGUGAUUAUGAGAUUACGGAUAUUGUUUGAAUUGUGAAUACGAUUCUACGGAUGUGUUCGACGAUGAAAUCGACAAGUGAAAUUUCCCAAUUGAACCUUAAGAAUAGUUUAGGAUGCUAGUGACAUGUUAUUAGGCUAUCGUAUUGGCUUCAAUCUAUGAUAUUGGCACUUCGGGUGCGAAUAAUACAUUGAUUUGGCUACGGGCCAUGGUAUAGGUAUUCAGAGAGGAGUUACCUUGAUUUGUCUACGAGGCAUAGUAUAGGUACUCCGGGAUAAGUUACCUUGAUUUGGCUAUGGGCCAUGGUAUAGGUACUUAUCGAUUGAGAUCGUUGAGUAUCCAACUUCUAUUCCAAAUAGUUCAAUGGGUAAAAGAAUGACGUGGUUGGGAAAGAGGUUAGUAUGAUGUGAUACAAGUAUGUACGGAACCUAUUCUAGUAUUACAUUGAGAAAGUUCAAUGAGAUGACAUUUAAUCAUGUUUUGAGACAUAAGAAAGGUUUGUGUUAAUGUGAUGUUGAUUUGGUAAUGUGUAAAUGGUUGAAUUACAUUUAUUUGAUGAAUUGAGUUACUCACUUACGAGCUUACUAAGCUAUGAAGCUUAUUUUGUGUUAUUUUUCUAUGUUGUAUAGUGAAUUGAAGCUGGCUCGGAUGUGGGAGUCGUCGGGAAAAUCAUCGCACUAUCAAACACCUAAGUUGGUACUUUUAAGUUGUGUAUAUAUGGUAUAUGGCAUGUAUAAGCUAGUUAUGGUAUGUUGGUUGUGAAUAUAGCCAUGAGAAUUGGCUUGUAAAUGUAUGUGUUUGUUUUGUAUGUGUAGCCAUGAGUGAUGGCUUGUUUUGGUAUGUUUGGUAUAAAUGUGGCUAUGUUUUCAUAAUUGCUCAAAUGGUUAUAUUUUGAGUUUGGUAAAUGAUCUAUAUUGAAUGAUUAAAGUUGAAUAGAUGAUAUAUGUUUGGAAUGGAUUGGUUUAGUUGGAUGAAUUAAACAUGUGAAUUAUGCUUAGUAAAGCAAGUUAAGUUGAUUAGUAUUUGAAUAGGUAAAUGGUAUUGAAUGAGUAUCAAAAUGGUUGAAAUAGAUUUGGUAUGGUUGUGUAUUGGUUGAUGACAAUUGGCUACAUAUUUUUGUUUCAAAAUGGUACCAAUUGAGUUUACUUAGGUGUGUGCAAAAAGGGUGGCAAAUUGGCUUGCAAAUGGCCUAUUUUUGUCCACACGGGCAGAGACACGGGCGUGUAUCUCAGCCGUGUGCCCCUAGUGUUGAAAUUAAUUUAAAGUUUAUAUGCUCCACACAGUCUCACACACUGGCCUAUGACUAGCCAUGUAGUGCAAGUCAGUAUACCCCUUAAAUGGCACACGGCUUAACACACGGGCAUGUGACUUGGCCGUGUUACAUAAGUUAGUAUACCCUGAAGGAUUGGCACGGCCUAGUGUCACGAACUUAAAUUUUUCCCACUCGAUUCGUGCGGCCUUAGGCAGUUUCUUUGCCCCAAAAAUGCCUAAGUCAGCCUAACUUGCAACGAUAAAGGAUUCAAUAGAAUUCCUGCCCCAAAAACGCCUAAGUCAGCCUAACUUGCAACGACAAAGGAUUCAAUAGAAUUCCCUCAAGGCUUCCGCGAAGAACAGUAGAAGAACGAAGUAAGAGCGAACGUUGAAAGAUGAACAAAAGCCUCAGAAAAGUAAGAACACUUGGGAGAAAAGUUUGAGUGAAUACUCUCAAGAUUUUUAUUGAUAACUGAAUAAAUUACAAUGAGCACAGAGGUCACUAUUUAUAGUUGAGCCUCCCUAAAAUCAAUGGUGUAGAUUAAAGUACAUCAAUGGCUAUAAUAAAAAACUGUAUACAAUUAGAACUCUACAUAAUCUUAUCUUCCAUAUUUAUCGGGCUCUGGAGAUGGGAUUUUAAUCUCUCCACGCAACGGACCAGUUUGAUUGGGCCAAAUGACCUCUCUCAAAUACAAUGGAUCGCACAAGUUUGUCAUGGUUGCGUGCUCCCAUACGCAACCCAUGACAUUCUCCCCCACUUGUUCUAGUGAUGCCCUCGUCGCAUCCUCUUUAUGAAACUGGUCAAUCUUUCCUUGAAACUACCACAAUGCCUCGGCAAGUUCCCAACUUGCUUCGCUAUCAGGAAGUCUCUUCUAUCGAACUAAGUAUUCAUGCCGUGGUCGGUAGUACUUUUGUCCAAUUAUCUGAUCUGCCUCAAUAUUUUUGACUUCACGAUCGUACGACACCUUUACCCCCAUCGGUGCUCGUUCGGACUUACCUCGAUUUGGAUCCUCUUAAUCCCCAUGAAAUGGCUUAAGCAUGCUUACAUAGAAUACUGGGUGGACUUUGAGUUUUGCUGGCAACUCCAGCUUGUAGGCCACCUUGCCUACUCUCUUCACAACUUUAAACGGCCCCUCAUACCUUCGCACAAGCCUCUUAUGCAAGCCAGUAUAUCGUAAAAUCAAGUGUAGUUUAGCAAGGACUGAGUCCCCCACUUGAAAUUGCAUAUCCCUUCGUUUCUGAUCGGCCCACUUCUUGUUGCGCUAACUUGCCUUGUGUAAACAAGCUCUAGCCAGGUCAUUUUUCUCUUGCCAAUCUUUUGCGAAUCGAUAGGCUUCCGGGUUUGGUCCUGUAUAAUGGGUCACAACAGCACUGGGUGUGAGUGGCUGUUGACCCGUCACUAUUUCAAAUGGACUUAGAUUUGUGCCCCCACUUCGCUACAAGUUGUAUGAAAAUUGGGUCACAUCCAACAACUUUGGCCAAUCCCUUUGUGUGGCACUCACGUAGUGUCGAAGAUAUGUGUCUAACAAUGCAUUUACUCGUUCAGUUUGCCCAUCGGUUUGUGGAUGCAUGCUCAUGGAGAAGUUCAAAUCUGAGCCCAUUAACUUGAACAAUUCUGUCUAGAACCGGCCCGUAAAUCACCCAUCUUGAUCACUGAUAAUAGACAGUGGCUCUCCAUAAUAUUUCACCACGUGUCUAAGGAAUAACUAAGCUGCUUCCUCAGUAGGGCUCUCCUUGGUUGUCAGAAUAAAUGUCGCAUACUUUGAAAACCUGUCCACCACGACAAGAAUGCUCGCAAACCCAUCAGACUUAGGCAAACCAAUAAUAAAAUACAUGGAUAAACUCUCCCAUAGCCUUUCCGGAAUUGGCAAGGGUUGAAGCAAGCGGCUGGAGUCUUUAGCUCAACCUUGUCUUGUUGGCACACUAGACAAGUUUUCACAUAGGUUUCCAUAUCAGCACCCAUGUGGGGCCAGUAAUAGCGAUCCUCUAAAAGGGCCAAAGUGCGAUGCAUCCCUAGAUGGCCCGCCCAUUUCGAGUCAUGACACUCCUUCAUGACUUCCUUACGUAGUUUCCCAUAGUGGGGCACAUAGAGGCGGUGUCCAUGAGUAUAUAACAGCUCCCCAUCAAGCCAAAAUCUUCUUGUUUUUCCCUCCUUGGCAAGCUCAAUCAAAUUUUUGGAUGUGAGAUCAUGGGACAAUCCCUCUCGAAUGCGUUCCAAUAAAGAACCAUCAGGUUGGCUAAUUGCUGCGAAUUCCAUAUUUCGACUGAGUGCAUCAGCCACAAUGUUGGCACUUCCUGGUUUGCACAACUUUUUCUAGGUUAGAAAAUAACUAUUGGCAAUAUUGUUGGUGAGGACCACGAACCUGGAACCCAAUAGAUAAUGUCUCCAAGUGUGUAAGUAAUGUACUACCGCAGUUAUCUCCUUCUCUUGGACCGUAUAUCUACGCUCCAUCUCAUUAAGCUUUCGACUCUCGAAAGUAAUUGGGUGCCCAUCUUACAUUAGUACUCCCUCAAUAGUAUAAUCUGAUGCAUCCGUGCGUACCUCGUAGGGCUUCGAAAAAUCUGGCAAGGCAAGUACGGGUUCCCUCAUCAUUUAUUGCUUCAAUUGAUUAAAGGCCUUCUGACAUUCCAGAUUCCAAUCCCAUACCUUCCCCUUUUUCAACAUAUCCGUCAAGGGUGUGGUAAUUUUAGAGUAGCUUUCGACAAAGCGUCGAUAGUAAUUUGCCAACCCAAGAAAAGAUCUCAACUCCGUUACCUUGGUUGGAGGCUCCCACUCAGAAAUGGCUCGAACCUUACUCUUAUCCAUUUGGAUCUUACCACCUCCUACAAUAUGGCCUAGGAAUGACACUUCUUGUUGGGAAAAUGAGCACUUCUCCUCCUUGACGAACAACUCAUUUUCCCUCAAAGUUUGGAACACCUCUCUCAAGUGUCCCAUGUGUUCCUCAAGCGACUUGUUAUACACCACCAUAUCAUCAAGGUAUAGAACCACAAAACAAUCAAGAAAAGGUUCAAGUACCCUAUUCAUUAGGGUGCAGAAUGUAGCUGGGGCAUUCGUAAGUCCGAAAGGCAUCACAAGGAACUCAUACGAACCGUACUGUGCCACACAAGCUGUCUAUGGCUCAUCCCCCUCGGCUAUCCGAACUUGAUGGUAUCCCGAUCUCAGAUCUAACUUGGUAAACCAUCUUGCGCUACCAAGCUGAUCGAACAAAUCUGCAAUAAGAGGAAUAGGGUACCUAUUGUUCACAGUGAUCUUGUUUAGAGCUCGAUAAUCGAUGCACAUUCUCAAGGACCCAUCAUGUUUCUUUUGAAAUAACACUGGCACACCGUAUGGGGAUUUAAAUGGUCUAAUGAAUCCCGCAUCCAAAAGUUCCUUCAAUUGUUUUCGCAACUCUUCUAAUUCUGGUGGAGACAUACGAUAGGGAGCCCUUGUUGGCGGCACCACAUUGGACACUAACUCAAUUUUAUGGUCCACCUCCCUCUUGGGUGGUAAACUUUUAGGCAACUGCGCAAGCAUUACAUCUCUAAAUGAUUGUAACAAUUGACCCACUUCUUUCGGGGUCUCACCUGCAGACUCAGCGGUCUCUUCAAUCUUCAAGGUGGCUAAGUAUGAGGUUUCAUUUUUACAUACUCCUUUAGCAAACUGAAUUGCUGACAGUGUUUUUCCCUCAAAGCUUCUUUUCCUUGUUACUUUCACCAUGCAUUGAUGUUGCGCGUCCGAAAUCACCAUGUAAUUGCUCGAAGGGGCAAUAAGAACAUUAACCUGAUUAAGGAAACUUAGUCCAACCACAAAAUCAUAAUCAUUAAGUGGUAUUACCUUAAUGGAUACCCUUCCAGACCAUUCGCCAAGCUGAAGAUCCACUCCCUUUGCAACCCCCUUGAUUGGAACAUUUUCUGAGUUCACUGUUUUCAUUCGACCCACUUCAUUAUCUAUCUUAAGGCCCAGUUUACAAGCAGCCUCCUCAGACAUGAACAAAUCAGAAGCUCCUGUGUCAACGAGCGCAUUCAAUUUUCUGCCAACCACAAUGACGUCUACAAACAUCAAACCAUGGCUCAUUCUAUCUUCGACACCCCCUAGUAUCGAACCAAGAUUGUUGUCCUCCACAUCAGACUCCCCCUUUGCUUCCAUAGUCGUGAGAGCGUCCUUCUUUGGGCAGUCCUUGAUCAUAUAUGGACCAUAACAGUGAAAGUAACUUAUAGGCCCACUCUUUCUCUUGUCCCAAGGCUUCUUACCAUUGCCGUUCCUAGUGGGCCUUUCUUUAUCUCCAUCACUAUUACCCUUUUGAUUAAAUCUAGGCUUGGAAGAAUUGGCAUCGUCUUUCUUCCUACCAAAUUCAGCAAGCAAUUCUGCUACAGACAUAGCCUUGGUGAGUUCUUGAACUCCUCAGCAUUGUAACUCUUGCUUCGCCCACGGUUUUAAUCCGUCCAUGAAGGAAAAGAAUGCCUCUUUCUCCCCCAUAUCUGAUAUUUGGAGCAUAAGUUCGCUAAACUCCUAUACAUACUCCAUCACAGUGCCUUGUUGUGCAAACCAACACAACUUUGCCCGAGCCUCAUCCUCGACAUACUCUGGGUAAAACUGUGCUUUGAACUCACAUUGAAACUCCUCCCAAGUUUCAAUUUCGAUCUUACCACGUCUCACAUUAGUGGACCUACGACGUCACCAUAACAAAGCAACGUCAGAUAAAUACAUCGCAACAAUAGUUACCUUAGUGACAUCCUCCGUGAUGCCUUUGGCACAGAAGUAUUGCUCCAUUCCCCACAGAAAGUUAUCCACAUCUCUUACAGACCUUGUUCCCUUAAACUCCUUGGGCUUGGGAACAUCAAUAUUGGGCUUGGGUGCGAUAGCAGCUAACCCACCAUUGCCUAAAGCAGCCUUGUAGAUUGUGAGUUCACCCUUGAGCUCCGCAAUCUCCCCUUUCAAGGCCGUCACCCCAAUAGCAUCAUCUCUACUAGUCAACUGUUCCACAUUAUCCAACACAUAUGCUUUGAGUUGCUUCUGCAUGGACUGCAAUCCAUCAUGUAGCCUAUCAUCGACAUUAUCAGUCCUCUCCUUGAUAUCCCCCACGGAAUUCUCGAGAGUGACGACACGAUCCUCUAAAGCUGACAAUAUGUCCCUCGAGCAGCUAGCUUUCCUAGCCCUCCUAUGGGUCUCCAUUCCCUCAAUGUUCCCAGUAACUUCUUUCGACAUCUUUCAACGGUGGCUUUGAACCUUGGCUCGGAUACCAACUAUCACAGACUUAGAUUUUUCCCACUCGAUCUGUGCGACCUUAGGCAGUUUCUUUGCCCCAAAAAUGCCUAAGUCAGCCUAACUUGCAACGAUAAAGGAUUCAAUAGAAUUCCUGCCCCAAAAAGGCCUAAGUCAGCCUAACUUGCAACGACAAAGGAUUCAAUAGAAUUCUCUCAAGGCUUCCGCAAAGAACAGUAGAAGAACGAAGUAAGAAUGAACGUUGAAAGAUGAACAAAAGCCACAAAAAAGUAAGAACAAUUGGGAGAAAAGUUUGAGUAAAUACUCACAAGAUUCUUAUUGAUAACUGAAUAAAUUACAAUGAGCACAGAGGUCUCUAUUUAUAGUUGAGCCUCCCUAAAAUCAACGGUGUAGAUUAAAGUACAUCACUGGUUAUAAUAAAAACCUGUAUACAAUUAGAACUCUAAGAUUACACAAUAAAGUUGUAUAAAAUUAGAAAUCUACAUAAUCUUAUCUUCCAUAUUUAUCGGACUCUGGAGAUGGGCUUUUAAUCUCUCCACGCAACGGACCAGUUUGAUUGGGCCAAAUGACCUCCCUCAAAUACGAUGGAUCGCAUAAGUUUGUCAUGGUUGCGUGCUCCCAUGCGCAACCCAUGACACUAGUACACGGCUUAGCACACGGGCGUGCGUGGCCACUUCGAAGGACACACGGGCUAGACACACGGGCUUGUGGUCGGCCGUGUGACCCAAGUCAGUAUGUAUGCCCUAUUUUUAUAUGGCCUGAUACACGGACAUGUCUGGAGCUGUGUGAGGCACACGGCCUGUUCAAAUGGGCGUGUGACCCUUGAAUGAUUGAAAAAUUUCUAAAUUUCCCAAGAAUUUUGUAUGUUAUCGGUUUAGUCUCGGACCACUUUUAAAGUAUGUUUAAGGCCUCGUAGGCCCUUAUAAGGGACAAUGUGUUCAUAUUGAAUGGUAGAAUACAAAUGUAUAAAUGUAUGAAUUUUGUUUAAUAAAUGAUGUGUAUUGAUCGGUAAUACCUCGUAACCCUAUUAUGACAGUGAAUACAGGUGAGGGGUGUUACACAAGGAGAGAUUUGUUGAGACUUAAAAAGAAUUGAAGAAACUGAUACUGGUUUAGUUCAUGGAACAAUUAUCAAUAUGAUGAGCUUAAUCAAUAUACCAUUAACAAGAGAGAAAGAAUAAAAUUACUAAAUAAAACUUACCUCAAAUCUCAAAAUGUUUAGCUAACAAUGGCUUCAAAUGAAAACUAUGCCCCUUCAGGUAUUAGCAAAGCGGCAGUAGGGAGGAUUUGGCAAUCAUAUAGAAGGUUCUAGGUUUUUUUUAGGUUAGAAUUAGAAGUUUAAAUUAGGGAUUUUGAAGUUUAAGUUUUUUUUUUGUCGUCUGUUACUUUAGACACUUUUACUUUUAGUUUUAGAAUUUUGUUUUUAUUUAUUAAAUUAUUUGUAAUUUUUAUGAUUGGGUUAGAUAAUUGGGUUGGCUUGGGUUAGGCUAGGUUGGGUACUUGAGUUUAUAUAUAUUAAAUUGAGUUUAUGUUGGAUUGAGUUUGGGUGAAUAGUUGGUCUAUUUAUAUAUUAUAAUUUUAUUUAUUAAUUUUUUAGAUUAAAUCGAAAAAAUUCGGUUAACCGACUGGUUUCGAACCGAAUUAAUGGUUAAUUGAAAACUUAAAAAAUUAUUAACCGACACCGAUCGAAUUAAUUCGAUUUUAUCCGAAUUUUGCACACCCCUAGAUUCAAGUAAUGGUGGUUUGUUUUUCUCUUAAUAUAGUGACAAGUGUUGCUAGCCUUUCUAGACUCCUCUAUGACCUUGAUGGCUUCCAUAUUGUAUGAGACAUUUAAUUCAUAUAUUUGUAUUUUUUACUAAAUAUAAAUAGUAAGAAAAAUGAGAAAAUAAUUUCAAAACAUUAAAUAGGUCAACUAACAUCUAAUACGGCUUUGAAUGUCAUACAUUUCCACGAGCAUUCAGUUUCAACUUUGAAAAUAUAAAGCAAUAAAUGGUUGCCUGUUUAUGACUAAUGAGGUAGUUGAAUCGCAUGCAUGCACUUACUAUAUCAUAUAUAUGCACACACAUACAGAGAUGUGUAUGGAUUUUUAUUUUUAUUUUACUUUUUAUAUGUUAUAUUAAAGAGUAAAUUGAUUCUUUCAAUUCAAAUUUUCAUUUACUUUUAUACAAAAUUUACAUUUUGAGUAAUUGAAUUGUGACUUUAGGGUUGCAUGAUAGCAUAGUAAUUUACUUGAGAUAUCAAAACAUGUUAAUGUAAGUUAUAUGACAUUUUAAAAUAGGGAGAAUAGCAUGAAAUCUCGAUUUGGUAUGUGUAUGAGGAUGUCAGAGUGUCCAACACAAGUACUGAAAUUUUCCUACAAAUUUUCAAGUCCAUAUCGCGAUACCGAUAUUGGGUCGAUGUUGCAACUUGGGAAUCAUGAGGUUGUGACAUAGUGAUCAGAGAGUUUUGGGCAUAUUUUGAAACUUUUGCAAAUAAGUUCUGAUUUUUACACAAUAAAAUUGGGAGCCUUAAACAACACGAAAUGCUUUGAAAAUUUACAUGACUUGGUUUUGUAUAUUGAAUUUUAAUAUGGUAACUUCAAUUUCUUAAAAUGGUUUUACUGAAUAUUUUGAAUAAAAUAAAAUAAAAUUAAAAAUGAAAUAGAAAGAGAGGAAAAUUUUUUGGGAAAAGAAAAAUAAAAAUAAAAAUUUAAUAAAAUAUCACUAAUUUCCCCCAACUCCCCACUAACCCAUUAAUCAACCUAAUCCCACCCAAUCCGACACUUCAAUCCGCAUCCAACUACCUCAGAAUUUCAACUCCACCAAACCUCUAUUAGACAACCGCAACAAAAAUUAUCAUUCACACUCAUACAAAGAUUUGAGCACGAGGCCUUAGGGCAAGUUAACAUCUUACCACUCAAACCGAUAAGCUCAUUCUAAUAUGACCUGGCUAGCAAUAGAAUAUAAGUCAAACCGCCGAGAAAUAGGCUAUGAUCACAAAUAGCAAAAAUUUUCAAAAAUAGGACUUGAACCCAAGAUAUCAAACACACAAUCAAAAAAUUUAGCCACUGAAACAAAUACAUAUUUAUGAUAAGAUUUAUAAAAAUAAAAUUAAAAAAUCAAGGCAACAUGAAAUGUUGCAUUAAUGUAAAUCAUAAGACUGCUAUUUGCUCUAAUUUAGAUACAUAUGAUUUAUAAAUAUUAUAUUUUAAGAUCAUAGUAGAGAACAAUAGUGCCGACAAUAAUGGAAGACAGCAAAGGAAAAAAGUAAUAAUAAGAAAAGAUGGAAUUUACUUUACCUAUGUAGAACUUAAAAACGAAAGUUGUCCCGAACACCAUAAAAAUUAACUCAUAAUAUUGUUUGUUUUCUUUGAUUAUUGUUCCCAUAACUGCUACUGUUACUCGGUGAUAAAAAUGAAUUUAUGAGAAAUUUAAAAAGGUUUCAAUACGUGUAUCGAUGCUACUAUUUUAAAGUUUUAUUCACCCCCACUUACUUAUUGCUGUGCAAAAGAGUUAUUCAUAAAUUGACCUUGAAGAUACAAUGAAAUCUAAUGAUUGUCAACGUUUUGCACUGAUAAAAACAAUUCACUGAACAUUGAAUGGAGCAUAGCAAGAAUACCAAUUUCUAUAAAAAACUUCUACAAUAAUUUUUCAUAAAACAAUCUAGGAAUAUUAGAAGAUGGAGAAUAGAAUUCGAUACCAAAAUAAAAAGAGAACAAAACCAAAAAAAAAAGAGUUAGAUCAUUACAUAAUUCCUCAAUAUUUCUCGAAACCGAAUCAUUACUAUUAUCAAGUUGAGUUUCAUGGUCUUAAACGACAUCUAGAGUUGAUAUUAUAGAGGCUUAUAAAAUUGACCCUAAUGCCAUUUUUUUUUAUUUAGAAGAAUACAAAAUCUACAACAAUUAUUUUUUCAAACUCAAUUCAAAAUUUCAUUACCUAUAAAUUAUUUUUCAAAACCCAAAUUAUAAAAAUAAAUUAUAUUUGGAAUUUUAUCUUUUCUUACAAUGUCAAGAAACAUAGAUCAAAGUUAUGUCAAGAACUAGAAAGGUAAAAAACAGAGAUCAAAUAAGUUUGCUUAAUGUUUUUCUUUUCUAUGUUUUUUUUAAAGAAUAUGUAUUGAAUAUUUUGAUAUAGAUAAUAAAGAGAAAUUUAGGAGGGUUUAAAAUUAAUUACCCCUAAUUUUCUCUCACUUUAUUUAUUUUUAAAUUUUUAUCUAUUUUUAGUUAAUUUUUAAUUUUAUAAAAUUUUAAAAAUAAUUUUAAUUUUUUACCAAUUUAUAUAUUAUCAAGAUCAGAUUGACAGAGAGUAUAUAAGUUGGGGACUAAUGUAACCAACUCAUUUUCUCAACUGUACACCAAACAACUCAAGUCCACACUUUUUGAGUUGAAAUUGAAUUAACUUUAAAAGAUAAUUGUAACUAUCUCAUAUUCUGGAGAGAUAAUGAAUACCGUAUUGUAAGGUUUUAGCGUAGGUUCAUUUCUCAUGUUUCUUGAUUGAAAUGAUAACUAGUCUAAAGCUAAAUGGAGAUUAGUUGAACAUGAAAUUAAUCAUCCUUGAUUUGAUUAUGAGAGUGAAUUUUAAUGAAAAAUAAUAGGUGAAGAAAAGAGAGAACUAAAAGGGAAAUUGCACCAAAAUAUAAAAAGAGAAAAACAAUGGCAGAUUGCUUCCAAUGCAGUAGACACAAGAAUGUGCUAAAUUGUCUUUUUAAAUUCAAAGUGUGUAUUCAUGCCACAAUUAAAAACUUUUAUAUACCAAUCUCAAAGAACCAAUUUCACAUGAUUUUACUCCUAGAAUCAUGCUUAACAAGCAACCACUAAAUCAACACUUUCUAAAUAUAGAAUUUGUCAAAGUAAAAAAUUUAAUAUUUUUUAUCAGCCCAAAAAUAAUUUUGCAACUUUCAAAUCAACCCCCAACUUGUUUUUUUCUAAUUUAGCUCGAUUUGUUUGUUUUUGAACUUCGGCACUCCAAUUGUGUCUAUGAUAAAAUUCAGGCAAUAAAUCACAAGUUUAGUAGAAUUCUAUUAAAAAGUUGACCAAAAUUGGGUAUAUUAAAUAUAUAAAAUUAACUUGCUAUCAGAUUUGGAACUAAUUAAUAAUAACAUAUGAAAUAUGUACUAUAUUAAAAUAAAAAUUAGAAUAAAUUGUGAGUAAAAUGAAAUCUAAACAAAAAAAUACAUCAGAUUAAAAAUGCUAAAUAAAUACAAUUGUUUAUCAUUGUUUUGUCUUCAAUUCUGAGUUGGUGUCGUGUUCAUUUGUGACACUAAAUCAACAACAUUUUUUAUAUACACAAAUAAAUAAAAAUUUAGAACAUAGAUAUCAUUAUUAAAGUUUCAAGUGAAAAGUAAAAAUUGCUUUAGGUUUUAUGUGCAUGGUGACAUUAGUUCAAAUCUCAUUAUGGAUAAUUUUUUAUUGAUUUAUAAAAGUAUGAAAAGACGAAAUCAUUCUCGUAAUCAUGUAUUUUACUUUGCAAAUAAAAUGGUUUUUUGAUAACUUUCUUAUUGAGUUGUGACUUGAUUGAUGGUGACACCAACAUAAAAGGCUUAAUACAUAAUAUUUAUAAAAAAUAUUUUAAACUAAAAAAUUUAAAAGAAUUUAGGGUAAAUUAAACCAUUAGUGAUUCAAUUAUGGGUAAGUUUUUAUUUUUAUCACUUAACUAAAAAAAAUUACAAUUUCAUCACUAAUGUUUUUGAAUUUCUUUUUUUGUCACCCAACUAUUAAGUGGAAUUUGUUUCAAUUGGUAUAAUAAUAAUUAUAGCUCUCAAUUUUUAUAAUUUCUAUCAAUUUGACCUUGAUUUUGUUUAAAGAUUAUAAAAAAACUCAAAAUUAUUUAUAAAAUAGAAAAAUGUGUAUAAAAAUUGUAGAAAAAUAAAAUCUUGAAUAACUAAAUUGUAUGAAAAAUAAAGAAAAUUAUCAUUCAAUGGAACCCAUUAACAAUUUAAAAACAAACUAAACCAAAACAAGUUAAAUCAUUACAUGCUUUCUUAAUGUUUCUCGAAACUAAAAUAGUAAUAUUAUCAAGUUGAGUAUCAUGCCUUUGAAGAACAUCUAGAACUCAUAUUACACAGGCUUUUAAAAUUUAACCAGAUGCCAUUUUUUAGUAGAAAGAAUACAAAAUAUACCAAAAUAUUAUCUUUUUCAAACUCAAUUCAAAAUUUCAUUACAUUUCAAAAACUAAAUUGUAAAAAUAAAUUUUAUAUAAAAUUUUAUCUUUUCUUAUAAUGUAAAAGCUAUGUAUCUUUUGAAGAAUGGAUAUUAGAUAUUUCGAUAUAGAUGAUAAAUAAUUAUAAUGUCAAGAAAUAGAAGAGGUAAAAAAACAGAAAGCAAAUGAUCUUGCUUAAUGUGUUUUUUUUUUCUAUAUUUCUUUUGAAGAGUGGAUAUUAGAUAUUUCGAUAGAGAUAAUAAAAAGAAAUAUUAGAGGGUUUAAACAUAAUUAUUUAUUUUUGAAAUAUUUAUCUACUGUUAUUUAAUUUUUAAUUUUAUAAUAUUUUAAAAUUUUAAAACAAUUUUAAAUUUGGGUAUAAUGAUAAUUUGAAUUUCGACUAUUUCUAAAAAUGGUAAACACCCAAUCAAAACCACAAUUUGGAUUUAAAAAUGUAACUUAUGAAGGAAUUUAUAUGAAAAACUAAAUAUUUAUUUUAACUUGAAUAGAUUUAUUCACAUUAUUUACGUCUUACAAACAUCGUAUGUAAGAAAAACUAUAUUUCUUUUAUAGGAUGCCGACUAGGAUAUUUAAUUUCAAGUUGUAACGUAUAAUUAGGCAUUCUUAUACUAUACUUGCCUAUUAUUACGAUGCUGCUACUGAUGAUGUUGCUGCUACAAUUGGGCACCAAGAUGACUGCAAAACUUGUUAGUAAUGUCCAGAAUGAAUGGAAAGGACCAUGGCAGAUUAGUGAAUUAUUACAGAUUUAAAGAAGAAUCAAAUUUUAAAUCAGCCGAUAGAAGGAGAAUAUUGAAUAUUUCCAAAAGUUUUGGCCCAUUGGGCACCAUUAUUGUCCUCCCCUAAAAAAACGAAGAUAUUUUUUUUUUGUUAGAUCAAAACCAAUAUCAAAUCCUAACCCUAUGUAAUAACUAUGAAGAAAGAAAGAGAAGAAAAGGGGAAAAAAUUAGAAGAUUAAAGAAAAGAAGUAAUGUGGUUUAUUUUAUUUUGAUAGAUAAAAUUUGUAAAGGAAACUAAAAAUUUCUAAUAAUCCUUUUAUUCUCAACUCAUGUUUAGUUGUUCGUACAAAUGCCCCUGCUUUAAAAUUCACAAACAAUAUUGGUUUUCCCCUAAUUUCUUAACAUCACCAACAAAAAGAUCAAGAUCAACAAGCUACACAAGUCAGAACAAAAUCAACAAUCUUGAAAAUAGACCCUAAACCUCAUUCUAGUUUCCGCAAUCUUUUAUCAGUGCGCAAUGGUUACGUACAACUGAUUCACAUUGCAAGUGAUGAUCUUUACACAAUUUGUGAAACAUUUCAGAGCAAGAUUGAUUUAUUAGAGUAUAUGAUAAGAUCCAUAAAUAAGGUGGCAGUGAAUAUAUCAGCAGAAAAGCCCUUAGCAACCAUUUCCGUAAGAAGUUGUGUUGCCUUUGAGGUAUAGCUGUUGCGAAGGAACCCCCGAAUCAUUACAUUAUAACAGCAGCUAUCAGGCAAACGGUCAUUACCUCCCAUGCUCCCUAACAACCUGUAUGCUUCAUCUGGCAAUCCCUCUUUACACAGUCCAUUAAUCAUUAUACAAUAUGUGUAAACAUCAGGUUUUAAACCAUUGUCUGAGAGUUGAUGAAAUAAUUCCUUGGCAACUUCGAUAUGCCCAGCUUUGCACAACCCAUCAAUUAGGAUAGUAUACAGGACAAUAUCAAGUUCCAACCCACUGUUUCGCAUUGCUUGAAAAAGUUUCAAUGCCUCUUCGAUAUGACCUGUUUUGCAUAAACCAUCCAGCAAAAUCGAACAAGUCACUAAAUCUGGAACUUGUCCAGAAGCAACCAUCUUUCUAAACAGUUCACAUGCAGUUGAAACUCUCCCUAACUGAAACAUACUUUGCAAGAGAGUGCUAUAUGUGACAGUAUCCGGGAUUGGUCCCUUUAGAGAUAUUUCAUGAAAGAGUUCCAUUGCUUUGCCUAACCUUUUACCUUUGCAAUAUCCAUUGAUCAUGGUGUUGUAAGUAACUAUAUUAGGUGCACAACCCUUCUCAAUCAUCAAGUUGAAAACUCUUCUAGCUUUAUCCAUUUCAUUCUGCAAGCAAUGACCACUAACUAAUGCAUUAUAGGUAACAACAUCAGGCUCAAUGCCUCGCUUUAUCAUUGCGUCAACAAAAUCCUCAGCUUCAGAGACCAUCCCUUCCUUGCAAUGCGCAUCAACCAAUGUACUAUACGUGACAACAUUAGGCUCAAUGCCUUGUUUUCUCAUCAUGUCAACGGUCUCUACAGCUUUAGAAAUCGUUCCUUCCUUGCAAAGAGCAUCAACCAAUGUAGUAUACGUGACAAUAUUAAGUGAAAUAUUGUUAUCCACCAUUUCAUUCAAGAGCCUUGUUGCCUCCUCCUGCUGGCCCGAAUUACACAUACCAUGAAUUAAGCAGUUAUAAGUAAUGAUAUCUGGUCUAAUGCCUUUAACCUUCACUUCGGAGAAGAGAUCGAGAGCCCCCUGUAACAAACCGUUCUUAGAAAGGCAGUCAAUGACAGUGUUAUAUGCUACAAUAUCGGGUUCAUAACCACUGCUUUCCAUCAGCCUUAGAAACCUAACAGCUGUAUCAGUAUUGCCGGUCCUACACAACCCCUUAAGUACUAUACUGUAAGCAAUCAAAUUAGGUUGAUACCCUUUUUCAGUCAUUUCAUCGAACAUACAAACGGCCUCAGACAUCUUACUUUGAUUACAAAGCCCAUUUAUCAAAGUUGAAAAAGUUACAGCACCAGGGUCAACACCUAACUUCAGCAUUUUCCCCAAAACAGAAAGCCCAAAAACCUAAUUGACAAAAGCAAUUUGUCAAGAUGUUCAUAGAAUAAACAUCAUGGGAAACUCCCAAUAAUUCGAUCUGUCUAUACUUAGAAACAACAAUGGCAUAAUGUUUCAUCUUAACAAUGGCUCCUAAUAAUUUAGUGAAUUCCACAAUUGAAGGCUUUGGGUACUUUUCAAUCAUCUUAUUGAACAAACUCAAAGCAUGAUCAACAUUAUCGAAGCGGUGGUCUCUUUUUCCCUUUCCUCUAACAGGCAUGGACAUGCGUUUCUUACUUAGGCAUUCGAUGUGGGUAGCAAUGGUGUUAGAAGAAGAAGAAAAAGAGUGGAAAUUAGAAAGAAGGCUUCCAGCAUUAACAACGGAACGAAGAAUAAAAGAAGAAGGAAGCUUACCCAUAUCUUGAAAGCAGAAAUGGCAGCGGCAGUAGCAGAAGAAGUGUAAAUUUUGGGUUGCGAAGUGGUGUUGAGGGAAAGGGUUGGGAGCGUAAUUUGGGUUUUUAAUUUUUUUAAUGUGAAUAAUAUUUAAUAAAAAAAUUAAACUUUAUUUUGAAAUGCAAUCUUCAAUUAUUAAACUUAUAAAUCUUCCUUUUAAAUUUAAUAAAAUUACUAUUUACUUUUAAAUGGAAUGAACUUCAAAAGAUUAUUAGACUAACUUUAAUAAAAUUUAUUAAAUUUAAAUUUAAAUUUUUAGAUUAAGUUGGAAAAAUAUACAAAGAUUACAAUACAAUUAAAACUUAAAUUUAUAAAAUACUCUAUUUUUAUAAAUUAUAUUUUGUUGACAUUUUUUUAAUGUUGAUGCAUCUUUUUGUGUGGCAUCUCCUUGCAAGCAUAAUUCGUUAUGCAAAAAUCGCCUUGCAGUUACAAAAUAAGACAGUCCGAGAUGUGGCAUUGCAGUGUAGAUGGAUGACGGUAAGCGUUACUGUUCUCAAAAGUCGAUCUAAAUUCAUCACUUGAAUGUUUGCUUGAGUUCUAGAAUAUAUAGACUCAUAGAUGUAGAACAUAUUUCUCGAGUGGCUUAAAAUGCUGUUGCAACGAGGCAGGUUGUAAUCAUUAGAGUCAAUUUAUAUUUUGCUGGCUUGAUUCCAUAAUUCUACUCUGUGUUUUAUAGAGUGUAUAUGUGUUUGUGUGCGCGCCUACAUGCACAUGUGUGAUAAGAGAACAAUCUGAUUUAUGCUUGAUGCAGAAAAAGAAAAAUAGCAAGAGAAGGAAGAACAUAAUAUAGCCAGGAAAAGUAAAGACAAAAAGGUAAGAUUUAUGAGUUUCUUUCUUCUGUGUGCUAAACUGUAAUUAUUUUUGUUUUCUUUACUCCUAUGAGCAUGCUCAGUUGUGUAACUCUUAGAACUCACGAUAUAAGAUAUCCUUUAAAGGUAAAAUAUUCUCCCUAUGAUACUGACACACAGAGAGCAUAUUUUUAUUUAAUUUCCUAUUUCCUCUUUCACACGGGCACAUCUGGAGAGAUGUGAAUGACUGCUUCCAUUCACAAUGGAAACCUCUCUUGUAUAUGAAAGGUAGUGGAGCAGAGCUCAUUGAGCAUAGGGAGGUUAUUGAGUUGAACAUAGUAUUUUAUAUUGAAUUAAAUAAUAUUGAAUUGUAUGUGAAUUGAAUGGAAAUUUCUAGUGAUAUGAUUUGAAUUAAAAAAAUUAAUGUGGUAUUGAAAUGCAUAUUGGAUUGAGAAAUUGAUUUGAAUUGUGAACAUGAGAAAUUGUGAAUUGAAUGAAAUUGAAAUGAAGUAUGAAUAUGUAUGAGAAUUUGAUAGUAUACUGAUUGGAAAGUGAAAAAUGUAUUGAAUUAAAUUGUGAUUAAAUUGGAAUGAUUUGAAUUGAAAGUAUGAGAAAGUGAUUGAAUUGAAAUGUGAUUCGAAAACCCUAUCAAUUAGUCGGGUUGAGUCGGAUAUAGUUGGUAUGCCAUAGGAUUGGAAGAGUUCAGGGAUUCUUCGACCUUGAGUCGAUAAGACACUGGGUGUCACUAUAUUUCUUCGAAUAGUUAUGAUGAGGUACUGGAUACCAACUUUCUUCCGCUCUAUCGAUGAGACACUGGGUGCCACUUUAUUGCUUCGAACUAUCCGAUGAGGCACUGGGUGCCAUACUGGAGUGUUUGGUUGGAUCCGUGUAUCCGUCAAAGUCCGACUCUUGUUAAUAGGGGUAUAUAAUUGAAAUGAGAAAAUUUGAAUAAGUGUGAUUGAUUGAGCUAUGGAAAGAAAUGAGAAAGUGAAAUUGUGAAUUGAUAUGUGAAUUGAAAAUCGAGAUAUGAGAUUUGAAGAUAUGAACCCGAAGUUUAUGAUGUGAUUAAGAGUAAAUUUUUGUUAUAUGAUAUUAGUGAGUAUAAAUUGCAAUAGAAUUGAUAUUGAAUAUAGUGAUAAAUUUAAUGAAUUGUAUAUGAAUUGAAAUGAACUAUUGGAGUGAGAUGUGAAAAAUCCAAUGGAAUUGAGGUAGUGAAAUAAGGUAUGAAUAUAAUUAAAUACAAGAUUUGAAAUAUUGCUUAUUGUUAUUAAUUAUCAAGUUGAUUUAACGUAUAAGAAAAUUAAUGAAUAAUUGUAGACUUAAAUUAAAUGUAUAUAAUUUAUCGAUUAAUAUUAUAAAUUUGAAUUAUGGUAAUACCACUGAGUAUACUCAUACUCAGCGUACGGUUGUUUCCGUGCGUAGGUUAGUAGAAAGCUAGUGUUCGAUCCAGCAUCCAGAGCAAUCCCGACCUCAGAUAAAUUUUAGUGAUGUACUUUUCUUUUGAUAAUGUGGCAUGUAUCUAGAUGAUGUAUUGAUUAAAGUAUGCUAUGUAUGUUAUUAAUUUGUGAAUUAGUUAUAAGUUAUCCGAUAUGUCCGGUAAUGCUCUGUAACUCUGUUCCGGCGACGGUUUAGGGUUAAGGGGUGUUAUAGUGCUCGGAUUGAUUUUCUGGUUAAUAAUAUAAAUUAGUUUAUGAUUAAUUUAUUUAUGAUCUUUUGGAUUGUAAAUUUGUUUCUGGACUUUCUUUAUGGUUUUUGCUAAUUUUUUUUGAAUUUUGGUAUUUUUAUCAUAAGACUAUGAUAACGUAUAUAUUAUCAAAUUAGAAAUCAAUUUCUAAAAUUAAGACUCUGAAAAUUUCUGCUGUAAUGUGAUUUGGUGGUUUUUCUGUAAAAUAAGUGUUUUGUCGAACAUGAGAUUUUCCAAAAAUAUGUAAGAGUUUUGCCAAACUUAUAUUUUUGACACACACUGAGUUAGAUAAAAUCAUAAUUUUUUUUAAGAGUUAAUGUAAUUCCUCAAGAUCUAGUCAUAUCUUCUACAUCGAGUGUGGGGUGUUACAAAACUCAUUCCUUGAAGCUUCCUCCCCAAGACCUCCUCUUACAUAUUGCUUGGACCAUCAAUACCUAAUUUAAACCAAGAUUAUAAUUUACACAAAUUAAUAAAUAUUGUAUAAAAAAUAAAAAAAUUAAAUUAAAUAUAAUAAUUAUUUAUAUUAUUAAAUAUAAUAUUUUUUGUUAGAAAAAAAAAUUCUUUAACAUAUUGUUUUCUUAAAUCUCGUUUAGUUUAUCUUGUUUGAUGAACUCAAUUAAUUAAAUUACUUUAAAUAAAAAAACUUAAUAUUUAUAUAAUUAAAAAAAUAUCAUAAUUAAUAUGAAUUUAUUUUAUAAUAUGGGGUAUAAUUAUAUUUAGUACAUAUUGUAUUACAAAAACAUAUAUACAUACAUGUUUAACUGCAUAUAAUAUAUCAAUUGUUAUAUAUACGUAAAAUAUGAAUAUAUAGUAAUUAUUAUACAAUUAUGAUAUUAUAAUGUACUUUCUUUUAUUAACAAUAUGCAACCUAAACCUUAAACGUAUUAUAAUAUAUACAAUUAACAUUAUAUAGUUAAGGUAGAUUAUUAAUGAUAUGUAUUCAUAUAUACAACUAUGUUAUUAUAAUGUACAUUCUUUAUAUUAGUGAUAUAUGUAAGCUUACACCCUAAACGAGUAACUAAUUUUAUGGUAGAUUAUAAUAUAUACAACUAUUUUUUAUCUCGUGCAAUGCUCGAAUUUAGUUGUAUGUAUCAAUUAAAUAUAUUACAUGUAUUUUUGUAAUGUUUUAAAAAUUUUAUGAUCGAGAAAGUAAAAAGAUACUCACUUGUCUAUAUAAAUUUAAUCUAAACUAGAUUUUAUUGAUUAUUUUAUAAAAAAAUCAAUAUUAUUAUGAGGUUAUUUUUUUCAUUUUAAAUUAGUAAAAUCUAGAAAAAUUCAUUUGAUGGUAUUUAAACCCAAAACACCAUGAUAUUUAACAUUUUAAUUUUAUGAUUUCAUCGGAAGUCUAAUUUGUUUUUUAUAUUAUUUUUAAUAAUAUAUAUAUUUGUCAAAUAAUUUCUUUCAACCACAUCCUAAGGAUGCCAUAAUCUAAGAUCAUAUUUAUUGACUAUAUUAUGUUUGUAUUGUAUUUUUAUACUUGUGUUCUAAAUUAUAAUAUUCAAAUUAAAAGUAAUAAAUAGCAAAAUCUAACAUAAACCACUAGCGGUGCAUUUGAUUUGUCGAAUCUUCGAUUAUGUUUUGCAAUAAAAUUACGAAAAUAUAAGAUUACGGAUGGAAUGCAAAAUACCUUAUUUGGUUCAUUUGCUUGGAAUGAAAGAUUCGUGUAUUCGACUGAUGAAAUUUAGGAUUACCUAAAAGCAAAUUUUAUUAUAUUUUCAUUGUUAAUAUUUUUUUUUACAAAUUCACUUCCUUUAACUUUUUUUAGUCCCGAUUUUUUCAAAAAGUUAUAAUAACUUAAUAAAUUCACCAUUUUAUCAUAUGAAUUCAAAUGAACUGCCUAAUUAUGAUAACUUAUUUAUAUGAUUUAUGAAUUGAACCAGCAAAAAUGUUGGGUUUUGAAAUCAACCUCUUUCACUUUCUCAUGUUAAAAACAUGAUACAAAGGAACAAUUCAUGACAUUGACUUCAAUUAGGGUUAAAUCGAAGUUCUCACAAAUUAGGAGAAAGAAAUACAAAAACUGGCAUAGGAUUGAAAAUACUUUGCAACCUAUAUUUGAUGAGGCCAUUAAGGUGGUGAAGCAGAAGGUUGGAAUUAAAAUAGUUAAUUCAAUCAUAUAGGUCGAAAUAUAAUUUUACCAUUGUAAUAAUUUUUUAAGAUACGAUACGAUACUAUACUAUAAAUUUAUUUUAUUUUUUAAAAUGUCACCUUGCUUUAGAGAACUCCAUUCAAAGAGUUAACACAUGAGGUUAAAAAGUCUAAAUUCAUAUAAAUUUCAUUAAAAAAAUCUAAUAAUGGAUUUUGAGACUAAAUUUUAGGAGGUUUAAUUAUAAUUUUUUUUUUAAAAUAAGAGUGUAACAAUAAAAUUUUAAAAGAACUUAGGGUUUGAUUACAAUUUUUAAAAAUAUGUGAGAUUAAUGAAAUUUUUUUUUUAAAAAAGGAGAGUUUAAUUAAAACUUUCAAAAAAAAUUUAAGGGAAUAUUGAAUAUUUCAAAAAGUUUUGGCCUAUUGGGCACCAUUACUGUCCUCCCCUAUGUAAUAACUAUGAAGAAAGAAAGAGAAGAAAAGGGGAAAAAAUUAGAAGAUUAAAGAAAAGAAGUAAUGUGGUUUAUUUUAUUUUGAUAGAUAAAAUUAGUAAAGGAAACUAAAAUUUUCUAAUAAUCAUUUUCACCAAAUAUUUAAUAAAAUUUAUAAUAAUUAUUUUUACUAAAUGGCUUAAAAAAUAUAAAUAAAAAUUUAUCUAAAAUGUUGUUAUAUCAAAAGCUUAGGACAUCAAAGCUAACAACUUUCAUCAGAUCAGAACAAUUAUAAAAUUUAUCUCAAUCACUCAACCUCAAUUUAUCUCCUUUUAUUCUCAACUCAUGUUUAGUUGUUCGUACAAAUGCCCCUGCUUUAAAAUUCACAAGCAAUAUUGGUUUUCCCCUAAUUUCUUAACAUCACCACCAAAAAGAUCAAGAAGUUGCUAAGAUCAAGAUCAACAAGCUACACAAGUCACAACAAAAUCAACAAUAUUGAAAAUAGACACUAAACCUCAUUCUAGUUUCCACAAUCUUUUAUCCCUGUGCAAUGGUUAUGUACAACUGAUUCACAUUGCAAGUGAUGAUCUUUACACAAUUUGUGAAACAUUUCAGAGCAAGAUUGAUUUAUUAGAGUAUAUGAUAAUAUCCAUAAAUAAGGUGGCAGUGAAUAUAUCUGCAGAAAAGCCCUUAGCAACCAUUUCCGUAAGAAGUUGUGUUGCCUUUGAGGUAUAGCUGUUGCAAAGGAACCCCCGAAUCAUUACAUUAUAACAGCAGCUAUCAGGCAAACAGUCAUUAUCUCCCAUGCUCCCAAACAACCUGUAUGCUUCAUCUGGCAAUCCCUCUUUACACAGUCCAUUAAUCAUUAUACAAUACGAGUAAACAUCCGGUUUUAAACCAUUGUCUGAGAGUUGAUGAAAUAAUUCCUUGGCAACUUCGAUAUGCCCAGCUUUACAAAACCCAUCAAUUAGGAUAGUAUACGGGACAAUAUCAAGCUCCAACUCACUGUUUUGCAUUGCUUGAAAAAGUUUCAAUGCCUCUUCGAUAUGACCUGUUUUGCAUAAACCAUCCAGCAAAAUCAAACAGGUCGCCAUAUCUGGAACUUGUCCAGAAGCAAGCAUCUUUCUAAAAAGUUCACAUGCAGUUGAAAUUUUCCCUAACUGAAACAUACUCUGCAUAAGAGUGUUGUAUGUGACAGUAUCCGGGAUUGGUCCCUUUCGAGAUAUUUCAUGAAAGAGUUCCAUUGCUUUGUCUAACCUUUUACCUUUGCAAUAUCCAUUGAUCAUGGUGUUGUACGUAACUAUAUUAGGUGCACAACCCUUCUCAAUCAUCAAGUUGAAAACUCUUCUAGCUUUAUCCAUUUCAUUCUGCAAGCAAUGGCCAUUAACUAAUGUAUUAUACGUGACAACAUUAGGCUCAAUGCCUCGCUUUAUCAUUUCGUCAACAAUACCCUCAGCUUCAGAGACCAUCCCUUCCUUGCAAUGCGCAUCAACCAAUAUACUAUACGUGACAACAUCAGGCUCAAUGCCUUGCUUUCUCAUCGUGUCAACGAUCUCUACAGCUUUAGAAAUCGUUCCUUCCUUGCAAAGAGCAUCAAUCAAUAACGUAUAUGUGACAAUAUCAAGUGAAAUAUUGUUAUCAACCAUUUCAUUCAAAUGCCUUGUUGCCUCCUCCUGCUGGCCCAAAUUACACAUACCAUGAAUUAAGCAAGUGUAAGUAAUGAUAUCUGGUCUAAUGCCCUUAACCUUCAUUUCAGAUAAGAGAUUGAGAGCCUCCUGUAACAAACCGUUCUUACAAAGGCAGUCAAUGACAGUGCUAUAUGCUACAUUAUCGGGUUCAUAACCUCUGCUUUCCAUCAGCCUUAGAAACCUAACAGCUCUACCAGUAUUACCGGUUUUACACAACCCCUUAAGCAUUGUACUGUAAACAAUCGAAGUAGGUUGAUACCCCUUUUCAGUCAUUUCAUCGAACAUACAAACGGCCUCAGAAAUCUUACUUUGAUUACAAAGCCCAUUAAUCAAAGUUGAAAAAAUUACAACAUCAGGCUCAACACCUAACUUCAGCAUUUUCCCCAAAACAGAAAACCCAAAAUCAAUUCGACCUAAUUGACAAAAGCAAUUAAUCAAGAUGCUCAUAGAAUAAACAUCAUGGGAAACUCCCAAUAAUUCGAUCUGUCUAUACUUAGAAACAACAAUGGCAUAAUGUUUCAUUCUAACAAUGGCUGCAAAUAAUUUAGUGAAUUCCACAAUUGAAGGCUUUGGGUACUUUUCAAUCAUCUUAUUGAACAAAAUCAAAGCAUGAUCAACAUUAUCGAAGUGGUGGUCUCUUUUUCCCUUUCCUCUAACAGGCAUGGACAUGGGUUUCUUACUUAGGCAUUCGAUGUGGGUAGCAAUGGUGUUAGAAGAAGAAGAAAAAGAGUGCAAAUUAGAAAGAUGGCUUCCAGCAUUAACAACCGAACGAAGAAUAAAAGGAGGAAGCUUACCCAUAUCUUGAAAGUAAGCAAAAUGAAAGCAGAAAUGGCAGCGGCAGUAGCAGAAGAAGUGUAAAUUUUGCGUUGCGAAGUGGUGUUUAGGGAAAGGGUUGGGAGCGUAAUUUGGGGUUUUUUUUAUUUUUUUAAUGUGAAUAAUAUUUAAUAAAAAAAUUAAACUUUAUUUUUAAAUGCAACCUUCAAUUAUUAUUAAUAUUAUUAUAUACUUAUAAAUCUUCCUUUUAAAUUUAAUAAAAAUUUACUAAAUUUUAAUUUUAAUUUUUAGACUAAGUUGAAAAAAUAUACAAAGAUUACAAUACAAUUUAAACUUAAAUCUAUAAAAUGUUCUAUUUUUAUAAAUUAUAUUUUGUCGACAUUUUUUUAAUGUCGAUGCAUCUUUUUGUGUGGCAUCUCUUUGCAGAUAUGCGUCAGAGGCAAGCAUAAUUCGUUAUGCAAAAAUCGCCCUGCAGUUACAAAAUAAGACAGUCGGGGAUGUGGCUUUGCAGUGCAGAUGGAUGACGGUAAGCGUUACUGUUCUCAAAAGUCAAUCUAAAUUCAUCACUUAACUGUUUGCCUGAGUUCUAGAAUAUAUAGACUCAUAAACAUAUUUCUCGAGUGGCUUAAAAUGCUGCUGCAACGAGGCAGGUUGUAAUCAUUGGAGUCAAUUUAUAUUCCAUAAUUCUACUCUGUGUUUUAUAUAGUGUAUAUGUGUUUGUGUACGCGUCUGUAUGCAUAUGUGUGAUAAGAGAACAAUCUGAUUUAUGCUUAAUGCAGAAAAAGGAAAGUAACAAGAUAAGGAAGGAAGAACAUAAUAUAUGCACAUGUGUGAUAAGAGAACAAUCUGAUUUAUGUUCUGUUAUGAGCUUUAAUAAACUACCAAUUUCUAAUAAAGAAAAGAAACAGAGAAAAGUGAAGAGGAAAAUUUGAUGUUCUUCUAUAGAUACAUUUUUUUGUCACAGAAUGCAAGUAACAGAAGAAAGGGUCUAGUCUUCUAGCUCAGUCUUCUAGCUAUGACUUCUCAUUGUUGUCCAACUUUCAGAAGAUUGGACGAAAUUGAAAGGAGUGCAUGAUUUCUCUGUGGUUAAUACAAAUGUCUUGACUGAUUCAUUUAUUUGUUCAACCAACGUGUGCUUCCGAUGUAUUUAGAUAAAAGCUUUCGUUAUUCUACAAUGAAAGGGCAUGCAUCAUUAUUUUUAAAUAUUUAUGAUAUUAUUUAAACCCCCGAUUGAGUUGCUGUCACGAGUCUAUCGAGCUCCAAUUCGGUUAGAGAAAUUAUUAAAAUGUUCUUCCUUAAUUAAAAUAAAUUGUAUUAUUUGAGGGUAUUUUAAUCUUUUUAUUUAAAAAUAAUAAUAAGUUUACAUGUGGUGGGAUUUUAAUAUUAUAUUUGUAUUUUAAUUGUAUUAUGCUUACUUUAUUGCUUUAAUGAAUUGUAUAUCUGCACUUAAAAUAAACCCUUGACUAGGGAAAUAUAAAAAAUUUGCAUGUGGCAGGAUUUAAACUCAUGUUAAUAUUCUAGCUUAAUAAUUGAGUACUAUUAUAUAUUUAAUUUGAUUUAUUUAUAAACAUUACAAUAUAUGUAAAAAUAAUUUAAAAUAUAAAUUUAUUAAUAUAUGUAAAAACAGCUUUUCCGGAAAAUAUUUUCAGGAAAUUUGCCAAACAACAAAAAAUAUUUUACACAGAUUCAUCCAAACACUAGAAAAGCAAAUCAUUUCCAGAAAAGUAAAUCAAUUUCUAGAAAUCAUUUUCCAGAAAAUAUUUUACUGGCAAAUAAAUGGAGCCUUAGUUUAUCGAGUUUUGUAAGAACUCAAUCUUGGUUGAGAUUCCAUUACAAUUGUUGUUUCAAGUUCAAAGAUGCUUCCACUACCAUGGUGGCAACGAUCUAAACAUAGACUUCACGCAUCAAGGUUCUGGUCACCUUGAUGCCCGAGUGUGCCAAUGUAACUUGCUGAAGUCUAUUCUUGCUCCCAAUUAUCGACAAAGAAGCCUGAUUCAAGUAGGGGUGUUCAUUCGGUUAACCGACCCGAAAUAGCAUUAACCGAAUUAAAUGACCCUUCAAAAUUUUUAACUAUUAACCGAACCGAAUUUUUUUCAAAAAAUUAACCAACCCGAAAUUUUGUUGGUUAAUUCGGUCGGUUAACCGAAAAUUAUAUAUUUUUUAUUUUUGGAUAUUUUUGCAACAGUUGAGGAUAUUUUUAUUCAAGAACUUCAGAGAAUUAGGUACACAACUUGUUUUACUGAAUGAUUUAUUAUUUCAACCAACCAAAAGUGUUGGCAUCAACAAAGAAGUGUAUCCCAUUUACAAGCAAGGGGUAACAGCCCGGUUUUAGCUAAAUCGAAACAGUGAUUUCGGAACCACAAAUCUGAUGUUAAAAAAUUAUUUUAAUAUUAUUUUAUUUGUUUAAAGCAUGAUAUUUGAUAUGAGUGAAAAUUUCAUGAGCUAAUUUUAUCGUUUGGACGUCUAAUUUGAUAAAAGGACUUAAUCGCUUAAAAUGCAAAAGUUACAUUCUACUUGUUAAAAGUGCUUAAUUGCUAUGGUAGAUUAAAUUAAAAGUCCUUCUGAUGAUAUUAAAUCAUUCAUAAUGUAAGUGGACAUUAUGUGCAUGGUUAGGUGAAUUAUAAUGGUUAAAAUUCAAGGUUAUUACAGUAAUUGGAUAAAUAUAUGUUAGUAAAUUAAUUAAAGAAAAGUAUCAUCUUUCUUCCUCAUUGUUUUGACCGAAAAUUAGAAGAAGAAAGACUCCAUUGUUGCAUUUUGAAGGUUCGACCAUUGUCUUACUUGCAUGUAAGUGUUUCCUUGCUCGGUUUUUAAAGAUUUAUAUGUUUUCGGCAUCAUUGUAACUUAAUCUAGCUAACCCAAGGACUAAUUUGAGAAAUUUUUAAAAUUAUAGGGUUUUUCCAUUGAUAAAUAAGCAUAUGUUAUGAUGUCUAAUGGUAGAAAAUGCAUGGUUGUUGUUAGAUAAACAACAUUUGUAAAGUGAUUUUUGUGAAAAAUGUCAAAAAGGGAUUAAAUUGUGAAAAAUGAAAAUUGAGUGGUUUAAAUGUGUAAUAAAUGAAAGUUUUUGGCUUUUGGGGACCUAUAGGAAAUUCGGCCAAGCUUGGGUUUAAUGAAAAUUUGUGAAUUUUGUGUAUUUGUGAAAUAGGGACUAAAUUGAAUAAAUGUGAACGUUUAGGGGCUAAUAUGUAAAAAUGACAAAAUAUGUGUUUAAGGAUUCAAUUGAAUGAAUGAUUGUUUAAAUGAGUUAAUUUUGAAUACAUAUAGAUCAAGAAAGAAAGAAUUCAAAUUUAGAUCGGGGGAAAAAGUAAGGUUAUCUAGUAAUCGAUCUGAUUCGUUAAUUCCGAAUACGAGGUAAGUUCGUAUGUGGUAAUUUCAUUAUAAAUGCAUGUUAAAUGCUUUGAUAUUGCAUAAAUUGUGAUUAUGAGAUUACGUAUAUUGUUUGAAUUGUGAAUACGAUUCUACGGAUGUGUUCGAUGAUGAAAUUGACAAGUGAAACUUCCCAGUUGAACCUUAGGAAUAGUUUAGGAUGCUAGUGACAUGUCAUUAGGCUAUCAUAUUGGCUUCUGGCCAUGAUAUCGGCACUUCGGGUGUGAAUAAUACCUUGAUUAGGCUACGGGCCAUGGUAUAGGUAUUCAGAGAGGAGUUACCUUGAUUUGUCUACGGGGCCAUGGUAUAAGUACUCUAGGAUAAGUUACCUUGAUUUGGCUAUAGGCCAUGGUAUAGGUACUUAUCGAUUGAGAUCCUUGAGUAUCCAAAUUCUAUUCCAAAUGGUUCAAUGGGUAAAAGAAUGACGUGGUUGAGAAAGAGGUUAGUACGUGGUGAUACAGGUACGUACGGAACCUAUUCCAGUAUUAUAUUGAGAAAGUUCAAUGAGAUGGCAUUUAAUCAUGUUUUGAGACAUGAGAAAGGUUUGUGUUAAUGUGAUGUUGAUUUGGUAAUGUGUAAAUGGUUGAAUUACAUUUAUUUGAUGAACUGAGUUACUCACUUAUGAGCUUACUAAGCUAUGAAGCUUACUUUGUGUUAUUUUUCUAUGUUGUAUAGUAAAUUGAAGCUAGCUCGGAUCCGAGAGUCGUCAAAAACAUCAUCGCACUAUCAAACACCUAAGUUGGUACUUUUGAGUUGUGUAUAUAUGGUAUAUGGCAUGUAUAGGCUAGUUAUUAUACGUUGGUUGUGAAUAUAGCCAUAAGAAUUGGCUUGUAAAUGUAUAUGUUUGUUUUGUAUGUAUAGCCAUGAGUGAUGGCUUAUUUUGGUAUGAUUGGUAUAAAUGUGGCUAUGUUUUCAUAAUUGCUCAGGUUAUAUUUUGAGUUUGGUAAAUGAUCUAUAUUGAAUGAUUGAAGUUGAAUGGAUGAUAUAUGUUUGGAAUGGAUUGGUUUAGUUGGAUGAAUUAUACAUGUGAAUUAUGCUUAGUAAAGCAAGUUAAGUUGAUUAGUAUUUGAAUAGGUAAAUGGUAUUGAAUUGGGUAUCGAAAUGGUUGAAAUUGUAAUACACCCUACCCGUAUUCAUCGCCGAAAUGGGGUAUGAGGCAUUACCAGAUUUUACCGAAUAAAUUUUUCGCAAAAUCCCAAAGUUUUUUUUUUUGAACUCAAUAUAACCCAUUUACAAGUAUCUAAUCUUCCCUGCAAUUUUAAACCGAGACCAAUCCAACACAACCAAUCCAUUUCAACAUAUUUUCAAGAUAAAUUUAACGUAUUCAUAAGAUAACCUCAUCACAUACCAAAACCAAAAUUUGUUAGCCAUACAAAUGGCUAACCAUACAUUCGUUUCACAUUAAAAUUUACUUUACUAGCUUAUACAUGCCAUUGAUUUCCAAAAUAAAGUUUCUUUAUAUACCGAGAUCUUGAGGUUGAUAGUGUGAUGAGUCUCCGACCAAAUACGGCUUCCGAGCUCUUAACACUACAAAAUAGGGAAAAAUGAAACAGGGUAAGCACUUUGUGCUUAGUAAGCUCAUGUAAUAAGAAUUAUACUUACCUAAUAUUUUCAAUACAAUGCAAUAAACAUUCAUACAUCCAUUCAAUACAUUAUUCCCCUAACAUGCACAAACUCAACAUUUAAGUUAGUUCAAUAAUUUCCAUGUAUCAAUAAUAUAUAUAUCACGAUUGAUGAGCUCAUCAAUACCAUGAUUUCCAUUCCCUUGUUAUUUUUCCAUAUUUAUCCCGUUGAAUUUCUCGAAAUUUCGAUCGAUUUUCAGGGGUACACCUAAGUGUACAAAUCCGGGUCCGUCAAUUCAUAUUCAUGUGUGCACAUUUCCAUUUUAGAGAGCACACUCCCGCGAACCUCAACCUUACAGCAGGAUUACCAGUCUAGGCUAAAUCCCCUGUAAUAUAAACUCGUAGAGUAUUGUCGGGAUUACCAGUCCAGGCUAAAUCCCCUGCAAUGACAAUUACUCUAAUGAGCUUGGAUCUGAAUUACCAGUCCGGGCUAAAUUCAGACCCUAAUUCGGAUUACCCGUCCGGGCUAGAUCCUUUUUACCGUCAAUUCCUUUUCAGAGAUCCAUCGAAUUUUCCUUUCAUUCAACCAGGAUUUAUUUUCUCUUUUCAUCAAGAAUAUCAAUCCAAUUAUCAUACAAUAAACAUCCAAUUCAUAUUCACAUUAGAGCUGUCCAUGGGCCGGGCCGGGCCCGAAAAAAAUUUUCGGCCCGACUCUUAGGCCUGGGCCCGACCCAGCCCGAAAUAUGGGCCUGAAAUUUUGCCCAGGCCCGGCCCAGAAAAAAAGAGUAAGCCUGAGCCCGGCCCGGCCCAGCCUGGCCCGAUUUUUAAUAAACACAAAAAAUAUAUAUUUUAAAAAUAAAAAAAUAAAAAUAAAAAUAUUUUUAAAGUAUUUUAAAAUUAAAAAAUAAAAAUAAAAAUAUAUAUUUAUUAUAUUCGGGCCGGGCCCGGGCCAAAAAAGUUGAGCCCGAGCCCGGCCCAUUUUUUAAACGGGCCUCAUUUUUUUGCCCAAGCCCAUAUUUUGGGCCUAUAUUUUUACCCGAACCCUCCCAUAUUUUGGGCGGGCCGUCGGGCCGGGCCGGGCCGCCCGGCCCAUGGACAGGUCUAAUUCACAUCAAGAAAAAUAUAUUUCAAGCAUUUAAGAAUAUAAUUCAAGUUACAUGAACUUACCUCGAUACUUGUUCGUAAACAAAAAUCUACUAAUCCCGAACUUUUUCUUUUCUUUGAUCUAGCUUUGUAUUUGAAUUUUCUGGAUCUAAAUAAAUAAAUUUAAUCAUUAAUCUAAUACAUUUCAUGUUCAUAUGUAAUAUUCUCUAUAAUCCCAUUACUAUUUAUAGUGCAUUCAAAGCUGUCUCAUUGAGUCAUAGUCACUAAAUUAUUUAUAUCUUGAGCUACGGAACUCCAAAUUAAGAUCCGCUAAUUUUCCCCAAAACUAGACUCACAUAUAUUCUUACCAUAAAAUUUUUAGAAUUUUUUGUUUAACCAAUAAGUACAGUUUAUUCUUUAAAGUUUCCCCUGUUUCACUAUUCGACAGUUCUGACCCCUCUUCACUAAAAAUUAAUUAUCUCAUCGUACAGAAUUCGGAUGAUCUUCUCGUUUGUUUAUUUUGAAAAUAGACUCAUUAAAUAUUUUAAACAUAUAAAUUUAAGCCCCUAAUUAUUUUUAUCCAAUUUUUUUAUUAUUUUCCGAAGUCAGAACAGGGGAACCCGAAUUCAUUCUGACAUUGUCUCACAAAAUCUAUUAUAUCUCAUGAUUUACAAUUCCAUUGCUUACACCGUUUCUUUUAUAAGAAAUUAGACUCAAUAAGCUUUAAUUUAAUAUUUUAUUAAUCCUCUAAUUCGAUCUGUAAAAUUUAUGGUGAUUUUUCAAAGUUAACCUACUGCUGCUGUCCAAACUGUUUUAGUGCAUGAUGUUAAUUACCAUUUUCCCCCAAGCUUUCAAUAAAUGAUAAUUUCAUCCCUACUCAAUUAACCUCUCAAUUGAGCUGAUUUUUAUCAAUUAACUCUUUAUCCCAUCACUUUAAACUACUUUAUAACCUUUGGAAAUAAGAAUUUUAGUACUAGACUUUGAUUCCAAACUUUUUCACAAUUAGGUCCUACAAAUCAAUUUCUAUUGAAAUUACCUAAUAAAAUCAUCUCAUAAACAAAUUAAACCUUCAAUUUCAUGCGAUUUUAUCAUAAAAUUACAGCACUCAACCAUGGUGACUUUCAAUUUUAUUCAUGAAAUCAAAAACUAAUGCAUUUAGUAAUAGGACCUAGUUGUAAAAGUAUUAGAAGCAUAAAAAUUACAAGAAAAAGGUAAGGAUUAACUCACUUGGUACAAAAAUUAUGAAAAAACAGCUUGAAUAAACCCUUAGGACGUUUUUGGCUGAUGAGAAUGCAGAAAAAUAAAGAGAAUUCUAGAUAUCCCAAUUUAGUCCCAUUUUUAUGUUAGUAAAAUUUGUUAUUUUCCCAUUUUAUCCUUAUUUCACCAAUUCUCCUGAUUUUUCUCAGCUUGUGCCGCCCAAAAUUUAUCCUCUUGGGCUUAUUUACAAUUUAUGUCCCUCCUCAUUUAACAAUUGAGCUAUUUAAUCCUUCUAGUAACUUUUACAUCUUUUUCUAUUUAGUCCUUUUCACUUAAUUGACUACCCAAACAUUAAAAUUUUCUAACGAAAUUUUAAUACCAUAUUACUAACAUUUCAUAAAUAUUUGUAAAAAUAUUUUUGACUCGGUUUUACGAGAUCGAGGUCUUGAUACCUUGUUUUUACCUAAUUUCUUCAAUAAUUUCUUUUUCUAACUAACCACUAAAUCGGUAAAAUUUUUCUAUCGAUAUUUUCAUAUGAUUUUCCUAUCAUAUCAAUAUUCAUGCAAAAAUAUUAAAAUAUAUUUAUCUUUAAAUCGGAUUUGUGGCUACGAAACCACUAUUCCGAUAACCUUGAAUUUAGGCCAUUACAGAAAUAGAUUUGGUAUGAUUGUGUAUUGGUUGAUGAUUAUUGGCUACAUAUUUUUGUUUCAAAAUGGUACCAAUUGAGUUUACUUAGGUGUGUGCAAAAAGGGUGGUAAAUUGGCUUUGCAAAUGGCCUAUUUUUGUCCACACGGGCAGAGACACGGGCGUGUGUCUCAGCCGUGUGUCCCUUGGUGUUGAAAUUAAUUUGAAUUUUGUAUGCUCCACACGAUCUCACAAACAGGUGUGUGACUAGCCGUGUGGUACAAGUCAGUAUACCCCUUAAAUGGUACACGGCUUAACACACGGGUGUUUGACUUGGCUGUGUUGCAGUAUACCCUACAGGAUUAGCACGGCCUAGUACACGGCUUGGCACACGGGCGUGUGUUGCCACUUCGAAGGACAUACGGGCUAGACACAUGGGCGCGUGGUCGGCCGUGUGACCCAAGUCAAUAUGUAUACCCUGUUUUCACACGGCCUGGGACACGGGCGUGUCUAGAGCCGCGUGAGGCACAUGGCCUGUUCACACAGGUGAGUGACCCUUGAAUGAUUGAAAAUUUUCUAAAUUUUCCAAGAAUUUUGUAUGUUAUCGGUUUAGUCUCGAACCACUUUUAAAACAUGUUUAAGGCCUCGUAGGCCCUUAUAAGGGACAAUGUGUUUGUAUUGAAUGGUAUUUGAAUAUGAAUGUAUAAAUGUAUGAAUUAUGUUUAAUAAAUGGCGUGUAUUGAUCGGUAAUACCUCGUAACCCUAUUUUGACAGUGAAUACGAGUGAGGGGUGUUACACAAGGAGAGAUUUGUUGAGACUUAAAAAGAAUUGAAGAAACUAAUACUGGUCUAGUUCAAGGAACAAAUUUCAACAUGAUGAACUUAAUCAAAAUACCAUUAACAGAAGAGAAAGAAUAAAAUUACUAAAGAAAAACUUACCUGAAAUCUCAAAAUGUUUAGCUAACAAUGGCUUCAAAUGAAAACAAUACCCCUUCAGGUAUUGGCGAAGUGGCAGUAGGGAGGAUUUGGCAAACAUACAGAGGGUUCUAGGUUUUUUUUAGGUUAGAAUUAGAAGUUUAAAUUAGAGAUUUUGAAGUUUAAGUUUUUUUUUGUCGUCUAUUACUUUAGACACUUUUACUUUUACUUUUAGUUUUAGAAUUUUGUUUUUAUUUAUUAAAUUAUUUGUAAUUUUUAUGAUUGGGUUGGGUUGGGUACUUGGGUUUAUAUAUAUUAAAUUGGGUUUAUGUUGGAUUGGGUUUGGGUGAAUAGUGAGCCUAUUUAUAUAUUAUAAUUUUAUUUAUUAAUUUUUUAGGUUAAAUCGAAAAAUUCGGUUAACCGAUCAGUUUUGAACCGAAUAAUGGUUAAUCGAAAACUUAAAAAAUUAUUAACCGACACCGAUCGAAUUAAUUCGAUUUUAUCCGAAUUUUGCACACCCCUAGAUUCAAGUAAUGGUGGCUUGUUUUUCUCUUAAUAUAGUGACAAGUGUUACUAGCCUUUGAGGACUCCUCUAUGACCUUAAUGGCUUUCAUAUUGUAUGAGACAUUUAAUUCAUAUAUUUGUAUUUUUUACUAAAUAUAAAUAGUAAGAAAAAUGAGAAAGUAAUUUCAAAACAUUAAAUAGGUCAACUAACAUCUAAUACGGCUUUGAAUGUCAUACAUUUCCACGAGCAUUCAGUUUCAACUUUGAAAAUAUAAAGCAAUAAAUGGUUGCCUGUUUAUGACAAAUGAGGUAGUUGAAUCGCAUGCAUGCACUUACUAUAUCAUAUAUAUGCACACACACAGAGAGAUGUGUAUGGAUUUUUUAUUUUUAUUUUUUAUAUGUCAUAUUAAAGAGUAAAUUGAUUCUUUCAAUUUAAAUAUUUAUUUAUUUUUAUUAUUAAAAACUGAUAUGGUUGACGAUAUAAUCAAAUAGUUACAACUGACGUACCACGUGUACCUCAUUUCUACAUACAUGUACCAAUUAAAUAAUCACCUCAAUUUAUUCGAUUAGAUCUUCUAUUUAAAAUUAUUUUUAUCUUAUUUUCUUAAUUAUAUAACUCGAAUAAGACAUAUUAAAUAAUAUAAAACUUGAAUAAUAAAAUCAGAACAUUUUUAAACUUAAAAUGAUCUAACUCCAAAUAUCAUACUAAAUCUAAACCCAAAACUUAAAUUAGAGGACUAGCUUUUGUGAACCAAGUGGAACAAAAGAGGUAACCAACAACUAUCCCCCACUUGCAUCUCAAACUGGUAGAACAAAAGAUGGAACUGGUUGGCAGCUCUUUGUCUGCUGCAAAAACUGUUGGGAAUUCAGACCAAUGACAAUGUACUUCUUUUAAACACCUUCACAUUUUCUCUGCCCCCUUUUUUUGUUCUUUUUUGAACUUCAUUUUCAAUCAUAAUCACACCAAAAGUCUUACAUUUCCACUUUAGCCUACUUUGCAUGUUCCCUUUUUUAUAAUAAACUGAAGUACUUAAAGACAACAAAAAGACACGAAAAAAAAACACAAAGAAAUAUAGAAGAAAAUGCAUGGAAGUUCAACACAUGUGGGUCAUUUAUUUCUUUAUCUUCACAGUUCCUCACCAACCUUGCCUACCAGUGAUACCUAAAAGCAAUUUGAUUAAAGAAGUUUUUCACUUUGGUUUAUAAAUGUGUAAAGCUUUGCCGAUUUCAAUUACUUAAUUAUUUUUACUGACUCAAUCAUACACCAAUUCCCUUUUUAUUUGAGAGGAUUGAAUACGUUUCCAAGAGACAUGUCAAAUCGAGGGUAUCUCAAUUCAAUUAAAUGGGAUAACAGUUUCUCAUUCUUAAUCUAUAAAAUAAUAAUUUCAAUCAAAUCACACAUUACAAUAUACUAGAUCUUCUAAUUCUUUAAGAUGUUUGUCUAAAAGAUUGGUGAUAUGACUAGGAAGACGUUUGAAAUACCAUACAUUAGUUGCUGGACAUGCCAGGCUUAUGUAUUCCAUUUGAUAUCUUCGUAUUUGAGAAUCAAUAAAUUCAACUCCGCGUUGUUCACAAAAUUCAAGGCCCUCUUUUUGAUUUCCAAUUACUCGAUAAUUUUCACAAGCACAAAUUUCGCUUUUUUUAGGUCCAAAAAAUCAUUCGGGUCUCAAUUCAGUUAGGAAAAUUAAUUUAAUAUCUUUUUGUAUUUAAAAUAAAUUAAAUUAUUUGAGGGUAUUUUGAUUUUUUUUAUGUAAAAAACUAAUAAAAAUAUGCAUAUGAUGAGAUUUGAACACAUGCCAAUUGAGUUAGCAAAACCUUAAAUUUACCUUUGAACCAAAUUUUUUAUUUUGAUAUUUUUAUACAUAUUUUAACCUAAUGUAUUCAUGUGUUUAAAUUUUAUUUUAGUUACAAUUUAAUCCAAUUUUUUAUUUUAAUAUCGUAUAUAUUUCAUAUGUUAUUAUUAAUUAGUUUCAAAUAAUAUAUUUUAUUAUUUAUUGUAUGUUAUUUUUAAACACAAAUCUAAUUCUAAAUAUGUGAUUUCUACACACAUACGCGUGUGAUAAAUUUGACCAUUAACUUACACUUACAUGACUAAUAGUAGCAACGAGAAGUGGAUAUGUGGCAUGACUCAUGAAUGAAUAUACUGACAUGGCAUGCCAGAUCAUUUAUAUUUAAAAAACUAAAAAAAUCUUUAAAAAUUAUUUUAAAAUUUAUUAAAAUGCAUGUCUAAAAUGUACAUGGACAAAUUUAAAUGUCCCAAUUCAUUUUAAUGUAGACAUUUAUUUGUCUAGAUUCAUUCUAGAUACAUUAAAAAAUAUAAAAAUUAUUAAUAAUUAGAAAGAAAUUCUGAAAAAAAAAUAAUUAAAAAAAUUAUCAAAUAGAUAUAUAUAUUUUUGAGAAUUUGUGUAGUCAAACAAUGUUGCUGUUAACUAUUUCACCCAACCACCUAACACCGUUAGUCAAAAAAGCAUUUCCCCAAUCAGAACUUAACAAUCACCGGCCAGCUGUUAUUUUUAAUAUUUAAUUUUGUUUUAUAAAAAAGAGGGAAAAAUAAAAAUAUUGGUUAAUUAAAAAUAUUAGUAUUAUUAUUAAUUAAAAAUAAUAUUAAAAAAAUAAAAGAACAUUUCCCUCCCGCCCUCUCUCCCCCCCACCGUCACUCCGACCCUCUUCCUCUCCAUUUUAAACGUCGGCUAUUGACUUAUUGAUCCUUCGCAGGACUUUCGAGGUGUCGAUCGUAUAAUUUUUACUAUAAAUUCUCAUAAAACUUCAUUUAUAUUUAACUACUUUCUCUCUUUUACCAGCCAUAAAGUUGGUUUGCAGUAAGUUUAGUUAUAUUGAUGAUUAAAGAACAAUAAAAAUUAUACUGUUCGUAUUACCCAAAGAAUUCGGUAAAUGGAGAGGGAGAGGAAGAGGGGAGCGGUGGUGUGGGAGGGAGCCGAUAGGGGUGGGGGCGGAUAAUCUUUUAUUUUUUAAAUAUUAUUUUUAAUUAAUAUUAACAAUAUUUACUUGUUAAUUUCUACUUAUCUUAAUAUUAUUUAAAUAUAAUGACUUUUUAAAUUUAUAAACAUUUAUUUUAAUAUUUUUAGUUUAUUUUGUAUGUUAUAUUUUUUUAAAUUUUUUAUAUAAAAAAUAAUACAGAUGGGCCGGACCUAAAUUUUAACAUUUUCGUCUGAAGCGGGCUUGGAAAAAAAUUUAGGCUCAUUAUAUGAGCCCAAACUUAUCAAUCGAGCUUAAAAUUUUGUUAGGCAUGUAUAACUCUACUUGUGAGUAAAAAAAAGGUUAAAAUAGAUAAAUACAUCGUAUUAACAAUAUUAAAUGAACUCCAAUUUGGUGAGAGAAUAUUUUAUGUUAAAAGUUUUUUUUUUUAAGUUUACUUAAGAAUUAUUAUUGGUGUAGUGGUAAAAAAUUAUUUAUAAAUCCAUUAAACAUAAAUUUAAUCCCUAGAUAUAUUAAUUUUAAUCUAUUCAUUUAAAAAUUAUAUAAAAUAAAUCUGGACAAAUAAUUGUUCACAUUUAAAUAUAUUUAAACAUACAUGUGCAUUUUAAAUAUAUAAUUUUAGUAAAUUUUAAAUAAUUUUUUAAAAUUUUAAUAUAUAUUAACGUGUCAUGCAAAUCAACAUAUUUAUCCACUUGACAUGUCACUAGCCAGCUCUUUAACUGUCACGCCGAUCACUGACGGUUUUUAUUAAUAAAAGGGUCUAAUUAUUUUUUUAUAAUUUAAUUUAAUUUUCUUUUUUAAUUUUUUAUUUUUAAUGGCUUUCACUUUAAAUUAGGCAACAUGAAUAUAUAUAUUAAGAAUAUAACAUAAUCCAAUUUAAUAGAUUUUGUUUUGAGGAUAUUAUGAAUUAAAUCAAUAGGGUAGAGAGGGUAAAUCCCUAUAUUCCAAUAUAAAUUUUAAAUGUGAAACAAAAAUAGAGAAAGUGUAAAGAAUAGAGGGAUGGAGAGCAUAAUUAAACCAAAGAAAACUGCCCCAAUUUUCAGUAAAUUGGACUCAAAUGGAUAAAUUAUUAAAUGCAGCCAAAAGUGUUCAUGGUGAAAGGUCAACAACACUGCCUCACUUUUUUCUUAAAAUAUUGAUUAAUUCAAUUAUCAAAGAAAGAAAUCAACAUUCUUACAACUACUUUAAGGGCUGCUAUCAAAGAAAAACUUUAAUGGCUGUACAAAUUUUAGGGACUUAAAAGUAAAAAAAAAAUAUUUAAUUAGACUCAUACAGGUACUUAUCUGAUACCCUUUUAGCAGAAAUGUUAGGACAAUCAAAAUAUGGUAUGCAAAGGAAAAGAAAUAUCAUCACAAACCACAAGAAAUAAAGGGAAAUUGAUAUAAUCCAAGAAAAUUGGUUUACCAUAGAUCAAAUCAUACAACUGAAGAAAGAUGUUUUACCUUUGUGUUUUUUCUUCUUCAAUUUUAGCCAAUACCCAUCAUCACAGAUCACUCAAAAAUUACAAAAAGCAAUUCAUUAAGAAGAACCUGAAACUCUUGGUGAUGUGAGUGGAAACAAUGGCAAAAGCUGAGGCUCGGUGUCUCUAGGUGUAGACAUAGGUGAUGGGUGCAAAUAAAAGCCUUUCUCAGCUAUAGCUUUCUCUUCUUCUGAUGAAUUCCCUAAAGAAGGUGAAGACUUGUUGAAAGUGUCUUCAUUUAAUGGUGUAACCGGGCUAAGUGUUAGCUUUGGGAAGUCAAGCAAGCUUGGGGACAGCAUCUCUGCACUCCUAGAAGGCACAAAGGUGUUGAUCAUCAUGAGGCUGUUCUUGAGGUUACUGUUUCUCCUCUCAUAAAGUUUGAAACUUUGUUUUCUGGGAGAGUUUGUUUUCAUGGGAGGUAUAGGGAAAGAUGAUUUUGAAAGCAAUGGUGGUGGUGGAUCCUGUUUUUGCUGGGGUGGUGAUGGGGCUUUUGGGGAAGCUUGUUUAGCAGUUUCUGAGGAACCAGUGAGCAUUUGGACAACUUGUUUGAAAGUUGUUGUGUCAGCUUGGACAAAGGUUGUUGGGUAAGGAUUGGUUUCAGAUCUGGUCGGGUGUGGCGUUAACGGUGGGGUGUGAAUUUGGGCAGCCCCAUUGUUGUUGUUGUGUGGGGAGUUUAAAGGAGAUGAUGGGAAGUUGAAGUGUUCUUGAAAUGACCUUGUUGAACUUGAAUUCUCCAUGAAUGGAUGAUCUCUUUAGCAGUUUCCUCAAACCCUCAAAAGAGAAAACAGAAAGGGGGAGUAGUGUGGUAUGGAAGAGAAAGAAGAGAUGAGGAGUGAAAUACAAGGAUUGAGUCAUAAAGUAAUAAAAGGUUGCUUCUUGGUUUUGUUUUCUUGUGUUGUGGCAUCAAGUAAGGAUUAGAGUUAGUCGUUGGGUAAAUAACUGCCGCACACAUACUAAUGAUUUGAUCUCAACCCACUCAACUUAACUGUCCAUCAUCAAUAAAUCAAAUAAUUAAUCUAAAAUUGUUAUUAUAGUUGGAUUGAAUUGAUAAUUAAAAUAUAUUUAGAAUUAAGUCAAUUGAGUCUUAGCUCGAUUGGUAUGAGCAUUGUUACUAAUAUAGUAGGACUCGGAUUCGAGUGUGCUGAAGCGCAUUAUCUUCCUAUUUAUGGGUUGCAUGCUAUAUGUAGUUCUAAGUAUUAUAUUAAAAAGAACAGAUAUGAACCUAUAAUAAAAUUAUUAAAAAUACAUAUUUAGAAUUAAAUUAAAGUAAUUUAAAAGAAAAACUAAUAUCUAAUCAACUGGAAGUGAUAUAUGAAAUUAUUUAAAUAAAUACUCAUAUUUAUAUUUUUAAAAUAUUCAUAUUUUAAACUAUAAAAUAUUUAUUAAUAAUAUUUAUAGAUUGUAAUAUACUUUUUAUUAAAAUAUUAAUAUAGCUUUUUCAAUAAAUUAUUAAGAAAAUUACUUAACAUUUAAAAAUACUAUUAAUGUUAAAAGUUAUUAUUAAAAUAUAAAUUUACUAUUAAAUAGUUAUAUUAAAAAUUUAUUAAAUGAUUAAAAAUAAAUAUGCAUAUUCAACUAUAUUAAAAAUUAUAAUAUUUUAGAUUAAUAGUUGAUGUUUUAAAUAAUUUUUAAAAAUUAGAAAUAAGAUUUUAUUAUUAAUAUAAUAAUAUAAACAAGAGGCAAAUCUAGAGGGCUGACAAAUCUCGCCCCUAAAAUAGAAAAAUGUUAUUUAGGCCCUUUAAAAUUUUUUAAAAUUUAAAUUAGUUGCACUUUGACCCCUUAAAAUUAUAAAAAUUUGAUUUAAUUAAUUAAAAAUUAUAAAGAUAUAGACUAUAAAAAAUUAAAAUUUCAUUCGAACCCCCUAAAAAAUAUUCGGGCUUUGCCCCUGAAUAUAAAUUGAGUUACUUAUAAAGAAUUGUUUUUGAAAAAUGACUUAUUCUUUAAAAAAAAGAAGUCAUUUUUAUUUUUUAUUCACUAGUAAGUUCAUCAAAAUGAUUUUUACAAGAAAGACACAAAAAACACAGAAAAUAUUUUCAAUAAAACAAAGACACCCUUAAUAGAUAGAGUGUGAUUCUUCCAUUAGAUUUUGAUGUUGCUUGAAAAUGUGAAAGGUCAUGAAUUCAUCGUCCAUACUUUUCGAACAGAGUGUUUCCAACGUGAAAAAUAGCAGGAAAAUACCUGAUAGUACAUGAUUUCAUGGUGAAUGACAAUGAAUAAAACAAAUAAGAACGGCUAGUGAGGCAAUUUCUUUGUUGUUGUUCUAAAGCAUUACACUUUAUUGUGAGGCAUUAUGUAGAUUAAACAAUGUAUGUGAAGUUGUCUCUUCUCUCUCCACUUUGAAUGCAUCGAAAGAAAAGGGAUGAAGGUCAAAUUAAUCAAUUUUAAAUCAUUUAUAAUCUAUAUAUUUAUAAAAGAAAUUUUAAAAUUUCAGCAAAUAUGACUAAUUAAAUGAAACAUAUUAUAUAUCAAUUUUAAAAUUAAUUAUUCAAGUAGGUUGAGUUAGCUAGAAUGACAUUGAUAUUUUUGCUACCGUAGGAGGACGUGGGUUCAAGUGUGCUAAAGCGUAUUAUCCUUCUAUUUAGGAAGGGAUUAUUGGUAGUUCUAGGCAUUAUAACAAAACGAAUAGAUAUUAAAUCUUACACAUUUACUUUUAUUAAUUAUAAAAAAAAUGACUUUAACAUUAUUAAUUAGGGAUAAAUAUCAAAUUUAUCCAUGAAUGUUGAUUCAAUGUGCAAUUUGAUAUAUGAACUUUGAUUUGUAACAAUUAUACACGUGAAACUUGAAACGAGGUUCAUGCAUAUACAUGAAACUUUGGUUUUGAUUCAAUUGUACACGUUUAAAGAAAUGAAUUCGUACAUUUAUUUUCAUAUUAGAUUAAUAUAAUAGUUUGUGCAUACGAUAUAUCAAUGUAAAAUUGUGCUAAUUUGAUAAUGUUGUUAGUGAUUUGUUAAAAUUGAAUCAAAUCAAAAUUUCAUAUAUAAAAUCGCACAAAGUCAAAGUUCAUAUAUGACUUUACACAUAAUCAAAGUUCAUGUAUAGAUUUGAUAUUUAUCCUUGUUAAUUGUUAACAUAUUUAUAAAUUAUAUUUAUUUAAUUAAAAAAACUUGGAAUUUUAUCAUUUUUAUUUGAUCUAAUUACGUUCAAUGAUUUUAUAGAAUUAUAAAUUUAUUAAUUAAUAAUAAAUUAUAUUAUUUUUUUAAGUAGAACUUUUAAAAGAUAAGACCAAAUUAAUUUCAUAUUAACAUACUAUCAUAUUAAUUAAAUUUAAUUAAUGUUAUUUUUAUUACUAUCUCAUAAUAAUACCAACAAAUUUCUAAUAUCAAUUUAGUAAUAUAAUUAAUAAGCAUCAAUUCAAAAGUUUCUCCAAAUUUAUAUAUAUAUUAUAGAUCAGAGUCGAAAUUUUUAUAUAUAUCAUAGACAAAAUAUUAUUAUAGUUGCAAAGAAGAAGAAGACUAGUCUUUCUUUCUCUCUUCUUCUUUUUCUUCGCAAUUGGCUUUGCAACUAUAAUAAUAUUUUUCUGAGGAUCCACAACCGCUCGCAGUUAAAAGCUGUCAAAGGGAUCAUGGACGCCCCAUAACACUAACAUUGCAGUUGGAAUCCAUCGUUCUGUGAGUACACAAUAAGACCGUUACAGUUGGAAUCUGCUGAGGCUAUGAGUAUACAGCGAACAUUUGUUUAACUGUGGAGUCACGACCGCUCGCAGAUAAUAGCUGUCAGAGGGAUCGUGUAGCACAGUGAAAUUACAGUUGGAAUCUGUCGUUCUGUGGGUACACAGUCAAUCAUUCGUAUAUGCAAUCAAUAUGAGUUACAUUCUUCGUCCUUUCAUAUCGUCCCCCAACAUACAUAUGCAAUGCAAUCGUUCUUUAAUGCAUUCAUCCAUUCCAUCAUUAAUACUUUCAACAUCCUAUUUCAUUGCAUAAUAAUGAUAUUCACGAUUUUAUCCAUCAAUCAAUAGUUCAAUAAUUUAGGCAUAUGAGACGUUCAUUCGGCAUUUAUAACAUAAAAUCAUUCAUGGAUAAAGUAAUCAAUCAAAAGCAAUUAAAAUCAUAAAUUCAUUCAUCCAUAUAUUUAAUCAUUCUAAUCCUAGUCCAGGACCUAAUUGCAUAAUCUAGUUCUCUAGAUUCCGUUAAAAACCUAUUUAGGGACUGAUUCGUAUAAAAUAAUUAAAGAUAUGAAAAAAAUGGAAUUUUUAAGUUGCAAGGGCCACACGGCCGUGUGUGAUGCGAAGGAGUGAAGGACUAGGAGACACACAGCCGUGUGUUCAGGCCGUAUGUGAAGCCCUCAAGCUGUGUGCAAUGGAUUCACACGGUCGUGCGUUCGACCGUCUGCGGAGCCCUAGGCCAUGUGUGAUACGAAGGGAAUGAGGUGUAAGAGCCACACGGUCGUGUAUCUAGGCCGUGUGCGAGUCUCCAUGCCAUAUGCGAAAUGUGAAUGCAAAGGAAAUAAAUGGGGCAUGGCUGUGUAAGGAACUGUGUAUCCCACACGGACGAGCCACAUGCCCGUGUGGUAGACUAUAUGUACUUGGGCAGUUUCGAAUUUUGACUCGAUUUUUCAUAAAAAGACACACACUUAACUUUUUGAGACCUUAAGGGACUAUCCCACGUUCAAGUUUGAUCCAAUCACCUACAAGGGUCUUUUCAAUCGACAAAAUUCAAGAAUCAAAAACAAAUUUUCAAUAUUUGCGAAGGUUUUUGGUAAAACUAUUAAAAAAUUUAUAAUCGAAUUGAAGGAUUUAUUAAAACGUGAUAUCUUCCAGAUUUGAAAGAUCCUAAUUGACAGGGGAGGAGAUACUUAUUGAUCUUGAUAUAGAUUCAACAAUCUAAUGACUUGGAUUUCAACAAUUUGGAGAAGAAUAGUUUUUGAGGACUUCAUCAAAUUUUCCAAAAAUUUUAAGAGUAUUUUUCAGCAAAGUUUAAGGGCUUAGAAGAGUUUUGAAGUAGAGAAUUUUGAGAGAAAGCUAAGGUAUAAAUAGAGAGAGUUAGGGUUUCAAUUUGAUAGAAUAACAAAUAGGGAAUUUUAGUUAAAUUAGAAAAAGACUUAAAAAGUUGAGUUGAGGAAGAGUUUGAGGGCUUAUGGGCAAAUAGCCUAUUGGUCUAAAAAUCAUCAAAAGUAAGAGAGAGUGGCGUGGUUGGAACCUAAAUUUGUGAAGGGAAAAUUGGGAAAGCCUCAACCACUGAGCUAGUGCCCACAUUCAUGUUUAAAACACAGACAAAUACAUUCAUAAACCAUGUUACUUAGGUUCUAUAUGUGUAGAAAAAUUAAAGAGAUAAAAUCACAUUUAUAAAACUUGAACCUAAGUUCUCAAGACUUCCUCAUAGGCUUCUAACCAAUAAUGCUAUGUUUUAAAUCUUAAUAAUUCUAAGAAUUCUAACCCUUAAUUUUUAGGAUGUUACAGUAAAAAUUACAAUUUAAUUUUAACCCCUAAAAAAAUUUUCUGGCUUCACCCUUGAUUCGAUCAUCAUACUACCAUAAAAAACCUUUAGCAAAUAACCAAAAAAUGUAUCCAAUCAACAAAAGACCACCACUAAAUGAAAUAGCUACACCAUCUCCCCCUCAAACUCAACAACUCAUUCUCUCUCUCUCUCUCUCUCUCUUUGUAAGAUGCUUGAUUUCUUCACAAGUGUUAUAAUAGUCGAGCACAUUAUACUUCAAUUCUUUCUGCAAUUGCAAGUGGAGAUCCAUUAGCACAUAGCUCAUUAGAGUCUAAGUCUGCAUAUUCCUUAUCAAGACUUAGCAUUGACAUUGUGUUUUCCCUUCAACCAUUUAUUAAAAAACUUAAUCUUUGAAUCCUUAAUGAGCACAUUCUUUUGGCUUAACAGGAUUUGGAAGGUUAGUGAAGGGAAUGGAAGCAUAUGCCUCUUGUUCUUAAUCUCUACAUGCUUCACUAUUUCAUUAAAAAUAGGUUGCCCCAAAUAAAAAGGAAUAGAAUAGACUACCUUGUGAAGCAAUUUUUUCAUUCUUUUAUUACUUUUAUAGGAUAUCCUUAAUCUCUUUGGAAUAAAUCUAUUCUCAUAACCUUAUGGUAAUCAUUAUAUUUUCUUUCAUGAAAAGCUAAUUACUACCAAAUAAUAAUCAAAUCAUUUAUCACUAAAACAAAUGACUCGUGAUCAUGUUAACUUUAAUCUAUAAUGUAAUGCAAUUUAUCAUAAAUUGGGGUAUACUUCUCAUCCAUGUUUCUAAUAGUUGUUGGCCAUAGAAUGAUUAAACUUGAAAUAAUGCCCUUGAACAUAAACUUGCAUGUAUUUGUCUAUUAUUAGGUUCAAUGGUUGACUUCUUAGAAUAAAAUUCUAACACCACAACAUUGACAUAAGGCUUCACACAAGCUACUGAAUACAAUAAUCUCUGGUUCUCUAGUAAAACAUCAAUUUUAUGCUCUUAAAAAUCAAUCGUAUUGAGGUAUCUAUCAUUAAUGAAGCUUUUCUUUGCCAACAACUUCCUUUUGUCACAGUUAGUGUUUAUAAGCUUAGAAUUCUUCGGAACAAGAGUGAAGCCCACAUCCUUGAGCAUCUCUGCAACACCUAUCUUCUUGAGUCUCUUGUUUCUUUACUUCAAAGUCAAGGGCACAUUAGGCCUUUUGGUUAUAUUCUUGGUAGCUUGAGACAUGAGAGUAGAUAGAGGCAAAUUUUUAGGAUUUGUUCCCAUAAGGUAGUUCUUUCGUCAUAAUUACUUGCAUGUUUUAAACAAUACCAAAUUAAUAAAAUUUUUCACAUGAAUCAAUUUCAGUAAUAUUUGUAUAUAUUAUGUACUCAAAUAAUUUUAUACAUAAAAAGAAAAAUUAUUAAACGAAUAUUGGUUAAUUGAUUAUCUAAUGUUUACCUAAAUUAAGUGGCAUAACAAAUAACUUUUGUAAUGCAAAAGACAACUUAUAUUGGUAGAUAAUAUAAAUAAUCCGUAGUCCAUAGGUUCAUGAUUGAGCAAAUGACUUAUGUUAGGACUAUUAUGUCCUUCAUAAGUCCAAAUGAGGAGAUAACUUGUCUUGACUAUUGGAUCUAGAUUUACUCCCAAGAUAGAGACAUAGAUAUAAUUUUCUAGACUAGCAAUGCAUUGGAUUGUACCCAAGAUGAAUUAAUCCUAGAUCAUUUUAUCGAUUAACUCAAUUGUGAUGUUCGAAGUGUAACAUACCUAAAUCCUAAGUAAGUGAAACAUAUGCAUAACUUAUAUACUUUAAUGUUUUAGAAACCUAUGCAUCUCAAAGUAGUAAGUUGAAAGUUGGUAGUUGGGUAUAUAACAUAUGCAUGACAUUGCUUCACUUACAAAAGUAUAAUCCUAACUCAUUAAAUAAUAAAUUAUAUCCUCUCAUUAAAAUUGUAUGAUUUAUGAAAAUGGAACAUAUUCAUAGGUCAUUUGUCAGGAACAAAUGAUUUAAUUAUUACUAGCUUGAGUAAUAAGCAUUUUCAAUAUAGUAGAUACAAUGGUGACCAUAAUAUAAAAGUGAUCCAACUAGGCGAAAAAUUUAACUUUAAGGGAUCAUAGAUAUCCUAUGAGGGUAACACACAUAGGACAAGAUCAUUGACUAAAGCUUAAUAAUAUAAGUAACUUUCAUAAUGGUAUAUAAUUGAGAGUUUAGUCAUGGUACUUUUAAUGAUUUGAUUCCAUAAUUAAAUAUAUGCAUAAUUAAUAGAAGAAGAGUUAAAGUUAAUUACAAUUUAUUUUAGCCCUAAUUAUAUAUAUAUAUAUAUAUCAAAUCGGUCCCUCUACUAGCUUAUUACAACAUUGUACAGAUUGCAUAUGAAAACAUUGAACACAUAGAUAAAUCAAUUUUGGAGAAAUAAAUUGCAUGUAUUACUGUUUAUAAUAAUUGAACUUCUUGGAAGGCAAUAAAUGACCUAGGAUUAAUUUAAUUUAAUUUAAUUGAUUAUCAUUUAAUUGGAUGAAUAAAAUAGUUGAGUCUAAAAUAAAAUAGAUAAUUAAAUAAGUUUGCACAUAAAUUCUAAUAGGGUAAAAUCAUUAAGAUUUUAACAGAAUUAGAAUUGAAUUGUAUAAACUAUUUAAUUAUAUUAUUUAAUUUUAAUUAAUUAUAUUUUUAUUAGCGUAAACUACAUAAUUAGUCACUUGUGUAUAGUUUAAAUUAUAUUUUGGUCAUUAAACUUUAAAAAGUUACAAUAUGGUCUCUAAUAUUAUCAGUUUGUUAUAUUUAGGUCACAGUCAUUAAUGUAAUAUAAAGUUGACUUUAGACAAAAAAAUUAUGUCAAAUUGCAUGACUAGUCCCUAUACCUUUUCGUUUUAAGUAGUUUAAUUCUUUUUCUUUUAACUUUCCUUUCUCUUUCGUUUUAUUUUCUUUAUUUUGGCCUCAUCGUCAAGCAGAGUUUCAUUGAGAAUAGAGGCAGUGCGCUGGUAGGGUAUUAAUAGGUUCCUAGUUGAUCAAGAUGAUAAAUCGAACAUCAAUAUCAAAAUUGAAAAUAUUUAAAUAUUUUUUGUAAUAUUAUUAGCUUUUAUUUUGAAGUUAAAUUUUAUUUUUUUAAUUAUUUUUAGGUAGUUGAAUUUCUUCAAUUUGCUUUUAAUUUAUUAUAUAUAUUUAGAAUAAUAUGAUAGAUAUUCUCAAUUUUUUAUGGAAAUAGAUAUUCUAAGAUUAAUUACUUUUAAUUGGUUAUUUUUUUAUUAAUAAUUGUUUAAAUUGGACUAAAUUGUAAUUUUUGAAUUAAGUUUAACAAGUAAUAAUUAAUUUGAUAAUUUCAAUCAUUAAUAAAAUUUAAUAAAAAGAUAUUAACAGAUAAUAUUUAUUUUAAUUUAAAAAAUCUAUUAUUAUUAAUCAUAUAAGCUCUUUUUUAUAGAAUGCCUAAAACUACCCAUAACCUCUUCCCAAUUCAUAAAUAAAAGAAUAAUACGUUUCAGCACUAGAGGUGCUCAUGGGCCGGGCCGGGCCGGGUUCGGGCCGGGCCCAUUAAAAAUUUCGGCCCAUGUUCUAGGCCCGGGCCCGGCCCGGCCCGAAAUAUGGGCCUAAGAUUUUUCCCAGGCUCGACCCAGGAAAAAAUCUUAAGCCCGGGCCCGGCCUAUUUUUAUUUUAAAAUUUUUAAAAAUUUAAAAAGUAUUUUAAAAGUAUUUUAAAAUUUAAAAAAAAUUAAAAAAGUAUUUUAAAAAUAUUUUAAAAUUAAAAAAUUUAAAAAAGUAUUUUAAAAGUAUUUUAAAAUUUAAAAAAAUUAAAAAAGUAUGUAAAAAAUAUUUUAAAAUUUUAAAAAAGUAAAUAUAUUGCCCGGGCCGAAAAAGUGGUGCCCGAGGCCCGGUCUGUUUUCUAAAUGGGCCUCGUUUUUUGCCCAAGCCCAUAUUUCGGGACUAUAUUUUUACCCAAACCCUCCCAUAUUUCGGGCUGGCCGUCGGGCCGGGCCGGGCCGCCCGACCCAUGAGCACCUCUAUUCAGCACACUCGAACUCACAUUUUCCUGUAUUGACAACAAUGUCUAUGCCAAUUGAGUCUUUAUUAUUUUAAUAUUAUACAAUUACAUUAAUUAAAUUUUAAAGUUAUUUUAUUUUAAAAAUAUUUUAUAUAUUUGUAAUUAUAUUUAAACAUGAUUAGUUAUAUAAAAUAAAAUAUUUCAUAUAGUGGAGGGGCCAAAGUUCCAUUACAAAUUGCUAUUGUUGAAAAGGGAUCAAAUUCCCCUGUUCUUUCAAACCAAAAUGAUUAUAUAGUAUAAGAUUGUAGAGUGUGCUUAACAUUCUCCAAUUACUUCAACCAUCCCAUUAAUUUCUUCAAAAUUGCAUUAAACCACCCAAAAUUAAUCAAUAUGCUUACAAAGUUCAUUUUACCAUAUCAAGCAAAUUCCUCAUUCCACCUAAGUUCACUAUAUUCAGUGUGUUAAUUCCUUUUUCCAAAAAAAAGGAAUAAUAUCUUUUUGGCCCUCCAACUUUACAAAAAAGUUAUUUUAGCCCUUUAUUUAAUUUGUUAACUUUGUUGAUGUGGUAUACACGUGGAUUGUCAUGUUACCAAUUAAUAUUUUUUAUAUAUUAAUAAUUUUUAGUUUUUUAAAAUAAUUUUUUUGAAUUUUUAAAUUAAAAAAAUAAUUAAUUACUAACAUGGUAUCCACUUAGAAAUUCACAUGUAUGCGACUUUAGCAAAGUUAACAAACGUUAACUUUUCCAUCCAUUUUGGGGUGAAUUAACAAACAACACAAAUUUAAAAACUAAAAAAGACAAAAAGAAAAAUUAAAUGAAGGGCUAAAAUAAUUUUUUUUUUAUAAAAUUAGAGGAUGAAAUAAAUUAUUAUGCCUUUAAAAAAAAAUCUAAAAUAUACUCUCCUAUUCAAUUUUAUAUAUCCACUUGAUUGUAUAUUUGAUAAUUUAUAAUGCCACAAAAUCGAGUUACUUUUUCCAUUGUAGUAUAUUGAUUCGAUUUUGCAUUAGACUAUAUUUAAAAAGAUUAUGAUUUUCAAAAGAAUGACAUCUCUUUUCCAAUUUCAUUCGAUAGCUUUUAUACUUGCACAAUCUAUUAAGAUCUCCAAAUAUAAAAUUCCACUUUUUUUCACACACUACUAGUAGGAUUUUUAUUAACAUCUAGAAUUUUUUAAUAAUUUCUAAUUUUUUUAUUUUUUAUUAUGAUUUAUAAUAUUCAGUUUCUACGCCAUCAAUUUUCAUACCAGUUGCCAUGUUACCUUCUAUAUCAACACUUAACAGCCCGUUAGGGGCUUUGACAAAAAAAUUAAUUCAGUGAGCUCAAUUGAGUAUAAAUCAUAAUUCUUUUUUUUCUUUUUAAAUAUGUACAAAUCGUGAUUAAAUGAUUCAAAGAGAAGUUUAAUUGAUUUUUUAAUUAUUUCGAAGGACUUAUUUGACAUUUUAGCUUAAAAUUACAAAUCAUAAUUAAAUAAUUUUAACUAUAUUUAAUAUAAAAAAUAUUUUUACAUCAUAUAAUUAAUACAAAGUAACAUUACUCAAAAUAAAAACUAGCAUAUUUAGAUUGAUUAUUUUUAUCAUUCAAAUAUAGUGCUAAUAAAAAAAAUUUGUAAUAUAUGAUAAAUCAAAAUCUUCACUAUACAGGUUUUUUUUUUUUUUUUACCUUUUCUUUUCUUUUCUUAAUAGUCAAUCAACUCCACUAUUAUAAUAUAUUAGAUUAGGUUAUAUAAAUAUAUUAUUUCUAAAAUUUUGUAUAUGAAAUAUAAAGUUAUUUAUUGUCGGGUGUGCCUCGUAUUUUCGACUGAAUAGAUGGCAACGUCACGACGAGAAGUUUUCAGAUGUUGCGACGACGGACAACGUCAUGACAACGCAAAUGGGGAUGUUGUGACGAGGCAACGUAUACCCCACAUAAAUCAAGUUUCUUCUCUCAAUUAAAUUAUGAUUAUUCCAGAGAUAUUUUAGUAUGAUUAAACCUCUAAUUAGCCUAUUUAAAGGGGCCUUGUAUCCCUAGUUUGAGAGGUCAAUUAAGAGACAAUUAAAGAUAUAGUAGACGGCUUUUCUUUUUGGGGGUGACAAUAUGUAGUCGCAGAUGAGUUUUGGUGAAAGUUUUCGUGGUAACUAUGGAGAGAAUUUUGUUCCUGAGUUAGGGUUUUGUUUUCGAGGUUUGGGUUUGUACGUUUAGUAUAUUUAGGUUUAUUUUCUCCAUAUUUUACUCUCAUUUGUCUACUCAUUUAGUGAAAAGCCGAAGCCUCCUUUGCCCAUGAUUUUUACCCUCUUUGGAGGAGUUUUCCACAUAAAAUUUGUGUUCGAUUUUCUCUACCUUCUCUAUUUCGUUGCUUAUACGGGCAGAUCCCCAACACUUAUUAUUUAAAUUAUUAGAAAUUACUAUUUAAAGCUAAAGUAAUAUAAUUUCUUUUCUUUUUAUUUUUUGGUUAACGAAAACAUAAUAAUUUAAAUAUAAAGUAAUUCUUCAAUCUUUAAUAUGAUAAAAUCUUUUAAUAGAAUCAAAAUUUUUAUUUUUAAGUAUGAUAAAUUUUCUUAUCAAGUAAAUUUAUUUAAUUAAAUAUUUUAAUAAAAAUAAUAAAUAUUUAAAAUGAUAAAUUCUGUAAUAUACUGAAUAACAAAGAUUAUAUGCUCCAAACUCGUGUUUAUAUAAUAUAUAGGAGAGGGGUUCACUUACAUGAUGUAAAACUAAUUAAUUUCACACUAUUUUAGAUCGAAAUAAAUAAACGGUUGAGAUUAAAUUAAAACUUCUUUAUUUUAGGUUAAAACAUUUUAUGAAACCUUUUCCCUUUUGACUUCCCUAUUUAAUCUCCACCGUAAACUAAUUUAUAUUUUUUAUGCUAAUCAUUCCCUUUUCCCGAGAUAUUUGGCUUUUUGUUCUUUCAUUGAGAUCCAUUCAAUAUUUUGUUCAUCUUUUAAGAAACAAUUGCAAUCUAAUUUCAUUUUUCAUCAUAAUUUCUUUCAAUCUUUCAUGAAAGUUUUUUUUUUUUUUUUUUGCCAUUUGGAGAAACAAUUCCAAGCCAUGUAAUUGGUGCCAACAACGAUCUCCAACUUACAUGUCAUAUAAGUUAUUUUGUUCAAUCAUGAUUUCACAGUGGAACUAAAGAAGCAAAGUUAUCAUAUAAGUUGUUUUUGUACCGAUGGAAUGUUUUCCAGCUUCUUAUUCAGUACACAGUGUGAACUUUCUAUUAUUCAAACAUCGCCAAUCAUAGCUGUAUUAUAAGAUUUAAAUAAAAAAAAAUCAUGGUUAAUUUCAUGAAUGAAGUUCAGUAAAAUCUAUAUAUAUGCAUGCCAUGGGAUGAGUAAUGGAUGAGAAGUUAAGUUGACAUCCUAAUAUAUAAACAUGAAAAAGAUUUUUUUUUUUUAAAAAAGCAGAAGGUUUCUGUUAGGUUGAAAAAUUGUCAUGAAUGAGUUCUCGUGAUUCAAGAAAACAAUGGAAGUCUCAAUCAAAGAAAAUGCAAAGUAUAUGUUCAAGUUCAUCAGAUUUAACUUGGUGUUGUGAUCAUCACACUAAUUCGAUUAGUACUCAAAUCUAAUCAUAUCUAAUUUCACAAAUAAUUGACUAAAUUCUUUUAACAACAGGGUGAUUUGGGUAAUGGGGUAUAGUUUAGGUGCCAUUUUGAGUAACAAAAAAAAAAAAAGACGAAGAUUGGAACAAAUUCAGAUAAGUUUAAGCAAAGUAACAAGUUAAAAGAAUUUCAUAGAGACUAUUCUGAGAGUUCAAAAUGCCAAAAAUCUUCGCUAUUGUGAAGGACUCUCAUUUAUAGUGUCUCAAGAAUGGGAGCUACAAAGUUGAAAAUUGAUGGGAGUAAUGAAAUUAAUUUUCAAUUACAAUGACAUUAAUGAUUAAAAGGGAAUGGUGAAGGGCAUUGUUGGUGAUUGUAAUGGUGAGCAGUAAAGAAGAGCUCACUAUGUUUUCAAAAGAAGGGAGAAGCACUCAAUGUUACAAGAAAAGGUUAAGAGCAAACCCCUGAACUACCAUAUUCUGGGGUUACUUUAACUUCUACUUUGGUGAAGGAUACCAUGCGAAACAUCUUUCGUGGAAUAUCUUUUGAAAUGCAAUACAAUGGUUGUUCUUGAAUGAGAAUUAUUUAACUUGUUCAAAACAUGAGUUGCUCUCAAAAUAGUUGUUCUCAAUGUAGAAGUUGUCCCAAAUAAGAGUUCAUUUGUGGUGAUGCUUUUUUUGAAGAGCUUGUUUUGAAUAAUUACUUUUUUGGAAGAACAAAAUUUUUCAAAUUAGAAGUUGUUUCAAACAAUGAUUGUUCUAAACAUAGUUAUUUUUGAAACAUCAUUAUUCUAAAUAAGAGUUGUUCUCAAAUGACAACUACCUUGGAUGACAAUUGUUCUAAAUUGAAGCCUUGUUCUUAACAUAGUUAUUUCAAAUGUAACUAUUCUCAAACAACGGUUGUUCUGAACAACUAUUUUGAAUAAUUAUUUUUUUUUUAUUCUGCUGGAAAGAUAAUAAAUGAAACAACGUUGUCACUUAUUCCAAGCUUAGUAACACAAUUUCCUAAUAUAGUAGCCAAAAUCAAGUUCCAUUUUGUGAUUUAAACCUAUAAAAUAAAACUAAAUGAAUAGUAAACACCUUAAACAUUAUCGUUUGAAAUUGUUAUAAAUUUUUUUUUAUUGUUUUAUUGCACNNNNNNNNNNNNNNNNNNNNNNNNNNNNNNNNNNNNNNNNNNNNNNNNNNNNNNNNNNNNNNNNNNNNNNNNNNNNNNNNNNNNNNNNNNNNNNNNNNNNNNNNNNNNNNNNNNNNNNNNNNNNNNNNNNNNNNNNNNNNNNNNNNNNNNNNNNNNNNNNNNNNNNNNNNNNNNNNNNNNNNNNNNNNNNNNNNNNNNNNNNNNNNNNNNNNNNNNNNNNNNNNNNNNNNNNNNNNNNNNNNNNNNNNNNNNNNNNNNNNNNNNNNNNNNNNNNNNNNNNNNNNNNNNNNNNNNNNNNNNNNNNNNNNNNNNNNNNNNNNNNNNNNNNNNNNNNNNNNNNNNNNNNNNNNNNNNNNNNNNNNNNNNNNNNNNNNNNNNNNNNNNNNNNNNNNNNNNNNNNNNNNNNNNNNNNNNNNNNNNNNNNNNNNNNNNNNNNNNNNNNNNNNNNNNNNNNNNNNNNNNNNNNNNNNNNNNNNNNNNNNNNNNNNNNNNNNNNNNNNGUGCAAAUGAUUGCAAAUAUGGGAAACAACAGCACCCAAAUUCCCUUAAAUGAUUAUAUGUAGGCUCACGACUAUGAAGAACUUAGUAGGGAGACUGCCAUUUUAGGACUGGGUGGGUAGACGAUUUAUGAGAUGAACAACACUACAAAAGGCAUAAUCCGAGUAAUCCAUGGGCAAAUUGGCUUGAGCUAAGAGAGUAAGACCAGUUUCAACAACGUGUCUAUGUUUUGCUUAGCAACUCCGUUUACACUACCACAUGGUCGUGUCUUACGCAUAGCCGCACCAUCGUUAGACACACGGUUAUGUCUCACACACGACCAACCAUACGACCAAGCACACACCCGUGUGGCGUUGACAAAAUGCAAUUUUGACUUUCACCAAAGCUUGAUUUCGUGUAUAGGGUACAUACCUGGUACCGUUUUGAUGCAAAACCACUCCCAAGAUCACCAGCACCUAAAAAUAGAUUACAUAACACCAUUUUAGCAAUCAAAUUACGAAUCAACACACAACCCAAAACAACGCAUGCACUUACCAUUGUCACGAACAGAUACUAUCACGAUUGAAACUGUUGGAGCAAAAUUCACAGGUUCACUGUCUACUCCUACGCAAUACGCACACAGAAAUCAACUUUCCCAUUUCACACCGUUACGAAAAUUCAACUAAAAAGAAGAGGAAACUAAUCGAUUACACUUACCCAUACGAACGGAAAAAAAAACAACGAUUAAUGGAUUCCCCAAGAAAGUCAAUGGAUUGUUUGAUCAGGAAUAAAAAGUAAAGACGAAGCAAAAAUAAAGUAUAAAGCAAAGAGGAGAAGGGAAACUAGCGUUAAAGUUUGAAAGAGAGAAAAAAGAAUUAAUUUCAUCUAAUUUGAAACACUCCCAGUCCAACACACUCCCACAACCACUAACCACCAAAUCCCCUAAAAAUCGUCCAUUACCCUCAUCCACUAUCAGAAUUUCAACUCCAUCCAAUUUCACCACACAAUCGAUACACAUAGAAGCAAAAAUUACAUCCAUCGCUUGCACAAGGAUUCAAACACAAGAUCUCUAACACACUGACUCCUUUACCACUCAAACCAGCAGAUCAUUCUAAUAUGGAUUAACAAAUAAUUUUAUAUAAGCCCACUCAACAAGGGAAGGGCUUAGAUCUAAAAUAGCAAAGUUUUGCCAAAAUGAGAACUGAACUCAAGACUUCUCACACUCCCAGAACACUUAACCACUAAAACAAAUACUCAUUUGCGUCAAAUAUUUAUGGAAACAGGAAUACAUUAAUCAGGGCGUUACAUAUUUUGUAAGUCUUGUAAGUAAUACAUGAUAUCACAUAUACUAACAAGUGGUGCUUAUUUGGCUAUUAUGCUAUAUUUGUUGACGAAAGGAAGAACAGUUAGUGAAUAUUUUUCAUAUGGGGAGGAGUAGAGUUGUUUAUGAGUUGGGUUUGGUCCUAACAGAAUUUUAGGUUUGAUUGUUAGGUUUGGUCCGUAAAAUGGGUCUAAAUUUUGUUUAAGUUCAAUAUGAAUAAAAUUAAAAUUUGAAUCCGGCCUAGGCCGUGUUAAUUUUUUAUAUAAUACAUCAAAUAUACUAAAAAUAUUAAAAUAAAUGUUUCUCAACAAAUGAAAAUAAAUUAAAAAAAUCUUUAUACUUAAAACAAUAUUAGGAUAAGUGUAACUUAACAAGCAAAUGUCUCUAAAAUAGCAGGAAAAUUAACAAUAAAACAAUUGUUAUAAUAUCCAAAUAUUAAUAAUAAAUAGUAGUAACAUAAUAGUGAAUGAUAGUAAAACAACGGAAAAAAGUGGGAAAACAACAACGAUUAUUGAAAAUUCUGGUUGGGCCAAAGUAAAAAAAAAAUCAUAGUUGAGACUUAUUCUUUUUGCUCAAAUCUAUUUUUAAGCUUAUAUUUUUGUUCAAAAUUAUUUAUUUUUCGGGUCGGCAGAUCCAACCCAUGAACAACUCCAGAGUUAUUAUGAUUAUAUGAAUUGGAUUAAAUUAUGAUUUUAUUUGACUAAAAACCCUCCUAAAACUUCCUAAAACUUCCAUAAUAAAUUGUUAUUCUUAUGGAAAGAAGAACCAAUGAACCUAUAAAAGCACAUGCUGGAUGGAACAAAACACAACAAAGUAAUGAAUUUAUGGCAGAAAAUAUAACAUGGUAAAGAGAACAAGGAAACAUGUGAAAUGAUCUGUAAGCUGAAAAUGGAAUUACUCCCACUUUAAAUAAUAAGUCAACCAAUUUUUAUCCCCUUUUCUUGAGGGGGGGAGGGGGGGGGGGGCGGUUGUGAUUUGGUUUCUAAAUAAUUAUGAUUAAAGUAAUAAAAUUUGGCAAAAUUAACUUUCCAAUCUCUCUUAAUUUUAGAUUUGAGCAAAUCAGUCCUUUUAAAAAAAUUUGAAAUAAUUUAAUUUUUUGUCAAUUUCAGAGUGAGCAGCUCAAGACAAUUAAUUCCAGUGUUAAUGUUUUUCAUAAAUUUUACAUAAUUUUGAUUUGUAUAAUAAUAAAUUAGCUCUCAGUGUUUAUAUAUCCUGUAUAAAUGUUACAGAUUAAAUUUGUUAAAUUAAGACCAAAUUAACAAAAUGUAUAAUCGAAAUUGAGAGAUAUGAAAAAGAUAUUUUUACUUUAAAGUGUCUAUUAAUAUUAUACUAUUUAAUUUCAAUUUAAUAUAAUAUAAAUAUAAUACAUAUUUGCAAAUUUUAAAAUUUAAGGAAAGGGUAUUAAAUUAUGCAAUGGGGAUAUAAUACAAAAAAAAUUAAAGUUAAAAUAUGUUAUAGGUUUUACGUAAUCUUCAUAAAUUUAGAAUUUAAUCUAUAUAUUUUUAUUUUUAGGAAUUCAGUCCCUCUAUUUUAAGAUUUUAAAUUUAAAAUCCAAUUGUUGGACACUAACAAAUUUUUUUUUUGUUAAAUUUGUGGGUAUGACAUUUUGAAAUAAUAAUAAUAACUCACUUGGUAGCAAUGUAACUAAAAUAAUGGCAUUAUAAUGAACUUGAAUUUAAUAAAAUAAUUUUAACAGUUUAGGCCUAAAUUUCGAAAUCUAUAAAGUAGAGAAAUUGAAUUCUUAAAAAUAAAAGUAUAGAGACUAAUUUCAAAUUUGUGAAGAGUAUAAAGGCUUGUGGCAUAUUUUAACCAAAUAAAGUUAUAUAAUAAAAUAGGCUAAAAGGGUCUUAAAAGCCCAUGAACUUUUCCAAAAAAAAAUCAAUUAAGCCCCUGCACUUUUUUGCACCCAAUUAAGCCAUUGAACAUUAAAAUUAACAACCAAAGAUGUUGUUUUUCUAGGUAUUUUCACUACGUUGCAAGCCAAGAUUGUGUCUAAUAGCGAAAAUUGAUUUUUUUUAUAUUUAAUAUCAUUAACAAAUAAUAGAAAAUUAUAAAAAUACAUUAAAGUUAAUAAUUUCUAUGUUUUAAAAAUUCAUAAUUGUUACAAUUUUUUUUAUAUUUUUCAUAAUUUAUCUAAUUUUUUAUUUUUAAAUAUUUUUAAUUUUUUGUAAGUUUAAUUAUUUUUAUAUUUUUUUUGCACUUUGAUAUUUUUAUAUAUUUUUAAAACUUUUACUAAUUUUAAAUAUAUAAUACCAAUUUUAUCAUGUGGUACAAUCCUAACGUGCUAUGUGACAAAAACACGUAAAGAAAAUUAUUGUCGUUACUCUAUAGUGGUUGAUUGUUAGCUUUAACGAUCGGAGAGCCUAAAUAAUAGUAAUUUUAACAUUCAAGAAUGAAAAAAGAAAUAUAAGAUAGGUUGAAGGAAUUUGAAGAGUGUUUAGCAAAUCAAAGAUUUUUAGAGUGUGAUUAAAAAAGAGAGGCGUGAAAUGAGGUACUCCGGGGUGAAAGCGUGUGGGUUUGGACGUCGUAUUUGAUGCCGGAAAACAGGAUCGGCUUCACGUGUUCUUACAACAUUUCAUGCCUCCAACCUUUGACUCUCUUCACGAUUCUAUUUCCACCUACAAUAGCUAGCUGUCUGCUUUGCUAGAUUUCUGCUUUCAUUAAAAAACCCCAUUUCUCCUUGACUUGACUUCAAACCUUUUUAUUAUUAUACUUCCACUUCCCUUCUAUUCUACUAUUUUUAUUUUUAUAUUAUUUAAUUAAUUAAAGCUAUUUUCAUUUAUAUUUAAUUAUAAAUGUAUAUUGUAUUAAUAAAACUAAAAAUACCACACACUGAUUUUUUUAUAUUACAUUUUAAAAAAAAAGUUUUUAAGCAGGGUCCAAGCCAACAAAUUUAUAGCGAAGAACUGAAUUUAAAUAGUGAUUUUCUAGAGGGACCAAAACAUAAAUUUUAUUAUUUUAUUAGUUAUAAGAUGCUAAAAUCUAAUUUUCCUAAUUAAGGACAGUUAAGGCCCCUAUCGGCCCGCUGCCGCUCCUGCUUCUAAUAAUAAUAAUAAUAAUAAUAAUAAUAAUUUGAUUUUGGCUUUUUAUAUGACAAUAUGAUCCCAAAGUCUAUUGACCCUAAUUUUUAUCUCAAUUGAACCAAUCAAGGAGACACAUUUGACGGUAGACUUCUUUAUUAAUAUAUAUAUAUAUAUACAUUCCCUACUUGAUGUGGGUAUAUCGAUGUCAUGUGAACACUUAAAUUCAAUCAUUCCUCAAUUAUUUCAUAUAAUUUUCGAAAUAAAGGUGUUUGUGAGAAUAAUAAGAGUAUAAUGGGAAAUUUAGUAAUUUUUAAAUUAAUUUUUGACGUGAUAUAGAAGAUAAAUAGUGUUAUUUUAAACAUUACGUAUAUGUGAACGGUCACACAAGUUGUCACGCUAAUAUUGCUAAAAAACGUAAGGGAGAAUAUUUGGUGUACUGUUGGUGAAUAAUAACAUGACACCUCAUCAUUAAAUAAAACAAAAAAAAAAUAGUGAAGUACUUAUAAAUGAAUACUGAUAACUUUACUUAAACAUAAUUAAUUAUAAAUAAAUACUAAAAUCUUGAAACUUAAACUCUAGACUCUAGACCCUUAAUAUGAUAGUUGUUAAUAUUUAUUUAUAAUAGUUACGAUUAAUGUUUAAUGUUCACCGCCCUAGAUGUGGUCUGGGCUCAAGUCACGCUAGUCAUGUUAAUGGUUCAGACUUUCUCCUAUUAUUGUAAUUCACAAAAAAGAAAAUUAUGUUUAAAAAAUUAUUGGUAUUUAUUUACAAGUCGUCCAUAUUUUUGUUUAAUUAAUGAUGUUGUGUCACAUUAUUAUUCACUAAUGGUGCAUGAAGCUUACGCACUAACCGUGCAUUAAAUAUUAUCCCAAAAAAUAAUAUUUUAAUCAAUAUUUUUUUUUGAAAAAAAAGUGAUUUAAUUCUUUUUAAAAGGUUAAUAAUCAAAUUUAACUCAAAAAAAAAUCAAAUUAACAAGAGAUGUAAAAAUUGAGAGUCGAAUUUAUCAUUAUGCAAUAAUAUAAAAUAUAAAAACUUUGUUUUUACUGAUACUUAAAUAUUUUCACCAUUAACUUAAAAAGAUAUCCAAAAUAUUAAAUAUAAAAAAUAAUUUAAUAAGUAAACAGUAAUCUAAAUCAUGUUAAGUCAAAACUAAAAAUCCUAUCUUAUACAAAAUGGUUUUAUUAAAAGCGAUAGCCAUGAACUCCGAAAUGAUUAAUAUUCAUGACAUAAUAUAGAAAAAAAAUAAAAUGAUAUUAUUUUUUGGUGUUUGUAAUUUUGUUAAGAAACCCUAAAAUUGGAUGCUUAAUUUGAUGUUUUUAAAGAUAAUAUAUUAUAUUUAGGUUAGUAUUUGGUAUAUUGGUGUAUUUUUUUUUUAAUUUUACAAGUAGAUUUUUAAAAUUACUAGGUGUCCCAUUUAUUUUAUAUACUUAUUUAAUUUUUUAAUAUUUUAUAGGAUACUUAUUACUAUUGUAAGUCUAUUUAUGAAGUCUAUAAACUUCACUAAUAAUAUAUAAAAUAUUUUCCUUAUAUUUAAUAAUUUAUUUUGAUACAAGCAUUUAAAAUUUAUGAUAAAAGAAAUUAAGUGCAGUUAUUAUUAGGCUAUUUAAAAAAUUAGGACGGCUUAGAUGCAGAUCUUACUGUCAAUUCAAAACUACAUUAAUUAAGCUUAAUCUUUUUCCUGAUUUCAUUGGUCAAACAUUUAAUGGCAUAUUAACAAGAAUCUAAUUCACUUAUACCUACUUAACCCAUUAAACAGACCCUUUUAGCCCUAUCUAUAUUUAUAUAUACAAUUUGGUGAUUUCUAUCUAUAUUUAUAUAUACAAUUUGGUGAUUUUUACAGUUCGUGGUUGUCGAAACUAAAUUCCCUUAUUAAGAGUGUAAUAUAACUUACCAUUAAAUAUAAUACAUAUAUAUGUAUUCAAAUAACUCAACCUUUUUAUUGUAUAUGUGAGUGUGACUUUUAUAUUUGAAUAACAUGGCUUUCCUUCCCCCUUAAAUCAUGGAGAAAUCUAGUAUAAAUAUGCAGCUUAAAACACCCACCCUUAGCUUACACUCUUUUGUGCAAACAUUUCCCUUCCAUUUGAAAAAUAAUGGCUUCUAACACUCUCAAGCUCAUUGCCAUGCUCUCCCUUACUAUUUCAGUCCUCUUAUCUUUGUAUCCUCACUCAACCUUCUCAUUCGAAAUGGAGGAUUUCGACGAUGAGGAGGAAUACGUGCCUGAUGAACCUGUCAUCAUCCCCAACCUUCGAUCGAGAAGCCGGUUCUUGAAAACCUCACCCAAGAAAGAUAAGAUUAGGAAAGGUGCACAUUGCGAGCCCGACCCUUAUCACAACAUAUGCAAUGGCCUUUCGGUGAACAACGGGACCGGCAUAUUGUAUUGCUGCAAGACGCAUUGUCGUAAUGUGCUCCGUGAUUGGAACAACUGCGGUGAAUGCGGCCACCGGUGCAAGUUCGGGGAACGUUGCUGCGGUGGGGGUUUGUACGGAUGUUGUUUACAAUGUUAACCAUUGUGGCAAGUGUGACAAGCAGUGUUCGCCGGGAGUUCAGUGUGACUUUGGGUAUUGUGGUUAUGCUUAGAUUUAAGUAUUUAUAAUGAUUUUUAUCAAAAUAUAUUGGCAAAUUUACUUGGGGCUGUUUUGGUUAUGAAUAACACUUCGUUAUCGAUAUAUUUUUGUAUAAUGAGGGGAAGGAUAUAUGUAGAUUAUACACAUAUAUAUUUAUGUAAAAACGAGUUUUAUACGGUGGAUCUUGAGCUUGUUGUAAUUGAUUUUAGCCAUUGUUUUUAUAUACAUUAUUCGAAUUUUAUAUACGAUAGUUUCAUUUUUGAGAAGUUUUCAAACAAUUUUAAGUACUUAAAAUUUUCUGUAAGGUUGCUAUUGAGUCUUAAUUCGACUGGUAUAGAUAUUAUUGUUAAUAUGAGAAAAUUUGUGUUCGAAUGUGCUAAAAUGAAAGUUCAAGUAAUAAGUCUCUAUAUUAUGUAUUGUUAGAGGAUUUAGUUUUGGUUAAAUUCUGUUAUUAGUCUUUGUACUUUAUGAAAGUUAUGAAUUUAGUCAUUGUAUUUUAAUUUGAUUAAGUUUAGUCACUCUACUUUUUGAAUUAGUCAAAUUUAGUCCCUAUACUUUUCAAAAUUUGAAAUUUUAAUCAUGACCCAAACAAUAGCAAUUAAAUCUGUUUGGUUAAAUUCAAUUACUAGUCUUGUAAUAUGCGUUCAAUUGUAGAUUUAGCCCAUAUUCUCCAAUUGGAUCAUUCUAAGUCUCUAUAUUUCUCGAAUUUUGAAAGUUUAGUGUUGAUACAAAUGACAAUCGUUAAUUCAUUAACAUGAUUUUAGUGACUAAUAUGUGGAAUAAUAAGCUGACAUGACAUUACACAUAUGAUAAUAUAUUUACCACAUCAGGUUUUGUAAAUAACAAAACAUAACUUAAUGAAUUUAAUAUGUAUUGUUUGGUGAAGACUAAAAUUUUAAAAUUUAAAAAGUAUAGAGACUAAAUUGACAAAAAAUAUAGCUAUUAAACCCAUAAGUUUUUUUUGUAAAAUAUAAGGACUAAUAGAAAAUUUUAAAAAGUAUAGGCAGAACGAAUUUGUAAUUCUAUUGGCAGAUAAACUAACCAUGUAACAUCAUUAGUGGCUGUAGCCAGACUUCGAUAUUCAACUUCUGUUGUCGACCGAGAAACAACUUGUUACCUUUUAGAACACCACAAAACAGGCGUAUCACCAAAAUACACACAAUAUCCUGUUGUAGACCAGCGAUCAUCAAAAUCCAAUCCCUAGUUAGCAUUAGUAUAACCGAUGAGAGAAAGUUUGUUGGAUGGACGAAAAAUUAACCCAUGAUCAAUAGUCCCACGUAAAUAUCGUAAGAUUCUUUUUAAAGCCACCAAAUGAACUAAAGUAGGUGCAUGCAUAAAUUGGCACACAUGAUCUACAACAUAAGCAAUAUUAGGUCGGGUCAGAACCAUAUAUUGAAGUGCACCGACAAGGCUUUGAUAUUCUGUAGGAUCAACAAGACAAUCGCAUUCAUCCUUAGAGAACGCAGACGAACUGACCAUUGGUGUGUGGACACUUUUUGCAUUAGUCAGGGAACUUCUGUCAAGUAGAUCCCAGAUGUGCUUGCACUGGCAUAAAUGAAAACUUCCAGUGGAGGAUCGAGUGACUUCAAUGCCUAAGAAGUAAUGAAUGUCUCUCAUAUCCUUUAAGGAAAACUCAUUAUGUAACUACUUAACAAAUCUAUCUGUACUAUCAGCCAUACUCCCCGUAAUAAUAAUAUCAUCCACAUAAACUAGAACAUAGAUGAUGGACUCGGUCGUUACUCGAACAAAUAGAGACGUAUUAGAUUUGGACACGAUAAACCCGAUAGAAACAAGAAAUCUUUUCAAUUUAUCAAACCACACACGUGGAGCUUGACGCAACUCGUAUAAUGCCUUCGUCAGACGACAUACCAAGUGCUUACCAGUUGGACCAGACUGAACAUAACCUAGAGGUUGUUGCAUGAACACUUCGUCAGUGAUAUCACCAUUUAAAAAGGCAUUGUUGACAUCAACCUGAUGAAGUUGCCAACCAUGAGAGAUAGUAAUCGAGAGUAUGGUUCUAAUAGUAGCAGGUUUGAUCAUGGAUUGAAAGUUUUUUUGAAAUCACACCCGAAAACAUGGAAACACCCCUUUGCUACCAACCAAGCCUUACGUAGAGCAAUAGUCCUAUCAGGAUUUUUUUUUACUUUGAAGAGCCACUUACACCAUAUCACCUUUCGUCUAUGAGGUAGAGAAACAAGUUCCCAAGUGGAGUUAGCUAUGAAAGCAUCAAAUUCGGCUUGGACUACUUAUUGCUACUCUGGAUCAGCAAGUGCUUCUUCAACCGUGCGAGGUUCAUAGUCAACAACUUCAACAGACAGAGCCUUAGGUUUAAAAAUCCCAUCUUUAGACCUAGUAAUCAUAGUAUAAGUAUUUCUCAGCAGAACAGUCAGUGGAGUCGAGGAACUAUGCUGGGAGUAGACAGACCACCUACAUCUGUUGAGGUUGAAAGCUAGAACUCCUCAUGAGCAGACCCUAACUCAGUCGAUGAACCACCUGAUGUAGACUGUAUGAAACUAUAGUGAGGAGGAGAAGAUGUCAUACCCGUGGGACUCUCGAAUGUUGUAACAGGGCGGGAGGCAGUAGACUGAAUAAGAGGAACAUAUGUUGAGACACAUGAACUAGGUUUAACACGGUCCAUGUUAGAUGAAAAAAAAGAACCGUUGUUCAUUAAAAUCAACAUGACGAGAAACAAUUAUUUUACCAUCUGGUGUAAGACAAUGAUAACCUUUAUGUUGGGAACUAUACCCUAAAAAUGUAUAUGGCUGAGAACGAAAAUCUACUUGUGACGUGCAAAUGAUUGCAAAUAUGGGAAACAACAGCACCCAAAUUCCCUUAAAUGAUUAUAUGUAGGCUCACGACUAUGAAGAACUUAGUAGGGAGACUGCCAUUUUAGGACUGGGGUGGGUAGACGAUUUAUGAGAUGAACAACACUACAAAAGGCAUAAUCCGAGUAAUCCAUGGGCAAAUUGGCUUGAGCUAAGAGAGUAAGACCAGUUUCAACAACGUGUCUAUGUUUUGCUUAGCAACUCCGUUUACACUACCACAUGGUCGUGUCUUACGCAUAGCCGCACCAUCGUUAGACACACGGUUAUGUCUCACACACGACCAACCAUACGACCAAGCACACACCCGUGUGGCGUUGACAAAAUGCAAUUUUGACUUUCACCAAAGCUUGAUUUCGUGUAUAGGGUACAUACCUGGUACCGUUUUGAUGCAAAACCACUCCCAAGAUCACCAGCACCUAAAAAUAGAUUACAUAACACCAUUUUAGCAAUCAAAUUACGAAUCAACAACACAACCCAAAACAACGCAUGCACUUACCAUUGUCACGAACAGAUACUAUCACGAUUGAAACUGUUGGAGCAAAAUUCACAGGUUCACUGUCUACUCCUACGCAAUACGCACACAGAAAAUCAACUUUCCCAUUUCACACCGUUACGAAAAUUCAACUAAAAAGAAGAGGAAACUAAUCGAUUACACUUACCCAUACGAACGGAAAAAAAACAACGAUUAAUGGAUUCCCCAAGAAAAGGUCAAUGGAUUGUUUGAUCAGGAAUAAAAAGUAAAGACGAAGCAAAAAUAAAGUAUAAAGCAAAGAGGAGAAGGGAAACUAGCGUUAGAAAGUUUGAAAGAGAGAGAAAAAGAAUUAAUUUCAUCUAAUUUGAAACACUCCCAGUCCAACACAACUCCCACAACCCACUAACCACCAAAUCCCCUAAAAAUCGUCCAUUACCCUCAUCCACUAUCAGAAUUUCAACUCCAUCCAAAUUUCACCACACAAUCGAUACACAUAGAAGCAAAAAUUACAUCCAUCGCUUGCACAAGGAUUCAAACACAAGAUCUCUAACACACUGACUCCUUUACCACUCAAACCAGCAAGAUCAUUCUAAUAUGGAUUAACAAAUAAUUUUAUAUAAGCCCACUCAACAAGGGAAGGGCUUAGAUCUAAAAUAGCAAAGUUUUGCCAAAAAUGAGAACUGAACUCAAGACUUCUCACACUCCCAGAACACUUAACCACUAAAACAAAUACUCAUUUGCGUCAAAUAUUUAUGGAAACAGGAAUACAUUAAUCAGGGCGUUACAUAUUUUGUAAGUCUUGUAAGUAAUACAUGAUAUCACAUAUACUAACAAGUGGUGCUUAUUUGGCUAUUAUGCUAUAUUUGUUGACGAAAGGAAGAACAGUUAGUGAAUAUUUUUCAUAUGGGGAGGAGUAGAGUUGUUUAUGAGUUGGGUUUGGUCCUAACAGAAUUUUAGGUUUGAUUGUUAGGUUUGGUCCGUAAAAUGGGUCUAAAUUUUUGUUUAAGUUCAAUAUGAAUAAAAAUGUUAAAAUUUGAAUCCGGCCUAGGCCGUGUUAAUUUUUUAUAUAAUACAUCAAAUAUACUAAAAAUAUUAAAAUAAAUGUUUCUCAACAAAAUGAAAAUAAAUUAAAAAAAAUCUUUAUACUUAAACAAUAUUAGGAUAAGUGUAACUUAACAAGCAAAUGUCUCUAAAAUAGCAGGAAAAUUAACAAUAAAACAAUUGUUAUAUAAUAUCCAAAUAUUAAUAAUAAAAUAGUAGUAACAUAAUAGUGAAUGAUAGUAAAACAACGGAAAAAAGUGGGAAAACAACAACGAUUAUUGAAAAUUCUGGUUGGGCCAAAGUAAAAAAAAAAUCAUAGUUGAGACUUAUUCUUUUUGCUCAAAUCUAUUUUUAAGCUUAUAUUUUUGUUCAAAAUUAUUUAUUUUUCGGGUCGGCAGAUCCAACCCAUGAACAACUCCAGAGUUAUUAUGAUUAUAUGAAUUGGAUUAAAUUAUGAUUUUAUUUGACUAAAAACCCUCCUAAAACUUCCAUAAAUAAAUUGUUAUUCUUAUGGAAAGAAGAAACAAUGAACCUAUAAAAGCACAUGCUGGAUGGAACAAAACACAACAAAGUAAUGAAUUUAUGGCAGAAAAUAUAACAUGGUAAAGAGAACAAGGAAACAUGUGAAAUGAUCUGUAAGCUGAAAAUGGAAUUACUCCCACUUUAAAUAAUAAGUCAACCAAUUUUUUAUCCCCUUUUCUUGAGGGGGGGAGGGGGGGGGCGGUUGUGAUUUGGUUUCUAAAUUAAUUAUGAUUAAAGUAAUAAAAUUUGGCAAAAUUAACUUUCCAAUCUCUCUUAAUUUUUAGAUUUGAGCAAAUCAGUCCUUUUAAAAAAAUUUGAAAUAAUUUAAUUUUUUGUCAAUUUCAGAGUGAGCAGCUCAAGACAAUUAAUUCCAGUGUUAAUGUUUUUCAUAAAUUUUACAUAAUUUUGAUUUGUAUAAUAAUAAAAUUAGCUCUCAGUGUUUAUAUAUCCUGUAUAAAUGUUACAGAUUAAAUUUGUUAAAUUAAGACCAAAUUAACAAAAUGUAUAAUCGAAAUUGAGAGAUAUGAAAAAGAUAUUUUUACUUUAAAGUGUCUAUUAAUAUUAUACUAUUUUAAUUUCAAUUUAAUAUAAUAUAAAUAUAAUACAUAUUUGCAAAUUUUAAAAUUUAAGGAAAGGGUAUUAAAUUAUGCAAUGGGGAUAUAAUACAAAAAAAAAUUAAAGUUAAAAUAUGUUAUAGGUUUACGUAAUCUUCAUAAAUUUAGAAUUUAAUCUAUAUAUUUUUAUUUUUAGGAAUUCAGUCCCUCUAUUUUUAAGAUUUUAAAUUUAAAAUCCAAUUGUUGACACUAACAAAUUUUUUUUUGUUAAAUUUGUGGGUAUGACAUUUUGAAAUAAUAAUAAUAACUCACUUGGUAGCAAUGUAACUAAAAUAAUGGCAUUAUAAUGAACUUGAAUUUAAUAAAAUAAUUUUAACAGUUUAGGCCUAAAUUUCGAAAUCUAUAAAGUAGAGAAAUUGAAUUCUUAAAAAUAAAAGUAUAGAGACUAAAUUUCAAAUUUGUGAAGAGUAUAAAGGCUUGUGGCAUAUUUUAACCAAAUAAAGUUAUAUAAUAAAAUAGGCUAAAAGGGUCUUAAAAGCCCAUGAACUUUUCCAAAAAAAAAUCAAUUAAGCCCCUGCACUUUUUUGCACCCAAUUAAGCCAUUGAACAUUAAAAUUAACAACCAAAGAUGUUGUUUUUCUAGGUAUUUUCACUACGUUGCAAGCCAAGAUUGUGUCUAAUAGCGAAAAUUGAUUUUUUUUAUAUUUAAUAUCAUUAACAAAUAAUAGAAAAUUAUAAAAAUACAUUAAAGUUAAUAAUUUCUAUGUUUUAAAAAUUCAUAAUUGUUACAAUUUUUUUUAUAUUUUUCAUAAUUUAUCUAAUUUUUUAUUUUUAAAUAUUUUUAAUUUUUUGUAAGUUUAAUUAUUUUUAUAUUUUUUUUGCACUUUGAUAUUUUUAUAUAUUUUUAAAACUUUUACUAAUUUUAAAUAUAUAAUACCAAUUUUAUCAUGUGGUACAAUCCUAACGUGCUAUGUGACAAAAACACGUAAAGAAAAUUAUUGUCGUUACUCUAUAGUGGUUGAUUGUUAGCUUUAACGAUCGGAGAGCCUAAAUAAUAGUAAUUUUAACAUUCAAGAAUGAAAAAAGAAAUAUAAGAUAGGUUGAAGGAAUUUGAAGAGUGUUUAGCAAAUCAAAGAUUUUUAGAGUGUGAUUAAAAAAGAGAGGCGUGAAAUGAGGUACUCCGGGGUGAAAGCGUGUGGGUUUGGACGUCGUAUUUGAUGCCGGAAAACAGGAUCGGCUUCACGUGUUCUUACAACAUUUCAUGCCUCCAACCUUUGACUCUCUUCACGAUUCUAUUUCCACCUACAAUAGCUAGCUGUCUGCUUUGCUAGAUUUCUGCUUUCAUUAAAAAACCCCAUUUCUCCUUGACUUGACUUCAAACCUUUUUAUUAUUAUACUUCCACUUCCCUUCUAUUCUACUAUUUUUAUUUUUAUAUUAUUUAAUUAAUUAAAGCUAUUUUCAUUUAUAUUUAAUUAUAAAUGUAUAUUGUAUUAAUAAAACUAAAAAUACCACACACUGAUUUUUUUAUAUUACAUUUUAAAAAAAAAGUUUUUAAGCAGGGUCCAAGCCAACAAAUUUAUAGCGAAGAACUGAAUUUAAAUAGUGAUUUUCUAGAGGGACCAAAACAUAAAUUUUAUUAUUUUAUUAGUUAUAAGAUGCUAAAAUCUAAUUUUCCUAAAUUAAGGACAGUUAAGGCCCCUAUCGGCCCGCUGCCGCUCCUGCUUCUAAUAAUAAUAAUAAUAAUAAUAAUAAUAAUUUGAUUUUGGCUUUUUAUAUGACAAUAUGAUCCCAAAGUCUAUUGACCCUAAUUUUUAUCUCAAUUGAACCAAUCAAGGAGACACAUUUGACGGUAGACUUCUUUAAUUAAUAUAUAUAUAUAUAUACAUUCCCUACUUGAUGUGGGUAUAUCGAUGUCAUGUGAACACUUAAAUUCAAUCAUUCCUCAAUUAUUUCAUAUAAUUUUCGAAAUAAAGGUGUUUGUGAGAAUAAUAAGAGUAUAAUGGGAAAUUUAGUAAUUUUUAAAUUAAUUUUUGACGUGAUAUAGAAGAUAAAUAGUGUUAUUUUAACAUUACGUAUAUGUGAACGGUCACACAAGUUGUCACGCUAAUAUUGCUAAAAAAACGUAAGGGAGAAUAUUUGGUGUACUGUUGGUGAAUAAUAACAUGACACCUCAUCAUUAAAUAAAACAAAAAAAAAAUAGUGAAGUACUUAUAAAUGAAUACUGAUAACUUUACUUAAACAUAAUUAAUUAUAAAUAAAUACUAAAAUCUUGAAACUUAAACUCUAGACUCUAGACCCUUAAUAUGAUAGUUGUUAAUAUUUAUUUAUAAUAGUUACGAUUAAUGUUUAAUGUUCACCGCCCUAGAUGUGGUCUGGGCUCAAGUCACGCUAGUCAUGUUAAUGGUUCAGACUUUCUCCUAUUAUUGUAAUUCACAAAAAAAGAAAAUUAUGUUUAAAAAAUUAUUGGUAUUUAUUUACAAGUCGUCCAUAUUUUUGUUUAAUUAAUGAUGUUGUGUCACAUUAUUAUUCACUAAUGGUGCAUGAAGCUUACGCACUAACCGUGCAUUAAAUAUUAUCCCAAAAAAUAAUAUUUUAAUCAAUAUUUUUUUUUGAAAAAAAAGUGAUUUAAUUCUUUUUAAAAGGUUAAUAAUCAAAUUUAACUCAAAAAAAAAUCAAAUUAACAAGAGAUGUAAAAAUUGAGAGUCGAAUUUAUCAUUAUGCCAAUAAUAUAAAAUAUAAAAACUUUGUUUUUACUGAUACUUAAAUAUUUUCACCAUUAACUUAAAAAGAUAUCCAAAAUAUUAAAUAUAAAAAAUAAUUUAAUAAGUAAACAGUAAUCUAAAUCAUGUUAAGUCAAAACUAAAAAUCCUAUCUUAUACAAAAUGGUUUUAUUAAAAGCGAUAGCCAUGAACUCCGAAAUGAUUAAUAUUCAUGACAUAAUAUAGAAAAAAAAUAAAAUGAUAUUAUUUUUUGGUGUUUGUAAUUUUGUUAAGAAACCCUAAAAUUGGAUGCUUAAUUUGAUGUUUUUAAAGAUAAUAUAUUAUAUUUAGGUUAGUAUUUGGUAUAUUGGUGUAUUUUUUUUUUAAUUUUACAAGUAGAUUUUUAAAAUUACUAGGUGUCCCAUUUAUUUUAUAUACUUAUUUAAUUUUUUUAAUAUUUUAUAGGAUACUUAUUACUAUUGUAAGUCUAUUUAUGAAGUCUAUAAACUUCACUAAUAAUAUAUAAAAUAUUUUCCUUAUAUUUAAUAAUUUAUUUUGAUACAAGCAUUUAAAAUUUAUGAUAAAAGAAAUUAAGUGCAGUUAUUAUUAGGCUAUUUAAAAAAUUAGGACGGCUUAGAUGCAGAUCUUACUGUCAAUUCAAAACUACAUUAAUUAAGCUUAAUCUUUUUUCCUGAUUUCAUUGGUCAAACAUUUAAUGGCAUAUUAACAAGAAUCUAAUUCACUUAUACCUACUUAACCCAUUAAACAGACCCUUUUAGCCCUAUCUAUAUUUAUAUAUACAAUUUGGUGAUUUCUAUCUAUAUUUAUAUAUACAAUUUGGUGAUUUUUACAGUUCGUGGUUGUCGAAACUAAAUUCCCUUAUUAAGAGUGUAAUAUAACUUACCAUUAAAUAUAAUACAUAUAUAUGUAUUCAAAUAACUCAACCUUUUUAUUGUAUAUGUGAGUGUGACUUUUAUAUUUGAAUAACAUGGCUUCCUUCCCCUUAAAUCAUGGAGAAAUCUAGUAUAAAUAUGCAGCUUAAAACACCCACCCUUAGCUUACACUCUUUUGUGCAAACAUUUCCCUUCCAUUUGAAAAAUAAUGGCUUCUAACACUCUCAAGCUCAUUGCCAUGCUCUCCCUUACUAUUUCAGUCCUCUUAUCUUUGUAUCCUCACUCAACCUUCUCAUUCGAAAUGGAGGAUUUCGACGAUGAGGAGGAAUACGUGCCUGAUGAACCUGUCAUCAUCCCCAACCUUCGAUCGAGAAGCCGGUUCUUGAAAACCUCACCCAAGAAAGAUAAGAUUAGGAAAGGUGCACAUUGCGAGCCCGACCCUUAUCACAACAUAUGCAAUGGCCUUUCGGUGAACAACGGGACCGGCAUAUUGUAUUGCUGCAAGACGCAUUGUCGUAAUGUGCUCCGUGAUUGGAACAACUGCGGUGAAUGCGGCCACCGGUGCAAGUUCGGGGAACGUUGCUGCGGUGGGGUUUGUACGGAUGUUGUUUACAAUGUUAACCAUUGUGGCAAGUGUGACAAGCAGUGUUCGCCGGGAGUUUAGUGUGACUUUGGGUAUUGUGGUUAUGCUUAGAUUUAAGUAUUUAUAAUGAUUUUUAUCAAAAUAUAUUGGCAAAUUUACUUGGGGCUGUUUUGGUUAUGAAUAACACUUCGUUAUCGAUAUAUUUUUGUAUAAUGAGGGGAAGGAUAUAUGUAGAUUAUACACAUAUAUAUUUAUGUAAAAAACGAGUUUUAUACGGUGGAUCUUGAGCUUGUUGUAAUUGAUUUUAGCCAUUGUUUUUAUAUACAUUAUUCGAAUUUUAUAUACGAUAGUUUCAUUUUUGAGAAGUUUUCAAACAAUUUUAAGUACUUAAAAUUUUCUGUAAGGUUGCUAUUGAGUCUUAAAUCGACUGGUAUAGAUAUUAUUGUUAAUAUGAGAAAAUUUGUGUUCGAAUGUGCUAAAAUGAAAGUUCAAGUAAUAAGUCUCUAUAUUAUGUAUUGUUAGAGGAUUUAGUUUUGGUUAAAUUCUGUUAUUAGUCUUUGUACUUUAUGAAAGUUAUGAAUUUAGUCAUUGUAUUUUAAUUUGAUUAAGUUUAGUCACUCUACUUUUUGAAUUAGUCAAAUUUAGUCCCUAUACUUUUCAAAAUUUGAAAUUUUAAUCAUGACCCAAACAAUAGCAAUUAAAUCUGUUUGGUUAAAUUCAAUUACUAGUCUUGUAAUAUGCGUUCAAUUGUAGAUUUAGCCCAUAUUCUCCAAUUGGAUCAUUCUAAGUCUCUAUAUUUCUCGAAUUUUGAAAGUUUAGUGUUGAUACAAAUGACAAUCGUUAAUUCAUUAACAUGAUUUUAGUGACUAAUAUGUGGAAUAAUAAGCUGACAUGACAUUACACAUAUGAUAAUAUAUUUACCACAUCAGGUUUUGUAAAUAACAAAACAUAACUUAAUGAAUUUAAUAUGUAUUGUUUGGUGAAGACUAAAAUUUUAAAAUUUAAAAAGUAUAGAGACUAAAUUGACAAAAAAUAUAGCUAUUAAACCCAUAAGUUUUUUUGUAAAAUAUAAGGACUAAUAGAAAAAUUUAUCCUUUAGUUUUUUACUAUAACUUGACCAUGUCUAAUUUCUUUAUUUUUUGCGGAUUGAGGCAUGGCCAUGGUUGCCAAUGUAGGAGGACGUGGGUUCGAGUGCGCUAAAACGCAUUAUCCCCUAUUUAUAGGAUGGGGAGGGGCUAUAGGUAGUUCUAGGUAUUAUGCAAAAAAAAAAAAAACACCCCAAAUACGAUCAGAACUUAUAAUGAGAUAUUGUUCAAAAAAAAAUUCUUUAUUUUUCAAGAUAUGUAUUUUUACUAUUGAGAUAUCUUUUUUAUUGACUUAUUUUUCUAAAACAUAUAAUAAGUUGACAUAUACAAUAAAGCUUUUUCUUGUAUAUUUUAAAAAUUAUUUUGUGCCGAUUGAGUUUUAGUUCGGUUGACAUUAAUAUUGUUGUUAUUGUAGGAAGAUAUAGAUUCGAUCAUUCGAAUGCACUCAAAUUCGUUUUUUCCUUUUUAUUUAUGGGGUGAAAGUCACAUCACCUCAUGUUUUAAAAAAUAAAACAUAAAAUUAAUAAAAAAAUUUAAUCUCAAAAUUAAAAAUAAACAUUUUAAAAAGUAAAACAAGUAGAAAUAUCCAAUAACGUAAUUGACAAAAUUAUAAAAAAAAAUCUUAAGAUUUAUAAAUAUCACUACGAGUCAUUUGUAAGGCUUAUAGUAUGCCUUAAUCGAGAAUAGAGGGAAUCUUUUCUCAUUUAGGGUCUUUUUAGAUGGAUGGUGCGUUUAUUUACGGUUAGUGUAAAAAUAAUAGUGGUGAUGAGAUUAAACACUAUAGCAUAAGACAAAAUAAAAAACUAAACGUACCGCACUGAAAAUCAACGUCCAUCUAAAGUAACCCUUGAAACUAAAUCUAAUUCUAACGAAGUUAUAGCAUUAUUUGGUUUUGCUGGAUAUAGUCUCUCUAUUAUAAUUUAAUUAUUUUUUAUUUUUUUAAAAUGUAUAUCUUUAAUAUUAACGUUAAUUUUGUUAAAUAAUUUAACAUGAUUAUUUUUUAAAAUAUAUGAUGAUGUAAUAUAUACUGUUUAGCAUUUUUUUGCACAAUUGAUUUUUUUUUUUGCGUUUUUCAAAAACAAAAAAGAGAGAAAAAUUAAUGUGUAUAUGCAACAUCACCACAUUCUUUUAAAAUACCAUAUAAUUGUUUGACAAAAUUAUUGAAAAAAAUUGGUUUUAAGACUCAAAUUACACAUUUUGAACUAGCAAUUACAAUUUACAAAAUUAUACUAGAAAUUGGGGGAAGCGAGAAAUUUUUUUAGCGGUCCUGCCGGAUUAUGUUAUAUAUUUUUAUCACAUCUAAAAUAUAAUGAUACUAUUGUAUUUUUGGGAUGUAUUAGAGACUAUGGUUUGGAAGUUUAAAUAUGGAUAUAAUUAAGAAAUUAAUUUCUUAAUCUUUCUUUAAAAUAUAAGUGUUUCGUUAUUUCUUCAUUAAACGAGUGAUACACUUUAUUUAAAUCCUCUCUUGUCAAGAUGUUUAAUGGGUAUAACUUUCGAUCUUUUGGGCAAAUUGAGCAUUGCAAAAUUCUCUCCGUAACUUUUUUUUUUACACAACAGGUACCGUAGCUCUUAUCUUUCUCAUGAUCCCCUUAUUAUGUCUAUCACCAUCGCCUACCACAACACUUGUUUUCUAAGGUCUGCUCCAAUCUUUCUAUCCAUUAUCUCUCCACGACUUCUCAUUUUGCUAGGUUGUAACGUUACUUUAUCUUACCAAAAGAACCUUUUAUAAGGCAAAACUAUAAUUUACCUUAUAUUGACUUGUAAAUUUAUAGAUUUUGGGGUCUAAAAUAUAAUUUUCUAAUUUAACUUAGAAAAGCUAAAUUUACAAAAAAAAUAAAAUUACAAAGCCUUCUUUUAUAGAAUUUAACAGAAGAAAAGAAAAAAAGUCACAUCACUUUUCUAAAUAUUUGGACUGAAUUUGAAUGUUGAAGUCACCAUUAUUAGGAAGGUUUUAUUUAAAUACCAAUUCAGUCCAACCAUAACUAUACUCAAAUCAUAAAAUGAAUGAACAUACUCGUGAUUAUAUAAAAAAGACAUGAUCCACACUAAUCUUCCUCAAACAAUGAAAAAUAAUAAACAAAAACAAUGCCCAUUAGUUCACACUUUAGAUUCUAAGUGAAAUAUGAAGGGUGUAAAUGAGAUAUCAAUAUUCACAAACCACUUAAAUUCAGUUUGAAAAAAACUUGAAUUCAACUCGAUUAUUAUUUAGUUGAGCUCAAGCUUGAGAAAUUCAUGUUAUAAGAGCAAAUAGAAAUUAAGUUAUUGUCAUGAUUUGUAUAGAGUAGUGAUUAAAGCUCUUAUUACACAUUUAUUUUUAACAUAGGUUCAAAUUGUGUUACCCCAUUCUACCUAAAAUUGUAUAAAAAAUAGCUUGGAAAUCUAAUUUUUUCUAAUGUAUAUUUUAAAUUAAUAUUAUAAGAAUUAAUCUUCAACCCGAAUUAAGGUAUAAACAAUUGAGGUUGACGUUGAAAAUGAGGAAAAAUUUCUCAUUAUUCACAGCAAAAAUGGACCUAAUUUAAUUUCUUUUAGUAUCCGACACUUAAACUUAGUAUCCUAAUAACAUAACUUGCAAUUUUUAUCAAAGACUUUUGUAUUUGAAGAACAUGGCUUCCUUUCCCUAAAAUUAUGGGGUAAUCUAUUAUAAAUAAUUGAACACCCUCUCCACUUUCCCUUAGCCUAUACACUUUUGUGCAAAAAUUCCCUUCCAUUUGAAAAACAAUGGCUUCUGACACUCUCAACCUCACUGCCAUCCUCUCCCUUACUAUUUCAGUCCUCUUAUCUUUGCAUAGUAUAUUUAUAUAAAUAUUUUUUUGAGAAAAGAAUGGUUAAUUUGAUGAAUUUGGGGCUAAGGGAUAAAAUUGUAAAAAUUGUAAAAGUUUGAGGUAAUUAUGUAAUUUUGGAAAAUAAAAGGGUAUUAAUUGUAAAAUGAAUUAGGAUUGAAAUAUAUGCUCAUAAAUAAAUAAUUUUACAUUUUAGAUCAAGAUUUCGUAGAUACUCGUGGAAAAGAAAAAAUUAUGGAAUAGCCCCUGCACUUUUGCAACUUCUACAAUUUGGUCAAGGUAAGUUCGUACGGUUAAAUGUAACAUUUUUAUAAAUUUUUAAUGUAUAUUAUGUAUAUUAUGUGGUUGGAAAUGAAUUAUUGUUGGAUUUAUACUAUUGAUUUAAAAACUUGAUUUGAAUUGAACGCGAGAUUUGAGUACAUUUGUGUUUUGGUGUUUGACUCGGAGAUGAUAUCGGAAGGAGAUUUCGGUAUUUUACCCAAGUAAAUCGGUUGGAUAAGCUCUUACGAGCUUCUGUUAAGCUCUUACGAGCUUCUACUGGAAUACUCGGGAGGAUAAACUUUUAUGAACUUCUAUUGAUGAUGUACUCUUACCCAUAAGUUGUUCUUCAAAUGGAAAAUCUCGGUAUGGUAAUUUAGUUAUGAAUUUGAAAGAUAUGUUGUUUAUUUCAUAUUAAUCUGAAUAUAGAUGGAUUUAUUGAUUGAAGUUGUGAACGACAGGUAGUUCUUUUGGAUGGUUAUUAUUGUUUGAAUUAUUAUAGUUAAUUCGAUAAGAUUUAUCGUUUAACUCAUCGAACUUACUAAGCUUCAUUAAGCUUAUUUGUGUUGUUUAAUGUCAUUGUAGAUAAUCGGCUGGUUGGACAAUCAGAUCAGCACUCAAGUCACACUAUCCAGCUUAAUUCAGUAGCUUUUGAAACAUUUAUAUCAGAUUAUAUUACAUGUAAUAGGUUGUGAUGUUACUAAUGUUUUGGAUAUGUAAAUAGUUAAGUAUGAGAUUGGUUGUACAAAUUGCUUUGGUUGAUCUUCUUUCAGUAUUUUUGAUCCUUAUUUAUAUGUGUAUAUGGUCAUUUGACACUUGUUGGAAUGGUUAAAAAAGUAUGUGAUGAAUUGGUUGUUAAGUAGCCAAGUUAUGACAUGCUUGAGUUGGUGUUGAUAGCUGAUGUCUUGAAUGAAUUAAUAGGUUGAAUUAAUGCUAUGUUUUAAUAUAAAUUAUACAUAUAUUUGUGGUACCAAUGAGGGUACAUUGGUUAAGCAUUGAAUUAUGUUGAUUUUGGUAUGUUUUCGGCUUGAAUAAAGUCAAAUUGAAUGGGUAUUUUGAUAGGUAAAUGGUUUGCUUAGGUUCCAAGUAGGCUUGAAAUGGUAAACUUGUUGAAAAAGGUACAUUUUAGGCUUACACGGCCAUACAACACGGCUGUGUGUGACACACGACCAUGCAACUUGGCCGUGUGUCUGUUGUAGCUUCUAAAGGGUUGCAAGUCAAUAUGUUUACACGGCUUAGCAUACGGGAGUGUGGCUUGGCCAUGUGACCCAAGUCAGUAUACUCACAUGGCUUGGCACAUAGGUGUGUGGUUUGGCCAUGUGACCUAAGUCAGUAUACUCACACGGGUUGGGACACGACCUUGUGUCCUUAUUUCGAAUGCCCACACGAGCUAAGACACGGGCGUGUCUCUUGGUCGUGUGACCCUUACAGUUCAAAAUUUUUAAAUUUUUUCUUAAAUUUCCAAAUGUUUUCGAUUUAGUUCGGAACUAUUUUCAAUGUAUUUUUAGGACCUUGAAGGCUCGAUUAAGGGACAUUAUAAAUGUAUUUGAAUAUAAUUGGAUUAUGUUUGCAUUUAUGUAUGAAUUAAAUAAUUUAUUAUUUUGUUAGUCUGGUAAUACUCUGUAACUCUGUUUCGGCGACAGAUAUAGGUUAAAGGUGUUAUGAUGUGUGACAAUAAAAAAGAGAAGAAACACAAGACCAACACCAAUGAUUUUUUAAUAGUUUGUACAAACAUAUUUUUAGAGAGACAUACCUAGAGAUAAAUUUCUACUAAAACACAAUACAAUAAAUGAAACCCAACCAAUCACACAAUUGCACUUCUAAUGUGAAUUCACUCCCUUACUCAGCUUUUCCUACUGAGAAUUGUAAAAACUCAGUCCCAUAUAAUAAAAGGUUUGCACAAAUAAAAUGUUCAUAACAAUGAACUAUAUUAAGCUCACUCAACCUAUACAAAACACUAAAGAAUAAAGUUUUCUAUUUAUAAGUAGUGUGUAGCUUCAAUAAGUUGAUCACUUUAAUUUCCUUAAAAUAUGGAUGAUAAGCUAUAAAAGUAACAUAUUUUAAUCUUAUUCUUAAUGCAUUUUUGGAUGAUUAAUUAUGCAAAUUAGUUAAUUUAAUGCCCUAAUCAUUUAAAAUUUAUGUUUUUAUACUUAGAAGAGCAUUUGGGAGUGAAAGGAGCGAAAAAUAAGCCAAAAGCAGACAAAUAGAGUUGUUUUCAUGAGUCACAUGGCCUGGGCCUUUCCACACCAGCUGGACACACCUAUGUGCCAGCCCAUGCCAGCCCGUGUUGAUUUCGCACCCUGCUUCCCAAAUACAUGGAAAAACACAAUUUUUAAGCUUUCUGAGCAUUCUAAAGCCUAUAAAUAGCAAUUAGAAGAAGAGAGAAGGGAGCCAUCAAAGAUGAUCGAAGAAAACACUCAAAGAAUACCAUCAAAGCCAACUCAAAAGUGAAUCUCCAUCAAGAUUGAAGAUCUCUUUUUAAUUUCUUUCAAAAUUUUUAUGAGUUUCUUUAUAUCUUGUGGUUAUUCUGACUUUAAGAUAUUUUCAUUUAGGAUUAUGAACUAAUUUAUUAGAUACCUAGGGAAGAUGAAACCUAUGAUGAAUCUUAUUAUUUGAUUUUUAAUUUACGCGAUAAAUACUUGAUUCUUAUUCUCAAUUAUGUAUACUUAUUUCUUGUUUUAGUAUUUCUGGGAUAUUAAUUCAUGUUUAAUGUGCUUAAUUUAUUGGAGCAAAAGUCAUUGUUUAAGAGUAAAUCCAGCAUAAUUGAGUGGAGUUGCAUGCAAUCUUAGAAAUAGCAUAUUAUUUGGAAAGCUUAUAUGGUAAAUUUUGUAACACCUAAGUGUGAGAUGUUAGUCUGCCUUUGUGGUGAGAUCUGGAUAUGUCUUUGAGGCAUUUUCUAAAAGAGUUCUCGAUAGUUUACCUAAUGGGCGAUCUCCCCAUAGUAACCCGCUAGGAUAGAGAGCUUGGCAUAUCUGUGAUUAUAGGUGGUGUAAGUGCUUACCAAACUUGGAAGUUCUUACAUAAUGUAUGAGGUCAUCUGGGAUUCUAUUGGAUGAUCUAAAACAUUACAUUUAUCGAAAUUAGUUUGUUGUCUGGAUCGACUUAAAGAUACGAUGUGACUGGAAUUCUAUUAGCUGCUAGAGCCAAUAUAAGAAUCCACCAAGAGUAGUAAUCACAUGUAUAUCAUUCUGAGAAAUAUAUCCAACUUCUAUCUUCAAAUGGGGUUGUGAAAUAGGAUACGCAUUACGGUGUGUAGUUUGUGAUCAACUCAUUAGGCAAAAUGUGUAUAAGGUGGUUGAGGGGAGAGAUGGAUGUAUAGUUAUCCACCAAAAAUCAGAAAAGUAUCCAUCAAAGUCUGAAAGGAAGUCCAGAAUCUUCAAGUAGAGGAAUUCAACAACAAUGUUAAAGGUAAUAUUAGUUGAGACUCACUAAGUUCUGAUGAACUUACAGGCGUCUAUUUGUAAUGGAUGUUCUUGGAAUUGGGCCAACACACUGAAAGGGACCAAGUCAAGAUUCAGACAAUAUGAUCAUUUGUAGAGCAAUAUUAUGCAUACAGAGGGGCACUCUUAGGAAUAUGAUGAACAAUAUAUUACGCCACAAUUAAGUUUGUUUUACAAAAAGAAAUUAAGUUGUAAUGUCUUAUAUUGCUUUUGAGAAUAUGUUGUAAUUGAUAAAAUUUUUCUUCAAAAUCCUUUGACUUAGAAAAGAAAAUAAAUAAAUAAGAAGUAUAUGCUCAAUAUGGUUUUUGCUUGUAAAAUUUUGUUAAGUAUUUAAGUAUAGUGACAUUCUAUAUCCGGGUUCGGUGAAUCGGAUCGGGUACAGGGUGUUACAACUUCAACACAAGAUUAUAAUUAAACUAAUAUAAAUCUAAUAAUUAACUAAGAAGAGAUAAAACAAUCAUUAAGAAAAUAAAAUAAGUAAAUAAGUAAAAACAAAUAAAAUAAAAUAACUAAUUUAAUAAUUGAACUUGUAGAAAAGCCCUAGUGAUAACUAAAUGCAAUAGUUUACUUAAAAACUCACAUAAAUCUAAGUUAAAUGUAUACAAUUACAUCUAUAUGAUGAGUACUCAUCAAUAAAAGAUUUGAAUGAUUGAGAACUAAGCCUUGUUGCCAAGGAUUGAACCGUUUGUAUUUAAGGCGAAAUUGUUUGUUACUAGGUGCACAUAGUUUAUAUGAAAUUACCUUCCAAGACUUCAAUAAUAUCAAAGAAUUGCACACCUCUUUAGAUGUUUUUAAAAUCAUAGAAUUUGGCUCAAAUUUCUCUUCACUAUAAUAGAGCAUUAAGGUUAAUGUACACACAAAUUUCAGGUCGAAAUAAGACCUAAAAAAUUGAGAGCAACCUUUUUGAGAAUUAUUUAGAAUUUCUUCUUCCUUUAUUUAUUUACAGAUUUCUUGGGAUUUUGUAGAUAGCUUCUAGUCAUUAAAAUCUUCUCUUCAGUCAACUUAUGCACUUCGUAAAGUUGUGCUUAAUAAUUUAUUUGAAAAAUUCUUCCUAUACAAAUGCUGUCUCAAGAUUUAAUCAUAUUUAUAAUAUUUUUAAAUGUGAAAUUUCGAUUUGCUUUUGAAUCACAGUUUCAUGUGCACAUUGAACUUGAUUAUAUUGAAAGUUUUUGACGUCACCUUUGUUCAAUAUGAAUUGCCAUGAUGACAGGAACAUUGUAUUGAAAAACCCCCAACUAAUUUAGCAAGCUCAUGGUUUUGUACUUCAACUUGAAUUAAGCCCAUCCCACUCAAUUUGACUUUCUUUGGAUAUUAGCUUUAUUUGUUAAUUAAUUAAGAAUUAAGCUUCAUUCACUUAAAGUCUGAGUAGGAGUUAUAGCCCCAUGAGAUUUGUCAACCCAACCAUUAUACAAAUUUAGCAUACUUGGGUCAUUGAAAUGCACCAAUUCAAAGCAGCGUACUUCUAGAUAAAAUAUAUUCUUAGGGCAAGAAUUUAUUAAUGGUCCCUAGCCAUACACCCAGUAUCCAUGCAUUAUAAAUUGCUAUCUUCCAAAUGUUACCAUGGCCUCACAUGCAAUCUUUGACACUUUGACAUGCAUUAUUUUGCAUGCGUUUCAUGCGAUUUCGCUUUUUGUUUAACAUCCAAAUAACUUAUGCAUCAAAAAGUUAGAUAUAAUUAAGAUAUUCGAUAUUUCAAAAUUAGAACAUCAAGAUAUUUCAUAUAUCUGUUGUGGAACAUCAAAAGUUAAGCAUCAAGACAUCCCAUAUGUUGGUUUGGAGCAUCGAGAUAUCUCUUUGUAUAGAAGCUCCAUAUAUAUACUAUUUGUUUAUGGUUGAUUUAGUUUUUCUAUUAUAAUUUGAUUGCUUUUAAGCUUUAUUUUUCGAAAUGUGUAUAUUCAAUAUUUUGACCAAUAUUUUCUUUAGCUCCAGAGGAGAAUGUAGGAGGGAUGGUAGGGGCCCGGCCCCCUUAAAAUAAAAAAUUAUUAUUUUAGCUCUUUAAAAAAUUUUAAAAUUUCAAAAUAAUAAAUGUAAACUUACAUUUUGACCUUCCCUAAAAUUAUUAAAAUUUAAUUUAAUCUUUUAAAAGUUAUAAAGAUAAUAGGCUAUUAAAAAAUAAAAUUUCUUUUCGAUCCCAAAUUUUUUUUUGGCUUCCUCAUGUUUAGUUCCAUUAAAAAAUUUAAUGUGACUUACCUUUUAAACCGCAUGAUGAUAUAACAUAUAUACCUUAUAUUUUUGUGCACAUUGGGACACUACAAAAUAGGGUGAAUUUGUAUAUAUGCCUCACUACAAGCAAGGGUGAAUUUGUAAAUUUUCAUUUAAACCUUUUGAGGUUUCUUAAAAUUUUAUUUUAGGGAAAAUUACAAGAAUAGUCACCCAACUAUUCAGUUCAUUCUAUUUUCAUCAUCUCACUAUUAAAUUUUUCGUUUUAGUUACUUAAUUUUUCAAAAUUAGAUAUUUUAGCUACUCUUUCGUUAUUUUAUUUUAGCUACUCUUUUGUUAGCCCUACAGUGUUUACAAGAUUUGCCAUUUUAAUCCUAAUUAUAAAAAUUUUUUAAAAAGUAAAAAAGUAGUAGAUAUAAAUUUUAAAUAUUUCAAAAACAAAAUAUAACAAUAUUUUAAAGAAAUUUGUACCCAAAACGAAUUUCAACAGUAUUUUCCACUUUGUUCUUUCUUUCAUUCAAUUGACAAAGUUGAAAAUAUCAAGUGUCAUGUCCUUAAAUGCUAUUUUUGUACCAAAGAGCAAGGUUGUCGAAGUUGGUGUCAUUAAUCCAAUCAUUUUUUUGGGUCUAUAAAUAUGUUAAUUUUGAGCUUCUUUCUAGGUUUUGAUUAGGCAUUUGAGCAAACAAUAUGACAAAAGAAAAAGGGACUAAAUUAAAAGAUAUUGAAUCAAAAAAAUAUCUUUAAUUUAUGGGUUUUUCAUGUGCUUGAUUAAUGAGAAAAUGAGCAUGGUUGAUGAGAAAAAAGAAAAUAUAAAUUUUAAAAAAGUAAAUAUAAAAAUAUUUUUGAGAUUGUUUAAAUAUAUUUUAUAAUUUUUAGAAGUGGGACUAAAAUGAAUUUUUUUAAACAUUCAGGGCUAGACUUGUUGAAAAUUUUAGAUUUAGGAUCAAAUUUGAAAUAAUUUGUAAAUAUUGGAGGGCUAAAUUUGUUAUUAGGCUAAUAAGAAAACCCACAUUAGACUUUCAUUAAACGACAAGAGUGACUAAAAUAUUUAAUUUAGAAAAGUUGAGUGACUAAAUAAAAAAUAAUAAUAGUUGGGUGACCAAAAUAGAACAAACUAAAUAGUUAGUAGACUAUUUUUGUACUUUACCCAUUAUUUUAACCUUAUAAUUAAUUUCUAAAAAUAUGAUAAUUUGUGUCUAGCUUCCCAUUAUAAGAAUUCAACCCCAACCCGAGUAUAAACAAGUACUAUUUUUAUUAAAGACUUUUGUAAUUGAAGAACAUGGCUUCCUUUCCCUAAAUUUUUGGGGUAAUCUAGUAUAAAUAUGCAGCUAAAAUUAAACACCCUCUCCACCUUUCCUUGGCUUAUACUCUUUUGUGCAAAUAUUCCCUUCCAUUUGAUAAACAAUGGCUUCUAACACUCUCAACCUCAUUGCCAUCCUCUCUCUUACUAUCUCCAUCCUCUUAUCUUUGUAUCCUCAACCAGCCUUCUCAUUCCAAAUGGAAGAUUUCGACGGCGAGGAAGAAUAUGUGCUCGAUCAUCCUGUCAUUAUCCCUAACCUUCGAUCGAGAAGCCGGUUCUUAAAGACCUCGCCGACAAAAGAUAAGAUCAGGAAAGGUGCCGAUUGUGAUCCUCACCCUUCUCUAAACAUAUGCAAGGGUAUUUCCGCAAACAACGGGACCAGUCUACUGUAUUGCUGUAAGACGCAUUGUCGUAACGUGCUUAGUGAUCGAAACAACUGCGGAAAAUGUGGCAACCGGUGCAAGUUCGGGCAACGUUGCUGCGGUGGAGUUUGUACUAAUGUUGCUAACAGCGUCAACCACUGUGGCAAGUGUGGCAAUCAGUGCUCGUCUGGAGUUCAGUGUGAUAAUGGAUUUUGUGGUUAUGCUUAGGUCUAAGUAUGAUAAUGGUUUUUAUCAAAAUAAAUUUGCCAAUCAAAAAUGCUUUGUCUAGGGGCCGUUUUGAUUAUGAAUAACACUUCGUUAUCUACAUGUAUUUUUUGUAUAAUGGGGGGAGAAUAUACACAUAUUUUAUGGUGCUGUAAUUGAUUUUAGUCAUGGUUUUUAUAUAUGUUAUACGAUAUUUUCUUUUAAAUUUAAAGUAGACAUAUCCUCUAUUUAUUUGUUAAUUUUAUUGUUGUGAUAAUUUAAAAUUAUAAAAAAUACUCACUUAACAUAAAUGACAUUAUAAUGGACAUAAAUUUAAUAAAAAAUUAAUUAGCAAUUCUUAAAAUUCACAUCAACGUCUUAAUCGAAAUAAAGUAUUUAGAUUACCUAAUGGCAUUAUAAGAGGUUUUUUCUUUGGACUAAAUUAUAGAGUAAAUAACUGAAUAUUAAAAUAUACUUUAAGUCUCUAAAUUUUUUGCAUAUUUAAAAUUCUUCUUCCAAAUGUUACCAUGGUCUCAUAUGCAUACUUGAUUAAACCAUUAAAAUCAAUUUUCUUUAUUUUAAAUUUUUAAUGAAUUUUUAAUAAUUUUUAAAUAUAUAUAAAGAAAAUAAUACUUUUUAUCUUUUUUUUUUAUUGUAUGACUAUUUUUAAUGGAUUAUCCUUUUUUUUAAAUAAACUUAACGAUUUGACUAACUAUUGAAUUAACAAAAGUAUCAGCAUGGAAAAAAAAUUUAAAUACUACUAUGAUUAGAAAAAUGUUUAGGCACCAAAAUUAGAAAAUUUAGGUACUAAUAUACUAGUUAAGACUCGUUUUAGAAAUAGACUUAUCAAUUUAGCUAAUGGUUUGACUAACGAAAAUAUCGAUUUGAAAAAAGAAUUUUAUUUAGAUAUCAAAAUGUAAAAAAGUGUAUAAUUUAAGUACCAAUUUAAGGUUAAACUUUGUUUUCAAUGCAAGUUCAAAUUUGGUGCAUUAUGAAAUUCGAAACUUAUCAACUUUUCCCCUCAUUGAGCGUCUUUUAUUAAGGUAGCCUAAUGCUUUAUUUGUUUGCAUGAGUGACUUGUUACAAUGUUUCAGACGAAUUCCCUACCUCGCGAGCCUCCGUUUAUUGCGUAACUCCAUAGCACAUGCAUCUUGUUUCAGUAUCGGAAAUUUCUCAUAUAUCAGAAGUGGAAUUUUAACAUAUGUCAUAUUUUACAUUUGGAUCACCGAGAUAACUUAUUUGUUUGUUGUGGAGAAUCAAAAAGAAGCAUCAAGACAUUUCAUAUAUAAGUUUGGAGCAUCAUAUCUAUUUAGGGGUGAGUAGAACUCGAUUUGAAUUGACAAGUUAAUUUCUCGUUCAAAUUUCGAGUUAAUUGAAUUUAGUUUUCAAUUUCCCUAAUCAACUCAAAUAAGUAAAUUGGGUUUUUGAGUUCAAGUUGAGUUGAAAUUUAUAAUUUGAUUAACUCAAAUAAUUAGUAUAAAAAAUUGUCGUAAUUGCCCAACAGGUUGUUGUCAAUUUCGUAUAACUGAAUUACUUUGGUUUUCUCUUCUUCUUCUUCUUCUUUUUUUUAAAAGAUUUUUCAAGUAUUACGGUCUCAAAUUUAUUUGCUAUAACAUGGAAUUUGGUCAUUUUGUCAAUAAGUUCUUAAUUUGGCCUUUUAAAAAGAACUUAAACAUAUUUGUCAAUUUGACUCGACUCGACUUAAAUUUCAUUUCAACUGACUUGAUUCGAAAAAAUUCAAAUAAGCUAGGAUGAUAAAUUAGAGAGAGAGAGAGAGAGAGAGAGAGAGAGAGAGAGAGAGAGAGAGAGAGAGAGAGAGAGAGAGAGAGAGAGAGAGAGAGAGGGAGAGAGAGAUGCAUGGGUGUUUGGAUCUAGUGCCCUUAGUGUAGUAGUUUCAUCUAUAUGUAUUUUUCGAACAAAUUGAUUUAAUAGAAUAUUCAUCAAUUUCAUUAAUAUACUCAAUAUAUAGUCCUCAAAGAUUUUUGUACGUAAAGAAAAAUUAAAAUAAAUACUGACUCAUUGAUUACCUAAUAUUUAAUUGAUACUAAGCAAUAUUACGUGGUCGGAUCAUAAUACAAAAAUAAACAUUAUUUUUAUUCUACUAGUUCAGCUAGGAUUUUUCCAUCUCUCUUUAUAAAUAAAUGGCACUGGUAGGGCUUUAAUCACACCAACACAACAAAAAAAAAAAAAAACAAGUUUAACAUAAGUUUUCAAUAUUGUUAUUCUGGCAUAGAGUAGAGGUAAUUUGUUAUUUAUCUGUCGUAAGUUGAUAUGUCAAAUUAGGCUCCUCAUUACACUUAACAAGCUUGCUUUCGAGCAAUUUAAAUGUCUUUAUCGUAUUUUUAGUUAGUUUUAGUUCUUUGCACCAAUAAGUAAAUUAGUUUGCAUUUUAUGCUAUUUUGAGAACCAAGAUGGCCAAUUGGCAUCUAGGGCAUCUAACAAGGUUGGUGAGUGAUGCAGAGAGUCCACGGUGACCCGAACAGAGCGAGGAAAUCACCGAGAAGGGGGUAUCAUGUAACACCCCUAACCCGUAUCUGUCGCCGAAUUAGGAUUAUGAGGCAUUACUGGACAAAACACAACUCAAUACAGACGUUCAAUAAAAUUCAAAAAUUUAACAUUUAUAUGCAAUUCGUUUGAAUACAAGUUUAAAUAAACUAUUUCCAAAUCAAAAUAUAAGCAUUGUAUAUAUAUAUAAAUUGAAAUAUAUUAAGCUUAGUCAAAUUUUAAGUAAGUAUAAUUAUAAAUUCUACUUUAACCUUUUUAAAACAAAACAUAACAUUUCAAUCCUGUUAAACCAUAAGAAAAUAAGCCAUUUUCGUAUGACUAUUAAUUAUAUAUACAGUACAUAAAAGUACGACUUCCAAAACAUUAUCUAGCCUAUACAUGCCAAAAGUUAAAAUUUAAACAUUUCAAUACCGAUACAAUAGAUAGAGUGAUGAUCUUUGUUGAUGAUCCCCGAGCCUGCAGCUUUGUUUUUAUUUAUAAAACAAAUGGACGUAAACUAACAAAGUAAGCUUUUAUCGCUUACUAAGUAUUUAGCAUAUCUAUAAUACAUAUAAAAGAAUCAUAUAAUUCCUUAAGUAAAUUUAUUGAGAUCACAAAUACCAAAUAUAAUUACUAUUCAAACAUUGCUAUCUUAAGUCAUUUUGUUGAUAUCUAAAAGAAUGUAUAUUUAAUUAAUACAUAUAAACGAACAUAUGUAUAUUCAUUAUAUGCAUAUAACCAAGUUAUAAACAUACUCACUAACUGCAUAUACUAAUUGCUAGUGUACUUGUUGAUUGCACUUCAUCAAAUGCAUUUAUAUAUAUAAUUAUUCAAAUACAUAUGCCAAAAGCAUAUAUUUAUACUUAUCAAUUACAUGUGCCGAAUGCACAUAUAUACUUAUAAUCCACAUAUGCCGAAUGCAUACAUAUAUAUAUAUCCAACAAUUUCAUAACAACCAAUAUACGUACUUACUCAUUAAACACAAAGAUCCGAACGUUUAUAUACUCACCAAAUACACAGAAACAAAUGUUCAUAUAUUUAUCCAUCACAUAUAACCAAAAUCAUAUAUAUACCCAAUGUAUAUAAUCACUUAAUUUAAACAGAUUCACUGGCACUUAGCCUGUUAGGCUUAAAGCCUGAUUCAGAUCACUGGCACUUAGCCUGCUAGGCUUAUAACCUAAUUCAGAUCACCGACACUUAGCCUGUUAGGUUUUAAAACCUGAUUCAGUACACCGGCUUUUUGCCUACUAGACUUAUAGUUCGAAAUGUUUCACCGGCAUCAAGCCUGCUAGACAUAAAGUCUGAAUUAUCUCACUGGCGAUAAACCUUCUAGACACUGAGCCUGAAAUCUCAUUUCACAUAAGUCGUAACUCAUAUUCAAACUAUAUAUGUAUAUAAAAUCCAUACAUAAAAAUUCAACCCAAAUUUUGUAACUUAUAUUCUUGAACCACAUGGAUAUAUAUAAAGUUCAAUCACCAAACCCAACAUUAAUAUCUCAAUGAUUCAACCGAACACAUUUAUAUAUGACUUCAUACUUUAGAUACUACUACUAAUAUCAUACUAUUUAACUUAUUACUAUGUACAUUUAACAUUCGAAUCUCACAUAUACCUAUAUAAAUUCAUACCCCAUUUCAAUACAAAAACUUAUACAUGUACAUAUAUACAUUCGAAUCUAACAUAUAUACAUAUAUAAUUUUAUACUUACAUUCGAAACAAGUACUUAUACUUGUAUACACAUGCAUUUUUGAAUUUAACAUAUACAUAUAUAAUGUCAUACUUAUACUUAAUAUAAGCAAUUAUACAUAUAUAUACAUGCUAAUUCAAUCCAAACAUAUACAAAUAUAUUAUACAUAUAUAUAUAUAUGUAACAUCCAUACUUUUAAUAAAAUCCAAGAAUUUAUACUCGUAUAUACAUACCUAUUCAAACCUCUUGUAAACAUAUAUAACAUUCAACAUUAACUAAAUUCAAAACUUAUUCAUGUAUAUACACAUAUAUCCGAACUUCAUAUAUAUAAAUAUAACAUACAUACUUUUAACUAAAUUCAAGAACUUAUUCAUGUAUAUACAUAUAUAUUCGAACUUUAUAUAUAUAAAUAUAACAUACAUGCUUUUAAAUAAAUUCAAGAAUUUAUUCAUGUAUACACAUAUAUAUCCGAACUUUAUAUAUAUAAAUAUAACAUACAUACUUUUAACUAAGUUCAAGAACUUAUACAUGUAUAUACAUAUAUUAUCCACUAGUAGUUCUAUAUUAUUUAACUUUAAACAAACUUUAGCUAACAUACAUGUAAUUUGCAUCAUUAAUAUCAACUUACCAAAGUAAAUUCUCGUAUUCGGCUAUCAAUAAUAAAAUUUAAAGUUUCGUACAAUUUGAAUAUAUUAAGUUUCAGCUUAUCAUAUGUAAAAUAAAUAUAAUAAGUAUAUAUUUAAUUUAGAUAACAUUUAAUUGUUAAUUGACUUACCUCGGAUAUCGACGGACACGUUCGACUAUUCGACUACUUUCGUUUUUCCCCAAUCAAAUUCCAUUUUCUUCGUUUCUUGAUCUAAACAUAUUCAAAUUUAUCCUUUUUAUUCAUCAAAUCAUUCAAUUAAAUCCAAAAAUACAUAAAUGGGAAAAUUACCAUUUUGCCCCUAACAUUUUACACUUUUUGCAAUUUAGAGCUUUUUGCACAAAACACAAAAUACACAAAAUUUAAUCACACCAUACUAGGGCCGAAUGUUCCAAGUGUUCAUAAAAGUCCACACUUUUUAUUUAUUUCACAUUUUAGUCCCUAAAAAAAUUAUUUUCACAAUUUAGCCCUAAUUACUCAAUUUCACCAAAAUUUCAAAGACAAAACAUAUUAAUCUUUCACAUAUUUUUCAUUUUUCAUCAUCAACUAUCAUAAAGCUCAAGCAUUCAUCAAUGGCACAUUUCAAAAUCAUCAACAAUUCACAAAAUUAAGACAUGGUUUUUGAAGUAUUCAAAGCAACGAUUUCAAAAAAGUAAAAAUCAUCAAAAACCAAACAAAAACUAACCUUGAAUUAAGCUUCAAAAGAUGGCUGAACCUAGCUUAGGUUUCUUUUUUUUUUUUGUUUUCUCUAGUUUCGGUCAAAAUAAGAUGAAAAUGUGGCUUUUAAUUUGUUUGUCUUUUAAUAUAUUAACUUUAUAAUAUAAUAUAUUAUUAUAACCUUCAUACAUAAUAUAAAAACUAUAAUUUAUAAGCAUAAUGCCGUCCACUAUCUUGAUUAAUGGCCUAAUUUCCUAUUAAGGACUUCACAUUAUAAAGACAUUAGCAAGUUAGCAUUUUACACAUUAAUUAGUCAAUUUCACUUUUUACGCGAUUAACUCCUUUUAUUAAAUUAAGUACACAAACAAUAAAAUUAAUUCACGAAACUUUCACACAUGCAAAUUAACACAUAAUAAACACAGAAAAUAGUAUUAAAAUAUUUUUUGAUUCAAAUUCGUGGUCCUGAAACCACUAUGUUCGAUUAGGGUUGAAAUCGGGCUAUAGCAUAUCGCGAUAUCAAAGCAUGAAAGUUGUGAUACCCUUAACAGUGUUGAAAACAAGGAAGAUUGAGUUGCCAAUUGUGGUAUCGUGAUACCCAAAACUUUCAAGGACCCCCAUUUCAAGACUGUUGUAGAUAUCGUGAUACCAGGCUCUAGGUCGUGAUAUCACUAUUGAAGGGAAACAAAAAUUGACCACAAGGGUAGUCAUUGUCCAACAUGUCCCUCAAUCAAAAUUAGUGUGACGCCCCAAAAUUAGUAUUUAUGGUUUGUUAGAUUUUAUUAUUAGUAAGUAUCUGUUUCGGUGAUCGAGGGCUUUAAUUAUGUGUUUAGGGUCUUGGGUUAAAAUCUCAAAAUUCAAUUUUUUUUAUAUCUAGGCCUAUCUUUGUUCGUUGGGCUUAAAUGUUGUUUUUAGUUGACUUAUAUUAGAAUAAGCCUGUUGGUUUGGGUAGUAAAGUGUUUGUUAGUUUACUUUGUGGUAUUGUGUUUACUUCUUUGUGUGAGCAAGUUGGUAGUAUUGUUUGGUAUUUUUGAUUGGGCUGAUCAUUUAACUGUUGUGGUCUAAUUGAACUCUAUCUGUAGGAAAAAAAAUUUGAUUUUUAUAAAAAUUCUGAAUUGGUUUUAAAUGGGUUUUGUUUUAAAAUAAAUAAAAUAGGUUGUUUUUAUCUUGCUACUUUUGAAAUAAAUUUCAUUUUGUUUUAUUUUUGAAAACAAAACCCACCUUCCCUGCUUCUAAUUUUCCCCUAAACCCACGCUGCCAAUCCAUAAUUUUGUUAUUUGAUUUUAUUCUUCUUCAUUUCUUUUGUUUCUUGCUUGAAUUUCCUUUAAUCUUUUGGGCUGUCUUUGUGUUUUUAUUCGUGGAUUCUACUCUAUUCUCCAUUGACGAUCUUGCUUCCUAUUUGUUCUUACUUUUGAGUUUCGUCAGGUAAAUUGUUGUGCUUUCUUUAGUAAGUUCGAAUUUUGGGAGUUCUGUUUCAAAUCUUGAUGUAGAAAUUUUGUUUUUAUGGGGAUAGUGAUUGUAGUUCGGUUAGAGGUUUGUUGAGACUUGAUUAAUUUAGUAGGGUUUUCAUUGUUAGGUGAUAAUUCUGAAACGCUUAGCCUUACUUCAGCAUCGUAAUUUUGUGAGGUUGUUGCUUGUUUAAUGGUAAGAGUAUGGAGGUGUUUUGGUGUAUUGGAAGAGUUCAAUUCUUGGUUAUUUCGUGUCUCAUUACUGUUAUUAGUCGUAUUAUAUGUCGUAUUUAGGUCUUAGGAGUUUUCUGGUUGCAUUCUCAUCGAAUUUUAACUAGAUAUGUAAUGAGAAAACCGAAAAUUAGUGAUCGAUGAAAGUCAAAAAGGCAUCCUGUCAAUGCCACACGAUUGUGUGGUAGGUCGUGUGUGACACACAACCAUGUGACAGGUCAUGUGUUGAGCAUGUAUGACACAUGGUUUGGGCCAUUUGGCCCAUGUGGAUCACACGGGCGUGUGUGAGGUUGUGUGGACCACACAAGCUGGCUAUUUGGGUCAUGUGGGACACACGGGUGAGUGGGGGACAAAAAUAUGAUAUUUUUAAAUAUAUAUAAAGAAAAUAAUACUUUUUAUCUUGAAAUGUGAAAUUUCGAUUUGCUUUUGAAUCACAAUUUCAUGUGCACAUUGCACUUGAUUAUAUUGAAAGUUUUUGACGUCAUCCUUUGUUCAAUAUGAAUUGCCAUGAUGACAGGAACAUUGUAUUGAAAACCCCCCAACUAAUUUAGCAAGCUCAUGGUUCUGUACUUCAACUUGAAUUAAGCCCAUCCCACUCAAUUUGACUUUCUUUGGAUAUUAGCUUUAUUUGUUAAUUAAUUAAGAAUUAAGCUUCAUUCACUUAAAGUCCGAGUAGGAGUUAUAGCCCCAUGAGAUUUGUCAACCCAACCAUUAUACAAAUUUAGCAUACUUGGGUCAUUGAAAUGCACCAAUUCAAAGCAGCGUACUUCUAGAUAAAAUAUAUUCUUAGGGCAAGAAUUUAUUAAUGGUCCCUAGCCAUACACCCAGUAUCCAUGCAUUAUAAAUUGCUAUCUUCCAAAUGUUACCAUGGCCUCACAUGCAAUCUUUGACACUUUGACAUGCAUUAUUUUGCAUGCGUUUCAUGCGAUUUCGCUUUUUGUUUAACAUCCAAAUAACUUAUGCAUCAAAAAGUUAGAUAUAAUUAAGAUAUUCGAUAUUUCAAAAUUAGAACAUCAAGAUAUUUCAUAUAUCUGUUGUGGAACAUCAAAAGUUAAGCAUCAAGACAUCCCAUAUGUUGGUUUGGAGCAUCGAGAUAUCUCUUUGUAUAGAAGCUCCAUAUAUAUACUAUUUGUUUAUGGUUGAUUUAGUUUUUCUAUUAUAAUUUGAUUGCUUUUAAGCUUUAUUUUUCGAAAUGUGUAUAUUCAAUAUUUUGACCAAUAUUUUCUUUAGCUCCAGAGGAGAAUGUAAGAGGGAUGGUAGGGGCCCGGCCCCUUAAAAUAAAAAAUUAUUAUUUUAGCUCUUUAGAAAAUUUCAAAAUUUCAAAAUAGUAAAUCUAAACUUGCAUUUUAGCCAUCUCUAAAAUUAUUAAAAUUUAAUUUAAUCUUUUAAAAGUUAUAAAGAUAAUAAACUAUCAUUUCGACCCCAAUUUUUUUUUUUUUAACUUCCCUCAUGUUUAGUUCCAUUAAAAAAUUUAAUGUGACUUACCUUUUAAACCGCAUGAUGAUAUAACAUAUAUAUAUAUACCUUAUACUUUUUGCACAUUGGGACACUACAAAAUAAGGGGGGGGGGGGAGAGAGAGAGAGAGGGGGUAAAACAUUUAUCAAGCUAAACGGAAAUAUCAAUAUGUAUAUAUGCCUCCCUACAAGCAAGGGUGAAUUUGUAAAUUUUCAUUUAAAUCUUUUGAGGUUUUUUAAAAUUUUAUUUUAGGGUAAAUUACGAGAAUAGUUAGCCUACUAUUCAGUUAUUCAGUUCAUUCUAUUUUCGUUAUCUCACUAUUAAAUUUUUCGUUUUAGUCACUUAACUUUUCAAAAUUAAAUAUUUUAGCUAUUCUUCCGUCAGAUGCUUAAUGAAAGUCUAACAUGGGUUCUAUUUUAUUGGCCUAAUAAAAAAUUUAGCCCUACAGUGUUUACAAGAUUUGUUAUUUUAAUUCUAAUUAUAAAAAUUUUAAAAAAGUAAAAAAGUAGAUAUAAAUUUUAAAUAUUUCAAAAACAAAAUAUAAUAAUAUUUUAAAGAAAUUUGUACCCAAAACGAAUUUCAACAAUAUUUUCCACUUUGUUCUUUCUUUGAUUCAAUUGACGAAGUUGAAAAAUAUCAAGUGUCAUGUCUUUAAAUGCUAUUUUUGUAGCAAAGAGUAAGAUUGUCGAAGUUAGUGUCAUUAAUCCAAUCAUUUUUUUUGGGUUUAUAAAUUUGUUAAUUUUGAGCUUCUUUCUAGGUUUUGAUUAGGCAUUUGAACAAACAAUAUGACAAAAGAAAAAGGGACUAAAUUAAAAGAGAUUGAAUCAAAAAAAUAUCUUUAAUUUAUGGGUUUUUCAUGUGUUUGAUUGAUGAGAAAAUGAGCAUGGUUGAUGAGAAAAAGUAAAUAUAAAUUUUAAAAAUUAAAUAUAAAAAUAUUUUUAAGAUUGUUUAAAUAUAUUUAUAAUUUUUAGAAUUAGGACUAAAAUGAAUUUUUUUUAAACAUUCAUGGCUAGACUUGUUGAAAAUUUUAGAUUUAGGAUCAAAUUUGAAAUAAUUUGUAAAUACUGGAGGGCUAAAUUUGUUAUUAGGCUAAUAAGAAAACCCAUAUUAGACUUUCAUUAAACGAUAAGAGUGACUAAAAUAUUUAAUUUAGAAAAAUUGAGUGACUAAUUAAAUAAAAAAUUAAUAGUUGGGUGACCAAAAUAGAACAAACUAAAUAGUUAGUAGACUAUUUUUGUACUUUACCCAUUAUUUUAACCUUAUAAUUAAUUUCUAAAAAUAUGAUAAUUUGUGUCUAGCUUCCCAUUAUAAGAAUUCAACCCUAACCCGAGUAUAAACAAGUACUAUUUUUAUCAAAGACUUUUGUAAUUGAAGAACAUGGCUUCCUUUCCCUAAAUUUAUAGGGUAAUCUAGUAUAAAUAUGCAGCUUAAAUUAAACACCCUCUCCACCUUCCCUUAGCUUGUACUCUUUUGUGCAAAUAUUCCCUUCCAUUUGAGAAACAAUGGCUUCUAACACUCUCAACCUCAUUGCCAUCCUCUCGCUUACCAUCUCAAUCCUCUUAUCUUUGUAUCCUCAACCAGCCAUUUCAUUCCAAAUGGAAGAUUUCGACGGCGACGAAGAAUAUGUGCUCGAUCAUCCUGUCAUUAUCCCUAACCUUCGAUCGAGAAGCCGGUUCUUAAAGACCUCGCCGACGAAAGAUAAGAUCAGGAAAGGUGCCGAUUGUGAUCCUCACCCUUCUCUAAACAUAUGCAAGGGUAUUUCCGCAAACAACGGGACCAGUCUACUGUAUUGCUGUAAGACGCAUUGUCGUAACGUGCUUAGUGAUCGGAACAACUGCGGAAAAUGUGGCAACCGGUGCAAGUUCGGGCAACGUUGCUGCGGUGGAGUUUGUACUAAUGUUGCUAACAACGUCAACCACUGUGGCAAGUGUGGCAAUCAGUGCUCGUCUGGAGUUCAGUGUGAUAAUGGAUUUUGUGGUUAUGCUUAGGUCUAAGUAUUAUAAUGGUUUUUAUCAAAAUAUAUUUUCCAAUCGAAAAUGCUUUGUCUAGGGGCCGUUUUGAUUAUGAAUAACACUUCGUUAUCUACAUGUAUUUUUUGUAUAAUGGGGGGAGAAUAUACACAUAUUUUAUGGUGCUGUAAUUGAUUUUAGUAAUGGUUUUUAUCUAUGUUAUACGAUAUUUUCUUUUAAAUUUUAAGUAGACAUAUCCUCUAUUUAUUUGUUAAAUUUGCUGUUGUGAUAAUUUAAAAUUAUAAAAAAUACUCACUCGGUAUUCAUGUAAUAAAAUGACAUUGUAAUGGGCUUAAAUUUAAUAGAAAAUUUAACAGUGUUAGCAAUUCUUAAAAAUUCACAUCAACAUCUUAAUCGAAAUAAAGUAUUUAGACUACCUAAUGGCAUUAUAAGAGGUUUUUCCUUUGGACUAAAUUAUAGAAUAAAUAACUGAAUAUUAAAAUAUCCUUUAAGUCUCUACAUUUUUUGAAUAUUUAAAAUUUAGUCUUCAUAUACUUUUAUUUUUAAAAAUUCAAUCUCUCUAUUUUUCGAAUUUAAAAAUUUAGAUCCAAUUGUUAACACCAUCAAAUUCUUAUGCUCAAAUCGAUGGUAUGACAUUUUGAAAUAAAAAAGAAAAUAUAUUCACUUAGUAGUCAUGUAACAAAAAAAAAAGACAUUACAAUGGCUUGAAUUUAAUAUAAUUUUAAUAGUGUUGACAACUAUUAGAUGUUACAUGAACAUUUUAAUCAAAUUAAAGUAUUUGAGUUGAUCAAUGACAUAUUGUAAAAAUUGAGGUACCAAAUCAUGUCAAAAGUUGAAGUAUAAAGAUUAAAUCUUAAAUUUGAGUGUAUUAUAAAGAUCAAAAUUGAAAUUGAACCAUUAUUAUAAUCUUAAUUUUGAGUAUAGGAUAGGGGCUAAACUUGAAAAAUGACCAUUUUCCUAUAUAAUGCAGAGGCAGAGAGAGAGAGAGAGAGAGAGAGAGAGAGAGAGAGAGAGAGAGAGAGAGAGAGAGAGAGAGAGCAAAACUGGAAGCUGCAUGUCAGUCUUUAAGACUAUUAAGGUAUUCAAAUUAGAUAUAACUACAAAUUACAAAACGUUUUAAUCGAAAAGUUAACAAUAUUAACUAUUUGGAUUAAUUAACAAAAAUAUGAAAUAUUUGGGCUAAACUUGCAAGGCAUAUGCAUAUACAUAUACAUAUAUAAGUUUUUAUUUUUUAGUUUCUCAUUUCCGGUAAAUUUAUAAUAAUUUAUACCAAUUAAAUUAAAUUAAAAAUAAUUUUCUAUAAAAAUAUCAAUAGGACAUAUGGUAAAAUCUUGGUCUUGCUUUUGGAGUUAAAAUUUUUCACCCUAUGUUCCAAAUAAUUACCCUUUUUAAAUAAAAUGACGAACAAUAAUAUUAGGCAUAUAUUGUUUUAGGUCAGAUUAUGAUUAUAGUCUCUCUACUAUGUUUAAAUUUAAAAUUUAGUAUCUAUUCUUUAAAUUGAUAAAAUUUGGUUCCACUAGAGAAUAUCAUUAGUUAGUUGAAAAUUUGAAAUAAUUGAUUAGUUGAAAUUUUGAAAUAAUUGACACCUUUAAUUAUUCAGGUCAAAAUGUUGAGGACAAUUUAUUUUUCUUAAAUAUACCUAUUUCAACUUCAUGUAAAUAAUUGAACCAAAAAAAAAAACUCCAUGUAAAUAAAUAUAUAAAUGUAUUUCGUGCGCCUCCCAUUAGCAACACACAGUAUCCAUGAAAAUCGUCGUCUUAUUGGGCGUCCUUCAUGAACGAAAAUCAUGAGAAUGAACCAAAAAUGUUACCAUGCAUUAUAUAGUAUAAAUUGCUCUCUUCUUCUUCUUCUUCUUCCAAAUGGUACCAUGGUCUCAUAUGCAUUACAAUGCAUAAAGUCGAUUUUCUUUAUUUUAAUUUUUUUAUGAAUUUUUAAUAAUUUUUAAAUAUAUAUAUAUAAAGAAAAUAACAUUUUUUUAUCUUUUUUUUUAUUGUAUGACUAUUUUUAAUGGAUUAUCAUUUUUUAAAGAAACUUAACGAUUUGAGUAACUAUUGAAUUAACAAAGGCACAACAUGAAAAAAAAAAAGUUUAGAUACUACUUAUGAUUAAAAAAAUGUUUAGGCACCAAGAGUGGAAAAUGACAUAGUUUAGGUAUCAAUUUAUUAGUUAAGACUCUUUUUAGAAAUAGACUUAUCAAUUUGGCUAACGGUUUGACUAACAAAAAUACCGAUUUAAAAAAAAAAUUAUUUAGGUAUCAAAAUGUAAAAAGGGUAUAACUUAGGUAACAAUUCAAGGUUAAACUUUGUUUUCAAUGCAAGUUCAAAUUUGGUGCAUUAUGAAAUUCGAAACUUGUCAACUUUUUCCCCUCAUGGUGCGUCUUUUAUUAAGGUAGCCUAAUGCUUUAUUUGUUUGCAUGUGUGACUUGUGACAAUGUUUGAGACGAAUUCCCUACCUUGCGAGCCUCCGUUUAUUGCGUAACUCCAUAGCACAUGCAUCUUGUUUCAGUAUCGGAAAUAUCUCAUAUAUCAGAAGUGGAAUUUUAAUAUAUUUCAUAUUUUAGAUUUGGAUCAGCGAGAUAAUUUAUUUAUUUGUUGUGGAGAAUAAAAAAGAAGCAUCAAGACAUUUCAUAUAUAAGUUUGGAGCAUCAUAUCUAUUUAGGGGUGAGUAGAACUCGACUUGAAUUGACAAGUUGAUUUCUCUUUCAAAUUUCGAGUUAAUUGAAUUUAGUUUUCAAUUUUCCUAAUCAACUCAAAUAAGUAAAUUGGGUUUUUGAGUUCAAGUUAAGUUGAAAUUUAUAAUUUGAUUAACUCGAAUAAUUAGUAUAAAAAAUUGUUGUAAUUGCCCAAUAAGUUGUUUUCAAUUUCGUAUAGCUGGAUUACUUUGGUUUUUUCUCUUUUCUUUUUUCAUUUUAACAGUUUUCAAGUAUUAUGGUCUCAAAUUUAUUUGCUAUAACGUGGAAUUUGGUCAUUUUGUCAAUAAGUUCUUAAUUUGGCCUUUUAAAAAGAACUCAAACAUAUUUAGCCAAUUUGACUCGACUCGACUUGAAUUUCAUUUCAACUGACUUGGUUCGAAAAAAUUCAAAUUAGCUAGGAUGAUAAAUUAGAGAGAGAGAGAGAGAGAGAGAGAGAGAGAGAGAGAGAGAGAGAGAGAGAAAUGCAUGGGUGUUUGGAUCUAGUGCCCUUAGUAUAGUAUUUUCAACUAUAUAUAUUUUUCGAACAAAUUGAUUUAAUAGAAUAUUCAUCAAUUUCAUUAAUAUCUUCAAUAUCUUGUCCUCAAUGAUUUUUGUACGUAAAGCAAAAUUAAAAUAAAUACUAACUCAUUGAUUACCUAACAUUUAAUUGAUACUAAGCAAUAUUACGUGGUCGGAUCAUAAUGCAAAAAUAAACAUUAUUUUUAUUCUACUAGUUCAACCAGAAUUUUUCCAUCUCUCUCUAUAAAUAAAUGGCACUAGUAGGGCUUUAAUCAUACCAACAAAAUACACACACACACACACACACACACACACACACACACACACACACACACACACACAAGUUUAACAUAAGUUCUCAAUAUUGUUAUUCUGGCAUAGAGUAGUGGUAAUUUAUUUUUUAUUUGUCAUAAGUUGAUAUGUCAAAUUAGGCUCCACAUUUAACAAAUUGCUUUCGAGCAAUUUAGUGGUAUUUAUCGUAUUUUUAGUUAGUUUUAGUUCUUUGCACUAAUAAGUGAAUUAGUGUGCAUUUUAUGCUAUUUUGAGAACCGAGAUGGCAAAUUGGCAUAUAGGGCAUCUGGCAAGGUUGGUGAGUAAUGCGGAGAGUCCACGGUGACCCGAAUAGAGUGAGGAAAUCAUCAAGAAGGGGGUGUCGCGAUAUCAAAGCAUCAAAGUCAUGAUACCCCUAAUAGUGUUGAAAACAAGGAAGAUUGAGUCACCAAUUGUGGUAUUGCGAUAACCAAAACUUUCAAUGACCCCCAUUUCAAGACUAUUGUAGUUAUCGCGAUACCAGGCUCUAGGUAUCGUGAUAUCAGUAUCGAUACCAGGCUCUGGGUCGCGAUAUCACUAUCGAAGUGAGACAAAAAUUGACCACAAGGGUAGUCAUUGUCCAACAUGUCCUUCAACCAAAAUUAGUGUGACACCCCAAAAUUAGUAUUUAUAGUUUGGUAGAUUUUAUCAAUAGUAAGUAUUUGUUUCGGUGAUUAAGGGCUUUAAUUAUGUGUUUACGGUAUUGGGUUCAAAUCUCAAAAUUCAAUUAUUUUUAUUUCUAGGCCGAUCUUUGUUCGUUGGGCUUAAAAGUUAUUUUCAGUUGAUUCAUAUUAGAAAAAGCUUAUUGGCUUGGGUGGUAAAAUGUUUACAAGUUUAUUUUGUGGUUUUGUGUUCGAUUCUUUGUGUGUGCAAGUUAGUAGUAUUUUUUGCUAUUUUUGAUUGGGUUGAUCAUUUAAUUGUUGUGGUCUAAUUGAACUCUAUCUAUAGGAAAAAAAAUUUGAUUUGUUAAAAAAAAUUUGAAUUGGUUUUAAAUGGGUUUUGUUUUAAAAUAGAUAAAAUAGGUUGUUUUUAUCUUGUUACUUUUGAAAUCAAUUUCAUUUUUGUUUUAUUUUUUUUAUUUUUGAAAACAAAACCCACAUUCCCUACUUCUAAUUUUCCCCCAAACCCACGCCGCUAAUACUAAAUGUUGUUAUUUGAUUUUAUUCUUCUUCAUUUCUUUUGUUUCUUGCUUGAAUUUCCUUUAAUCUUUUGGGCUGUCUUUGUGUUCGAUUCAUGUAUUUUACUCUGUUCUCCUUUGACGAUCUUGCUUCCUAUUUGUUGUUACUUUUGAGUUUCGUCAGGUAAAUUGUUGUGCUUUCUUUAGUAAGUUCGGAUUUUGGGAGUCCUGUUUUAAAUCUUGAUGUAGAAAUUUUAUUUUUAUAGGGAUAGUGAUUGUAGUUCGAUGACAGGUUUGUUGAGACUUGAUUAAUUUAGUAGGGUUUUCAUUGUUAAGUGAUAAUUCUUAAACGCCCAGCCUUCCUUCAGCAUCGUAAUUUCGUGAGGUUGUUGCUUGUUUAACGGUAAGAGUAUGGAGGUGUUUUAGUGUAUUGGAAGAGUUCAAUUCUUGGUUAUUUCAUGUCUUAUUACUAUUAUUAGUCGUAUUAUAUGUCGUAUUUAGGUUUUAGGAGUUUUGUUGUUGCAUUCUCGUCGAAUUCGAACCAGAUGUGUAAUGAGAAACCCGAAAAUCAGUGAUUGAAAAAAGCCCAAAAGGCAUUCUGUCGAUGAAUACGACUGUGUGGUAGGUGAUAGGUCGUAUGCUGGAGCAUGAGUGACACACGGUCUGGGCCGUUUGGGCUGUGUGGAUCACACGGGCAUGUGUGAGGUCAUGUGGGCCACACAAGCUGGCUAUUUGGGUCAUGUGGGACACAAGGGCGAGUGUGGGCCAAAAAUAUGAAAUUUACCUUAGGGCUGUGUGCAAGAUUCGAUCGAAUAAGGCCUUUCGUAUGGUCGGUAUGUGAGUAAAUGCACUAAAAAACAUGAAAUCUGGACAUCCAAUUGUAUAGUAUCUACUAUUUGCAAGAGUAACUAAGAUGUCGAAUGAUAAAUAAACCCUGAAGUUUAUGUUAAGUAUAUGAUUUGUAUCUGAUAUGUUGUGCAUGUAAAACUAUGGCAUGUAUAAUUUCUGCUCUGGACUUGUAUGACAUUUAGUAUAUUCUGUAUCUGUAUCUGGGUUGGGUUGUAAAUACCACGUAGAGGAAGUGAUUCUGCAAAAAAAGCUAUAAAUCACCUAUUGGUCCGGCAGCUCAGCUGCAACUAUUUUGUAAAGUGUCAUAUUAACACUAAGUGGUGUGUAGGGAUGGAUGGGUGUUUUAUACUCAUAUGGUGUGUUGGGAUGUUCAAAGAUGGUGUGUAGCGGUUGGGGGUAGGAUUAUAUGUCAUAUCUGUUCUGUUCUAUUAUAAAUAUGUUUAUGAUAAAUCCGUCUAAUAUACAUCUAAUUGCUUUAAGUAUUCGAUAUACACUAAGUUUUAAAAACUCACUUUUUGUUUGACUGAUAUUUUCAGGUAAUCCUCAGGCUUAGGUGGAUCGGUGCAAGCGAGAGCUCAAUUAAUGUCAUAAUCUAUUUAAAUUGAUUUAUUUAAGUUGUGGUAUUUUGAUUUUGUAAAUUUUUGGACUUUGUGGACUUUUUGGAUUGUUUAGUUUAUUUUUUAAAACUUAUUCCUGUAUUUUUCUUGAUACUACUUAAAUGAUUUAGUCGACAAAAUUUGCAUUCCUACCAAAAUAAAGGGCUUUUAAACAACAAACUGUGUUUAUCAAAUAUCUGUCUUCCGUUGCGAAAUUUAUAAAUUUUAAAAAAAUAUAAAAAAACAACUUUUUUAGUAAAUAGAACAAUAAGAAAUGAUUUUGUAUAAAAUUGAGAUUUUGAAAGUUUAUGACAAUUUUCCAUUUACUCAAAAACCAAGUUUUAAAUCAUAUUAAGUAGCAACUCCAGAUUUGGCCAUAAAGUCUAGGGCGGGUUUGGAGUUUUACAAUUAGACGAUCAAGGGGAAAUUGGUCACUAUUUUUGGGUUUGUAAACUACUAGAAUAGGCCAAUAUUGGUUGAGAAAAAGGGCACACUUCAUAGUGGCUAGUUUUUACAUUUUUCUCUUUAUCUUUUAGGGUUUACUCUUCUUCUCCAUAACUAUUGAGUCUAGUUUUCAUUUUUCUCUAAUUUUACUUUGCAAUUUACUAGUUAGUUAAGUUAAUUAUUACUAUAGCUAAGAUUUAUUUAUUUGUUUAGCACGUUAAACUCUUUUGUAUCUGCACUUUAAUUCUUUAGUUUAAUACCAUUUAGCUUUGUUAUAUUUCAUCUGCUAAAAGUUUUUUUUUGUUUAACUUUCUUAUUGUCAUUUUUUUGUUCCUCAAACUUUUGCCAUUAUUUCUUAAUUAUUUGUUGUUAGUGUGUUUAAAUACGAGCAUGAGUAGCUAAAUCCUAAGUGGUUGGUUGAUGGAAAUAAUGGUUAGUUGAUUUUUGGGUUCAGGGACUGAAUCCUAAAAUUUGAACUAAAUUGAAUAGACUUCAAAAUUUAGUAUUGAUGACCCUAAGGGAAAAUUUAGAUAAGUGAGAUUGAGAGGAGAUCUUAUUAGGCAUCAAUGCAAUUGUCUCAGGUCAGUUUGGUGAGGUCAAGUGAUAAACCAGAAUAAUUUGUCUAACUUGGUACAAUUGAUACUGGGAGGUAAAAUUAAACCAAUUAAGAGUAUUAACGAUUUAGAUCCCUAGUUCAAAAGUUAACCAACAACAUGGAAAUCAACUAUGAUUUACAAUUGACACUUGCAUGUUCACCAUGUAGAAAAUUAAUUAGUUACAUAGUUUGCAUAAUUUACAAUUUAGUCAUUUUCUAUUUCUAGAUAACUAAUUAGUUUAAUUCACCACCAAUUAUGUUUUAUCAUAAUAUAAUGCUUAGUGAGUAGUUAGCAAGACUCAUUUAAUGCAUGUUUGUAGCUUAGGAAUUGCUUAAUUGCCGAUUCCUUUGGGUUCGAUCCUUGGAAUACUCCAAUGUUCCAUGAACAUUAAAAAUAUUACAACUGACCUAUCACACUUGCAGCUACCCUUUUAUAUUUAAUUUUCUUAAUGUUAAUUCCUCGCUUAGCUACAGUGUUAGCGUGCCGGAGAUUGAGGAGCGGUUAAGUAGUUGGCACCGUUACUAGAAAGACGGUGUUUGUUUAAGCAAUUUUUAGUAUUGUUGCAUGUUUCUGUUGAAAAAAAUUCAGUUUGAAAAUGGUUAAAUUCAGUUUGAAAAUGGUUUUCUUGCACAGCAAAAAUUAAAAUUUUAAAAACUGAACCGGUUUGUGAUAUAAUUAAAAAUUUUAAAACUGACUCGGUUUGUGAUAUUUAUAGUAAUAAACCCUAAUUGAAUUCAUACUUGUCUUUCCUUCUUAGUGGACGUUCGUUAUUCCCAACUUUCAACUAAAUGAUCUUCUCCGCUAUUCUCAUACCAUGAACUACUUUGAGUGUAAGCUCAAACCAAUUGAAUCAAAACACAGAACUAGAAAAAAUUUUCUUUCCUUUAUUUGGGAUGAAAACAAAAAUUCUCUCUUCUUUAAUAGAAACCGAUGGAAUUAUCUCUAUUGUUUGACAAAGUAACAAUCUCUCAAAGUCGUAUGUUAUGCUCUACUGGUGUCAUAUAUUUAUAAGAAGAGAAGGUAGAACCCUUGUUGAGUUGUAGUGAUUUAUUUCAAAUAGAAAAACAACCUACUUAGAGUAGGAGUGGGGUGGACAGCACACCCUAGUAUUCCUACUAAGAUUCCUGCCCCUUUCAUGUUAUAUGGGGUUUUGAGUCUCUCUCACAUUAGGUUCAAUUACGACUACUUCCUAGCCCUUUUGACCUAGUACUAUGUAAUGUGAUCCAACCCAAUUUGGUUUUUCUAUUUCCCAAAAUAACAUUUAAUAUUCUAUAUUAAACAAUUUUCUCAUCCAUAUUUUACCCCUAGUAAAAUUUUAAUGAUUUUACCCUGAUAAAAUUUUGGGAAAUAUGAUUAAUAUUUCACAACUCAACAUGUUCACUGUGGCUGAAUGGUUUAUUUUCAUUUUCAGGCUUCAAAACAGCUCAAAAAUAUAAACUCAUUUUUUCAAUCAUUUUUAAGUAACUCAUAUAGAAUUGCAAAUGGAUCAUUUCCAUUUCCAUUUUGGAAACCUAUAUUCAUUUCCAAAUGAUUCCAUUUCUCCAUUUCGAAAAAACCUGUAAUCAUUCUUGAAUAUUUCUUAUUUAUCUUUUUCUAUUCAUUUCAUUCAUUUCUAUUCAAACACGCAAUUCAUUUAUGAUUUCAAUGAGCUAGCAGUGGUGUAACACCCUAUAUCCAAUCCAAAUUACCUAAUAUGGAUGUCGGAUGUUACAAAACUUAAACAAUUAGCAAAACUUUUACAAUAGUCGUAAAACCAUUCUAAAACAUACUUCUCAUUCCUUAUUAUAUUGUUCCUAAAACAAAAAGAUUAAUAAAAGAUAAUGUUUAAUAAUUACAUCAUAUUUAAAAAAAUAUGAUGUUACAACUUAAAACUUUGUUAAAGACAAACUUCUUCAUGGCGUAGAGAAGUAAGCACCAUAUUCCUAUGGUGUCCUUUGUAAGCAUAAUAUCACAACUCAAAUUGCUUGGGCCCUUCUGCUAUACUAAUUCUUUAAUCAAAACUUGCAUCAUAAAUAGACGUUUUUAAGUUCAAAUGAACUUACUUAAUUUUAACCCAAGUUACCUUCGAGCGUUUAUUUUUGAAUUCCUCAACCUGAAGAUUUUAGAUUUCUUUUCAGUUUUUGGUAGAUACUUUUCUAAUAUUGGGCGCAUACAUAAAUGAUAAUUUCCACAUUUGAUCACCAUAUACACAAUUCAUUAUUAGGCAGAUUAUAGAUUUCACCACCUAAUGCGGAUCUCAUUUCCUUUUUGGAAAAUGAAUGCAUUCCCCAUAAGGAUAUUCAUACAGAAUCUACCUUUGGCAGAUUCUCACAUAGACAUAUGUUGAACACUUCACCUAGAAUGGUGUACUCAUAGAUAUAAUUCUUGGCAGAUACUUAUAUUGAUUGAUAUCUUAAGAUGAACUUUAUAUGGAUCCUACCUUUGGCGGAUUCUUAUAUUGAUUUUGAUGGUUAUCGUGAUACUAGUCAGAUCAUAACUUAAAUCAUCCCAGACCACAAACUUAUUCUAAUGGAUGAAAUAUUCUAAGUCAUCUCAUGGAAUCCAAGACAACCAUGUUAUAUAUUAUGUAAACGCCCAGGUUUUGCGGACAACUUAGACUUCAUAUAACCUCUAUACAUAUUGUGAAAACGCUAAGAUUUGGUGGAUACUAUAGUAUUUAGAUAACUUCCAUACAUAGUGUAGACAAACUUAGGUCUGACGAACACUUAGACCACCCAUAACUACGAAUACACCAAGUUCUCUAUAAUGACAAGCUACUAUGACAAAUUCACUUUUCAAAAACAUUGCUGGGAACUCUUUUUAGGAAAUGCCCUUAGGGCAUAUUCAAUUUUUGCCACAAGGCUAUCCAAAUAGGGAUAUCUUCAAACUUACCCAGAUCUCUAUCAUAGAGCCAACUAGUGGAGAAGUCUCAAAGCUUACUCAGAUCUCGCCAAAAAGACGAUUAUCCAGAUUUCACCUCCAGGGCAUUACAGAAUACGCCAUAAAGGCAUCAAAUAAUUCUUCUUACCCUAUUGGUUUUCCAAAAAUGGUCUUGACCAUGGUCUUUCCACAUAUCUUUACACUGGCCUAUUCUUGUGUUUACUAUCCAAGUGGACUUCGUGUUUCCAGUUUUAACAAACUACAUUCUCACCAUAAUGGCCUUCAUUUUUACUAUCUCGAUAAACAUCAUCAAAUACCACCACGGGGUCUAAUAUCGUAUCAUAUAUUUUCCCAACACUUCACCAAACCUCUAUUCUCUAACUUCUUAGUAUGCAUUUCUCAUUUAACAUGGGACACACUUACUUAAAUUUCAUUCAUACUCCUAAUAGAUUCAUGCUUUCCAAUACCUAAUUUCACAUGCAUGCAUAUCACACAUCAUCUUGUUCAUUUAGCACAUCAUAUACCUCAUUUGCAAACAUGCAGAGGCUUUAGAUACUUCACAUACACAUACACUCGUUAGUUAUCCAAGAAGACAUCAAAAUAUGAAUAACCAUUGUAAAUUGACCGUUCUAGUAAAAGCAUUUCCACCAAUAUCACAAUCAUUGGAUGCAAUAAUUUUAGGUGGAAACGAUUGCAAACCAUGACUGUGUAUAUUAAAUGCAUCCCACAACAUACCUUCCAUGUCAGCUUCUCUAACAGGCUGAUGGUAAGCAUUAUGAGGAUAAGCCGGAUUAAUCGUUGAAGAGGUUCUACGAGGUGUACACUCUCCAUGAAAAAUCCAUUUUUUAUACCCCCGAAUAAAGCCAUCAAUAAUUAGAUGUUUGUAGACAACUUUAGGAAAAUGCCAAUUGAUGUUGCCAAACUUCUUACAUGGCCAAAGAAUCAUAUUCUCGUGGCUUGUAUUUUGAAAUGCAAAAUUUAGAAAAGUUUGUACUCCAUUUCAAUAGUCGUUACUUACCAUUGAUAAAUCUAUUUCGUAGUUCUUGAAGUCUAAAGUUGAUAAUAAAUUAUGGUUAGUUAAGUGUUCUAAAUAGAUUCAAAUCAUGUCAUUGUACUAAAAUAGAUAAUAUAUAUGUCAAGAAUCAAGUGUCUAAUUAUUUAAAAUAUAUAUAUCAAUGACAACAUUUUACGUUUGGAUACGCCAAAUUUGCUAUAAAAAAUUUAUAAGAAUAAUUAAGAGUGGGGAAAAACAAUAGUGUUGCCCUAAUUUCUGUGAUUUUUAUAUAUUCUGAUCCAAAGUUUUAUGUAAGUUAUGAUAUAAUAUAUUUUUUAUAUUCUCUAAAUGUUAGAAACUACAUUUUUUUAUAUUCUUUAAAUGUUUAUGUAAAUUAAUCGAAAAUUAAUUAAUUAUUCAUAAAAUUAUUAUGAAAUAUAAUUGUUUAUUUAAUUAAUAAAAAUAAUUAAUUAUUCAUAAAAUUAUUAUGAAAUAUGAUUAUUUAUUUAAUGAAUCAAAAAUUAAUUAAUUAUUCAUAAAAUUAUUAUGAAAUAUGAUUAUUUAUUUAAUUAUUCAAAAAUUAAUUAAUUAUUCAUAAAAUUAUUAUGAAAUAUGAUAUGGUUAUUUAUUUAAUUAAUCGAAAAUUAAUUAAUUAUUCAUAAAAUUAUUAUGAAAUAUGAUAUGUUUAUUUAUUUAAUUAAUCAAAAAUUAAUUAAUUAUUCAUAAAAUUAUUAUGAAAUAUGGUUAUUUAUUUAAUUGGUCAAAAAUUAAUUAAUUAUUCAUAAAAUUAUUAUGAAAUAUGAUUAUUUAUUUAAUUAAUCGAACACUAAUUAUUCGUACAAUUAUUAUGAAAUAAGAUUAUUUAAUUAAUUAAUUGGAAAUUAAUUAAUUAUUUGUAAAAUUAUUAUGAAAUAUGAUUAUUUAUUUAACUAAUCAAAAAUUAAUUAUUCAUAAAAUUAUUAUGAAAUAUGAUGAUUUAUUUAAUUAAUAAAAAAUUAAUUAAUUAUUCGUAAAAUUAUUAUGAAAUAUGACCCAGCAUUUUGGGUCAACCCACGUGAUCUUAUCUUCUCUACAAGUAACCCACACAAUUAACUUGGUUCAUUAUAUAAUAAGGCAAUGGAUUAUCACUAUCAUUAGGAAUAUUUUGGUUUUAAAUAUAAAACGUGUAUCUAGUUAGUAGAGAAAAAAAUUAAAAUUUGGGAAUACUUGGAUUGAGAUGGGAAAAUUAAUAUAUACAUUUUGGUAAGUUAAAAAGGAAAAUGUGGGAGUGGUUAGUAACUAACCAAACCAAGUGAUGCCUAACUUUGGAUGGAAAUGUCCAACAGGAAACUUGGUCAAGGAUAAGCUAUUUAUGUACAUACAAUAUUGUCAACUAUACUAAUAUUUUACUAUUGGUAGCAGCAUGAAUUAAGAGGGUAGAACAAGCUGAAAGCAGAAAAAAUCAAAGAGACAGAGAGACGAAGGCAACAUAAUUGUUAGUAUAAAAUGAAAAGAAAGUAAGUAGUCGUAAAGAAACUAUCAGCAAAAAAAUAUAUAUAUACUGCAGCAAGAACUACCUACCUGUGUUUCAGCAAUCGACUUCCUUAGAAGUUCUUCCAAUAGAUAGUGCACCUAAAGAUCAAAGCACAUGGCAUUCAACUGUCAGAAUAAGAGUCGUAUAGAAAUUUCACUUUUAGCAAACUUAAAAAAGAACCAAUAGAAUUUAACCAAUUCGAAAGUUUAAAAAUUUAUCUACUACACAUAACUAAAAUUAACCAAUUCAAAAACAAUAAUAAAUAAGUGUUACACAUAUCAUAUGCAUGGUUUCUUUUAAAUAAGUGUUACACAUUCUAGUUGGCAACAUGUGCUAGCAGUGCCACCACACCCCUGAAAUCAACUAAACUAAGAACUCCCAAUAUCUUACUCUUGUUUCAGUAUAAACUAAGAAAAAACAUGAGAUUAGAACUAGAUGAAAAUGGCCAAAUUCAAAUGCAUUCAAUAAACUAAUUAAAAUUGUUGGAUUGUGCGGUAAGGAUUUAGAUUUCUUAAGCAUCAUUUCAAGUUUCAAUCUUGUAAAACAGUGUUGAAAGAAUUUUUUGAAAAGAAAUCUGACCUAAUUCAGUUUCACAUAUAAUAAAAAAAUUUUAAGAUAAAAAAAUUCCAAUUAGCUAUGAACGUAUAAUAACUAAAUUCACAAUUUACACAGAACUAAUAACAAAAUUUUAACCUACAAACAAUGAUUUCAUUCUCAAUUCACGGCUCUAAAAUAUGAACAAUUCUUAAAUGAAUACAACUGUAAAACAAUUGGCCUUGGUUACAACAUUUUGGUCUUUCCCAAACAUUUCAAGAACUUUGUCUAUAUAUGGUUUUCUAACAGUAAUUAAUUAACAUAAAGUUGUCAGGUUUUUUUCAUUUUUUUUUUGUAAACACAAAUCGAGCAGUAAUUAGAAGCCUAAUUAUGAAGCAAAAAAAUACACCUGCAAGCCCAAGCUAAAAGAAGAGAAAAGAAAGGCUGAAUAUGAGAGAAAACAUAUGAUUUUCAAACAAAACCAGAAGAAGAAAAACCUGAAGAGAAAGAAGAGCUACUCUCCAUUGGUGUUGAAGGGACCGUUUUAUGCAAAUCAGUUUCUAAUUACUGCCCCAUAGCAGGUAAUGCAGCUUUGAACAUUGUGUAUAUAGUACUAAGUUUGGUUCAAUUCUAUUUCACGCUUUUUACUAACAUAAACUUUCUUAUUUAAUAUAUUCAUGUUUUCAUAAACUAUUUCAUAAACAGAAUAACAAACUGGUAACUGUUGUUAUACGCAAAUUCAGCUAACGGUAGGUGAUCCUCUCAACUACCCCUGAAGUCAAUCACACAGCUCCUAAGCAUAUCUUCUAAAAAUAUUUGAAUAACUCGCUCAGAUUAUCCAUUAGGCUGAGGAUGGUAUACAGUAUUGAAAUCUAGUCUUGUACCUAAAGCCUUGUACAAUUUCUUCCAGAACCUGGAGGUGAAACAUGGAUCCUUCUUACAAUCUCAGACACGUAUAGUUUACCCAACUUCUGUAGCGAAUAAUCGAUUCUAAUUGCUACGCAUAACACUUACUGAAAAAGUUACAAAUUUAAUUUAAUUUAUUACAUUACAAUUUAUAUAUGUAUCAACAUAAAUAAACAUAUAACAUUAAUCUAUUGCUAAUUUAAUAAAAAUAAUCAAUUUUACAUUAAUCGAAAUUUCACUAUUGGUAGUAAUAAAAAUAAAUAAAAUAAGAAGCAUUCAUAUAUAAUAUAAAUUUUAUUAACAAUUAUUUAAUUAUACAUUAAAGUAUAUAUAAAAUAUUAUAAUAUUCAAUAAUAAAAAGCAGCCAGGUACAUAUUUUUGUUCAAAAAAAAAACAUCAAUGUUAACGGUAAUUAAAAUAAAUAUAAACAAUUAAUAUUUUUAAUAAAAAAGAUAAAAUAGUUGAUUUAAUAAUUGUUAGUUUUAUUUUAGAAGAAAUAUGCCAUAACUAAAGAGGCAAAAAGAAUGAAUAAAUUUAUAUUUUAUCAACAAUAAUUUAUUUUAUCAAUGUAAAUAUAAAAAAUCUCAAUAUUUAAUUUAAUAAAAAUGAGCAAUAAAGGAAUUUUAUUUAACAAGGACAUUGACUUUAAUGGUAAUAAAAAUAAUUAUUACUUUAUUCUAAUAAAGAAAACAAUGAAUAACAAAAAUUUAUGAACAAUAAUUUCUUUUGUCAAUUUAAAUAUAAAAAAUAACAAAGUAGGGUCUUUAUUUGUCAUCCGCUAAAUAACAAAUGCAACUAAUGAUGAAGUGCACAUUAAAGUUAAACCAACGAUUUGCCUUCGCUUUUUCUUCAUCCAAAUUGUUUUUUUGCUUUCAAAUCCUCAAAUCUGUGUUUGUGAUCAUUUCCACUAAUUGUUUUCAGUUCACAUUUUCUUGUAUUCUUGUAUUCUGAAAAGCAAACUUUCUUCUUACCUUGAUUUCCACUUCGAAAAAGAAACAGCGCAGAGAAUUGUUCAGUGAAGGGAAGUUUUGAGGAACUGCUCCUCAUUAUUGUUGGAUCUAAGUGCUACAGCAGCAAGCUUCAACAGAAUGCUUGUCGAGCAAGUCUCGUGACUUGCAGCAGAAACAAAGCAGAAAACUCAAAUAGAUUUUGAAGCAAAACUAAAAAUGGAGAGCAUAUGGAUGAAAACUUGUUGAAUUCAUUCAAAAAACUGAAUAUGGCUUAAAGCCAAUACAUAAACAAGCUUACAACUUGAAAAAACAGUAGGUUAACCUAAACUUCACCUACUACCACUAACAAACUUAGUAACUUGAGCUAAUUAACUUGUACAAAUCAAAAAAGCUGAUUAAUCAGCUCAAUCACCAUCAGUUUUACAUCAAAUAUAAACCUAACAUAGUUGAAAUACAACUAAGUUACAUUGCAUUAACUUAAAAAUACAAAAUAAGUGAAAACACAGCUUGCUGGCUUGAUGAACUUGCAGCUUCUGCAUGUAGUGCCCUCGACAGUCUUGGUUGCUGCAUGCUGACCAUUGCUUCAACACUCCUCCUUGGUUAGCAUGUUGCAAACUCCCAUAUUAGUUCUUAGGUGUUGAAACUUGGAAACACUGAGUGUCUUUGUCAAAAUGUCAGUAGUUUGCUCUUCAGAACUACAAUGAACUAAUUUGAUAACAUGAGCUUGCUCCAUUUCUCGAACUGCAUGAAGUUUGAUGUUGAAAUGCUUGGUCCUUCCAUGAAAGACAGGGUUCUUUGCAAUUGCAACAGCAGAUAGGUUGUCACACAUUAUCUCUGUUGCUUCCUUUUGCUCAUGGUUAAGAUCAGCUAAGAUUUUUCUAAGCCAUAUGGCUUGAUUAACUGCUGCAGCAGCAGCUAUAUAUUCAGCCUCUGCAGUAGAUUGUGCUACUACUGCCUGUUUCUUUGAACUCCAGCAAAUCAUACCAGAGCCUAGGUUGAAUGCAUAACCUGUUGUGCUCUUCAUAUCAUCCAAAGAACCUGCCCAAUCACUAUCACAAUAGCCAACUAACUUUAAGUUCUCAGCCUUGGUAAAUUGCAUUCCAUAGGACAAAGUUCCCUUGAUGUAUCUUAGAACUCUUUUUGCAGCUCUAAAGUGACUUUCAUUUGAGCAAUGCAUGAACCUUGAGAGUAGACUCACAGCAUACAUUAUAUCAGGUCUGGUAGCAGUCAAAUACAACAAACAUCCAACUAAACUUCGAUAGGUUGUUUCACAGACCUUUUCAUGCUUAUCUUGGCUCGACAGUUUUUCUCCAACAGCAAUUGGUGUGCUGGUUGCUUUGCAAUUCUCCAUUGAGAAUUUGUUGAGAACCUUCAUAGCAAAGGUCUUUUGACUAAGCCAAAUUCCAUUUUCAGCUUGAGUUACUUCCAUGCCUAAGAAGUAAGACAUCAAUCCCAAGUCAGACAUCUCAAAGUGCUGUUGCAUUUUAGCUUUAAAGCUGCUUAGCAUCUCUCGAUCUCCUCCUGUCACCAGUAAGUCAUCGACAUAUAUUGACACAAUGAGCUGAAUUUCAGUAUUAGUCAAUUUAACAUAGAGAGUUGGCUCACUUAGACUUCUCUCGAAUCCCAAACUGGUCAGAUAUCCAUCAAUUCUGCUAUACCAGGCCCUUGGAGCCUGUUUCAAGCCAUACAAGGCUUUGUUGAGUUUGUACACCAUUUCUUCCUUGCCAGACACCUUGAAACCUUGAGGUUGCUCCACAUAAAUCUCCUCUUCAAGGAAUCUAUUCAGAAAUGCUGAUUUUACAUCAAGUUGGUGUAUCAGCCACUGUUUUUGUGCUGCUAAGGCAACUAGCAGUCUGAUGGUGUCUAGCCUGGCCACUGGUGCAAAGGUUUCCAGGUAGUCUGAUCCAUACCUUUGACUGAAGCCUUUCACAACCAAUCUAGCCUUUAACUUUUUUAGGCUACCAUCAGCAUUAUUCUUGACUCGAUAAACCCAUUUGACACCAAUAAUCUUCCUGUUUGUUGGUCUAUCAACCAGACUCCAGGUCUGAUUCUUUUCAAUCAUCCUGAUUUCUUUAAUCAUUGCUUGCUUCCAGUCCUCCUGGCUUUCUGCUUCUUCAAAGCAACUUGGUUCAACAGUAGCCACUUGUGCUCUUUCAUAAACAUCAGCCAGUGAUCGAGUGCCUCUGAUUGGAACAUCAUCUACAUCCAUUUCAGGUGUGUUUUCAUCAUUUUCAACUUGGUCCAAUGCCAGAUCUUCAGCCACUGCCUCUGGUUCAGCCUUCUCCCAAUUCCAGUGUCCUUUUUCAUUGAAAACAACAUCCCUGCUAACCAAUAUCUUGUUUGUAGCAGGUUCUAGGAUUUUGUAGCCCUUUUUAACCAAGCUAUAGACGAUCAGGAUCCCUGAUUGAGCUCUUUUAUCUAGCUUGCUUCUCUUCUCAGCUGGAACUUGAGUGUAGCACAGACAACCAAAGGUUCUGAGAUGAGCCAGUGAUGGCUUAAACCCAAACCAGGCUUCAAAUGGAGUCUUCUUAGCCAGAGCCUUGGUUUGGAGCCUGUUUUGGAGAUAAACUGCUGUGUUAACAGCUUCAGCCCACAGAGUUUUGGGCAAAUUCUUCUCAAACAGAAGACAUCUUGCCAUGUUCAUCAAGCUUCUAUUUUUCCUUUCACUGACCCCAUUCUGUUGGGGUGUAUACACAUUAGUCAACUGGUGUUUGAUACCUGCUUCUUCACAGUAGGCUUGUAACUGAGCUGAGGUGUACUCAGUUCCAUUAUCUGACCUCAUUGCUCUAAGUUUGCAACCAGACUCAGUUUCAACAGCAGCUUUAUACUUCAGGAACACAGAUGGAACUUCUGAUUUCUGUUUUAGAAAAUAAAUCCAGCAGUAUCUUGUAAAGUCAUCAAUAAAUAGAAUAAAGUACCUGCUUCCUUUGAGAGACUCAGUCUUCAUUGGUCCACACACAUCUGUAUGCACAAUCUGGAGCUUCUCUGAUGCUCUCCAUGUUAUGCUUGUUGGAAAUGGCAAUCUUGCCAAUUUUCCUUGCUGACAUAUCUCACAAAACUCAUCAUUCUUCACUGAAUUGAUGAAAUUUUCUGCCAGACCUUCAUUGACCAUGCGGGCUAUGGAUUUGUAGUUUGUAUGUCCAAGCCUCUGAUGCCAGAGUCUAGAGUCAUCAGUGGAGGCUAUGCAGGCUGAAUGUAAGUCAUUUGGCCAGUCUACUUCAAAACAUUUAUCAGUCAUGGUGACUGUUAUGAGGUUUAAUCCACUUGGAUAAAAAAUUUGACAUUCUUUCUCCUUGAACACAACUGAGUAGCCUUUCUCAAGUAGUUGAGUUAUACUGAGAAGGUUCCUAUCGAUUUCAGGUACCAAAAGUACAUUUGAAAUGAUUUUUCCACCUGUAGAGGUAUGAAUCAGCACAUCUCCUCUUCCUUCAGCAUUAAUCAACUGACCAUUUCCAAUUUUUACCUUGGUUUUACAGGUUCUGUCCAGGGUUUUGAAGAUAGUUGCAUCUGGUGACAUGUGGUUUGUGCACCCACUGUCUAGAAGCCAGCCCUUUGAACCCUUCUUCUGAUUUGCUGCACAUGACACAGCAAAAACAUGUUCUUCUUGAUCACUGCUUUCUUCAGCUACUCGAGCUUCUACCUUUUGUUGCUGAAAUUGAUUCUGUCUUGGUUUGCUUCUAUUCUUGAAAACUUUUUCAACAUGGCCUUUUUUCUUGCAGUGUUGGCAUACUGCAUCUGGUCUAAACCAGCAUCUAUCUUCUGGAUGACCAGCUCUUUUACAAUGUCUGCAGAGUUGGUCACUGCUCCUAGCAGCAUCAGGCUUAGGCCUGUUUUUCCAAAACUUUUUGCCUUUGUGAGUUUUGAUGCUCGAGGCUUCUUUGGCUUGAAAAGCCCCUUCCUGGUGCUCUUCUUGUCUACUGGCUCUUCUUUGCUCUUGUGCAUACAAGGCAUUGAUUAGCUCAGUUAAGGAGAUAGUUGUCAAGUCCCUUGAGUCUUCGAGGGAUGAAAUUUUAGCUUCAUACCUCUCUGGUAGAGUGGACAUGACUUUCUCAACUAUUCUAACUUCACUGAAUUGCUCUCCUAGGAGCCUUAUGCUGUUUACAACAGCCAUAAUCCGAUCUGAGUACUGCUUAACUGUUUCUUCCUCUUUCAUUUUGAGAUUUUCGAAAUCUCUUCUCAAGUUGAGCAGCUGUUGUUGCCUUGUUCUCUCAGUCCCCUGAAAUUCUUCUUUCAGCUUGUCCCAAGCCUCCUUUGGUGUUUCACAGGCCAUGAUCCUCAUAAAGAUCACAUCUGUCACACAAUUCUGUAUGCAUGACAUGGCCUUGUGCCUUUUUGUUCUUUCAUCAGUGUGUUGCCUUAUUUGAGCAACUGUUGGAUUAGCUCGAAGAGGUGCUGGCUCAGCAUCUGAGUUAACAACUUCCCAUAGGUCGAAUGCCUGCAGGUAAGUCCUUAUCUUAACUACCCAAAUGUUGAAGCCCUCUCCAUUGAAGACAUGUGGUGAAGCUGGUGAAAAACCUGAUGAUGCCAUGGUUUUGAUACUGAACUACAACAGGUCCUCUAAGAAUAUGGCUCUAGAUACCAAUUGUUGGAUCUAAGUGCUACAUUAGCAAGCUUCAACAGAAUGCUUGUCGAGCAAGUCUCGUGACUUGCAGCAGAAACAAAGCAGAAAACUCAAAUAGAUUUUGAAGCAAAACUAAAAAUGGAGAGCAUAUGGAUGAAAACUUGUUGAAUUCAUUCAAAAAACUGAAUAUGGCUUAAAGCCAAUACAUAAACAAGCUUACAACUUGACAAAACAGUAGGUUAACCUAAACUUCACCUACUACCACUAACAAACUUAGUAACUUGAGCUAAUUAACUUGUACAAAUCAACAAAGCUGAUUAAUCAGCUCAAUCACCAUCAGUUUUACAUCAAAUAUAAACCUAACAUAGUUGAAAUACAACUAAGUUACAUUGCAUUAACUUAAAAAUACAAAAUAAGUGAAAACACAGCUUGCUGGCUUGAUGAACUUGCAGCUUCUGCAUGUAGUGCCCUCGACAGUCUUGGUUGCUGCAUGCUGACCAUUGCUUCAACAAUUAUAUUAUGGGUUCAUGAAACUUCAUCUUCCUUCCUCUAUUUUUUCAUAUUUUUCUUGAAUGCCAUUUAGUUUGUGUUGGUGUUUGCAUUUGAGUGGAUCUCCGUUUUAUUUAUUGGCCUUCUUAUUUUUCUAUUACGUACACUAAAUAAACUCCUUUUAUCUUUUACAGCUACAAUCUGUACUAGUUAUUUCUCAGAAGCUCUAUUUACUUUCUGGUAUUUACAGAGAGAAAGAGAGAGGUAAGUUCAAGAGUAAUUUCUAGCUUCUUCAAUAAUAAUAUCUUUGCUUUAUAAGAAUAAUUACAACUUCUUAAUUGGUAGCUUUCAUUAGAUUUUUUACUACUCAAAAUUCACUAGAAAUACUGAUUUUAUUUGUCUUUAUGUUAAUCUUCUUACUAAUAACCAUAGUUUUUGUUCAACCUCGUCAGACUAUCAAGAAAAAUGACCGAAUAUGUUGGCCCUACUGCUGUCAAAAUUUUGACAAACCAGGCAAAGGAAUGCGCAUCACCUUAUCUCCGUUACGUUUUCUGCUAUGGAGAGAUUGUUGAAGAUUUCACCAAUCAACGAAACGCACUUAAAUUGAGGAAACAUAUGGUGAAAACUCGUGUCGAUGAGGCUAAAAGGCAACUUGAGCACAUCCAUGAGGAUGUUGAGGACUGGCUUAGAAGGGCUGAGAGAGAACUGGAAGAAACCCAGAACUUGAAGCAUGAAAUAGAUCGCGUCAAGUGUUUCAAAUGGUGUCCUAAAUGGGGCUGGCGAUGUUGCUUAAGUAAGAAACUGGCAGAGAACACUUCUAUUAUCUCUAAAUUUUUAGAGACUUCUAACUCUGCACAGGUAAGCUAUCAUGGUUCUCUUCAAGGAAUAGAGUUCACCACACCCACGGAUUCCGUGGGCCCUGCAUCUUCAAAAUCAACUUUAAUCGGGAUCAUGGAGGCUAUAAAUUAUAACGGUGUCAACAUGAUUGGACUGUACGGAAUGGUAGGAGUCGGGAAAACAACUUUAGCCAAAGAAGUUGGGAAGCAUGCUCGAGAACAAAAGCUCUUUGAUAAAAUUGUGAUGUUUACUGUGUCUCAAAAUCCAAAAAUCAAUAAAAUUCAAUAUAAAGUUGCAGAUUUUUUUGGUUUAAAAUUUGAAACAAGUAGCCAAGAAGGAAAAGCAGAAGCGCUUUUCAGGAGUAUGCAAGGCGUGAACAAAAUCCUCGUAAUUAUUGACGACCUCUGGGAAGAAUUCAAAUUGGAAAGCAUCGGAAUUCCUUUCGGUGAUGGACACAAGGGUUGUAAAAUUCUUCUGAACAAACGUCACAACAAGUCUGCAUUAAAAUGAACUGUCACAAGGUGAUUCAACUUGGCAUCUUAUCCGAAGAUGAAGCAUGGGUUUUGUUUCGAGAAAGAUCUAGUUUAGAUGAUUACUGUUCCUCCUUGAAUGAUGUAGCCAAAGAGGUUGCUGGUGAAUGUAAGGGAUUGCCUCAUGUACUUGAUACCGUGGCAAGAGCUUUAAAAGAUGAGAGUUUGGAUGCGAGGAGAGCCUUAAAGCAGAGAUUCAAGGACUCAAAGGCAUUUGGUUAAUGAAGAAGUUCUCGAAGAUUUCUUCAAGGGUCUUAAGCUUAGCUACGCUUAUUUGAAGGAAGGCAAUAACCAAAUAACGGAAAAUGACAUCCAAAUGUGUUUCUUACUGUGUUCCCUUUUUCCUGAAUAGGAAGAAAUCCGUAUUGACAUCCAAAUUGGAGUAGGAUUGUUCACUAAUGUUCACUCGAUUGAAGAUAAAAGUAAAGAAAUUGGUAUGGCACUAAAAAAAACUCCAAAAAUCUAGCUUGUUAUUGGAAACUUAUGAUGCAAAAACGAUAAGUGGUUCGAGAUUUUGCUCAUCGGCUAACAUCAACAGGAGAAAAUAGGUUUAUGGUAAAAGAUGAGGUGAAAGAAUGGCCUCAUCUGGAUGAAAGUUUUGGAUGUUAUACUGCAAUCGCUUUAUGGAAUUGUAGUAGUAACAUAAAAAAAAUUCCUCAUAAACUGGAAUUAUCUUUAACAGUUUGGUAACCGAUAUUUAACUUUUUUUUCAAAAGUAUAUGAUUUAAUCAUUCCACAUACAAAAUAAUUUACUUACAUGAGUUUUUUUUCUAAACCUCGUAAUUUGUGUUACAUAACUUGACAAAUUAUUCGUUGUUAAGGAUAAUAAAACGGUUAAAGAAGUAGUUAGUGAAGGUUGGAAGGUUAGCUAGUUUGUUAAAGAAAAGAAGUUUUCUGUGAGUAUAAAAACGAUGGUCUGGCUUUGUAUUGAGGCAAGUAAUAGUCUAAGUUCAUUUUUGUACCAGAGUUCAUUUUAAGCAAAUGAUUGUUUGAAGAGAAAUUCUCAAAGUUACCUAGUUUUCUUCAUGGUAUCAGUCGCUAGGUGUUCUUGAUCAUGGCAACAACAAACUCUGUUGCGUCAGACUCUGCUGAAGUACAUGGAUCUGUGUUUACUGCUGAACGUGUGGUGAAUUCGCUUCCUCGACAUGACGUUGUGAAACUUGAUGAAGGAACAUUUCUUCAAUGGAAGCAACAGGUGAGAUUCAUUGUUAAUGGCUAUGAUCUAUUUGGUUUUCUUGAUGGCUCUAUUGCUGUGCCGUCGAGGUUUGUGCAAGCACCGGAUGGUGCACUUGUGGUAAAUCCCGUGGCUUCCGUGUAUCAGCAACAGGACAAUCUUCUCACGUCCUGGCUUCUUUCCACCAUAAGUUCCUUCAUUCUCUCAUCCUUUAUGGAUGUUCAGUCGGCGAAGGAUGUGUGGACCAUGGCGUUGGAAAUGUUUGCGGCCGAUUCUGAUCAACGGCAGUCGCGAUUGCGUCAUGAGCUUCACUCUCUCAAGAAAGGAAGCAUGUCGAUCCGUGAUUAUGUUGCGAAGUUAAAACGUGUGUGUGCUCUGUUGGAAUCCUCUGGAUCUUCCAUUUCAAUGGCAGAAAGGACGGCGAUGCUUCUUGCAGGGCUUCCGUCUGAGUUUGAAGGUGGCGUCUUGUCGGCUUCGUUGUCUCCGACUCCGUUGUCGUUUCCACGACUGGUUGAGGCGUUACUAGAGUGUGAAACUCGACAUGCUCAGACCAGUCAAGAGGUGGUGUAUGCUGCAAAUCUGGUGGAGGAUGUGUCUACGGAUGAUUCGUCGCGAGGAGGGCGAUCGGGGGCGCGUGGUCGUGGAAGGACGUUUCAGCCGUGACUUCAGUGCCAGAUCUGCUCUCGGUUUGGACACGUGGCUCAAAAAUGCUAUUAUAGGUACCAUCGUGAUGAGUCAUCUCCGGUGCCACCUCCGCAGCAAAACCAGAUGCUGAAUCUUUACUCCGGCGAUGGUGGCUGGCCGUCUCACCCAAACACUAGACCUAAGGUUUCUAAUUUUGGUCAACAACAUUAUGGGACUAAUCAAGUUAAUUGUGCUACAGGUCAAAAUUGUUUUGGGCCUGGUCAAAAUUCAUAUGAUUUUGGUCAAAAUUGGUGUGCUGAAGGGGGCUUCAAUACGCAGCGUGGACGCCAGCAGGUUGGGCCAAAUGGGUGGCUUAAGCCGAGUGAUGAACGGCGAGAUUUCAGGCGUCCAACUCCUGGGCCGCAAGCUGGUAGGCCAAAUGAUGGUGUACAUGGAGGGUUUGGCAUGCCGUCUUAUGUUGGGUCGAAUAUUGGGCAGAAUGUUGGGCCAAAUGUUCCUCCUCCGAUGCCCACAAAUCCGUUUGUGAAUAAUGUUCAGCUCUAUCCAGCUAAUCUGAUCGGUACCACGAUAGUUCCAUGGCGAACCAAGCCGCGUGCGUGAGUAUUUUCCGCCUCAAACCCCUGUUUUGGACUUCCUAGGUUGGGAGAUAUACAUGCGUCAGACUAUUCUGAUCCGUCGAUCUCUAGUUCUCAUGCUAAAUCCGAUCGACAUAGAGUGAGUGGGGAUGAGUCUGGCUCACUGAUUCCUGGACCAGUUGGGACGUCGUAUUGGUAUUCUGAUUCAGGAGCCAACAAUCAUGUUUGUCGAGACCCGUCCGAUUUGCAUCAUGCCAAUCCUUAUUCAGGUACGUCUUUUAUUUUAAUGGGUGAUGGUACACCCGCAAUGAUAUCAUCCGUUGGUCAAAGUGUUUUGCCGACUCGGUCUAGGUUGCUUCAGCUAUCUAAUGUUUUAUAUGUCCCAACUAUUCGGAAAAAUUUGUUAUCAGUAUCACAAUUUGCAACUGAUAAUGGGGUGUUUUUUGAGUUUCACUCUACUUAUUGUGUGAUUAAGGAUAACGUGACACAGGAGGUUUUACUGACGGGGCAUAUUCAUAAUGGGCUAUACCGGUUCUCAUUACCAGAUGGUGUUCCUAGUAUGUCUGCUGCUUAGGUAGAAUGUUCGACUUCGACUGCAGACAGUGAGUUGUUUUCGUUAUGGCAUAAGCGUCUUGGACACCCGUCAUCUAUUGUUGUUAAAAAUGUUUUACAUAAGUGUCAUGUUCCUUUGAAUAAAGUCUCUAUUAGUGAUGUUUGUACUGCUUGUAAAAAGGGUAAACUUCAUAAGUUGCCAUUUUCGGCCUCCAAUACUGAGUAUACUGAUCCCUUUUCGUUGGUUGUAUCUGAUGUAUGGGAACCUACUUCGGUUGCUUCUAAUAACAAUUGGUACUAUGUGUCGUUCAUUGACAUGAGUUCUCGAUUUACUUGGGUAUAUCUAAUUCGGCAAAAGUCACAAGUUAUGACCUGUUUUAUUCAGUUUCAGAAACUUGUUUACAAUCAGUUUGGCAAGACCAUCAAGCAGUUCCAGAGUGACUGGGGUGGUGAGUGUCGUGCAUUGGCUUCGGUUUUAGCGUCCCAAGGUAUUGUUCAUCGUGUGUCGUGUCCGCACACUUCUGAACAGAAUGGUGUUGCCGAGCGUAAACAUCGACACAUUGUGGACAUGGGGCUUACACUUUUAGCUCAAGCAGGGCUUUCGAUGGAGUUCUGGCCAUAUGCGUUUACGUGUGCCGUUCAUCUAAUAAAUCGUCUUCCCACACCAGCGCUGGAUGGUAAGACACCGUAUCGUGUGCUCUAUUGGCAAGACCCUACUUAUGAUCAUUUACGUAUUUUUGGAUGUUGUUGCUAUCCAUUUUUGCGCCCGUUUCAGCUUCAUAAAUUAAAAUUUCGGUCUCAACCGUGUACGUUCUUGGGCUACAGCCCUUGUCACAAAGGAUAUCAGUGUCUAUUGCCGGAUGGUCUUAUUAUUGUCUCGCGACAUGUAGAGUUUGAUGAGUCUCGGUUCCUCUCUCCAACGAGUGUAUCUCGUUCACGGGAGGUGAGUACUAUACCUACCUACUUUCCUAUUCUUGAGACUAAUCUGUUAUUGGGAAUGAAUUCUAUUUCUGGAAAUGUUUGUCCACCUAGUGUAUCUGGGUCUCUGAGUCCUCAGAAUGGAGUGGAUGUUAGUCCAACAAAUACUAAUUGUCAUAAUACUCCCUCGUUGAAUGAGGUGUUGACUGAAGGUGAUAAUGAUCAUCAUGAUUUCUUGAAUUCUGAAACUCAGUCUUUCACGCCUGUUGUUCGAGUUCCGUCCGACCCUACAGGGCCAGAUGUGUCGGUGCCUAAUGUGAAUGUUCAUCCUAUGACCACUCGUUUGAAGGCUGGUAUUUUUAAACCUAAGGCUCUUGCGGUUGAGGUUGUCGAACCAUCAACGAUUGAAGAAGCUGUCACUAGCCCUGAGUGGCAAGCUGCUGCUCAAGCUGAGUAUGACGCUUUAAUUCGGAAUGGUACCUGGGUACUUGUUCCUAUGCCAUCGGGUCGCAAAGUUAUUGGUUGCAAAUGGUUGUUUAAAGUAAAGAAAAACCCAGAUGGCAAAGUUGAACGAUACAAGGCACGUCUGGUGGCAAAAGAAUGUUCUCAAGUUCCAAAGUGUGAUUUUCAGGAAACAUUUAGUCCAGUUGUAAAACCUGCUACUAUAAGGGUUAUCUUGUCCAUUGCGGUUACUAAAGGAUGGUUACUUCGACAAGUUCAUGUUAACAAUGCCUUUUUAAAUGGUGAUGUUGAUAGUGAGGUGUUUAUGCAGCAACCCCCGGGAUAUGUUAAACUUGGUUCUGAUGGGCGACCUUUGGUUUGUCGUCUAAAGAAUGCGUUAUAUGGUUUGCGUCAAGCUCCACGAGCUUGGUUUGAGAAGUUGAGAAAUUUUCUUCUAACAGUUGGGUUUGUUGGCUCUAAGUUGGAUGCUUCUCUAUUUGUUCGAGUUCGAUCGGAUUCCACUCUAUAUGUUCUUGUUUAUGUUGAUGACAUUAUCAUUACUGGUAAUUUGGCGUCGUCUAUUGACUGGUUUGUACAGAUGUUGAAUGAUGAAUUUUCGUUAAAGGACAUGGGUGAUUUACACUAUUUUUUAGGAAUUGAGGUUACUAGGUCGUUGUGUGGAAGUCUUCAUCUUUGUCAAAGGAAGUAUAUCCGGGAUAUGUUGAAGCGUAGUGGUUUGGCGAGUGCUAAAGGUGUUCAUACGCCCAUGAUUAGCUCGUCGCACAUUUCUAAGAAUGAUGGUGAUCUUUUAUCUGAUCCAACUGAGUACAGAAGUCUGGCAGGAGCGUUACAAUAUGUGGUUAUUACUAGGCCCGAUAUUGCUUAUGCGGUUAAUCGGGUAUGUCAGUUUAUGCAUCAUCCUACCACAGUUCAUUUGGCAGCUCUUAAAAGAAUAUUACGAUAUUUGUCUGCUACUAUUGAUUUUGGAAUUGUUUUUCGACGGUCUGAUUCUCUCUAUUUAGUUGGGUUUUCUGAUGCAAACUGGGGGUUGGAUUUCGAUGAUCGGCGGUCUACUUCAGGGUACUGUGUUUUUUUUGGUCUAACCCUGUUUCAUGGUCAUCAAAGAAAUAACAGGUGGUAUCGCGUUCUACGGCUGAGGCUGAAUAUAGAAGUCUUGCUGCUAUUACAAGUGAUGUUCUGUGGUUACUUUCGUUGUUACGAGAGUUGCAUAUUGGGUCUGUUUCUCCACCAAAUAUAUGGUGUGAUAGUUCUAGUGCUGUUGCUGUUGCUGCUAGCCCUGUGUUACACUCCAAGUUCAAGUAUGUGGAGUUAGAUUUAUUUUUUGUUCGUGAGAAGGUUGCCGAUGGUUUAGUUUUUGUAGGGGAAGUUCCUGCGUCUGAUCAAGUUGCUGAUGUGUUAACCAAAUCAUUGUCGCUUUCUUAUUUUGCUCGAUUUAGAAAUUUUCUUCGGGUUUUGUCAAUUGAGAAGAUGGAUGCAUGUUAAGGAUAAUAAAACGGUUAAAGAAGUAGUUAGUGAAGGUUGGAAGGUUAGCUACUUUGUUAAAGAAAGGAAGUUUUCUGUGAGUAUAAAAACGAUGGUCUGGCUUUGUAUUGAGGCAAGUAAUAGUUAAGUUCAUUUUUGUAACAGAGUUCAUUUUAAGCAAAUGAUUGUUUGAAGAGAAAUUCUCAAAGUUACCUAGUUUUCUUCAUUCGUCAAAAAAAUACACCUGCAAGCCAAAGCUAAAAGAGGAGAAAAGAAAGGCUGAAUAUGAGAGAAAACAUAUGUUUUUCAAACAAAACCAGAAGAAGAAAAACCUGAAGAGAAAGAAGAGCUACUCUCCAUUAGUGUUGAAGGGACCGUUUUAUGCAAAUCAGUUUCUAAUUACUACCCCAUAGCAGGUAAUGCAGCUUUUAGCAUUGUGUAUAUAGUACUAACUUUGGUUCAAUUCUAUUUCAUGCUUUUUACUAACAGAAACUUUCUUAUUUAAUAUAUUCCUGUUUUCAUAAACUAUUUCAUAAACAGAAUAACAGAUUAGUAACUGUUGUUAUACGCCAAUUCAGCUAGCAGUAGGUGAUCCUUCCAACUACCCCUAAAGUCAAUCACACAGCUCCUAAGCAUAUCUUCUAAAAUCUGAAUAAUUCGCUCAGAUUGUCCAUCAGGCUGAGGAUGGUAUGCAAUAUUGAAAUCUAGUCUUGUACCUAAAGCCUCGUACAACUUCUUCUAGAACCUGGAGGUGAAACAUGGAUCCUUCUUACAAUCUUAGACACGUACAAUUUAGCUAACUUCUGUAGUGAAUAAUCGAUUCUAAUUGCUACACAUAACACUUAUUGAAAAAGUUACAAAUUUAAUUUAAUUUAUUACAUUACAAUUUAUAUAUGUAUCAACAUAAAUAAACAUAUAACAUUAAUCUAUUUCUAAUUUAAUAAAAAUAAUCAAUUUUACAUUAAUCAAAAUUUCACGAUUGGUAGUAAUAAAAAUAAAUAGAAUAAGAAGCAUUCAUAUAUAAUAUAAAUUUUAUUAACAAUUAUUUAAUUAUACAAUAAAGUAUAUAUAAAAUAUUAUAAUAUUCAAUAAUAAAAAGCAGCCAGGUACAUAUUUUAGUUCAAUAAAAACAUCAAUGUUAACGGUAAUUAAAAUAAAUAAAAACAAUUAAUAUUUUUAAUAAAAAAGAUAAAAUAUUUGAUUUAAUAAUUGUUAGUGAUAUUUUAGAAGAUAUAUGCCAUAACUAAAGAGGCAAGAAGAAUGAAUAAGUUUAUAUUUUAUCAUCAAUAAUUUAUUUUAUCAAUGCAAAUAUAAAAAAUCUCAAUAUUUAAUUUAAUAAAAAUGAGCAAUAAACGAAUUUUACGUUAACAAGGACAUUGGCUAUUUGACUUUAAUGGUAAUAAAAAUAAUAUAAAUUUAUGAACAAUAAUUUCUUUUGUCAAUUUAAAUAUAAAAAAUAACAAAGUAGGGUCUUUAUUUGUCAUCCACUAAAUAACAAAUGCAACUAAUGAUGAAGUGCACAUUAAAGUUAAACCAACGAUUUGCCUUUGCUUUUUCUUCAUCCAAAUUGUUUUUUUGCUUUCAAAUCCUCAAAUCUGUGUUUGUGAUCAUUUCCACUAAUUGUUUUCAGUUCACAUUUUCUUGUAUUCUUGUAUUCUGAAAAGCAAACUUUCUUCUUACCUUGAUUUCCACUUCGCAAAAGAAACAGCGCAGAGAAUUGUUCAGUGAAGGUAAGUUUUGAGGAACUACUCCUCAUUAUAUUAUGGGUUCAUGAAACUUCAUCUUCCUUGCUCUAUAUAAGAAGUAGACUGCUAAUGGAGUACUAACAGGCUUGACACUCUGCAUAUUGAACUUGCAAAGAACUUUCUCAAUGUAUCCUUUUUGACUUAGGUACAAUUUACAUGUUUUUCUGUCUUUGCGAAUCUCCAUCCCAAAUAUCUUCUUUGCUGCUCCCAAAUAUUUCAUGUCAAAUUCUUUACUAAGCUGGGCUUUUACCUUUCUUAUCUCUCAUUUAUCUUUGGCUGCUAUCAACAUGUCAUCAGCAUAUGGUGAAAACUCGUGUCGAUGAGGCUAAAAGGCAACUUGAGAACAUCUAUGAGGACGUUGAGGACUGGCUUAGAAAGGCUGAGAAAGAACUGGAAGAAACCCAGAGCUUGUGUUAAACUUUGGCCUACAAUGCAACAUGGAACCAGCAGCAAGCUCACAACAAGACCAGAAACAGCAAAGCAGCUUACAGUGCAGCAUUGGAGCUGAACCGAAUGCAACAGUAGCUUGGUCCAUUUUGUUUCAAUGUAAUUUUGUUUAGUUUACUUUUGACUUAUGCAAGUAAGUUGGUAGGAUUGAUCUUUGAUGUAAUGGCUGAUAUAUCAGUUCAUUUUGUGUGUAAUUUAAGUUAUCAAUUAGUUAUGUAUUAGUGGGGGCAGUUAAGCCAUUAGGUAGCUGUCAAGUUAAACUUGUCACUUAUGUAUUUUUCAAUUUUUAAAUGAAAAUUAGUAUGGUUCUUCAGUUACAUUUUUUGCUGCUGUUCUUUCUUUCUUUUGCUUUGAUUUCAUUGAUUUUGUUUUGUUGUUUUGCUUUUGUUUAAUGCCAAUGUUCCAACAAAUGGUAAUUAGAGCCUGUCAUCUUUGAGGGCCUCUGUUGCUGGUUGUGUUUUUAGUAAAAACAAAGCUUGGAGAAAAGAGAAAUCGAAGUCUUUGAACUUGUUUCAGCAGGAUGAGUUUCACACCACCUCUACCACCUGUGUUCAUUGGAGAGAACUACCACAUUUGGGUAGUUAAGAUGAAAACAUACCUUCAGGCGCAUGAUCUGGGGAAUGUGAUUGAAAAUGACAUCAAACCACCUCCAUUGAGGGCCAAUCCCACCAUUGCUUAGAUGAUGCGACAUAGUGAAGAGUGCUCCAAAAAGAAUAAAGCAAUGUCCUGCUUGCAGAAUAGGGUAUCAGAUGUAAUCUUCACCAGGAUAAUGGCCUGUGACUCACCUAAACAAGCAUGGGAGAAGCUAAAUGAGGAGUUCAUGGGGUCAGACAAAACAAGGCAGCAGUAAGUGAUCAAUCUCAGGAGAGACUUUGAGAAUUUGAAGAUGAAAGAGUUUGAUACCAUUAAGCAGUACUCAGACAGAAUCAUGGCCACUGUCAAUAGCAUAAGGCUAAUUGGAGAGGACUUCAGUAAGGGCAGAGUUGUUGAAAAAGUCAUCACCACUCUCCCUGAAAAAUUCGAGUAAAAAAUUUCAUCACUUGAGGACUCGAGAGAUUUGUCCGCUUUUUCACUGUCUGAACUAAUAAACUCUUUGUAUGCACUUAAGCAAAGGAGAACAAAUAGGCAGGAAGAACAUCCUGAAGGUUUUUUCUAAGCAAAAGCCAAUGAAGGCUUAGGUUCAAAUCAGAAAAUGAAGAAGCCUUGGUCCAACAAAAAGGAGAAACCAAGAAGAGGUGAAGGCAAGAGAGUGUUUCCACCAUGCAUUCACUGCAAGAAGACCACACAUUCAGAAAGAUACUGUUGGUAUAGGCCUGACAUUCAAUGCAGAAGCUGUAAUCAGUUUGGUCAUGUUGAGAAAGUGUGCAAAAGUAAAGGAAAGGAAGCUGCUCAGCAACAAGCUCGAGCUGUUGAGGGCCUACAAGCUUAGGAGGAGCAUGUUUUUACAACCUCUUGUUUUGCUAGCACAAACAAAGUCAGAAGUGAUUGGUUAGUGGACAGUAGCUACUUACACCACAUGGCAGCUGAUGAGAAGCUGUUUAAAGACCUUGGCAAAACUUUUGCUUCAAAAAUUAGGAUUGGAGAUGGGAACCUAAUCGAAGCCAAAGGAAAAGGCAAUGUGAUGAUCAGCACUUGUUCAGGUAACAAAGUCUCUGAUGUGCUUUUUGUGCCUAACAUAGACCAGAACCUGCUUAGUGUUGGUCAGUUAGUGGAAAAAGGAUACACUUUGGUUUUUAGAAAUGGUUCUUACAUUGUUGAAGACUCACUUGGUCAUGAGUUAGUUACAGUAGCUAUGAUUGAUAGAUGCUUCAUGCUUGAUGUGAGUCAAAUUGAGAGAAAGGCUUACACCAGUCUUGCUGAUAGCACUGGUCUUUGGCAUAGGAGACUAGGACAUGCCAACUUCAGAUCACUUGAUCGGUUGCACAGGCUGAACUUGGUUGAUGACAUGUCUAAGGUUGAAGUCAGUGAUACUGUUUGUGAAGUUUGUCAGCUUGGUAAGCAAGCUAGAUUGCCUUUUCCAUCAAACAAUGCAUGGAGAGCUCGAGAGAAGCUUGAAAUGGUACAUUCUAAUGUUUGUGGACCAAUGAAGACCCCUUCACUGAAUGGAAGUAAGUACUUUGUGCUGUUUAUAGAUGAUCUAACCAGAUUUUGUUGGGUUUACUUCUUUAAACAGAAGUCAGAAGUGUUUGAAGCUUUUGGAAAAUUCAAAGCUUUAGUUGAGAAUCAAGCAGGCUACAGGAUUAAGGCUUUGAGGACAAAUAAUGGCACUGAAUACUUGUCUGAAAGAUUUUAGAAGCUAUAUGAGUAGGUUGGGAUCCAUCAUCAGUUAAAUACAAUGUAUACUCCUCAAAAAAAUGGGGUAUGCGAGAGGAAGAACAGGACAGUGAUGAACAUGGCCAGGUGUUUGCUAUUUCAAAGUAAACUUCCAAGUACAUUUUGGGCUGAGGGUGUCAAUACCUCAGUGUAUUUGCUCAACAAGUUGCCAACUCGAGCUGUCAAGGACAAGACAUCUUUUGAAGCAUAGCAUAGACUCAAGCUAGUGGUAUCACACUUAAAAGUGUUUGGUUGUGUCUGUUAUGCCCACAUUCUAGUAGAAAAGAGGACUAAGCUCAAAAAUAGGGCUGUUCCAGGGAUCUUUGUUGGCUAUAGCAGUACUAAGAAGGGCUAUAGGGUGUUUGAUCCCUCAACAAAAAAAAAUUUGGUAAGCAGAGAUGUAAGAUUUGAUGAAGAAAAGGUUUGGAGCUGGAAUGAUGUUGAAACAGGCUUAAGUGAAGAGGAUCAGCUAGACAUUGUUGUUGAACCUGCAGAAGAAUAAUCAAAUGAUGAGGCUGUUGAUGAUACUCCUAUGAGAGGCACCAGAACUAUUGAUGACAUCUACCAAAGAAGCAAUAUGGUAAUAGUUGAACCAUCUGACUUUGAGGAAGCUAUCAAGGACAAGCCCUGGACGAAAGCCAUGGAAGUAGAAUUGGAGAUGAUUCACAAAAAAUAACACUUGGGAAUUGGUGAGCAAACCUGAUCACAAGAAGGUCAUUAGUGUCAAAUGGGUGUUUAGAGACAAGUGCAAUGCUGAUGGCUCAUUGAACAAGCACAAAGCAAGACUUGUGGUGAAAGGCUAUAGUCAGCAAUAUGGGAUCGAUUUCAUGGAGACAUUUGCUCUAGUAGCAAGGCUGGACAGAAUCAAACUUUUGUUUGCUUUGGCUGCUCAAAAACAAUGGAAGAUUCACCAAUUGGAUGUCAAGUCAGCAUUUCUGAAUGACUUUCUCAAGGAGGAAAUUUUCAUUGAGCAACUUGAUGGAUUUAAAAUUGUAGGAGAAGAAGAUAAGGUUUACAGACUAAGAAAGGCUCUUUAUGGCUUGAAGCAGGCACCAAGGGCCUGGUAUGACAAGGUUGACACUUACCUGUCUAGGCUUGGGUUCGAGAAAAGUGUUAGUGAAGCUACACUUUAUGUGAAGAGGUCAAAAGGUAAGACUUUGCUGAUUGUUUCUCUUUAUGUGGAUGAUUUACUUGUGACUGGAAGUAAAGAUGAAUUGAUUGUUAAAUUUAAAGCUCAAAUGCAAAAGGUGUUUGAAAUGACUGUCUUGGGGAUCAUGACUUACUUCCUUGGUAUGGAAGUGCAUCAGUUUGAUAAAGGCAUAUUCAUCAGCCAACAUGCUUUUGCCUUGAAAAUUCUCAAUAAAUUCUGUAUGCAGAACUGCAAAACAGUCAGCACACCUGUGGCUCAAGGGGAGAAGCUGACCAGUAGUGGAGAUCAGGAAAGGGUUGAUGAGAAGUAAUAUCGAAGUCUGGUAGGCUGUCUGCUCUAUUUAACAGCAACCAGACCUGAUAUCAUGUUUGGUGUUAGUCUUUUAUCAAGGUUUAUGCAUUGCUGUGAUGUGGUUCAUUUCAAAGCAGCAAAAAGGAUCCUUAGAUAUGUUAAAGGAACCUUAGAUUAUGGAGUUAAGUUUGAGAAAGCAAGGGAGCUCAAGCUAGCAGGGUAUUCAGAUAGUGAUUGGGCUGGUUCUGUUGAUGGCAUGAAGAGUACCUGUGGUUACUUUUUUACACUUGGAUCAAGUGUAUUUUGCUAGAGUUCAAAGAAGCAACAAACUGUUACUCAGUCCAUAGCUAAAGCAGAGUACAUUUCAACUACAGCAGCUGUUAAUCAAGCCAUUUGGCUUAGGAAGCUCCUACAUGAUCUCAAUGAAGAUCAAGCUGAGCCAACUGAGAUCAGGGUAGACAAUCAAUUUUUUGUUACCAUAGCUAAGAAUCCGGUCUUUCAUGGUAAGACCAAACACUUUAAGAUCAAAUUUUAUUUUGUUCGAGAGGCUGAACAAUCGAAGGAAGUCAGCCUUGUUCAUUGUAGCUCAAAAGGUCAAUUGGCUGAUUUACUGACCAAGCCAUUGGGAGCUACUAGAUUUGAAAUUUUGAGAAGGGAAAUUGGUGUUUGUUGCAUACAGUCCAACGAGGAGUGUUAAACUUUGGCCUGCAAUGCAACAUGGAACUAACAACAAGCUCACAACAAGACCAGCAACAACAAAGCAGUUUGAAGUGCAGCAUUGGAGCUGAACCGAAUGCAACAAUAGCUUGGUCCAUUUUGUUUCAAUGUAAUUUUGUUAGUUUACUUGUGACUUAUGCAAGUAAGUUGGUAGGAUUGAUCUUUGAUGUAAUGGCUGAUAUGUUAGCUCAUUUUGUGUGUAAUUUAAGUUAUUAAUUAGUCAUGUAUUAGUGGGGGCAGUUAAGCUAGUAGGUAACUGUACUGUCAAGUUAAACUUGUAACUUAUGUAUUUUUCAAUUUUUGAAUGAAAAUUAGUGUGGUUCUUCAGUUACAUUUUUUGCUGCUGUUCUUUCUUUCUUUUGCUUCUAUUUCAUUACUUUUGUUUUGCUGUUUUGCUUUUGUUUAAUGCCAACGUUCCAACAACUUGAAACAUGAAAUAGAUCGCGUCAAGUGUUUCAAAUGGUGAAACUGGCAAAGAACACUUCUAUUAUCUCUAAACUUUUAGAUACUUCUAACUUUGCACAGGUGAGCUAUCAUUCUUCUCUUCAAGGAAUAAAGUUUAUCACACCCACGGAUUGCGUGGGCCCUGCAUCUUCAAAAUCAGCUUUAAUCGGGAUCAUGGAGGCUAUAAAUGAUAACGGUGUCAACAUGAUUGGACUGUACGAAAUGCUAGGAGUCGGGAAAACAACUUUAGCCAAAGAAGUUGGGAAGCAUGCUCGAGAACAAAAGCUCUAUGAUAAAAUUGUGAUGUUUACUGUGUCCCAAAAUCCAAACAUCAACAAAAUUCAAGAUAAAGUUGCAGAUUUUUUUGGUUUAAAAUUUGAAACAAGUAGCCAAGAAGGAAAAGCAGAAGCGCUUUUCAGGAGCAUGCAAGGCGUGAACAAAAUCCUCGUAAUUGUCGACGACCUCUGGGAAGAAUUCAAAUUGGAGAGUAUCAGAAUUCCAUUCGGUGAUGGACACAAGGGUUGUAAAAUUCUUCUGACUACAUGUCAUCAACAAGUCUGCAUUUAAAUAAACUGUCAGAAGGUGAUUCAACUUGGCAUCUUAUCCGAAGACGAAGCAUGGGUUUUGUUUCGAGAAAGAUCUGGUUUAGAUGAUUAUUGUUCCUCCUUGAAUGAUGUAGCCAAAGAGGUUGAUGGUGAAUGUAAGGGAUUGCCUCCUGUACUUGAUACCGUGGCAAGAGCUUUAAAAGAUGAGAGUUUAGAUGCGUGGAGAGCCUUAAAGCAGAGAUUCAAGGACUCAAGGCAUUUGGUUAAUGAAGAAGUUCUCGGAGAUGUCUUCAAGGGUCUUAAGCUUAGCUACGCUUAUUUGAAGGAAGGCAAUAACCAAAUAACGGAAAAUGACAUCCAAAGUGUUUCUUACUGUGUUCCCUUUUUCCUGAAUAUGAAGAAAUCCGUAUUGACAUCCAAAUUGGAGUAGGAUUGUUCCCUAAUGUUUACUCGAUUGAAGAUAAAAGUAAAGAAAUUGGUAUGGCACUAAAAAUACUCCAAAAAUCUAGCUUAUUAUUGGAAACUUAUGACGCAAAAACGAUAAGAAUGCAUGGUGUGGUUCGAGAUUUUGCUCAUCGGCUAACAUCAACAGGAGAAAAUAGGUUUAUGGUAAAAGAUGAGGUGAAAGAAUGGCCUCAUUUGGAUGAAAGUUUUGGAUGUUAUACUGCAAUCGCUUUAUGGAAUUGUAGUAGUAACAUAAAAAAUAUUCCCGAUAACUUUGUUUUUAGCAGGGGAGUGGGAUGAUUUACUAGUGGUUUCCGAAACAUUUUUUGGAGAAAUGAAAGCACUCCAAGUUCUACUACUCAGAAAUGUCAGUUUCUCACCGACGGGAUUCCAUUCCUUACCAAAUCUUAAAACUUUGUGUUGUAUUAAUUGCGAGCUGAAAAACUUCUCAUCAUCAAUGACAAAUAUGAGAAGCCUUGAGAUCCUUGCAUUGUUUGGCACUAAGAUUGAUGAGAUAAGUAAAGAAUUAGUGAAAUUGUCUACACUGAAAUUAUUAUAUGUUGAAGUUGAAAAGGAAGAAAAAAUCAAUUUCCCCCCAAUUUCCUAUCAAGGUAAUAGUGCAUCAAAUUUAAUUUUCUUUUUUAUCAUAUUCGUAUUUUGUUUGACACCAUUUAUUUUCCUAUCAUUUUCUUUCAUAGGUAAUUUUUAUUUUGGAAUACUAGUUUUAUCACAUGUUCCUUCACCUGGAGAUAUCACAAUAUAUAGUUCAAUAGUCAACGUAAUAAAUAUUAAAAAAACAACUUAAUAAAUUAAUUAAGGCAUAAUGAAAAUUUAGUCGUUAACGUUUACAUCAUUUAUUAAUUUAACCCUUAUUUUUUUAGCUAAAUUUGGUUGUGCACCUUUUAAAAAUAGUCGAAUUUAAACAUUAACCUUUUAAAAAAUUAUUGAAUUUUUUUAUAACGGAAAUACUAACUAAAAUGUAAAGUUUCUAUACAUGAAAGCCUGCAUGGUAAUCCAUGUUUACUUAUGCUAUUCAAAAAAAAAAAGUAUGCAUUUGCUAUAGUUUUUGAAUUUUUGUAUAAAUUUUAAAUUAUUUCUUUAGUUGACAUAUAAGAUAUAUAAUGUAAUGUUUGCAUGAAAAAUACAUGUAAUAACAUGUGGAUUGUCAUAUCAAUAAAUUUUUUAUUAAUAAUAUUAAAUAAAUAUAAAAUAUUCAAUAAAAAAUUAAUAAAAAUUAAACCUUCAAUUCAAUGUAACUAUAAAAAUUUAAUAUACAAAUUUAAUCAAAGUUUAAUUUAAAUAUAAAAAAUUGUCAAUAUUUAAUUUAAUAAAAGAAAUCAAUUAAUGAAUUUCAGUUUAAUAAGAACUUAAUAAUCUUGUUUAAAUGAAACUUUUCAUUUUUCAAUUUCAAUCAUUGCACCCAAAUUUUUAUUAUAAGAAAAGACAUUUAUAUUUUUUUUCCCAAACUUCUUUAUUUUUUUUUCAUUUAGAGAUAAAUUAUAUGAUAUUUGCACCCAAUAUUUAACUUUUUUUCGAAGGUAUCUGAUUUAAUCAUUCCACAUAAAAAAUAAAAAUGUUUUCUUUUAAAUACAAAAUAAUAUACUUACAUGAGUUUUUUUUUCUAAACCUCGUAAUUUGUGUUACAUAUAUAACUUGACAAUUAAUGUUGCUUCUUUUUAUGAAUAUAAUAAGUUGACUUCAUUGCAAGAAGUAGAUGUGAUCAGCAAAAGCAAUAUCAACUUAUUGAAGCCAAAUUCAUUGUCUCGUUUAACUGCACCAUCACUGGCGCUUUCUACUAAUCAAUUUUCUCAAGAAUAUUGGGUGUUCCCUAAACUACAAAGGUACAAUAUAGCUGUAAGUGACAAUUUUAACUAUCGGAGGUUGUUUAGAACAUUGACAAUUGGAAACUUCUCAUCCUCAUUGACUGCAUUUAACACUUUAUUUUGCAAUAUGGAGAAAAAGUUGAACUUGAACAAUGUUAGUGGACAAAAGAACAUUGUGUCAAGUAAAAUGGGAGUAAAUGAGUUGACUUCUCUGCAGCUUAAUUAUUGUAAGGAUAUGGAAUUCUUGAUUGAUAUGACAAGAGAUCAGGAGUCAAUUGUUGCAUUCUUUAAUUUGGUGGAAUUAAAUAUAGAAAGAAUGGUUUCUUUGAAAGGGCUGUGCUAUGGUCUUCCUCCGACUAGGUUCUUGCAAAAUCUUAAGCAAGUAAGCAUCAAACAUUGUGAGGAGUUACAAGAGAUACUUCAAAUGGAUAAGCUUUCUGAAAAGGUGAAAUGUCAGACACCAUUGUGCUCAAAUUUAACAAUAUUGGAACUAUAUUGAUCACUGCCAAAUAAAUUGGAAAGCGUAUGGAAAUUAGAGCCAUCACAUCAUGCAAUUGCAAGCCUCACAAGACUAAAGGUUUUAAGAAUUGUGCAUUGCAAUAAACCGAAAACAAUCUUCUCACCUUGCUUGGCUCUAAGUAUGCUGCAUCUACAAGAACUCAAUAUAAGGCACUGCGAUGGAUUAGAGCAAGUCAUUGACUUCGGCAAAGAAGAAGAGAUUAUUGAGGUAGGAAUACCGAUUCUCUCCAAUUUUGUAAAUCUUCUUUAUUGUUUUAACUUUUUGAUAGCAUUCUUUUAUGGAUGAGACAAAUUGCAAGAAAACCAAAAACCAAUUUGAAGUGAAGUGCUUUGUUCAGUAUUUAUUGAGUUUAGAUUAGUUUUGAUUUUUAUAUUAUUUAUGUGUAUCCAAUUUGUUGAAAGUGUAGUGAGCACUAAAGAAAUUAACUUUUAUUACUCAAAACAAAUACACCAAUGCAAAAUAAAACUAUAUUUUCCUCUCAAUUAGUACCUACAACUAAUUAUACACUCACAAUUCACUCUUUGCUUAUUUCCACUUCCAUGCACACAAAGUCACACACCUUUGUUUUGUUUCAUACUCUUUCCUUUUCUUCUCAUCCACACACUCGCUUAUACAUAUCACAAAUACAUGAAACCUGUUUAUAGGCUUAUAAACCACAUCCUGAAUUGUUGUGUCUCUUAUUUUUAUUUAGAUUUUAUUUAUUUAUGGAAAAGCCUUCAAUUUAAUUACAUGUCACUUUUCUUCUACCCUUAAAUUUCUAACUUAUAAAGUUAGUUUCAUAUUGUUGAAAAAUAUGAAACUAACAUUUUUUGUGCAAGAGUAGCACCAAAUUGAUAUGAAAAUGAUUUUCAUAUCUAUUAUAUUGAUAAUUUAUUAAAUGACUUUAAUGGGUUAUGAUUGAGUUCAUGGUUGAUAUCUAGCCUAUUAUAGAAUAUCAUAUCACUAAGGAGAUUAGUUUUUAGAUAUUAGAUUGAUUCAAAAUUAACCAAGACAAUCACUUGGAUUGUAAAGUUUAAUGAUGUUCAUGUUGGUUCCACUCAAUUAUACACCAUAGUAGAACAUGUCCUGAAUAAGUUAUGUUAUUACCAAAAGUUGUAUAAAUGUAGAAUAUCCAGAAAAUAGAAAAUACAGGAGUUACCAGGUUCGGAAGAUAGGGAAUAAUGAGCUUCUUUUUUAUACAUGUUCUUUGACUUCAACAUAAGUAAGUGUGGCUUGCAAAUAAUGCACCAGCCAAGUGUUAAAAUUGCUUGUUGCUUUUAAUGUAAUUCACCACAAGGAUUGUUCACAGUUUGGUUAAAAUCGAUUUAACCGAUCGAAUCAAUCUAAUUCGGUUAAUUGGUCGUUGGCCGAAUUUAGUUCGGUUGAAGGUUGGUUAAUGAUUUUUUGAAAUUUCGGUUAUCGGUUAGUUCAACUCGAAAUCGAGUAAUUGAUUGGAUUAACCGAUAUAUAUUAUAUAUAAUAUAUGUAGUGUUUGGUUGUUAGCUUUCAAGAUUUAUCUAGUGUUUUUAAUAUCUUAUUUGAAGUUUUCACCUCCAUUUAAAGUAUAUUAACAGGGUAUUUUUUAUAUCUUUUAUACAUAUUUGAACCAAAAGACAAAAACAUAUAUGAUAAAGAUUGAGACGGAUGAAAGCGUAAGGGAAUCAUAAAGUUUGUCAAAGUCGUAAAUUUGACUUAGGGCUGUAGACAUUCGGAAAGAAACUUGGAUUUUGACACAAACCUGAAACGAAAUUGAAUCCAAGUAAAAAAAAUUAAAAUAAAUAACUAAAAUAAAAUAAUAAAUCAAAUAUUAGAAUAACAAGAAUGCGAAUAAAGAAGAUAAAUGGAAAGAUAGAACGUGGUGUGUAUAAGUCCUAAGUAGCCUAGGAAACAUAAAGAAUCCACAACCCCCUUUAAACGGCUCUAAUUUUCCCUCUAAGAUAGAAAUCUUGACAAGAAAAAGUUUGCAAGUGAUCCCCACAAGCUAAAAACAAUGUUAAAACUCUUCUGAAAUAAACUCAAGAGAGAAAUCCUUAAAAAGAAAAAACCCAGAGAGAAUUUAUUAACUCAAAGAGAAAUAGAAUAAUAAUGAAUUAAUGUAUCAAUUAUGUACAAUGCAAAGGCCUAUACAUAGGCUAGCUAAAUAAAUCUAAAUAAAACUCUUAAGUAUACUAGAACUCUAAUUUAAUCUAAACAAUAAGUAAUUUUAAACUAAACUUUCUUAUUAACAUAGAACUCCUAAAUAACUUAAAAUACUUAAUAAUUAUAAAAAAUUUGGAAUAAAUUAAUAAUAAAAUAAUAAGAGCUGAUAAAUAAAAUAUUGGGCUCAUAUAUAAUAAAAAUUAAGCCUAAAACUCGAACCCAAUAUGAAACGUCUAGGCUUGUGAGAUCAAUUGGGGUUCUUGAAGUGAAAUGCCUAAGCUUUUUAGCAUUUUCCACAUGGGAGAGUGUAGGCCCACAAAUAGAAUUAGUCCCUUCUAAUUCAUCAUUAUUCUAGAAUUCAUUGUCUUAAAACUUCAACUCUUCUUCUCGAAUUAUUUUCGUGAUAAAGUAUUGAACAAAUAAGUUGAGUUUUGACUUUAUCUACUUGGAUUUAAAUCUCGUAAUUGGGCAUUGAGGGAAACUAAGCACAUCUAUAUUAUGGCAUUUGAAUUGGGCUAAGUUUCUCAUAUCGUUCCCCUUUCCACAAAAGGAUUCGUCCUUGAAGCUACAAUAUCAAAAGGAGAAAGGUCAGUGACAUUAAAAGUGGCACUAACAUCAUACUCACCAAGAAGGUCGAUUUGAUAUGUAUUAUCAUUAAUGUCCUUGAAUACUUGAAAAGGUCCAUCAACAUAUGGGUCCAAUUUUGUUUUGCGUUUAGUUGGAAAUUGCUCUUUUCUCAUGUGGAUCCAAACCCAGUCACCGGGUUCAAAGAUAAUUUGCUUGCGCCCCUUGUUAGCUUUGUUGGCAUUUGCUUCAUUUGUUUUGGCGAUUCAUUGUCUUGCUUUCGCAUGCAUGGAUUUCACCAAUUUAGCUUUCUUCUCACCAUCUAAACUAGAAAUGUUUUCUAUAGGAAAUGGUACAAAAUCAAGUACAUUCAGUGGAUUAAAACUAUAAACAAGUUCAAAUGGGGAAUAGGCAAUUGUAGAGUGAAUAGAUCAGUUAUAUGCAAACUCAACAAAUGGAAAACAUUCUUCCCAAUUUUUAAGGUUCUUACCCAUAGCAGCUCGUAGUAAAGCACCUAAAACUUGAUUGACUACCUUUGUUUGUCCAUAGUUUUGGGGUUGACAUGUAGUAGAAUAUAAUAAUUUAGUACCAAGCUUACCCCCACAAUACUUUUCAAAAGUGGCUUAGGAACUUUAUGUCUCUUUCAGAUACAAUGGUACAAGGUAUUCCAUGUAGGCACACCACCUCCCAAAAGAAUAAGUUAGCUACAUGUGGAGCGUCAUCCGUUUUGUGACAAGGAAUAUAGUGAGCCAUCUUUGAAAACUUGUCAACAACAACAAAGAUACUUUCUCGACCCUUUUUAGUUCGUAUCAAACCAAGAAUGAAAUCCAUAAAUAAGUCUACCCAUGGAAAAAAAAGAAUCGGCAAAGGAGUAUAAAGUCCAUGAGGCAUUACCUUAGAUUUUGCUUGUUUACAAGUAAUACAAUUAGAACAUACCUUUUCAACGUCCUUUUUCGUGUGCAGCCAAUAAAAAUGUUCAUGUAAAAUAUCUAGUGUCUUGACGACACCAAAGUGUCCCAUUAGGCCUCCACUAUGUGCCUCACAAAUUAAUAAUGCUCUCAUGGAACAUUGUAGAACACAUACCCUGUUUAGGUGAAAAAGAAACCAAUCUACAAGAUAAAACUUGUUAAAGGCACCAUUCCAAUAAUUAGAAAAAAAAACAUUUGCAAAAUCAAUAUCAUUUAAGUAUAAAUCUUUUAUAUGUUCAAACCCUAAGACUUUAGCAUUUAAUGUAGUUAUCAAAUAAUAUCUACGACAUAAGGCAUCAUCAACUAUAUUUUCUCUACUUGUUUUAUACUUAAUUGUAAAUGGAAAUGUCUCUAUGAAUUCUACCCAUCGAGCGUGUCUUUUGCUCAACUUACCUUGUCCCUUUAACCAUUUUAGGUAUUUAUGAUCUGUAUGGAUAACGAACUCAUUUGGCAGUAAGUAAUGUUGCCAAACUUGUAGAGCUCAAACUAAUGUUAGCAACUCUUUAUCAUAAGUUGAGUAGUUUAAUUGCUCCCCAAUCAGUUUUUCACUGAAAUAUGCAAUUGGCCUUUUUCCUUGCAUCAACACUGCACCAAUUCCAAUACCUGAAUCAUCACAUUCAAGUUCAAAAAUAUUAGAAAAAUCAGGUAAUUUAAGAACCAGAGUAGAACAUAACUUCUUUCAAGUUUGGAAAGCCUUUUCCUGCGCUUUUCCCCAUUUAAAACCCACAGACUUUUUAAUAAUCUCAGUUAAUGGAGCAGCAAUUGUGGAGAAAUCCUUCACAAAACGUCUAUAAAAACUUGCUAAACCAUGGAAAGAUCUCACAUCGAUAAUUGAUUUAGGAGUGGGCCACUCCCUAAUUGCCUUUACUUUGUCCUCACCUACAUGAAUACCUUGAACACUUACUAUAAAACCUAAAAAGAUUAGUUUAUCACAAUAAAAAGUGCAUUUAUUAAAGUUGGUAAAUAAAUUUUCAGUUCGUAGAAUAUCCAAAAUAGAUUUAACAUGAAAAACAUGAUCAUCUAAAGAAAAGAAGUUGAGUAAAUUAGAAUAUCAUCAAAAUAUAUUACCACAAAUUUACCCAAAUAAGGUUUCAAAACAUGGUUCAUCAAGCGCAUGAAAGUACUAGGUGCAUUAGUCAAACCGAAAGGCAUGACAAGCCAUUCAUAUAAACCAAACUUAUUUUUAAAUGUUGUUUUUCAUUCAUCCCCCUCUUUCAUUCGAAUUUGAUGGUAGCCACUUUUUAAAUCAAUUUUUGUAAAGAUACAAGCACCAUAAGUUUCACCAAACAUAUCAUCAAGCUUUGGAAUACGAUGUCUAUACUUAAUAGUAAUUUGGUUAAUUGGUUGACAAGCACCAUAAAGAAAUCGAUUACCUUGAAUAAGGUGGUGAAGUCUUUGUUUAAUAUACCUAUAAUAGUGAGGUGGGAUAAAAUGUUUUUGCAUGAUUUGUGUCAACUGUUCCCACGAAUCAACUUCUCGUUCAUGAUUCCUUUAAGAGUUCAACACAAGUUGAGUGGUGGAAUGUGAUCUCCAUUUUAUCCUCCCAAUCACAAUAUGCAUCUGGAUCAUACUUUCCUUGGAAUGGUGGAAUGUUGAACUUUGGUUUAGCGAUAGAAGAUUGGCCUCGAUUAGAACGAAUACCAGUACUAGAAUGAAUACAAAGUUGUUUAUUGUCCCUAUCAUCGUCACUAUCACGAGCACAAGAUUGUCAAUUUGAAGAAGUCUCCAAAUGAGCAACAACUUGAAUUAGCAGUUGAAUUUGAUUGGAAAGCUGAUUAAUGUUCUCUUGUAGUUUUGUUCGACACUUAGUCAAAUUGGCCUCAAAUGUAUCACGUACCUCGUUCAAUUGUUGAUGUUGAAAUGUUACUAUCCUCAUAAUUUUCUCUAAUGUAACAUCUCGUUCUUUGUCAUCAGAUGGUAUCUCAUCAUGGUUUUUACGGGUAUGAGUGCCAUGAGUCAUAGUGAAAGCCUAGAAAAGCACAACACUUCAAAAGAAAAAAUUAAGCAAACCUCACUUAUAUGCACUCCAAAAAAAAUUCUCAAUGACGUUAGAAUUAAUCUUGUGAGUCUUUUAAAAAGUGUUUAUAUCAAUCAAUCAGAAUGUAUUAGAAUCAAACUAUCAAAGCAAAGCUAAUAGCACUAUGAGUCCAAAAUUGGCUUAGAUAUCAAAGAAUUAUGUUGCACGGUGGAAAGAAUAUGCAACAUGCUUUAACUUACUUACACAAGAAACAAGAAAGUGUAAGAAUGCAUAAAGGAACAAAUAAAAAUAAAAACAAAUGAAAACUUAAAGCUAAGAGUCAAUGAAAAUUUCUAAAACUCGAAAACCUAAAAAAUUGCGAAGCAACUUGACAAACUUCGUUUGGGGUGUUCAUAUUUCCAAAAACCACAAAAUUUAAAAUAGAGCCUCCUCAAAUAAAGUAGAUAUGAUCUGAAAAGUUUUAGCACAAAAUUCAACCCACAAAAUAUUUUUUUAUUUUUUAUAUUUUUUGAUCACUUUUUUGUGGGAAAUGUUUUUUUGUAUACUCUAAAAUAGUGCCAAGAAAUAGUAUGUAAACUUUUAAAUUGCUUGAAAAUCGUUUAUCCACUGAAAAAUACUUUUUUCCAAAAACAGUCGGGGUAAAAAAAUUAUUUUGAGGUUGUUCCUAGAAAUCAGUUUAUAUAUAUAAAAAAAAAGAACACCUAAAAUGCCCAAAUUUGAUACCAAAUGAUAAAGAAUGAAAUGGAUGAACGCAGAAGUAGAUCGUAAAGUUUGUCAAAGUCGCGAAUUUGACUUAGGGCUCUAGACGUUCGGAAAGAAACUUGGAUUUUAACACAAACUUGAAAUGAAAUUGAAUCCAAGUCAAAUAAAAAAAUUAAAAUAAAUAACUAAAAUAAAAUAAUAAAUCAAAGUUUAGAAUAAUAAGGUGGCGAAUAAAGAAUAUAAAUGGAAAGAUAGAACGUGGCAUGUAGAAGUCAUAAGAAGCUUUGAAAAUACGAAGAAUCCACAACCCCCUUCAAGCGGCUCUAAUUUCCCCUCCAAGAUAGAAAUAUUGGCAAGAAAAAGUUUGCAAAUAAUCCCUACAGUCUAAAAAGAUUGUUAAAAUUUUUUUAAAAGAAACUCAAGAGAAAUUCUUGAAAAGAAAAAACCCAGAGAUAAUUUAUUAACUCAAAGAGAAAUAGAAUAGUAAUGAAUUGUAUCAAUUGUGUACAAUGCAAAGGCCUAUAUAUAGGCUAGCUAAAAAAAUCUAAAUAAAACUCUUAAGUAUACUAGAACUCUAAUUUAACCUAAACAAGUAGUUUUAAACUAAACUUUCUUGUUAACAUAAAAUUCCUAAAGAACUUAAAAUACUUGAUUAAAAUAAUAAAAUAAUAAGAGCUGAUAAAUAAAAUAUUAGACUCAUAUAUAAUAAUAAUUAAGCCUAAAACUCGAACCCAAUAUGAAACGUCUAGACUUGUGAGACCAAUUGAGGUUCCUGAAGUGAAAUGGUUAAGCUUGUUAGCAUUUUCCACAUGGGCUUAUCAUCAUAGAUUAAGAGUUUAGGCCCACGGACAGAAUUAGUUAAUUCUAAUUCAUCAUUACUCCAGAAUCCAUCGUCUUGAAACUUCAACUCUUUUUUUUGAAUUAUUUUCGUAAUAAAGUCUUGAACAAAUAAGUUGAGUUUUAAUUUUAUCUUUUUGGAUUUGGAUCUCGUAAUUGGACAUUGAGAGAAACUAAGCUCAUCUCUAUUAUGUCCUUUGAAUUGGGCUGAGUUGCUCGUAUCAAUAUAAAUUUCGGUAAUUCAGUUAAUGUAUUUGAAAAAAAUUCGAUUCAAUUAACGUUAAAAUUUUUUACAUUUUGAAUAAUUCGAUUUGGUUAAUCAUUUUACCAUUCCUAUUCACCACUAUUCUAUGGCACAUGCAUAUGCAAAAUAUAGUUUGCUCAUUACAUGCAAAUGCAAAGAUUGAUCGAUGAACAACGUGCCAUAAUUUAAAACAAAUUUAAAAAUCUUUAACAGAUUUUAAUAAUGUAUUUUUAAAAAUAAUUAUUUAAAAUGUUAAAUAAAUUUAUAAUUUAUAACUAAAAUAUUUUAAUUUUUUUUGUCUGAUCAGGAUUAAACAACUAUAAUUUUUAUUCUUAAUUAUAAAUUUCUUCCAAAAAUAAUUAUAAAAAUUAAAAUUAGUGUUAAAGUGUCGUUAGUUUUUUAGCAAUAGAUUUAAAAUAUUUUAAAACAAAAACUAAGAAUUAAAAAUAAUUUGAAUAAAAUUGAUGGGACAUUCCAUUUCCCACAUUCAAGUCUUUACAUAUGUUUCAACCCACGUAAGUAUUUCCAUAAAAUAUUUUAUUCCUUAGCAAUUUAAGAAAAAAAACCCAAUGUUGUAACCAAAACCAAAAUAUUCAUAGUUUAGUAACUAAUAGUUAAUAAUGUAUGGUAAAAUAAAUUAAUUACAAAAAUAAUAUGGAAAAUAAAUUAAUUACAAAAAUAAGACAUUUGCUAUGAUGUUUUGCUGGUCGUCUGACAUAUUGAAAACACCAUACUAAAAUGUGAUAACAAAAAAUAUUCAAAGACUUGAUAUGUAAAUUACUCAUUUUGAUUGGCUGUUGAAAAUAAAAUCUAAAGAUGUUGUGUGAUAGUGUAGUGGCACAAAAUCUUAAAUAGAGUUAAUUUCUUUAUAAACUCUCAUUGUUUAUUAUUUUGUUUUUAUCUCCCUUCAACACCAAAAUUACAAAGUUUUCCUACCUAUUAAUCGAGUUCAAAUUAUGUCUAGCAUAACCGUUAACACUGUUGAUAGUAAUUUUCUUUGGCUCAUAUAUAUAUAUAUAAUAAUAAAAUUUUUUUAAAAUUUUUAUAAUUAUAAUUUUAUACGCUAUCGUAAAUUAAAUUGAUAAUAAGAAUAAUUAAAAUGCCAUCUGUAAUGGCAGACGGCAAAGAAAAAGGCUAAAAGAAAUAAAAAAAAGGAUUUCUUUCUGCCUUUGUGGAACCUACCACUGACUUCAUAAUUUGCUUGUUCUUAUCUUCACUUUCUUUUUCUUCACUGCUUUUAAUUUAUUUCGAUAUCCAAGGUCUAUCACAAAUUUUGAAGCAUCCAGUCAAGGUAAUUUUCUUUCAUUUGCUUAAUUCAUCACAUGCUUUUCUUUGCUUUUGAUUAUCUGCUACUGUUAUAGCAGCUAGCUUUGUAAGAUUGUCAAGGAACUCAACUUCACUGCUUCCUUUUCAGUUCUAAUCUCUCAACACUUUUCAGCCACUAAGUCAGGUAAUAAGAUCAGAAGCAAUGAUUUCCUCUACUAAUUAUCAACAGUUUUAGAUUUUAAGAGUGGAUGACCAGCAGACAUAAUCUACUAUAGAUAGAAAUUAAUACAAAACAGCUACCCAGAAGCAAUAUAAUGUUGAAAUCUCAAACUGUCAACAUUUUAACUCUUAAUAUUCUGUAAUGAACUCUUGCACACUUGAAUCUGGUGACCAGAAUUUCAUCAUGUUUCUGUCUGCCACCCAUCCAUGGCUCCAUCUAAUAAACGCCAUUGCUUGAAACUUGCAUUCAUGUUUUCUUUUUCAUGCUUACACUGACAUAUCAAUACUUCAGAAAAUAUCCAAUUCAUUCACAGAUUUUCAUUCUCUGCUACUGUUAUAUAUGAUUGUAUUGCAGGGACAUAGCAAUGGAGUACGUAGAGCCUGUUGCCGGCAUUGCAAAUUGUCUCGGAACUCCUGUUUGUAAAUAUUUGCAAUAUCACAGAAAGCUGAACGAUUAUGUGAGAAACUUCAAGAGGAUCAGAGAUGAAUUGAAUUGCAAAAUGGAAGAUAUAGAGCUGCAAUUGAAAGCAGAGCUUCUUCGUCCUCUGGGGAAGAUACCGAAGAAGGGAGUUGAAAAUUGGUUGAAAGCUGUGAAAGAGAUGAUUAGGGAAGCACAAGUUGUUGAAAACAAAGUCAGUAACGGAAGAUAUCUCUGUCGGGCUUGCAACGGGAAGCUGGUUGAUGAAAAGACUCGAGAAAUGAAGGAAUUUCUUGAUAACGCUCCUAAUGCCUCUGAAGGUCUUGCCAUGGAUGGUCCAAGUGCUGGGUUGCCACUGCCAACAUCAGAACUAGUUGGAGAGGAAGCUGUCAGAAAUGAGAUUUGGGCAUGUUUGAUGCAGGAGGAGGUGAUCAAGAUUGGGGUUUGGGGGAUGGGCGGUGUGGGUAAAACAACUAUCAUGAAGCAUAUCCACAAUGAUCUUUUGAAACAACAAAGAUUCGAAAGGGUAAUCUGGGUUACCAUAUCAAAGGAGUUCAAUGUAAUGAAGGUACAAGAUAAUAUUGCAAGUGCGUUGAAGGCGAAGGAAUAUUUAGACGAAGAAGAGGACAAGCUCAUACGAGCAGCAAUCUUGUCAGAAAUGCUGAAGAACGCAGGAAAGCAUGUUCUAAUCCUAGAUGAUGUGUGGGAUAAAGUCUCUCUAGAGGAAGUUGGGAUCCCCGAGCCUAGUGGCAGCAAUGGCUGCAAGUUGGUCUUGACAACCCGUUUGGAGCAUGUCUGUAAGUAUAUGGGUUGUAAGGUGAUAAAAGUGAAGCCCCUGUUAGAAGAAGAGGCAUUGAUACUAUUCUUGAAUAAAGUUGGACCUAACAUAGUUCAAAGUCCAACUAUAAUGCCUACUUUGAAGCUUGUUGUCAAGGAAUGUGCAGGUCUACCUCUUACGAUUGUCGUGGUAGCUGGUACCAUGAAAGGAGAAGAUAACCCUCUUAUUUGGAAAAAUGCACUCGGGGAAUUGAAAGAGAGAAUAGGGAAAGUGGAAGGAGUGGAAGCUGAGGUAAUCGAGCGCUUGAAAUUUAGCUUUGAUCACUUAAAGGACAAGCAAGUGAAACAUUGUGUUUUGUAUUGCGCAUUAUAUCCUGAAGAUUUUGAAUUUUCGAAGGAUGAGCUAAUUGAGUGCUGGAUUGAAGAGGGGUUCAUAGAUGAUAUGGGUACAAGACAAGAAAUGAAAGACAAGGGCCAUGUUAUUUUGAAGAAGUUAGGAGAUAACUGCUUGUUGGAAAAUAUUACUAAUGUAUUUGGUCAACCUCACAUAAAGAUGCAUGAUGCAGUGAGAGACAUGGCACUGUCGAUCAUAAGUAUGAAUCCUCGAUAUAUAGUACAAGCAGGCUUGCAAUGGAGUCCAGGUAUUGAGAAAGUGUCGCUUAUGUAUAACUCCAUAACGGAAUUUCCCGCAGAUGUGCUGCCCACAAAAUGUCAACUGCUCACAACCUUGUUAUUGCGGGGGAACCCUGUAAUGAAGAUCCCAUAUUCUUUAUUCAUGAACAUGCCUUGUCUUAGUGUUCUCAAUUUGUCCUUUACAAAGAUCUUGAGUUUACCAAAUUCCAUCUCUGAACUUAAGAACCUCACAACAUUGUUGCUUCGUGGCUGUCAAGAAUUAAGAGAUCUGCCAUGUCUUUCAAUGCUUCAAGAAUUGAAGAAGUUGGAUCUUUCUGGGACUAAAAUUGAGGAAGUCCCUAAAGGAAUGGAUAUGCUGAUAAAGCUAAGAUAUCUUCAUCUUGAAGUGUUCACUCUGAAAGAGAUACCCGCUGGACUUUUACCAAAACUGGUUCACCUUCAGCACUUGGGUUUUCAUGAGGUCAAUUUAAAAACAAGUCUAAAAGCAGAGGAGAUGGAACCAUUGAAGAAGUUGGAGUUCUUUACUGGACUUUUCGAAGACAUUUAUGAAAUCAAUAAGUUCAUCUCCUCAAUGCAACAAAGUAAGAAAAAUCUCAUCAAGUACUCUUUACAGACGGGCUUAGCUAUUUUCCCUCAUAGAAGAGAUAAAAGAGUAACAAUUGGAAGAGUCCAUAAUUGGGAAGGUGAGUUAAUUAUCCACCCAAUUGAAAUUCAAGAGUUGAAUAUUGUAAAGUGCGACUAUUUGAGAAACUUAGUCGAUGAUAAUUCUUCCUUCAAAAAUGCGAUUGACUUGAGGAUUUAUGAUUGUAAAGGGAUAGAGUGUGUUGUUUCCUUGUCCUCUUUUGCCUCUUCUUCCGCUCAUCCAUUUCAGAGCCUCGAGGUGUUAGAACUUUCUGCUCUGCCAAAGUUGAAUGCCCUUAUUAUGAUAGAUGCAGGAAUUGGUUCAGCAACAACAUCAACAUUGGCUCCGUCUACCACCUUUUCCCAUCUUAAGAAAAUUACGAUAUACAGCUGCUCAAGUAUGAAGACGUUGCUUCCACAUUGGUUGCUUCCAAACCUCCAAAACCUGGAAAAAAUAUCAGUGUCACAUUGUGAUGAGGUAGUAGAAAUAUUGGGAGUAGCAACAUCAGAAGUUGAAGAAAAAGGGAGUGAUGCAUUAAUCAAAUUCCAUCUUCCCAAAUUGAAAGAAUUGAGACUACGUAAGUUACCAAAUUUGAAGAUCAUUUGCAGCAAAAGUGGAGUGAUGGUUUGUGAUUCUCUCCAACUUAUCCAUAUUAUUAGAUGUGAUAAACUGAAGAGAAUUCCUCCAUUUGUUCCCCUUGUUGGCAAUGGGCAGCCAUUUGCAUAUGCUCCACCUUCUCUUACCAUCAGGUCAAGCACAGAUGGUGGGAAUCGUUGGAGUGGGAUGACCAUCCAAACUUUAAAAAUGUUCUCCAACCCCUUUGAAGGAUGAAAGGUAUGAACCAUUUAUGGUCUAGUUUAUUUUUUUAGUUUGAUAAAUCUAAUUUCUCCAUAUUAAUAAAAUUGGAAGUAUAAUUGUGAUGAUGUUGAAGAGAAAGAUAAAAGGGUUGGUAGGAAAGUAGUGGGGGAGGAUAGUGCAAAAGAGAGGAGAAAAGGAAUGAUGGAAGGAAGAGGUUAAGAGCAUAAAUAAGAAAUCAAACUGCCUCCACUUUUUAAACAUUUUCCCUCUCUUACCAUUGCUUGAAACUUGCAUUCAUGUUUUCCUUUUCAUGCUUACACCGAGAUAUCAAUACUUCAUAAAAUAUCCAAUUCAUUCACAGGUUUUCAUUCUCUGCUACUAUUAUAUAUGAUUGCAUUGCAGGGACAUAGCAAUGGAGUACGUAGAGAUCAACAGUUAUAGAUUUUAAGAUCUGAAGCAAUGAUUUCCUCUUCUGAUUAUCAACAGUUACAAUUGAGCACCAAGAUCACUGUAAUACUUGUUAGUGUUGUCCAGAAUGAAUGGAAAGGACAUUUCCAUGGAUAUUAGACCUCAUAUCUAUCUUUCAAAUUUUGAGAGCAAAUUAAAGGUUUUAUUAUCAAGUAUAAAAGUCAGUAUGAAAUACCCAAAAUGCCAACUAAUAAUGGCAGACAGCGAAGCUAAAAGCUAAAAGAAAAGAUGGGAUUUCUUACUAAUAAUUCUGCCUUUGUGGAACCCACCACAAAAGUGAAUGCCUCAUAAUUUUGCCUAUUUUUUUCUUCACUCGCUUCCUUUUUUGGCUUUUGUACCCACAACAUUCUUUCUUCUACACUGUUUUUAUCAAACAUGUAAUUUGUUUCGCUCUUAAAUAUUCUCUUAAGUAUAAAAAUAUAAAUUUAAAGGAUGGAGCAUCAAAUUCACUAAUUUUCAUAAUUAAUUAUCUAAAAACAUGUUAAGAAUAAGAUUAAAAUAUGUUAAUUUUGUAGCUUAUCAUACCCCUAAACCACAACUAAAAAGUUUAAUCUGAUAUGGUGGCAUCCACCAUUAAUAAUUGACUCCCAAUUUUGGUUCUUUUUGUCUUGUUUUCUCUUUGCACUCGUAGUUUUAGAUCAUCAGAGUCUUCAUGGUGGACCCUAGAGCUUAAAGCAGGCUAAAGAUGGUGGAAUCUAAGGUAGUGUGAAACAAACCUGGUCUUGACCUAUAACACUAAAAUUGCUUUAGCUUAAAUGAAAAUGAAAAUAUUUUGUAUGCAUCAUAUCUCUAGUUUAAAUCUUAUUAUCGAUAAUUUUUUAUUGAUUUAUGAAAAGAUGAAAAUACCUUUGUAAUUAUAUAUCUUAUUUUAUAAAUAAAAUGUUUUUUUAGCAAUUUUCUUACUGUGUUCCGACUAAUUGAUGGUUGACACUAUGUUACAAUUUAAGGUAAAUUACACCAUUAGUCAUUCAACCAUGAGUAAGUUUUCGUUUUGAUCAUUUAACUAGAAAAAGUUACAAUUUAGUCACUAAUAUUUUUGAAAUUGUUUUUUAUCACCUAACUAUUAAGUGGCACUUGUUUUAAUUGAUAUGAUAAUAAUUUUAGUCCUCUUUUUUUUAUAUUUUCUAUCAAUUUGACUCUGAUUUUGUACAAAAUUAUAAAAAAAAACUUAAAAUUUUAAAAAUAGAAAAAUGUUUAUAAAAAUUCUAGAAAAAUAAAAUCUUAAAUAUUUUGUUGAAUAACUAAAUUGUAUGAGAAAUAAAGCAAAUUACCAUUCAAUAAAAUCCGAUAACAAAUUAAAAACAGAACAAAACCAAAAAAAAGCUUUCUCAAUGUUUCUCGAAACCAAAUUAGUAAUAUUAUCAAGUUGAGUUUCAUGCCCUUGAAGAACAUCUGGAACUGACAUUACCAAGGCUUAUGAAAUUGACCCUAAUGCCAUUUUUUUAGUCAAAAGAAUACAAGAUAUAAAACAAAAUUUCCUUUUUCAAACUUAAUUCUAUUUUUCAUUACAUUUAAAUUAUUUUUCAAAACUCAAACUAUAAAAAUAAAUUAUAUUUAGAAAAAAAAUUUAUAACGUAAAAGCUAUGUUAAGAAACAGAGAACAAAUAAUUUUGCUUAAUGUUUUUUUUUACCUUUUUUACUAAGGAAUGUGUAUUGGAUAUUUCGAUACAGAUAAUAUAGAGAAAUUUUGUACAGCUUAAAAACAAUUAUCUCUCGUUUUCUCUCACUUUAUUUAUUUUUGAAAUUUUUAUCUACUUUUAUUUAAUAUUUUAUUUUAUAAUGUUCUAAAAUUUUAAAAAUAAUUUUAAUUUUUUUACCAUUUUAUAUAUUAUCAAGAUCAAACUGACUAAAAGUAUAAAAUUUGAGGAUUAAAAUUGUUAUUAUAUCAAUUAAAAAAGUGUCACUUAACAUUUGAGUGACAAAAAAAAUAAUUUCAAAAACAUUAGUGAUGAAAUUGUAACUUUUUUAAUUAAGUGACCAAAAAAAAAAUACCCAUAGUUUAGUGACUAAUAGUGUAGGCUUUUUUUGGUAAAAUGAAAAUUUGACCAUGAUUUUGUAUUAAAAAAACUCAAAAUUAUUUAUAAGAUAGAAAAAUUUGACCAUGAUUUUUUACCCAAAUCAUAUAAAAUAUAAUUAAUUAUGAAAAUGGUAUAGAAAAUAGCUUAAUUACAAAAAUAAGACAUUUGGUACAAUGUUCUGCAGGUGUGGCCUAACAUAUUGGUAGUACUAGAUUAAAAUGUGAUGACUUAAAAUAUUCAAGGACUUGAUAUGCAAAUUUCUCAUUUUAGUUGGCUGUUGAAAAUAAGCUAUAAGAGUUUUUUUUUUUUUUGAAACAAAAGCUAUAAGAGUGUUGUGUGACAGUGUAGCGGCAUAAAAUCUUAAAUAGAGUUAAUUUCUUUGUAAACCGUUAUUAUUUAUUAUUUUAUUUUUAUUCUCCUUCAACACCAAAAUUAGAAAGGCUUCUUACCAAUUAAUCCAGGUCAAAUUAUGUCUGGCAUAAUAGUUAUCACAAUUAAUAGUUAUUUUCUUUGGUUCAUAUUAUAAUUUAUAUAUAGUAAAUAUUUUAAAAAGUUUUUAGAAUUAUAAUUUUAUAUGGUGCCCGUAAAUUAAAUUGAUUAUAAGAUUAUCUGUAAUGGCAGACAGCAAAGAAAAAAGCUAAAAGAAAAAGCAAUAAAAAUAGGAUUUCUUGCUAAAAAUUCUGCCUUUGUGGAUCCUAGCAGAGACUUCAUAAUUUCCCUGUUUUCAUCUUCACUUUCUUCUUAUUUCUUCUUCACUGUUUUUAAUUUGUUUCGAUGUCCAAGGUCUAUCACAAAUUUUGAAGCAUCCAGUCAACGUAAUUUUCUUUCAUUUGCUUAAUUCAUGACAUGCUUUUCUUUGCUUUUGAUUAUCUGCUACUGUUAUAGCAGCUAGCUUUGUAAGAUUGUCAAGGAAGUCAACUUCACUGCUUCAUUUUCAGUUCUAAUCUCUCAAAACUUUUCAGCCACUAAGUCAGGUAAUAGGAUCCGAAGCAAUGAUUUCCUCUACUGAUUAUCAACAGUUUAAGAUUUUAAGACAAGAUGAUCAGCAGACAUAAUCUACUCUAGAUUGAAAUUAAUACAGAAAGAGCUACCCAGAAGCAAUAUAAUGUUGAAAUCUCAUACUGUUAACAUUUUAACUCUUCAUAUUCGGUAAUGAACUGGUGCACACUUGAUUCUAGCAUUUUAUACACAUCGAGGGCUUAAUUCUGGUGACCAGAAUUUCAUCAUGUUUCUGUCUGCCACCCAUCCAUAGCUCCAUCUAAUAGACGCCAUUGCUUGAAACUUGCAUUCAUGUUUUCCUUUUCAUGCUUACACUGACAUCUCAAUACUUCAUAAAAUAUCCAAUUCAUUCACAGAUUUUCAUUCUCUGCUACUGUUAUAUAUGAUUGCAUUGCAAGGACAUAGCAAUGGAAUACGUAGAGCCUGUUGUCUGCACUGCAACUUGUCUCGGAACUCCUGUUUGUAAAUAUUUGUAAUAUCACAGAAAGCUGAACGAUUAUGUGAGAAACUUCAAGAGGAUCAGAGAUGAAUUGAAUUGCAAAAUGGAAGAUACAGAGCUGCAAUUGAAAGCAGAGCUUCUUUCUCCUGGGGGGAAGAUACCAAAGCAGGGAGUUGAAAAUUGAAUGAAAGAUGCGAAAGAGGUGAUUGCGGAAGCACAGGAUGUGGAAAAUAAAGUCAGAAACGGGAGAUAUCUCUGUCGUGCUUGCAACGGUAAGCUGGUUGAUGAAAAGACUCGAGAAAUGAAGGGAUUUCUUGAUAAAGCUCCUAAUGCCUCUGAAGGUCUUGCCAUUGAUGGUCCAAGUGCUGGGUUGCCGCUGCCAACAUCAGAACUAGUUGGAGAGGAAGCUGUCAGAAAUGAGAUUUGGGCAUGUUUGAUGCAGGAGGAGGUGAGCAAGAUUGGGGUUUGGGGGAUGGGCGGUGUAGGUAAAACCACUAUCAUGAAGCACAUCCACAAUGAUCUUUUAAAGCAACAAAGAUUUGAAAGGGUAAUCUGGGUUACCAUAUCAAAGGAGUUCAAUGAAAUGAAGGUACAAGAUGAUAUUGCAGCUGCUUUGAAGUUGAAGGAAGAUUGGCCCAGAGAAGGAGACAAACUCAGACGAGCUACAAUCUUGUCAGAAAUGCUGAAGAAAGUAGGAAAGCAUGUUCUAAUCCUAGAUGAUGUGUGGGAUGAAGUCUCUCUAGAAGAAGUUGGGAUCCCUGAGCCGAGUGACAGCAAUGGCUGCAAGUUGGUGUUGACAACCCGUUCGGAGCAUGUCUUUAAGUAUAUGGGUUGCACGGUGGUAAAAGUGAAGCCCCUUUCAGCACAACAGGCAUUGACACUAUUCUUGAGUAAAGUUGGCCCUAACAUAGUGCAAAAUCAAACUUUAAUGCCAAUUUUAAGGCACGUUGUCGAAGAAUGUGCGGGUCUACCUCUUACAAUUGUCGUCAUAGCUGGUACAUUGAGAGGAGAAGAUGAUCCUCUUAUUUGGAAAAACACACUCAGGGAAUUGAAAGAGAGAAUAGGGAAAGUGAAAGAAGGGGAAGAUAAAGUGAUCGAGAGUUUGAAAGUUAGCUUCAAUCACUUAAAAGACGAGAAAAUGAAGCAUUGUUUCUUACAUUGCGCAUUAUAUCCCGAAGAUUUUGGAAUUGAAAAGCAUGGGCUAAUUGAUAGCUGGAUUGAAGAGGGAUUCAUAGAUGACAUGAGUACAAGACAAGAAACGAAAGAUAAGGGUCAUGUUAUUUUGAAGAAAUUAGAAGAUAAUUGCUUGUUGGAAAAUGUCUCGAGUGUAACAGUGAAAAUGCAUGAUGCAGUGAGAGACAUGGCAUUGUCGAUAACAAGAAUGAAUCCUCGAUAUAUGAUACAAGCAGGGUCGCAAUUAGAAGAGUUACCAGAAAAGGAGCAAUGGAGUCCGGAUAUUGAGAAAGUGUCACUUAUGUAUAACUCCAUAUCAGAAAUUUCCAUAGAUGUGCAGCCCACAAAAUGUCAACUGAUCACAACCUUGUUAUUGCAGGAGAACCCUAUAAAGAAGAUCUCAAGUUCUUUCUUCACAAACAUGCCUUGUCUUAGUGUUCUCAAUUUGUCCUUUACGAAGAUAAAAAGUUUACCAAAUUCCAUCUCUGAACUAAAGAACCUCACAACAUUGUUGCUUUGUGGUUGUGAAGAAUUAAGAGAUCUGCCAUGUCUUUCGAUGCUUCAAGAAUUGAAGAAGUUGGAUCUUUCUGCGACUAAAAUUGAGGAAGUCCCUGAAGGAAUGGAUAUGCUGAUAAAGCUAAGAUAUCUUGAUCUUAGAGUGCGCACUCUGAAAGAGAUACCCGCUGGACUUUUACCAAAAUUCGUUCACCUUCAGCACUUGGGUUUUCAUGAGAACAAUGAAAAAACAAGUCUAAAAGCAGAGGAGAUGGAACCAUUGAAGAAGUUGGAGUGCUUAACUGGACAUUUCGAAGACAUCAGUGAAUUCAAUAAGUUCAUCUCCUCAAUGCAACAAAGUAAGAAAAAUCUCAUCAAGUACUUUUUACAGGUGGGCUCAUAUAAUGUGUGUAUUGGAAGGGAGAAAACAGUAACAAUUGGAGGAGUCCAGAAUUGGGAAGGUGAGUUAAUUAUGCACCCAAUUGAAAUUCGAGAUUUGACUAUUAUAAGGUGCGACUAUAUCAGAAACUUAGUCGAUGAUAAUUCUUCCUUCAAAAAUGCGAUUGACUUGAGGGUUUGUAGGAUUCGAGGGUGUGAAGGGAUAGAGUGUGUUGUUUCCCUGUGCUCUUUGGCCUCUUCUUUCGCUCAUCCAUUUCAGAGCCUCGAGGUGUUGCAUCUUCAAUCUCUGCCAAAGUUGAGUGCCCUUAUUAUGAAUGAUGCAGGAAUUGGUUCAGCAACAACAUCAAAAUUGGCUCCGUCUGCCACCUUCUCCCAUCUCAAGGAAAUUAUGAUAGUGAACUGCUCAAGUAUGAAGACGCUGCUUCCACAUUGGUUGCUUCCAAACCUCCAAAACCUGGAAGAAAUAGAUGUGGAUGCUUGUAGUCAGCUAGUAGAAAUAUUGGGAGCAGCAACAUCAGAAGUUGAAGAAAAAGGGAGUGAUGCAUUAAUCAAAUUCCAUCUUCCCAAACUGAGAGUGCUGUCAUUCUGGGAAUUACCAAAUUUGAAGAGCAUAUGCAGCAAAAGUGGAGUGAUGGUUUGUGAUUCUCUCCAACUUAUCCAAGUUGCUGGAGACUGUUAUAAACUGAAGAGAAUUCCUCCAUUUGUUCCUCUUGUUGGCAAUGGGCAGCCAUUUGCAUAUGUUCCGCCUUCUCUUACCAUCUUCUCAAGCACAGCAUGGUGGGAAUCGUUGGAGUGGGAUGACCAUCCAAACUUAAAAAAUGUUCUUCGCUUCAACCCCCGUGGAGGAUAAGAGGUAUGAACCAUUUAUGGUUUAGUUUAUUUUUUUAUUUUGAUAAAUCUAAGUUCUCCAUAUUAAUAAAAUUUGAAGUAUAUUUGUGAAGAUGUUGAAGAGAAAGAUAAAAGGGUUGGUGGGAAAGAAGUAGGGGGGAGGAUAGUGCAAAAGAGAGGAGAAAAGGAAUGAUGGAAGGAAGAGGUUAAGAGCAUGGAGACUGAGAGGCAAAGGUAAAUAAGAAAUCAAACUGCCUCCACUUUUUAAGCAUUUUCCCUCUCUUGCCAUUCCUUCUAUUCUCUUAUAUAUUCUUCUCUAGUAUAUAAUAUAUAUACUUCCCAAAAUAACCUUCUAAAUAUUUAUUAUUAAAAUAUUUAUAUUAAUCAAAAUGAUUUAAGGUGAGACAAAACUAUGAUCAUAGUUUUAUUUCCAAUAAAAGUUAGGAAAGUAUUGUAAAAAGACAUAAUAUUUUUUAAUUUCCAUGUAAAAUUUCUGAAAACAUUAAGAUUUAAAAAAUAAUAAUAUAGUUAGAAAUUAAUACCAAGAGAGCUACCCAGAAGCAAUAUAAUGUUGAAAUCCCAAACUGUUGAACAAUUUACCUCUUAAUAUUCUGUUGCACACUUGAAUCCAGCAUUUUCUAUACAUUGAGAGGUUAAUUCUGGAUAUACAAAUUUCAUCAUGUUUCUGUCUGCCACCCAUCCAUGGCUCCAUCUAAUAAACGCCAUUGCUUGAAACUUGCAUUCAUGCUUACACUGACAUAUCAAAAAGCCAAUACAUUCACAGAUUUUCAUUCUUUGCUACUGCUAUAUAUGAUUGCAUUGCAGGGACAUAGCAAUGGAGUACGUAGAGCCUGUUGUCGACAUUGCAAAUUGUCUCGGAACUCCUGUUUGUAAAUAUUUGCAAUAUCACAGAAAGCUGAACGCUAAUGUGAUUAACUUCAAGAGGAUCAGAGAUGAAUUGAAUUGUAAAAUGGAAGAUGUAGAGCUGCAAUUGAAAGCAGAGCUUCUUCGUCCUCUGGGGAAGAUACCGAAGAAGGGAGUUGAAAAUUGGUUGAAAGAUGUGAAAAAGAUGAUUAGGGAAGCACAAGUUGAAAACAAAGUCAGUAACGGGAGAUAUCUCUGUCGUGCUUGCAACGGGAAGCUGGUUGAUGAAAAGACUAGAGAAAUGAAGGAAUUUCUUGAUAACGCUCCUAAUGCCUCUGAAGGUCUUGCCAUGGAUGGUCCAAGUGCUGGGUUGCCACUGCCAACAUCAGAACUAGUUGGAGAAGAAGCUGUCAGAAAUGAGAUUUGGGCAUGUUUGAUGCAGGAGGAGGUGAGCAAGAUUGGGGUUUGCGGGAUGGGCAUAAAAAAUUAUUAAAAUAGAUCAUUGCUAAUUCUCUCUUUACUUAAUCGGUAAGUUUCUCUCUUCAAAUCCUUUUAUUUCUUUAUUGAAUCCAUCGCAUAUCAUUUGCAAAUUAACCGAUUUCUCUACAGUUUGUUUGUUCAAUUUUUCUUUUUCCAGUUUUUUUUCUUGAUUUAGAUGGAAGAUUCUUUUGUUGCAUUUGAAGAGUUUCUAAAAAUUUUAGGGUUAUCCUAAAUCUAACUUUCUCGACACCACGUGCACGUAUAAAUUCCUUUCGUGGAGAUUAUUUAUCAUGUUUGUGUGUUUCGUCUUUUGAGGUUGAGCUGUUUUUAUUUUCAAAAAUAAAUAUUUAUUUCCUUUUGCAUUUAUUUCUAAGAUCACCAUAAAUUGUUUAGGGUUGUGUAUUUUGGGGACUUUGGGUGGUUUAAUUUGGGGAUUUUGGGUAAGGGUUUUGAUUUUGGGAAUUUUUGUUUAGGGGUUUUUAAUUUUGGAGAUUUUAGGGAUUUCUUACACCGCCCUCCUCAUCACCUUCAAAGCCAAGAAAUCUACAUCUAGGUUCAUGCGAAAAGUCGCCAGAACUCAUGUUUAAAACCUCGGGUCACUUCUGCCAUGCGGAUUGCAUCGAACUGAUCGACGACUCUACCAAAUAGCUCCAAAAAUCUAUACGUAAAUUUUUUUCAUAUCAGAUGCUCCAACUUUGUGCUUAUGAGUGAUCUUCAAACCUAGGUUAAUGCUGCUCUGACAAAUGAAGAUACUUGCAUGGAUGGAUUCUUAAGCAGGGCUAUGAAUGGGUAUGCAAAGAUGAUGGUGAGGAACGAAUUAUUAAUAUCACAUAUUUGACGAGCAAUGUUUUGGCUCUCAUCAAUAACUAUGCUUCAUCUCAGAUCCUUCAUUGAUUUUCUUGAGAAAAUUUUGAUGGCAAGGAAAGCAUUCAUGGAUUUAUGUUCAAUAUGGGAUUUUAUGGUUUUCGAAUAGGACUUAAGUUUUUAAGGUACUGUAGAUUGUGUUCUCAAUUCUAUGUUUGUGGUUAUUGAUUUUUGCAGUUGUAUCUGUUUGAAUAUGAAAUUUGUGUUUGUGUAUGUUUAGGGUUUUUUUAUUGUUCUUUUAAUAAUUUUAAAACCAUUUACUGACGUGGUAUAUAAGAGAAAUAAUAUUAUGGUAGUAUCUAAAUUUAUUUGGACCGUCAUGUCAGAGGUUAAUGUUUGACCGUUAAACAACUAACAGCCACAUCAGCCUCUAGGUUAAAAACAAACCAAUUUGUUAAAAAUUUAAAUUUUGCACUAUAAAAUUAAUUUUUAAAAUUAACUAUUCAAUUUGUAAUUGAUUUUAUUAAAUUAAAAUAUUCACUAAUGUUUAAAAAUAUUCUCCAUGUUAAUUAAAAAAAAUAUUUAAGAAUUCAGUUAAAUGGUAAUCAAUUUAUAUUAAAAUAUCAGCUUUAUUGGUUGUAUUAUUUCAUUAAUGUUCUUAUAAUAUUAUUUCAUUUUUAUUUAUAGACACCAACUUCAAAAUCAGAAGAGGAUCAAUUUACGAGAAGAUAUGAUUCAUACUGUAAACGAUAAAUAAGAUAUUAUAAAUUGAUAUGAUUAAAAUUUAAAUAAUAUACAAAGAGUAGUAAAAUAAAUUUAAAACAUUUGAUAUGACCUAAAUGAACUAUAAUAAAAGGAUUAUAUAUUUUGAAAUGGUGAUCUGAGAGACAACUAAUCAAUCCUACUAUUUUGUCUUUUAUAAAUAAUUUGUGAUCGAAGAUCCAUCAAAGAUGACUCACAUAUGUUUCCCAAAGAUAUGAUAUAUAUAUAUAUAUUCCUAUCAAGCAAGUUGACAGCUAAAGGGUGCAAUUUUGACUUUGCUAAAUUCUCUAGCAUCAAAGAGGCAAGAUAUGUUGCAAACAAAACAUAAACCAAUAUCAACCCCUACUUUUGUAUGAUAGAGAAAAUAUGAUGUACAAGUUUACAGUCAUGGAAUGUAUUAGGUGCAUUGAAGAUAAUUCAGUGUUAGAAUCAAAGAUAUUUAGGAAAAAAUGUUUGAUUGUCAUUACAAGAAUAUCUUUAAAGUUAAUAGUUUGAGAGAUAAUUUUAAGUAGGAAAUGGAAGGCAUUGCUAUAAAGAGAAUCUCAAGAAAGUAAUUUCGUUUUGAGUUUCAAGUGAAAGGAAUGAAAGAAAGGUUGCUUAAAUAAAUAUGGGAUUGGAUAUUGAGCUCUUUUGAAUAGUUGGAGCGAAAGACACAUGGACCAUAUGAAAUUCAAGUCUACCAAAGUAAUGCUAAUCAGAUUCCUCUUUGGAAAUGAUCAACUUUUCAAAACAUUGUCAAUCUACCUUGAAAGGUGGCAUCGGUGAAAGAAUCAAUCAUGAAAUAUUAAAAUUAUACUAAAAUGACUAUAAAGAUUUAUUUCCCCCAUAAAUAAACAUAUUGUUAUUCUUCCUUAAAAAUUAACAUGAUUUUAUCUUAAUAGACAUGUAUAUAUAUUUAUGUGUCAAAAUAGCCUUCUAAAAUAUUUAUUUUAGAAAAUAAUUUAUAUAAGACAUAUAACAAUUAAUUAUAAACUUAUUUUGAUAUGAUGUCAAAAUUAAAUAUUAUAAUGGUCCUUUACCACAUUCAACACUAAAUAAACUUUAAAUUUUAUAAUAAAAAGCAUACAUAGGCUUCAAAUUUUAAGUUUAAAAUAUGGGAUAAUAGUUGACUAUAGACCCAUCCAUGGGCCCUUGAUCGGAGUCGGUUCUAUAUAGAUAAAGUUUUUUUAUAAUUCGGGUCAGCCCAACCCAAAUUUAAUUUAAAUAAUAAAAAAUUUAUUUUUAAAAUUUAAAUUUAUUUAUAAAAAUAUGCUCUCUUUUUUUAACAUUGAAACGAGCUUUUUAGGUAGAUCGAGUUAGGUCGAAAAUGGGUUUGGACUUGAAAAUUUUAGAUUAUUUUUAAGAGAAUAAUAAUAUCAAGGAGUCUAAUAAUUAAAAAUUUUAUAUUAAAUUUUUAUUGUUUGAAAUCUUCUAAUAACAUAAAAAAAAUUUAAACCAAAGUUUUUAAAAGAAUUUAGGGUAAACUACACCAUUAGUUACUCAAAAAAGGGUCAAUUUUCAUUUUGGUCACUUAACUAAAAUAAGAUACAAUUUGGUCACUAAUGUUUCUAGAAAAAAGUUUUGGUCACCCGACUAUUAAGUGGCGCUUACUUUAGCUAGUAUGAUAACAAUUUUUGUCACAUCCCAAAAAUCAAGUUAGUAGAAAUUGGGUUUGUGAAACCAAGAGUGGUGACGUCCUAUUUUUGAGUUAAGUUUGUGAAAAUUAUGUUAAGUAAAUUGAUUUGGUUUAGUGGUUAAGUGCUUUGGACGUGUCUAAAGUCUUGUGUUCAAAUCUUUUCCCUUAAAUUUUCAUUAUUUUUGUCCUAACUUCCAUCUCUGAACAUCUAGCUUAUAUAUUAUUUUUGCUCAAUUGAUGAUAAGAAUGAGUUUGUUAGUUUAGUGGUAAGGCUUUAGUUUACUUAGAGGUCUUGUGUUUGAAUCUUAUGUGUGUAAAGUGGAAUUAUUUUUGUUUUUAAUAAGAAAUUUUUUUUAUAAGGAUAACUAAUCAAAUUGAGUGGGGAAGUUUUUCAUUUUCCUACGAACUUUCCCCAAAAUUCGCCUCAUUCUGUCAUCCACUUCUUGCCACAUUGUUCACGUUUUCUUUUCCCUUUUCUUUUUCCAUCUGCUGAUUUCUAUUUUCUUUUUGCUUUAGUAGUUUUGUUGCCUUCCUUUCUCAUCUUUGCUCUACUAUUUUCUUUUGUGUUAUUAUAUUGGUAUGUUGUUCAAUCUCUGUUAUUCCUUCGGGUAAGUGUUGGCUAUUUGUUUUUAUAUAAAUGUGGUGUUGGGUUAAUCUUUCAAGUGAUUGAUGGUUUCAAGUUUGAUCUUCGUAAUGUGUUGUUAGGAGAAGAUCGACAAACUCGUGAAUUGUCUCCAGCGGUUUAAGUGCGGGAAAGGGCUGUUGUUUUUGCAAGGGUAAAUGAUUAAAGUUUUCAACUGGAGGCUGAUUCGGUUUCUUAGGCUAAGUGUUUAGCAUUUGUGAUCGAAUUAGUGACUUGGAUUUAGCAUAUUACUAAUAAUUCUUACAUUCUAAAAUGCCAGUUUAGGUACUGGAAUCCUUGUAGUGGUGUUAACAUCGAAAAUUGACUAGGUGUGUAACGGAAAAAUCAAAAAAUAGCGAACGACACGAUGUCAAAAAACCCACUAUCGACGUCACACAGCCAUUUGCCAGGUUAUGUGGGUCAUAUGGGCUGGGUUAUUUGGGCCAUGUGUGUCAGGCUGUGUGCCAGGCCGUGCAGGCUACACGAGUUGGGUCAGUUAGGCCGUGUGGGACCAUUUUUUGUAAAAUUCCAUCAGGGUCGUUUUUGAAGUGCAAUUUGAAAUUAUUCACUUCUUAGGUUCCGAAAUGUGUUAUGUAUGCAUUCUGGAUACGAAAUUUGAUAUUUUGUUUCUGUUAAUGUGAUUUUUGAAAGCAUAUUAUUCAAUAUUGGCAUUGUACGUGUAAUCUGUAAUUUGAGAAUCUAUUUAAGCAUGAUUCAUUUAUGUGCAUCUCAGUAUGUAAAAUGUUUUGACAUGUGCAUUGGGGUGGGAUGAUGAUGUGAUGGAGGAGGUGUUUGGCAGUUUAACUGCAUACUAAUAUUUAUAAGCCAUCGUUGUCGAGCAACUCGAGAUAACUUAAUUUGUGGUUUAACAUAACUUAAUUUGUGGUUUAACCUCAUAUCUAAUAUGGUGGAUUGACCACACUUAUUGAUUUUGGCAAAAUACCGCAUUAUUUAUGGCAGCUUGACUACGCUAUUCUAAAAAGUGAUAUACGCUCACUUAUUGGUGUGACGGAUGGAUUGGCUCUUAUAGUCCUAUUUGGUGUGUAUUGGUGGGAUAGAGAUGGUGUGUAGUGGAUAGGUGUAGGAUCUAUUUAUGUGUCUGUAUUUGCAUUUGUAUUUGUAUCUGUAUCUGCUUUUAUAUAUGAGAUUGCAUCUGUAUCUAAAAUUGAAAUUAUAUAUGUAAUUGAAUUGUAUAUAUUUCUGUAAUUGUUACUGAAUUUGAGUCUAUUCUGCCUAUUUGGGUUGAGUUACACACUAAGCCUAUAAGCUCACCCAAGUUCUUUGACUUCUCAGGUAAUUAGCAUACUUAGGACCAAAAGACGUGCAGAAGCUCAGAUUGGGUUCUCAGUUAUUUAAGUAUGAUGGUUCAUGUUUUUAAAUUAUUUUGGACUUUCUAGAUUUUUUGGGGGGCUGUAAAUCUGUUUCUGUAUUUCGCUUUACGUUUUGGUUUGCUUAGUUGAAUUUAGUAAUUAUUACUUAAAACUACAAAGUUUUGUUGCAAUACCCAAAUUUUAGCCCGGGCUCACAUAUGGAAACAUAAUCUUCGAGGAUAUGCAAUCUUAGAUAUGAUAUGUAAUCUUAGAAGAUAUGAUUUUGUAAUCUUAGAGAUUUAAUUUGUAGAUACCCUUUAAUCUUCGCCGUUGAUGUAAUUGAUCUGUACCGUUGGAUUUGGGGAGGCUCAACUAUAAAUAGAGACCUCUCCCUUCAUUGCAAAAAAAAAAAGGGAGGAAGAAAAAAUCAAUAAAAAGGGAGAACGAUUGACAGUUUUUUAAAGGUGGCUUUUUUUCCGAUUAUCUUUUUACUUAUUUACGAUUUUAAAAAAGGGAGAAUGUGAUAUUACUGCGAAUUUUAUUUAUUUAUUUUUAUUAUUUAGCCCUAAUAAAGUGACGCGUUUCAAAGGAUGGAGAUAUUUUCCCAUUCGAGCCCUAUGAGUUAUUCGCACCUUUUAAUUGGGCCCUUCAUUUUUUUUCUUCUUUAAUUCUGUUGAUUUUCAAUUUAAUCCUUAAUCUUUCAUUUUAGGUUUUUAGUCUAUUUUAUUAAUUUUGUUAUUAUUAUUUUUAUUAUUAUAUUAUAUAUUAUUAUUAUACCUACAUAUAUGUGCGCAUAUGCAUGUUAAUAUAUAUACAUAUAUAUUUUAAACGUUUUAAUAUAUAUACAUAUUAUAUACAUACUUUAUUAUUAUUUUAUUUUCAUAGUUUUUUAUACAUAUAUACACACACAUUUAUAUUUCAUAAUAUUUAUACGUUUGCCCAUAUUCUAUGAUUUUUAUGUACACAUAUAUUUAUACUCCAUUCAAAGCUUAUUAUAAAUAUUUUCAGCGUUUUUAUAUUAUACUUAUAUAUUUCAUUUUUUUUGUAAAUGCAUGAAUAUAUUUUAUAUGUAUAUAUUUAUAUUUUCCUUGUUUUCAUAAAUGCAUUAUGUAUUAUAUAUAUAUAUAAGUUUUAUAACCUAAAAUUUUAUGAGUAAAUUAUCUUUAUGUCUUUUAUUCUUCAUAAUUUCAAAUGUAUAUAUAUUUUGUCCCUUUUUCUCUUUAUAUUUUGUUGUUUAUUUUCUUGAUUUGCUUAUUGAUUUAUGUUUUCAUUUAUAUUCAUUUGAUACUUUACAUGUCGUUGUUUAUGUACAUUAAUUUUGUUUAUUUCUAUGCCAUUGUUGUAUUUAUUAUUACAUUUUAUAUUUAAUGUAGCAUCACAUCAUUUUUUUUUCGAUUUUAAAAUUUUCAAAAUUGAGAUAACACUCGUAUUUAGGAUUUUCAAGGAAAUUGAGCCCUAACGUAUUGGGUUCCCAUUUUCUUCGUUAAAUAGAACGAUUGAGGGUUGCUCAUUAGUAAAAAAUAUAUAAAAUAAAAGGCUUGUUGUUGGGGAGUUAAAUAUGUUGUAUCCUAACGUAUUGGAUGUGACGUAUUGAUUUCUCGAGACAAAGAUUUUUUGAAAAAAUAAUAAUAAAGGAAAUAUUUCAAGUUUGGGAUUUUGAGGAAUUGUGCCCUAAUGUAUUGGGCCGCGAUUUCUUAAAUCUUAAACAAAUGAAUAUUCUUUUAAAUUUUUAUUACACGAGUUUUAGACUAAUUCAUUUUUGAGGAAAUUAGAAUGUUGUGCCCUAACACAUUGGGUGUGACAUUUUCUUUCUCUGAAAUGAUAAGGGUCUUAAUAAGUAACGUUUUUAAGUUUUUGCUAAGGAUUAUAUUUUUCAAAUUUUCGACAUUAAGACACUAAUUAAUUAACUAGGUACCAAUUUUGGGCGUUACAAGGGUGCUAAUCCUUCCUCGUACGUAACCGACUCCCGGAUCUGUUUUUCUAAAACUCGUAGACCAAAGCCGUUUUUUUAGGUGAUCCAAUCACACCUCAAUAAAAGAUUGGUGGCGACUCCCAAUUUUCAUUUUUUUAAGUCAACAACCUAAAUUUUUUGUUUUUCCAAAAAAAUGGUUUCGACAUUUGUGUUUUACAAAUUAAGUCACGAUUUUCAAAUUUUAAUACUUUGAAAUUUCUGCUGCAAAAUAAAGUAAUCAUUUAAGUGUUUUUCUAUAAUAAAAUAAAUAGUUUUAAUGAGUGUUUUCUUAAAAACUAGAAAGUGAUUUGCCAAAAUUAAUAUUGCCAAAACACACUAUUUCAAAUUCAAUUUCUAGGUUUUUAAAUAAGCUAAUGUAAUUCCUCCAAAUUUGGUAAUAACGUCUAGGCCGGUUUUGGGAUGUUACAAUUUUAAUUCUUAAUUUUUAUAUUUUUACCAAAUUGACCCUAAUUUUAUAUAAAAAUUAUAAAAAAACUCAAAAUCAUUUAUAAAAUAGAAAAAUGUAUGUAAAAUUCUAGAAAAAUAAAAUCUUGAAUAUGUUGUUGAAGAACUAAAUUGUAUGAGAAAUAAAGAAAAGUAUCAUUCAAUAGAAUCCAAUAACAAACUAGGCACAUAACAAAAUAAAAAAGUUAGAUCAUUACAUACUUCCUCAACGUUUCUCGAAACCAAAUUAGUAAUAUUAUCUAGUUGAGUUUCAUGCUCUUGAAUAACAUUUAGAACCGGUAUUACGGAGGCUUAUGAAAUCGACUCGGAUGUCAUUUUUUUUAGUCAAAAGAUUACAAAAUAUACCACAAAAUUUUUUUUCAAACUCAAUUCAAAAUUUAAUUAUAAUUAAAAUAUUUUUCAUAACCCAAAUUGUAAAAACAAAUUAUGUUUCUUCUUCCAUGGUCGAGUUGGGCUUGGAAAAGGUUUUUAUGUCUUGAGCCGUUACAACUUGAAUUCAAUUUAAAUAAUAAAAGUUAUUUUUAAAAUUUAAAUUUAAUUAAAAAUAUAAAAUUUUUUUUAAUAUUUUAUUAUUUUCUGAACUCUAAAUGGACUUUUGGAGUGACCAAGCUAGGCUAAAAAUGGGUUAGGCUUGAAAAAUUUUUAGAUUAUUUAUAAGAGUAUAUCAAGGUGUCUAACAAUUACAAUUUUUUUUGAAAGGUCUUAAUAACACUAGAAAUCUUAUCACACACGUAUACAUGUGAAAAUCACGUAUUUAUAACACAGACUGUGUUUAAAAAUAACAAACAAUGAAUACUGAAAAGUAUAAUUUGGAACUAAUUAAUAAUAACACGUUAAAUAUGUAUGAUAUUAAAAUAAAAAUUAGAUUAAAUUGAGAGUAAAACAAAAUCUAAACACAAAAACACAUCAUAUUAAGAAUACUAAAUGAAUACAAAUGUUUAUCAUUGUUUUGUCUUCAAUCCCCAGUUGGUGAUGCUAAAUCAAUAACAUUAUUUACAUACACAAAUAUAUAAAAAUUUAGAACACAAAUGUUUAUCUGUUAUAAAAACAUGUAUGACAUGUACAUUUCUGACAUUUGUUAAUUAUGCAUGUGCAUUAGGAUGAGAUUUGUGUUUACGGAGGAACUGUGGGAGUUUAAUUCAUUUGCCAUAUUUGGUGGCUCAGCCACGCAUAUUUCUGCAUUUAGCGAUGAAUCACCUAAUGAUCUGGCAGUUAGGCUGCGAAUACUUUGAAAAGUUUUAUACUGACACUAAGCGGUGUGUAGGGUUUGAUGGGUAUUUAAUACCCUAUAUAGUGUGUAGGGAUGGUCGGAGAUGGUGUGUAACGGAUCGGAGUAGGAUUGUAAUCUACACCUGAUAUUUUUUUAUUCUGUUUCUGUAUAUGAUAUAUGUCUAAUUGACUUCCGAAAGCAUGUUUGAAAAUUAUAUAUGAUAUUUUAACUCUUAUAAGUUACAUAUUGAGCUUCUAAGCUCACUCUUAGUUUCUCUUAUUCUUAGGUAAUCCUUAGAUUUAGUCGGUGCGACUGGAGCUCGGUUAAUUAUCUUCUUGGUAUAUUUGUUAUUUUAAUUUGGUUUAUUCUAUUUUGGUUUUGAAUUGUUUUUGGACUGUUUUUAAGUUUAGGUUUAUUUUCGUUUUAUUUAUUUAUUUAAACGUUUUUGGUUGGUUUAAAUUUGAUCUACAAAAUUUUAAAUUACAUAGCAACAAACCGUGUUUUGAAAAUUGGACUCAACUAAGAAUUUUCGCUGCAAACGUAAGUGUUUUACGAAUAAAUAAUCGACAAAUUUAUCGAAAUGGUUAAGAAGGAUAUUUUCCCCAAAUAAACUAGGAUUUUACUUAAUAAGAGCUAGCAUUGUUUUAUAAGUCGAACGGAUUCUGGAUUUUCAAAUAAAUUGUAGUAACAUCUCUAGAUUUGGCCAUAACGUCUAGGUCAGAUUUAGGGUGUUACAGAGCCUAUAAGCUCACCCAAUGUUUCUAAGUUCUCAAUUAUCAACAUAUUUAGGACCAGAUGACGUGCAGGAGAUCAGAUUGAGUUCUCAAUUAUUUAAGUAUGAUGGUUCAUGUUUUAAAAUUAUUCUGGACAUUCUGAUUUUUUUGGGGGUUGUAAAUCUUUUUUCAGAUUUUGCUUUGCUUAGUUGGAUUUAGUAAUUAUUACUUUAAACUACAAGAUUUUGUGUUUUAAAAAUUAAGUCAUGGUUUUCAAAUUUUAGUACUCUAAAAUUUUCACUGCAAAAUAAAGUAAUCACUUAAGUGUUUUUCUAUAACAAAAUAAAUAAUUUUAAUGAUUAUUUUCUUAAAAAUUGAAAAGUGAUUCGCCAGAAUUAAUAUUGUCAAAACACACAAUUUCAAAUUUAUUUUCUGGGUUUUUAGACAAGUUAAUGUAAUUCCUCCAGAUUCAACCAUAAAGUAUAAACCAAGUUUGUGGCGUUACAAUUUUUGUCCUCAAUUUAUAUAUAUAUUUAUCAAUUUGACCCUGAUUUUAUAUAAAAAAUUUAAAAUCAUUUAUAAAAUAGAAAAAUGUAUAUAAAAUUCUAGAAAAAUAAAAUAUUGAAUUUGUUGAUGAAGAGCUAAAUGUAUGAGAAAUAAAGAAAAUAUCAUUCAAUAGAAUCCAAUAACAAUAAAGAAACAAAACGAAAUAAAAAAGUUCAGUUUCAUGCUCUUGAAGAACAUCUAGGAUUGAUAUUACAAAGACUUAUAAAAUUGACCCGGAUGUCUUCUUCUUCUUUUUUUGUCAAAAGAUUACAAAAUAUACCACAAUUUUUUUUUCAAACUCAGUUCAAAUUUUGAUUACAUUUAAAUUAUUUUUCAAAACUCAAAUUGUAAAAACAAAAUUUGUUUCUUCUUCCAUGGUUGAGUUGGGCUUGGACAAGGUUUUUAUGUCACGAGUUGUUCCAACUCGAAUUCAAUUUAAAUAAUAAAAAAUAUUUUUAAAUUUUAAAUUUAAUUAAGAAUAUAAAAAUAUUUUAUUAUUUUUUGAACUCUCAAAUGGACUUUUUUAGGUUGACUGAGCUGGGCGAAAAAUGGGUUAGGCUUGAAAAAAUUUUAGAUUAUUUUUAAGAGUAUAUCAAGGAGUCUAAUUAUUACAAUUUUUUUAAAAGGUUUUAAUAACACUAGAAAUCUUAUCACACGCAUAUGCGUGUGAAAAUCACGUAUUUAGAACGCAUAUUUGCUUUUAAAAAGAACAUACAAUAAAUAAUGAAAAGUAUGAUUCGAAACAAAUUAAUAAUAACAAAUGAAAUAUGUAUGAUAUUAAAAUAAAGAUUAGAUUAAAUUGAGAGUGACACAAAAUUUAAACACAAAAACACAUGAAUAUUAAAUGAAAACAAAUGUUUAUCAUUGUUUUGUCUUCAAUACUGAGUUGGUGUCAUGCUCAUUGGUGACGCUAAAUCAAUGACAUUAUUUACAUAUACAAAUAUAUAAAAAUUUAUAAUACAAAUAUACUUAUUAAAGUUUCAAAUGAAAACCUUAAAUUGUUUUAGUUAUAAUGUAAAUGAAAAAGCUUUAUAUGCACGGUGUCUCCUAGUUCAAAUAUCAUUAUGGGUAAUUUUUUUAUUGAUUUAUAAAGAAAAUAUAAAAUGAUGAAAACACUCUCAUAAACAUAUAUCUUACUUUGCAAAUAAAAUAGUAUUUUUGGUAAUUUUCUUAUUGAGUUGGGACUUGAUUGAUGUGUGACACCAACUCAGUAAAAUGCUUAAUACAUAGUAUAGAUAAAACAAUUCUAAACUAAAUUUUUUAAAAGAAUUUAGGGUAAAAUUCAACUAUGGUUAAGUUUUCAUUUUGGUCACUUAACUAAAAUAUGUUACAAUUUGAUCACUAAUGUUUUCGAAAUUAUUUUCUUUUUGCUCACCCGGCUGUUAAGUGGCACUUGUUUCACUUGAUAUAAUAAUAAUUCUAGUCAUCAAUUUUUAUAUUUUCUGUCAAGUUGACUCUGAUUGUGUAUAAAAAAUUAUUAAAAGAAACUCAAAAUAUUUAUAAAAUAGAAAAUGUAGAUAAGAUUUCUAGAAAAAUAAAAUCUUGAAGUUGUUGAAUAACUAGUAUGAAAAAUAAAGAAAAUUAACAAAUUAAAAACAAAACAAAACAAAGUUACGUUUUGCACCUUAUACUUGUUCAUAAUAGCUAAUAUUCACAUAAUUUUCAAUUCAGUCCAUUUUAGUGAUGAAUUCACUAAAUUCUAGUUACAGCUAAACAUAUAGAUGAAAUCAAGUACAAUUUACACAUUAUAUAAAACCAGAUAGUAAGUUUCUUAUUUAAAACUGUUGAACAUUUUACCUCUUUAAUGUUAAAACUCAUUUCUAAUACAACUCAUUGACUUGUAUAUUUAAUUUCAAGUUGUAUAUUCAAUACUGACAACUUCAGCAAUGCAAAUCAUUUAGUAAUGGGGUGCCAAUAACUAUACCUAACACAACUCGUUUACUUGUAUAUUUAAUUUCAGGUUGUAACUUAUAAUUAUGCAUUCUAUUAUUAUUAUUAUUAUUUAUUGCCAUCUUCAAUGAUUUUGUUUUGAUGUCCAAGGUCUACCAUAACAUCCUGUCAAGGUAAUUUUCUUUCAUUUGCUUAAUCCAUCACAUGCUUUUCUUUGCUUGAUUCAUGACUUUGCAAUGAUUGUUUCUGAUUAUCUGCUACUCUUAUCAGCUAGCUUUGUAAGACAGCCAAGGAAGAAGUGAACUUCACUGCUUCAUUUUCAGUUCUAUUCUCUCAACACUUUUCAGCCACUAAGUCAGGUAAAAAGAUCUGAAGCUAUGAUUUCCUCUACUGAUUAUCAACAGUUUUAGAUUUUAAGAUAAGAUGAUCAGCAGACAUAAUCUACUCUAGAUUGAAAUUAAUACAGAAAGAGCUACCCAGAAGCAAUAUAAUGUUGAAAUCUCAAACGGUUAACAUUUUAGCUCUUAAUAUUCUGUAAUGAACUGUUGCACACUUGAAUCUAGCAUUUUGUAUACAUCGAGAGCUUAAUUCUGGUGACCAGAAUUUCAUCAUGUUUCUGUCUGCCACCCAUCCAUAGCUCCAUCUACUUAACGCCAUUGCUUGAAACUUGCAUUCAUGUUUUCCUUUUCAUGCUUACACUCACAUAUCAAUACUUCAUAAAAUAUCCAAUUCAUUCACAGAUUUUCAUUCUCUGCUACUGUUUUAUAUGAUUGCAUUGCAGGGACAUAGUAAUGGAGUAUGUAGAGCCUGUUGUCGGCAUUGCAAAUUGUCUCGGAACUCCUGUUUGUAAAUAUUUGCAAUAUCACAGAAAGCUGAACGAUUAUGUGAGAAACUUCAAGAGGAUCAGAGAUGAAUUGAAUGGCAAAAUGCAAGAUAUAGAGCUGCAAUUGAAAGCAGAGCUUCUUCGUCCUUAUUGGUGCUAUAACUGAAACUAACAGAUUCAGUGCAGACUUGUUAAGCAAGUCUCGAGACUUGCUGAGCAAACAAGAGAAUUCGAGCAAGAGAAAGGAAAAAAGGCUAAGAAAAAUGAAGAGAAAAAUUGAUGAACAAACUGAACUUCAUUCAUAAAAUGCAUAAUGGCACAAUGCCAAUACAUAAAACAGGCACUAAGCUUGUCAAAGACAGUAAGUAAUUACCUAAACAUCACCUACCUCCACUAAUGACAUGGAAACUUGAAAUUUUGGCUUGUAAACUUACACAAAGUUGUGUUUACAACUCAUACAUAAGCUAAUUACAUCAGUCAACAAUCUAACUUAGUUAGAAAUGAACUAAGAUUACAUUUCAUUGACUAGGAAUUACAAAAUAAACAAAAUAAGCUUGCAUCAGCAGCUCCUGCAUGACUUGGUCUUCAUGGCCUGCAUGCUGUCGAGUUUGCUGCAUGCUGAACCAACUUCAUCACUCCUCCUUGGUUUGCAUGGAGCAAACACCUAGCUUCUUUCUUAGACAUUCGAACCUUGUGACACUAAGGGCUUUGGUUAAAAUGUCUGCAAGUUGAUCCUCUGAAUUACAGUGGAUCAGCUUUACUUCCUGAGCUUGCUCCAUUUCUCGAACAACAUGCAACUUGAUGCUGAAAUGUUUUGUUCUUCCAUGGAACACUGGAUUUUUAGCAAUUGCUACUGCAGAUUGGUUGUCACAGAAGAUCUCAGUAGCUUCCUCUUGAUGCACAUUCAAGUCAGCCAAUAUUUUCCUUAGCCAUAUGGCUUGGUUGACAGCACUUGCUGUUGCCACAUACUCUGCUUCAGCAGUAGAUUGAGCUACUAGACUUUGCUUCUUUGAGCUCCAGCAAAACAUGGCUGAACCAAGGUUAAAAGCAUACCCUGAGGUGCUUUUCAUGUCAUCUACCGAGCCAGCCCAGUCACUAUCAGUGUAGCCAACCAGCUUCAGAUUUCCUUCUUUGCUGUACUUCAAACCAUAGUUUAAAGUGCCUUUGACAUAUCUCAGCACUCUCUUUGCAGCUUGGAAAUGCUUCUCAUUGCAGCAAUGCAAGAACCUUGAGAGCAAUACAGCAUACAUGAUGUCUAGUCUAGUGGCAGUCAAGUAUAGCAAGCAACCAACUAGACUCCUGUAGGUUGUUUCACAAACUUUCUUAAAAUCACUUUGGCUCGAUAGUUUUUCUCCAACAGCAACAGGUGUUUUAGUUGCCUUGUUGUUUUGCAUGGAGAACUUGGUCAGAAUCUUUGUGGCAAAGCUUCUCUGGCUUAGAAAUAUCCCAUUCUAUACUUGAGACACCUCCAUUCCAAGAAAGUAUGACAUCUCCCCAAGAUCAGACAUUUCAAACACUUCUUACAUCUUGGUCUUGAAAUCAGCCAGCACUACUCGAUCUCCUCCUGUCACCAGAAGAUCAUCAACAUACAGGGACACAAUGAGUUGUAUUUGUGUCCCUUGUUUCUUGACAUACAGUGUUGGCUCACUCUUGCUUCGAUCGAAUCCCAGAUCAGUCAAGUAGCCAUCGAUUCUGCUAUUCCAAGCCCUUGGAGCCUGUUUUAAUCCAUAUAGGGCCUUCUUUAGUUUGUAGACCAUAUGCUCUCUGCCAGCUAUUUCAAACCCUUGUGGUUGUUCAACAUAGAUGUCUUCAUCUAAGAAACCAUUCAGAAAGGCUGAUUUCACAUCAAGUUGAUGGAUCUUCUAUUCGAGCUGUGCUGCUAAGGCAAUCAGCAGUCUGAUGGUGUCGAACCUGGCCACUGGUGCAAAGGUCUCCAGGUAGUCCAAGCCAUACCUCUGACUGAACCCCUUGACAACUAGCCUUGCUUUCAGCUUGUUCAAGGUACCAUCAGCAUUCUGCUUGGCUUUGUACACCCAUUUCACCCCAAUCACCUUCCUUUUGACUGGCCUUUCAACCAAUUCCCAGGUCUGGUUCUUCUCAAUCAUGCUGAUCUCCUCAGCCAUUGCCUGCUUCCACCCUUGCUGAGCCUCAACCUCUUCAAAGUUGCUUGGUUCAGCUAUGGCUACAUGAGCCCUUUCAUAAAUUUAAGCCAAUAGCCUUGUUCCUCUGACUGGUUCAUCAUCAAUAUCCAUUUCAGGGACAUUUUGGUCUGGCUCAGCUUGGUCUGCUGUAAGUUCUUUAGAAACUUCUUCAGGUUCAUGUCUUUCCCAGUUCCAACAUGACCUCUCAUCAAAUGCCACAUCCCUGCUUACUGACACUUUAUUUGUUGAAGGAUCUAAAAUCCUAUAGCCCUUCUUAACAGUGCUAUAGCCCACCAAAACACCAGGUCGAGCCCUUUCAGACAAUUUGUCCCUUUUAACAGCAGGUACAUGUGCAUAACAGAUGCAUCCAAAGACCUUCAGAUGAGCCAGUGAUGGCUUGAAGCUAAACCAGGCCUCGAAUGGGGUCUUUUGAUCCAAAGCCUUGGUUGGAAGUCUAUUUUGAAUGUAUGUUGCAGUGUUAACUGCUUCUGCCCAUAGUGCUUUAGGCAGAUUCUUCUGAAUCAUCAAGCACCUGGCCAUAUCCAUCAAACUCCUAUUCUUCCUUUCACUUACCCCAUUCUGCUGAGGUGUAUAUGUGUUGGUAAGUUGAUGUUUGAUGCCUGCCUUAUCACAGAAGGCUUGGAACUGAGCUGAGGUGUACUGAGUCCCAUUAUCAGACCUUAUGGUCUUCACCUUGCAGCUUGUUUCAGUCUCAGCAGCAGUUUUAAACUUCCAAAACACAGUGGCCACCUCUGAUUUCUGUUUUAAGAAGUAAAUCCAGCAAUAUCUCGAGAAAUCAUCAAUGAACAAUAUGAAAUACCUAUUUCCACUUAAUGACUUAGUCUUCAUAGGGCCACACACAUCAGUAUGCACCAGUUGGAGUUUUUCAGAGGCUCUUCAGGCUUGAUUCGAGGGAAAUGGGAGUCUGGCCUGCUUUCCUAGCUGACAUACUUCACAUACAUCAUCAUGGUCCACUGAGUUGAUGAAGUUUUCAGCCAGGUCUUCUCUGAUCAUUCGGGCCAUCGAUAUGAAGUUGGCAUGUCCCAGUCUUUGAUGCCACAGCUUGGAUUCAUCUGAAGUGGCUGUGUAGGCAAUGUCUGACUUCUUUGUCCAGUCAACCACAAAGCUCUUAUCAGCCAUGGGGACUGCCAUCAGUUUGGAUCCACUUGGAUCACUGAUUUGGCACUGGUGGUCUUUAAACAAAACUGAAUAACCUUUUUCCAGUAACUGAGCUAUGUUGAGCAGGUUUCUGUCAAUUUCAGGCACCAACAGCACAUUUGAAAUCACUUUGGUACCUGUAAGGGUGCAUAUCAGCACAUCACCCUUGCCUUCAGCUUGAAUAAAAUGACCAUUUCCUAUCUUGACUUUAGUUCUGCAGCUUCUGUCUAAAGACUUGAAGAUUGCAGCAUCAGGUGUCAUGUGGUUGGUGCAUCCACUGUCUAGGAGCCAACCAGAUGAGGACCUUUCCUGAGCAGCUGAGCAUGACACAGCAAAAACUUGCUCCCCUUGGUCACUGUCCUCCUUAGCUACUCGAGCCUCAGCUUUCAUCUGUUGAAACUGAUUGUGCCUUGAUUUGGCCUUGCUCUUAUAGACUCUCUCAACAUGACCCUUUUUCUUACAAUGCUGACACACAGCAUCUGGAUUGAACCAGCAUUUUUCUUCUAAAUGACCAGUCUUUCUGUAGUGCUUGCAAGUCUGACCUUCUCUCUUUGCAGCAUCAUUCUUUGGCUUGUCUCUCCAGGCCUUCUUGCCUUUGUAGGCAGCAUUUGUUCUUGCCUGAAAGGCACCUUCUUGGUGCUCCUCCAGUCUGCUUGCUCUCCUCUGCUCUUGAGCAUAUAGAGCAUUGAUCAACUCUGUCAGGGAGAUGGUGGACAGGUCCCUUGAGUCCUCGAGAGAUGAGAUUUUUGCCUCAUACCUCUCAGGCAAAGUUGCUAUAACCUUCUCCACUAUCCUAGCUUCAUUAAACUGCUCUCCAAGGAGCCUGAUGCUGUUAACCACAGCCAUAAUCCUGUCAGAAUAUUGCUUGACAGUUUCUUCUUCCUUCAUCUUCAAAUUCUCGAAAUCUCUCCUCAAGUUUAACAACUGUUGCUGCCUUGUCCUCUCUAUCCCUUGAAACUCUUCCUGCAACUUGUCCCAGGCCUGUUUUGGUGAUUCACAUGCCAUAAUCCUUGUGAAAAUCACAUCAGACACUGAGUUUUGGAUGCAAGACAUAGCCUUGUGCCUCUUGGUCCUUUCAUCAGCAUGCUGCUUGAUCUGAGCCACUGUUGGAUUAGCUCUAAGUGGCUCUGGUUCAACAUCAGAGUUGACCACCUCCCACAGAUCGAAAGCCUGCAGGUAGGUCUUCAUUUUGACCACCCAUAUGUGAUAGCCUUCUCCAUUGAAGACUUGAGGUGCAGCUGGUGAAAAGCUUGAUGAAGCCAUGGAUUUGUGUAACAGAUCCCUUAAGAAAUAGUCUCUAGAUACCAAUUGUUGGUGCUGUAACUGAAACUAACAGAUUCAGUGCAGACUUGUUAAGCAAGUCUCGAGACUUGCUGAGCAAACAAGAGAAUUCGAGCAAGAGAAAGGAAAAAAGGCUAAGAAAAAUGAAGAGAAAAAUUGAUGAACAAACUGAACUUCAUUCAUAAAAUGCAUAAUGGCACAAUGCCAAUACAUAAAACAGGCACUAAGAUUGUCAAAGACAGUAAGUAAUUACCUAAACAUCACCUACCUCCACUAAUGACAUGGAAACUUGAAAUUUUGGCUUGUAAACUUACACAAAGUUGUGUUUACAGCUCAUACAUAAGCUAAUUACAUCAGUCAACAAUCUAACUUAGUUAGAAAUGAACUAAGAUUACAUUUCAUUGACUAGGAAUUACAAAAUAAACAAAAUAAGCUUGCAUCAGCAGCUCCUGCAUGACUUGGUCUUCAUGGCCUGUAUGCUGUCGAGUUUGCUGCAUGCUGAACCAACUUCAUCAGUCCUCUGGGGAAGAUACCGAAGAAGGGAGUUGAAAUUUGGUUGAAAGCUGUGAAAGAGAUGAUUAGGGAAGCAGAAGUUGUUGAAAACAAAGUCAGUAACGGGAGAUAUCUCUGUCGUGCUUGUAACGGGAAGCUGGUUGAUGAAAAGACUCGAGAAAUGAAGGAAUUUCUUGAUAAAGCUCCUAAUGCCUCUGAAUGUCUUGCCAUAAAUGGUCCAGGUGCUGGGUUGCCGCUGCCAACAUCAGAACUAGUUGGAGAGGAAGCUGUCAGAAAUGAGAUUUGGGCAUGCUUGGUACAGGAGAAGGUGAGCAAGAUUGGGGUUUGGGGGAUGGGCGGUGUGGGUAAAACCACUAUCAUGAAGCACAUCCACAAUGAUCUUUUGAAAGAACAAAGAUUCGAAAGGGUAAUCUGGGUUACCAUAUCAAAGGAGUUCAAUGUCAUGAAGGUACAAGAUGAUAUUGCAGAUGCUUUGAAGUUGAAGGAAGAUUGGCCCAGAGAAGGAGACAAGCUCAGACGAGCAGCAAUCUUGUCUGAAAUGCUGAAGAACGCCGAAAAGCAUGUUCUAAUCCUAGAUGAUGUGUGGGAUAAAGUCUCUCUAGAAGAAGUUGGGAUCCCCGAGCCGAGUGGCAGAAAUGGCUGCAAGUUGGUGUUGACAACCCGUUCGGAGCAUGUCUGUAAGUAUAUGGGUUGUAAGGUGAUAAAAGUGAAGCCCCUUUCAGAAGAAGAGGCAUUGAUACUAUUCUUGAAUAAAGUUGGACCUAACAUAGUUCAAAGUCAAACUAUAAUGCCUACUCUGAAGCUUGUUGUCAAGGAAUUUGCGGGUCUACCUCUGACAAUUAUCGUCGUAGCUGGUACAUUGAAAGGAGAAGAGGACUCUCUUAAUUGGAAGAACGCACUCAGGGAAUUGAAAGAGAGAAUAGAAAAAGUGGAAGGAGUGGAAGCUAAGGUAAUCGAGCGCUUGAAAUUUAGCUUCGAUCACUUAAAGGACGAGAAAGUGAAAUAUUGUUUCUUACAUUGCGUAUUAUAUCCCGAAGAUUUUGGAAUUGAAAAGGAUGAAAUAAUUGAGUGCUGGAUUGAGGAGGGAUUCAUAGAUGAUAUGGGUACAAGACAAGAAAUGAAAGACAAGGGCCGUGUUAUUUUGAAGAAGUUAGAAGAGAAUUGCUUGCUGGAAAAUAUUACCAAUAAAAGUGGUCAACCUUGCAUAAAGAUGCAUGAUGCAGUGAGAGAGAUGGCAUUGUCGAUCACAAGAAUGAAUCCUCGACAUAUGAUACAAGUAGGUUUGCAAUUAGAAGAGUUACCAGAAAAGGAGCAACGGAGUUCGGAUAUUGAGAAAGUGUCACUUAUGUAUAACUCCAUAUCAGAAAUUUCCAUAGAUGUGCUGCCCACAAAAUGUCAACUGCUCACAACCUUGUUAUUGCAGGAGAACCCUAUAAAGAAGAUCUCAAUUUCUUUCUUCAUAAACAUGCCUUGUCUUAGUGUUCUCAAUUUGUCCUCUACGAAGAUCAAAAGUUUACCAAAUUCCAUCUCUGAACUAAAGAACCUCACAACAUUGUUGCUUUCUGGCUGUUAUGAAUUAAGAGCUCUGCCAUGUCUUUCGAUGCUUCAAGAAUUGAAGAAGUUGGAUCUAAGUUGGACUAGAAUUGAGGAAGUACCUGAUGGCAUGGAUAUGCUGAUAAAGCUAAGAUAUCUUGAUGUUCGAGUGUUCACUCUGAAAGAGAUAUCCGCUGGACUUUUACCAAAACUCGUUCACCUUCAGCACUUGGGUUUUCAUAAGGACAAUAAAAGAAUCAGUCUAAAAGCAGAGGAGAUGGAACCAUUGAAGAAGUUGGAGUGCUUAACCGGACAUUUCGAAGACAUCAGUGAAUUCAGUAAGUUCAUCUCCUCAAUGCAACAAAGUAGGAAAAAUCUCAUCAAGUACGAUUUACAGGUGGGCUCAUCUUUUAUGCGUGCUACAAGAGAUAAAGCAGUAACAAUUGGAGGAUUCCAUGAUUGGGAAGGUGAGUUAAUUAUGCACCCAAUUGAAAUUCAAGAGUUGAAUAUUUUAAAGUGCCACAAUUUGAGAAGCUUAGUCAAUGAUAAUUCUUCCUUCAAAAAUGCGAUUGGCUUGAGGGUUUGGUGGUGUGAAGGGAUAGAGUGUGUUGUUUCCCUGUCCUCUUUUGCCUCUUCUUCCGCUCAUCCAUUUCAGAGCCUCGAGAUGUUGGACCUUAGUGAGCUACCAAAGUUGAGUGCCCUUAUUAUGAAAGAUGAAGGAAUUGGUUCAGCAACAACAUCAACAUUGGCUCCAUCUGCCGCCUUUUCCCAUCUUAAGGAAAUUACGAUAGACAGCUGCUCAAGUAUGAAGAGGUUGCUUCCACAUUGGUUGCUUCCAAACCUCCAAAACCUGGAAGUAAUAUCAGUGUCACACUGUGAUAAGGUACCAGAAAUAUUGGGAGCACCAACAUCAGAAGUUGAAGAAAAAGGGAGUGAUGCAUUAAUCAAAUUCCAUCUUCCUAAAUUGAGAAAGUUGAAAUUGUGGAGAUUACCAAAUUUGAAGAGCAUUUGCAGCAAAAGUGGAGUGAUGGUUUGCGAUUCUCUCCAAGUUAUCCAAGUUGCUGGAGACUGUUAUAAACUGAAGAGAAUUCCUCCAUUUGUUCCCCUUGUUGGCAAUGGGCAGCCAUUUGCAUAUGCUCCACCUUCUCUUACCAUCUGGUCAUUGAAAAAAUGGUGGGAAAGGUUAGAGUGGGAUGACCAUCCAAACUUUAAAAAUGUUGUUCAACCCCUUUGGAAGCUUUUAAGGUAUGAACCAUUUAUAGCUUAGUUUAUUUUAUAAAUCUAAUUUCUCCAUUUUAAUACCAUUUCAUGUUAUAUUUUAUUUUUGUUUUAAGUUAAGAUGAUGUGGCCUCCAUUGGUGCGAAAGAAGUAGAAGACAGUAGCAGAGCGGAGGAUGGUGCAAAAAAGGUGGGAAUAAAAGGAAUGAUGGAGCAUUGAGGAAUUGAGCAGCCACCAUAAUAAUUGACUCCUUUUCCAUUUUAAUAUCAAAUUAUUUUAUUUGUAUUUUUAUAUAAAACAAUUAAAUUCAAAUAUUAUAUAAAAAAUCUUUAUAUUUGUUAAUUGAAUUGAUGUAAUUCGUUAAUUGGAUUUUAAUAUUAUUUUCAUAAAAUAACAAAUAUUAUUUUGAGAAUAUUUUUAUUUUUUACAUAAAAUUUUAAAAUAUAUAUGUACAUGUUGAAAUUUAAAUCUAAAACAUCACAUUCUUUAAUACCUCAAUUCUAUUAUUUAAAAUUAUAGUACUCUUUGCUUAUAUUGAUCUAUUGGCAUAAUCUUAAUUAGAUAUGUUUGUAUUGAUCGUAAAGUGAAAUUAUUUUUCUUAACAUUUAUAAAUGAUUAAUAUUAAAAUAUUUGAAAUUAAAAAUAAAUUACUAAAAAUAAAUUUUAAAAAAUUUUAGAUUUAAAAUGGAAUUAAAAUAUAAUAUCAAAUUAUUACUACCUUUAUAGUAUAAUUUAUUGGAUAAACUACACUGUAGGUUAUUCUAAAACAACAUUAUUUCUAUUUUGGUCACUUUAUUUUUUUAUCAAUUUAGUCACUCUAAUUAAAAUAAUUGUUCGAAUUAGACAUUGCCAUAACAUUUUUUUUUUUUACUUUUGACUAAAGCUAGAGACUUUUCUAUUAGCUCAAAACAUUUGUUUUUGUUUAUUUGCAGCAUAAGAACCACGUAUGCUUGUCACCACUCAUCCUUUGCUUUCCAUCUCUAUUGCUCCUCACUGCACCAUAAGAACCACGUUUCAUCACAAUGGUGUACAAAGAGUGUUGGUUGUGUUUUGACUAUCGUACAAAUUAGUGUAGAAAUACAACCGGCAAACUUCCGAGUGGAUACUAUUGGGAAACUAUAGGUGAAGUCGGAGCGAAAAACACAAGCUGUCAUGUAAGGACCUACGGCUAUCGUCGAAUCUUGCAUGGCGACUGGGGAUAUGACGGAUUUUUUAGUUCUGACGAGGAUCUUGGAUCCGAUAUCCAGAGUCCAUUUCCACUUAUCGUUAUUGUAUAGCUCAGAUUUUUUGCCAAGAAUCUUCUUGGUUAGAACAUAGUAAUAGCUAAGACAAGGUGAAAGAGAAGCAACAAGGAAGCUAAAAUGGUAACAAGCUUGGGAAAGGAUUGAGUAGAAACUGACUUCUUCAUGGACUCAGUAUGGGAUCCAGGAAGGGAAAAAAUCAAUCUUUAAGAACAAAUGAAAAAAACCAAAGGAAUCCGCUUUCAAAUAAAUUUACCUUUGAGGCUUUGUUAGUGUUUUAAAUUAAUUAUAGAGAAAUUCUUAAUUUUAGUAAAAAGUAAAAAAUGAAUGUCAUAUCAACAAUCAGUUAGUGGGUUAAUACGAUAGUGACCAAUUCAAAUAAUUAGUAUAAUAAAAAAAUUUGCUCUUUUUAACUUUUACAUAUUAUAUCAUCAAUUUGGCAUAAUUUUAAAAAAAUAACCUUCAAAAUUACAAAUGAUCUCUAUUUCAUCAUCAAAUUUUACCUACCUAAUUUAUCGUUAAAUAGUAGCAGAUAUAUUCUGUUUGGACGAUUUUUGGGUUGACAUAUUCUUUUCAGCUGAAUGCUAAUAAUAACAAUAAUAUGAUGAAACACUGGAGUAAUUUCUUAUGUGACGGCCUUCAUUUCACUCACUAGUUGCAUGUUUAUUGUUCAUGCACUGAUUAAACAAGAUUUGAAAAAGGCUAAAAGCAUGAGCAUGCAACACUGAAUUGUCAAAUACUCAAUAGUAUAAGAUUGAAAUGGUGUUUUUUUUGCAGGAACAAUAGGUGAUUUGCAGAAUCAUACACAAAACAGGCGAGAAAAAAAAUGGGGUAGCUGCUGCGCAAGGACAAGGCUAUCUCUUGAAACUUUCUUCAAUAUCUUCAACAGCAAAGCAACAACUUGCUUUCGUCCACUGCUUGAAAUCCCAAUUCCGUUUAGAAUCUCAAGCUCAAGCUUCAGUGCAGGCUGCCCCUUACUCUUUUAUGGAACGUGAAAAAGCCUAAUAAACCCAGUUGUGUAUCCAACUAAUGGGUUCCAACCCUCCUUUUCAGCCACUUCCACCUAGCACACUUGAUUUAUAAAUUUUGAAAUUUAAUUUUUUAAAAUUAUGCAUGUCAAAGUUGAUAGAUAAAUUUAUUGUUAUAUCGAUUUUUAACUGCCACAUCACCCUCCGAUUAAAGUUUUAAGGCACUUAACGAAAAUGGAUAAAAAAAAUAAUCUCAAUUAGUUGAGUGACCAAAUUAAAAAUAAAUUAAUAGUUAGUGAUCAAAAAGAAAAGGGACAAUAAUUAGAUGACCUGUGAUGUAGUUUACCCAUAUCUUUUUAAAAGCGUAUAUAUAUAUUUAUAACUGUCAUCAUUCGUAUAGAAAUGUCACAAAUAUUAAAUCAUUAAAUUGCAUGUUUCAAAAAAAAAUUAUUAAUUCAUUUUUUAAGAUUAGUAAUUAAUAGAAAUAGGAUCAAAAACAUUCAUACUAAACUUAACUAAACAAUCUUAUAAUUUGGUCACUCAUGUUUUCGAAAUUAUUUGUUUUCUUCACUCGACUGUUAAGUGGCACUUAUUUUAAUUGAUACAAUAAUAAUUUUAGUCUUUAAAUUUGACCUUGAUUUUAUACAAAAGUUAUAAAAAAAAUCUCAAAAUUAUGUAUAAAAUAGAAAUUUUCAUAUAAAAAUUCUAGAAAAAUAAAAUCUUGAAUAUGUUGUUACAUAACUAAAUUGUAUAAGAAAUAAAGAAAAUUAGCAUUUAAUAGAAUCUAAUAAUAAAUUAAAAAUAAAAAAAAAAGUUAGAUCAUUACAUGCUUCAUCAAUGUUUCUUGAAACUAAAUUAGUAAUAUUAUUAAGUUGAGUUUCAUGUCCUUAAAGAAUAUCUAGAAUUGAUAUUGCAGAGGCUUAUGAAAUUGACCUUGAUGCCAUUUUUUUUAACCAAAAGAUUUUAUGUUUCAAACUCAAUUCAAUUUUUCAUUACAUUUAAAUUAUUUUUUGAAACUGAAAUUGUAAAAAGAAAUCAUAUUCAGAAUUUUAUUUUUUCUUGUAAGGUAAAAUUAUGUCAAGAAACAGAGGAGGUAAAAAACAUAGAACAAAUAAAUCAGCUUAAUGUUUGUUUUCUAAGUUUGUUUUUAAAGAACGAGUAUUGGAUAUUUCAAUAUACAUAAUAUAGAGAAUUUCUGUAGGGUUUAAAAACAAUUAUCCCUCAUUUUCUCUCACUUUAUUUAUUUUUGAAAAUUUUAUCAACUUUAUUUAAUUUUUAAUUUUAUAAUGUACUAAAAUUUUAAAAAUAAUUUAUUUUUUACCAUUUUAUAUAUUAUCAAGAUUAAAUCGAGUAAAAAUAUAAAACUUAAAAAAAAAGACUAAAAUAACAAUUAUAUUAAUCAAAAGAAUACCACUUAACAAUGGAGUAUGUAAGAAAUUGUCCAAGAGUUAAAUCCAAAAUGUAAUAUCAACAACACAAGUUAUUUACUACAACACCAAUAACUAUAUAUAUUUUUUUAUAACUAAUACAAGUCAUUUACUAGUAUAUUAGACAUUCUUAUACCCUGCUUUCCCAUACAUUCCCAUGAUGAUGAUGAUGAUGAUGAUGAUGAUGAUGAUGUUACAAUUGAGCACCAAGAUGACUGCAAAACUUGUUAGUAUUGUCCAGGAUGAAUCGAAAGGACAUUUCCAUGGAUUUUAGACCUCAUAUCUAUCUUUCAAAUUUUGAGAGCAGAUUCAAGGUUUUAUCAAGUAGAAAUGUCAGUAUCAAAUACCCAAGAUGCCAACUUAUAAUGGCAGACAGCAAAGCAAAAAGCUAAAAGAAAAUAUGGGAUUUCUUACUAAAAAUCCUGCCUUUCUGGAACCCACCACAGAAGUGAAUGCCUCAUUAUUUUGCCCCUUUUUAUCUUCACUUUCUUCCUUGUUUUGCUAUUGUACCCACAACAUUCUUUCUUCUUCACUGUUUUUAUGAAGCAUCCAGUCAAGGUAAUUUUCUUUCAUUUGCUUAAUCCAUGACAUGCUUUUCAUUCCUUAGUUCAUGACUAUGCAAUGAUUGUUUUUUAUUAUCUGCUUCAGUUAUAGCAGUUUGCUUUGUAAGAUAGUCAAGGGAGUGAACUUCACUGCUUCAUUUUCAGUUCUAAUCUCUCAACACUUUUCAACCAGUAGGUCAGGCAAUUUAUGCUUCCCAUUCUUUGAUCCUUAAAUAUGCAAUUCAGCUCUUUUGAAAAUUUGUUUGCUUAUUAUCAACUCAUGACAUGAUUUCCUUUGCUUUUACAUAACAAGAAAGAUGAAUAUUUGUAAUAAGAUCUGAAGCUAUGAUUUCCUCUGCUGAAUAUCAACAGUUUUAGAUUUCAAGACUGGAUGAUCAGCAGACAUAAUCUACUAUAGUUAGAAAUUAAUACCAAAAGAGCUACCCAGAAGCAAUAUAAUGUUGAAAUCCCAAACUGUUGAACAUUUUACCUCUUAAUAUUCUGUUGCACACUUGAAUCUAACAUUUUCUAUACAUUGAGAGGUUAAUUCUGGAUAUACAAAUUUCAUCAUGUUUCUGUCUGCCACCAUCCAUAGCUCCAUCUAAUAAACGCCAUUGCUUGAAACUUGCAUUCAUGCUUACACUGACAUAUCAAAAAGCCAAUACAUUCACAGAUUUUCAUUAUCUGCUACUGUUAUAUAUGAUUGCGUUGCAGGGACAUAGCAAUGGAGUACGUAGAGCCCGUUGUCGGCAUUGCAAAUUGUCUUGGAACUCUUGCCUGUAAAUACUUGCAAUAUCACAGAAAGCUCAAUGAUUAUGUGAGAAACUUCAAGAGGAUGAGAGAUGAGUUGAAUUGCAAAAUGGAAGAUAUAGAGCUGCAAUUGAAAGCAGAGCUUCUUCGUCCUCUGGGGAAGAUACCGAAGAAGGGAGUUGAAAUUUGGUUGAAAGCUGUGAAAGAGAUGAUUAGGGAAGCAGAAGUUGUUGAAAACAAAGUCAGUAACGGGAGAUAUCUCUGUCGUGCUUGCAACGGGAAGCUGGUUGAUGAAAAGACUCGAGAAAUGAAGGAAUUUCUUGAUAAAGCUCCUAAUGCCUCUGAAUGUCUUGCCAUAAAUGGUCCAGGUGCUGGGUUGCCGCUGCCAACAUCAGAACUAGUUGGAGAGGAAGCUGUCAGAAAUGAGAUUUGGGCAUGCUUGGUACAGGAGAAGGUGAGCAAGAUUGGGGUUUGGGGGAUGGGCGGUGUGGGUAAAACCACUAUCAUGAAGCACAUCCACAAUGAUCUUUUGAAAGAACAAAGAUUCGAAAGGGUAAUCUGGGUUACCAUAUCAAAGGAGUUCAAUGUCAUGAAGGUACAAGAUGAUAUUGCAGAUGCUUUGAAGUUGAAGGAAGAUUGGCCCAGAGAAGGAGACAAGCUCAGACGAGCAGCAAUCUUGUCUGAAAUGCUGAAGAACGCCGAAAAGCAUGUUCUAAUCCUAGAUGAUGUGUGGGAUAAAGUCUCUCUAGAAGAAGUUGGGAUCCCCGAGCCGAGUGGCAGCAAUGGCUGCAAGUUGGUGUUGACAACCCGUUCGGAGCAUGUCUGUAAGUAUAUGGGUUGUAAGGUGAUAAAAGUGAAGCCCCUUUCAGAAGAAGAGGCAUUGAUACUAUUCUUGAAUAAAGUUGGACCUAACAUAGUUCAAAGUCAAACUAUAAUGCCUACUCUGAAGCUUGUUGUCAAGGAAUUUGCGGGUCUACCUCUGACAAUUAUCGUCGUAGCUGGUACAUUGAAAGGAGAAGAGGACCCUCUUAAUUGGAAGAACGCACUCAGGGAAUUGAAAGAGAGAAUAGAAAAAGUGGAAGGAGUGGAAGCUAAGGUAAUCGAGCGCUUGAAAUUUAGCUUCGAUCACUUAAAGGACGAGAAAGUGAAAUAUUGUUUCUUACAUUGCGCAUUAUAUCCCGAAGAUUUUGGAAUUGAAAAGGAUGAAAUAAUUGAGUGCUGGAUUGAGGAGGGAUUCAUAGAUGAUAUGGGUACAAGACAAGAAAUGAAAGACAAGGGCCGUGUUAUUUUGAAGAAGUUAGCAGAGAAUUGCUUGCUGGAAAAUAUUACCAAUAAAAGUGGUCAACCUUGCAUAAAGAUGCAUGAUGCAGUGAGAGAGAUGGCAUUGUCGAUCACAAGAAUGAAUCCUCGACAUAUGAUACAAGCAGGUUUGCAAUUAGAAGAGUUACCAGAAAAGGAGCAAUGGAGUCCGGAUAUUGAGAAAGUGUCACUUAUGUAUAACUCCAUAUCAGAAAUUUCCAUAGAUGUGCUGCCCACAAAAUGUCAACUUCUCACAACCUUGUUAUUGCAGCAUAACCCUAUAAAGAAGAUCUCAAUUUCUUUAUUCACAAACAUGCCUUGUCUUAGUGUUCUCAAUUUGUCCUCUACGAAGAUCAAAAGUUUACCAAAUUCCAUCUCUGAACUAAAGAACCUCACAACAUUGUUGAAAUUUAUAAUAUUUUAUUUUAUUGAUAAAUGAAUAAAUUUCUCUAAUUAAGUAAUUUAUUAUAUUCUUUCUCAAAUAGAUAAAUGAAAACAACAAGGAGAAACAAGUAUAAGGGAUUUUUUUUAUUGAAGUGAUAAAAAUAGGAAUGAUAGCGAGUCAGGUAUAUGCAUAUUUUUGAAUGAUUUCAAUUUAAAUUCACAAAUUUAUUUAAGUGUUUAAAUGUUAUUCAUGAAUUAUUUGAGUAUUACUAUUCAAAUUCAAAUUUAAAUUAAAUAAUAUUAUCCAUCAAAUAUUUCAAUCCUAAAAAAAACCUAAAUUUAAAUUUUUAAUUUUUUUGUGGAUAUUUUCAAAUCCACAAAAACCUGAAUUUGAAUAUGGUAAAAUUAUUUUAAUAUAUAUAAUCACAAUUGUAAGAAUUUAGUAACUACUAGAUUUAUAUAUCUGAAAUUACAUUUGUUAUCUGAAUAAGAAAUGCAGAUUUAAAUAAUGGAUAUUCAAGGUAUCUUAUACCCACAUACACUUCGAAUUCAUAUAGCAUAUAGCAAUUUUAAAAUCUGAAUCUAACUAUUAUUCCAACCUAAAAAAAAAAAGGUCUUAGAUCAUCAGAAUUCGUAAUCAGAAUUUUCAUCUUUAACUAAAAUAUUCUUUAUUCCAUUAAAUAUGUAAGUGUCCACCGAGCUUUGUUCUUUAUUGUAAUAUUUAUUGAUUUUUUUCUAUUUCUUCAAGGAUUAUUGUUUUAUCGUGCUUUUAAUGUGGUGUUUUAUUAAUUUUUUUAGAUUUUGUUAGUUAAUAAUUUUUAUUUAUGUUGAAAAAUAAUGAAAAAAUAGUUGAUAUAUAUUGUUCGGAACCAAGAUAACUUGGUUGAAGAAAUGAAAGUAGGAGUGAAAGUGCAUUAUGAAGAAGCAUACUAUCUUUUACAAAUUUAUUAUCUCUUUUACAAUUAUAUACACAAACCAAUCAUAUACCGAAACCAAAAACCCUAAACAAAUUUAUUAUUAUCUCUUUUACAAUUAUAUAAGAACAUAUUUAAAAUAUAAAUUAAAAAAACUAAUUAAUCUAAACCCAAUACCCUAGCCCGACCCCUAAACCCUAGCUAAACCCUAAAUCCCUAAAUCCCUAACUCCUAACUCCUAACUCCCAACAUCUAACCCCGGCCCUAACCCCUAAACAUUAAAUCUCAGCCCUUAAACCAUAAUCCCUAAAUCUCUCUAUAUAUAUACUCCUAAUCAAUUAUAAUAACCUUAAAAUAGUAAUCCCUAAACUGACCUAAAAUAUUAAAUUAAUAAUUAUAUACCCUAAACCUAAAACCCUAAAUCAACUAUAGUGAUACUUAAUUCAAUAUUUUAAAUUUAAAUUAAUACUAUCUCUUUUACGAUUAUAUAAGAAUUUUUUUAAUAUAUAAAUUAAAAAAUAAUUAGUAAUCAUGUAACCAAAAAACUUUAAAAUUAUUUUAAAUUAUUUUAAAUAAUAGUAUUUUAAUUUGUCCAUGUGUUUUAUUUCAAAUUAAUUCUACGUGUUCUUUUUUUUUCUGAAGAUUUUAAAUAUUCAAUUAGAAAUAAGUUGAAUUUUAUUUAAUUAAUAUAAAUAAUUAACCAAUUAAGGUAAAAUGUUUUUUACGGCGCUUUCACAAAAACGUCGCUAAAAAUACGAGCAUUAGCGGCGCUUUUUCAAAUUGACCCUUAUUUUAUAUAAAAAUUAUAAAAAAAAACUCAAAAUCAUUUAUAAAAUAGAAAAAUGUAUAUAAAAUUCUAGAAAAAUAAAAUAUUGAAUAUGUUGUUGAAGAACAAAAUUGUAUAAGAAAUAAAGAAAAAUAUCAUUCAAUAGAAUCCAAUAACAAACUUGGCACAUAACAAAAUAAAAAAGUUAGAUCAUUACAUACUUCCUCAACGUGUAUCGAAACCAAAUUAGUAGUAUUAUCUAGUUGAGUUUCAUGCUCUUGAAGAACAUUUAGAACCGGUAUUACAGAGGCUUAUGAAAUCGACCCGGAAGUCAUUUUUUUUAGUCAAAAGAUUACAAAAUAUACCACAAAAUUUUUUUCAAACUCAAUUCAAGAUUUAAUUAUAUUUAAAUUAUUUUCCAUAACCCAAAUUGUAAAAACAAAUUAUGUUUCUUCUUCCAUGGUCGAGUUGGGCUUGGACAAGGUUUUUAUGUCUUGAGCCGUUACAACUUGAAUUUAAUUUAAAUAAUAAAAUUUAUUUUUAAAAUUCAAAUUUAAUUAAAAAUAUAAAAAUGUUUUUUAAUAUUUUAUUAUUUUCUAAACUCGCAAAUAGACUUUUUGGAUUGACCAAGCUAGGCUAAAAAUGGGUUAGGCUUGAAAAAAUAUUAGAUUAUUUAUAAGAGUAUAUCAAGGAGUCUAAUAAUUACAUUUUUUUUUUGGAAGGUCUUAAUAACACUAGAAAUCUUAUCACACGCGUAUGCAUGUGGAAAUCACGUAUUUAUAACAUAGACUAUGUUUAAAAAUAACAUACAAUGAAUACUGAAAAGUAUAAUUUGGAACUAAUUAAUAAUAACACGUGAAAUAUGUAUGAUAUUAAAAUAAAAUUAGAUUAAAUUGAGAGUAAAACAAAAUCUAAACACAAAAACACAUCAUAUUAAGAAUACUAAAUAAAUACAAAUGUUUAUCAUUGUUUUGUCUUCAAUCCCGAGUUGGUGAUGCUAAAUCAAUAACAUUAUUUACAUACACAAAUAUAUAAAAACCUAGAACACAAAUGUUUAUCUGUUAUAAAGCAUGUAUGACAUGGACAUUUCGACAUUUGUUAAUUCUGCAUGUGCAUUAGGGUGAGAUUUGUGUUUAUGAAGUGUGGGAGUUUAAUUCAUUUGCCAUAUUUAGUGGCUCAACUACACGUAUUUCUGCAUUUAGCGAUGAAUCACCUAAUGAUCUGGCAGUUAGACUGCGAAUAUUUUGAAAAGUUUCAUAUUGUAACUAAGUGGUGUGUAGGGUUUGAUAGGUAUUUAAUACCCUAUAUGGUGUGUAGGAAUGGUCGAAGAUGGUGUGUAACGGAUCGGAUUAAGAUUGUAAUCUACACAUGAUAUGUUCUGAUUCUGUUUCUGUAUAUAUGAUAUAUGUCUAAUUGACUUCCGAAAGCAUGUUUGAAAAUUAUAUCCAAUAUUUUUACUCUUAUAAGUUACACAUUGAGUUUGUAAGCUCACUCUCAAUUUCUCUUAUUCUUAGGUAAUCCUUAGACUUAUGUGGGUCAGUGCAACUGGAGUUCGAUUAAUUAUCUACUUGUUAUAUUUGUUAUUUUAAUAUGGUUUAUUCUGUUUUGGUUUUGGACUGUUUUUAAGUUUAGGUUUAGUUUCGUUUUAUUUAUUUAUUUAAACAUUUUUGGUUGGUUUAAAUUUGAUCUACAAAAUGUUAAAUUAUAUAGCAACAAAUCGUGUUUUCAAAAUCGGAUUCAACUAAGAAUUUUCGCUGCAAACGUAAGUGUUUUAUGAGUAAAUAAUCAACAAAUUUAUCGAAAUGGUUAAGAAGGAUAUUUUCCUCAAAUAAACUCAAAUUUUACUUAAUAAGAGCUAGCAUUGUUUUAUAAGUCGACAGAUUCUGGGUUUUUAAAUAAAUUGUAGUAAUAUCUCCAGAUUUGGCCAUAACAUCUAGGCUAGGUUUGGGGUGUUACAGAGCCUAUAAGCUCACCCAAUGUUUCUAACUUCUCAAUUAAUCAACAUAUUUAGGACCAAACGACGUGCAAGAGAUCAGAUUGAGUUCUCAAUUAUUUAAAUAUGAUGGUUCAUGUUUUUAAAUUAUUCUGGACAUUCUGAUUUUUUUUGGGGGGGGGUUGUAAAUCUUUUUUUGGAUUUUGCUUUGCUUAGUUGGAUUUAGUAAUUAUUACUUAAAACUACAAGUUUUGUGUUUUACAAAUUAAGUCAUGGUUUUCAAAUUUUAGUACUCUAAAAUUUCCACUACAAAAUAAAGUAAUCACUUAAAUGUUUUUCUAUAACAAAAUAAAUAGUUUUAAUGAUUGUUUUCUUAAAAACUGAAAAGCGAUUUUCCAGAAUUAAUAUUGUCAAAGCACACAAUUUGAAAUUUAUUUUCUAGGUUUUUAAACAAGUUAAUGUAAUUCCUCCAGAUUCGACCAUAACGUAUAAACCAAGUUUGUGGUGUUACAAUUUUUGUCCUCAAUUUAUAUAUUUUUUUAUCAAUUUGACCCUGAUUUUAUAUAAAAAAAUUAAAAUCAUUUAUAAAAUAGAAAAUGUGUAUAAAAUUCUAGAAAAAUAAAAUCUUGAAUAUGUUGUUGAAGAACUAAAAUGUAUGAGAAAUAAAGAAAAGUAUCAUUCAAUAGAAUCCAAUAACAAAUUAGAAACAAAACGAAAUAAAAAAGUUAAGUUUCAUGCUCUUGAAGAGCAUUUAGGACUGAUAUUAUAGAGACUUAUAAAAUCGACUCGACUGUCAUUUUUUUGGUCAAAAGAUUACAAAAUAUACCACAAAAUUUUUUUUCAAACUCAGUUCAAAUUUUAAUUACAUUUAAAUUAUUUUUCAAAACCCAAAUUGUAAAAACAAAAUUUGUUUCUUUUUCCAUGUUGAGUUGAGCUUAGACAAGGUUUUUAUGUCACGAGCUGUUCCAACUCCAAUUCAAUUUAAAUAAUAAAAAAUAUUUUUAAAUUUUAAAUUUAAUUAAGAGUAUAAAAAUAUUUUUUAACAUUUUUUUUUGAGCUCUUAAAAGGUUGACUGAGCUCGGCUAAAAAUGGGUUUUGCUUGAAAAAAAUUUAGAUUAUUUUUAAGAGUAUAUCAAGGAGUCUAAUAAUUAAAAUUUUUUUAAAAGGUUUUAAUAACACUAGAAAUCUUAUCACACGCAUAUUUCUUACUUUGCAAAUAAAAUAGUAUUUUUGGUAAUUUUCUUAUUGAGUUGGGACCCGAUUGAUGAGUGACACCAACUCAGUAAAAUGUUUAAUACAUAGUAUAGGUAAAACAAUUCUAAACUAAAAUUUUUAAAAGAAUUUAGGGUAAAAUUCAACUAUGGUUAAGUUUUCAUUUUGGUCACUUAAUUAAAAAAUGUUACAAUUUGAUCACUAAUAUUUUCAAAAUUAUUUUCUUUUUGUCACCCAACUGUUAAGUGGCACUUGUUUUAGUUGGUAUAAUAAUAAUUUUAGUCAUCAGUUUUUAUAUUUUCUAUCAAUUUGACUCUGAUUGUGUAUAAAAAAUUAUUAAAAAACUCAAAAUAUUUAUAAAAUAGAAAAAUGUAGAUAAGAUUUCUAGAAAAAUAAAAUCUUGAAGUUGUUGAAUAACUAAACUGUAUGAAAAAUAAAGAAAAUUAUCAUUUAAUAAAAUCCAAUAAUAAAUUAAAAACAAAACAAAGUUACAUUUUGCACCUCAUGCUUGUUCAUAAUAGCUAAUAUUCACAUAGUUUUUCAAUUCAGCCCAUUUUAGGGAUGAAUUCACUAAAUUCCAGUUAUAGCUAAACAUAUAGAUGAAAUCAAGUACAAUUUACAGAUAAUAUAAAAAAAUAAUACAUUAAAGUGAAAAAAAUUAAUUUAAAGAAAAUAAAUGUAAUUAUUUUUAAAAAAAUUAACUUAGUAGAAAAACUUCUUAGUAAACAAACAUAUGAAAGGUUGAAAACUUUUGAAAAAAAAAUAUUGAAACAAAGGUUAAUGGUAAAGAAAAACUCAAAAAUAGAAUUAGGGCAAUUUUGACAAAAUAAACAAAAUUGGUGACCAAAUUUAUCAUUAAACCUAAUUAUUAUUAUUAGUUAAUGCCAAUUAUAAUGGGUGACGGCAAAGAAAAAAAGUAAAAAAAGAUGGAUUUCUUACUCAUAUCCACAACAUUCGUCUUUUUAUACAUGUAAUUAUUAAUUAUUUUCUGUUUCUUCUUCUUCUUCACAUACUUUCCCAUUAAUUCCUAUCACAAUUUUGCUUAUUUCUAUUUCCACCUUCUUCUUCACUCUUUUUAUUUUCUUUUCAUCUCCAAGGUCUAUCACUAAUUUUCAAGCAUCCAGUCAAGGUAAUUUUCUUUCAUUUGCUUUAUUCAUGACUAUACAAUGAUUGUUUUUUAUUAUCAGCUACUGUUAUAGCAGCUAGCUUUGUAAGAUAGUCAAGGUAAUAAGAUCUGCAGCAAUGGUUUCCUCUAGUGAUUAUCAACAGUUUUAGAUUUUAAGACAGGAUGAUCAGCAGACAUAAUCUACUAUAGAUACAAAUUAAUACGAAAAGAGCUAUGCUUUGUAAGAUAGUCAAGGUAAUAAGAUCUGAAGCAAUGAUUUCCUCUACUGAUUAUAGAUUUUAAGACAGGAUGAUCAGCAGACAUAGUCUACUAUAGAUACAAAUUAGCACGAAAAGAGCUACCCAGAAGCAAUAUAAUGUUGAAAUCUCAUGCUGUUGAACAUUUUACCUCCUAAUAUUCUGUAGUGAACUCUUGUACACUUGAAUUUAGCAUGUUAUAUAGUUUGAGGGGUUGAUUCUGGAUAUACAAUGGUGACCAGAAUUUCAUCAUGUUUCUGUCUGCCACCCAUCCAUAGCUCCAUCUAAUAGACGCCAUUGCUUGAAACUUGCAUUCAUGUUUUCCUUUUCCAGCUUACACCGACAUAUCAAUACUUCAUAAAAUAUCCAAUUCAUUCACAGAUUUUCAUUCUCUGCUACUGUUAUAUAUGAUUGCAUUACAGGGACAUAGCAAUGGAGUACGUAGAGCCUGUUGUCGGCAUUGCAAAUUGUCUCGGAACUCCUGUUUGUAAAUAUUUGCAAUAUCACAGAAAGCUGAACGAUUAUGUGAGAAACUUCAAGAGGAUCAGAGAUGAAUUGAAUUGCAAAAUGGAAGAUAUAGAGCUGCAAUUGAAAGCAGAGCUUCUUCGUCCUCUGGGGAAGAUACCGAAGAAAGGAGUUGAAAAUUGGUUCAAAGCUGUGAAAGAGAUGAUUAGGGAAGCACAAGUUGUUGAAAACAAAGUCAGUAACGGGAGAUAUCUCUGUCGUGCUUGCAACGGGAAGCUAGUUGAUGAAAAGACUCGAGAAAUGAAGGAAUUUCUUGAUAAUGCUCCUAAUGCCUCUGAAGGUCUUGCCAUGGAUGGUCCAAGUGCUGGGUUGCCGCUGCCAACAUUAGAACUAGUUGGAGAAGAAGCUGCCAGAAAUGAGAUUUGGGCAUGUUUGAUGCAGGAGGAGGUGAGCAAGAUUGGGGUUUGGGGGAUGGGCGGUGUGGGUAAAACCACUAUCAUGAAGCACAUCCACAAUGAUCUUUUGAAAGAACAAAGAUUCGAAAGGGUAAUCUGGGUUACCAUAUCAAAGGAGUUCAAUGUCAUGAAGGUACAAGAUGAUAUUGCAGAUGCUUUGAAGUUGAAGGAAGAUUGGCCCAGAAAAGGAGACAAGCUCAGACGAGCAGCAAUCUUGUCAGAAAUGCUGAAGAACGCAGGAAAGCAUGUUCUAAUCCUAGAUGAUGUGUGGGAUAAAGUCUCUCUAGAGGAAGUUGGGAUCCCUGAGCCGAGUGGCAGCAAUGGCUGCAAGUUGGUGUUGACAACCCGUUCAGAGCAUGUCUGUAAGUAUAUGGGUUGUAAGGUGAUAACAGUGAAGCCCCUUUCAGAAGAAGAGGCAUUUAUACUAUUCUUGAAUAAAGUUGGACCUAACAUAGUUCAAAGUCCAACUAUAAUGCCUACUUUGAAGCUUGUUGUCAAGGAAUGUGCGGGUCUACCUCUUACAAUUGUCGUGGUAGCCGGUACCAUGAAAGGAGAAGAUAACCCUCUUAUUUGGAAAAAUUCACUCAGGGAAUUAAAAGAGAGAAUAGGGAAAGUGGAAGGAGUGGAAGCUGAGGUAAUCGAGCGCUUGAAAUUUAGCUUCGAUCCCUUAAAGGACGAGAAAGUGAAAUAUUGUUUCUUACAUUGCGCAUUAUAUCAGAUUGUGGAAUUGAAAAGGAUGAACUAAUUGAGUGCUGGAUUGAGGAGGGAUUCAUAGAUGAUAUGGGUACAAGACAAGAAAUGAAGGACAAGGGUCAAGUUAUUUUGAAGAAGUUGGAAGAUAAUUGCUUGUUGGAAAAUUCCUCGAGUGAAGAAAUGACAAUUCAUGAUGCAGUGAGAGACAUGGCAUUGUCGAUCACAGGAAUGAAUCCUCGAUAUAUGAUACAAGCAGGUUUGCAAUUAGAAGAGUUACCAGAAAAGGAGCAAUGGAGUCCAGAUAUUGAGAAAGUGUCACUUAUGUACAACUCCAUAUCAGAAAUUUCCAUAGAUGUGCUGCCCACAAAAUGUCAACUGCUCACAACCUUGUUAUUGCAGCAUAACCCUAUAAGGAAGAUCCCAUAUUCUUUCUUCAUAAACAUGCCUUGUCUUUGUGUUCUCAAUUUGUCCUAUACGAUGAUCAAAAGUUUACCAAAUUCCAUCUCUGAACUAAAGAACCUCACAACAUUGUUGCUUUGUGGUUGUUCUAAAUUAAGAGAUCUACCAUGUGUUUCGAUGCUUCAAGAAUUGAAGAAGAUGGAUCUUUCUGGAACCAAAAUUGAGGAAGUCCCUGAAGGAAUGGAUAUGCUGAUAAAGCUAAGAUAUCUUGAUCUUGAAGUGCGCACUCUGAAAGAGAUAAGCGCUGGACUUUUACCAAAACUCGUUCACCUUCAGCACUUGAGUUUUGAUGUAGACAAUGAAAAAACAAGUCUAAAAGCAGAGGAGAUGGAACCAUGGAAGAAGUUGGAGUGCUUAACCAGACGUUUCGAAGACAUCAGUGAAUUCAAUAAGUUCAUCUCCUCAAUGCAACAAAGUAAGAAAAAUCUCAUCAAGUACAAUUUACAGUUGGGCUUAUCUAUUUUGCGUCGUACAAGAGGUAAGACAGUAACAAUUGGAGGAGUCCAGAAUUGGGAAGGUGAGUUAAUUUUGCACCCAAUUGAAAUUCAAGAUUUGACUAUUUUAAAGUGCGACUAUUUGAGAAGCUUAGUCAAUGAUAAUUCUUCCUUCAAAAAUGCGAUUGACUUGAGGGUUUGUAGGAUUUGGGGGUGUAGAGGGAUAGAGUGUGUUGUUUCCCUGUCCUCUUUUGCCUCUUCUUCCGCUCAUCCAUUUCAGAGCCUCGAGAUUUUGGGUCUUAUUAAUCUGCCAAAGUUGAGUGCCCUUAUUAUGGAAGAUGAAGGAAUUGGUUCAGCAACAACAUCAACAUUGGCUCCGUCUGCGCCCUUUUCCCAUCUCAAGGUAAUUUUUAUAACCAAAUGCUCAAGUAUGAAGACGUUGCUUCCACAUUGGUUGCUUCCAAACCUCCAAAACCUGGAACAAAUUUGGGUGUCAGAUUGUGAUGAGAUAGUAGAAAUAUUGGGAGCACCAACAUCAGAAGUUGAAGAAAAAGGGAGUGAUGCAUUAAUCAAAUUCCAUCUUCCCAAAUUGAGAAAGUUGGAAUUGGGGAGAUUACCAAAUUUGAAGAGCAUUUGCAGCAAAAGUGGAGUGAUGGUUUGUGAUUCUCUCCAACUUAUUCAUAUUACUAGAUGUGGUAAACUGAAGAGAAUUCCUCCAUUUGUUCCCCUUGUUGGCAAUGGGCAGCCAUUUGCAUAUGCUCCACCUUCUCUUACCAUCAGGUCAAGCACAGAAUGGUGGGAAUCGUUGGAGUGGGAUGAAGAUCCAAACUUUAAAAAUGUUCUUCAACCCCUUUGGAAGGAUGAAAGGUAUGAACCAUUUAUAGUUUAGAGAAAGAUGAAAGGGUCGGUGGGAAAGGAGGGGGGAGGAUAGUGCAAAAGAGAGGAGAAAAGGAAUGAAGGAAGGAAGAGGUUAAGAGGCUCCACAUUGUAAACAUAGUCCCUCUCUUACCAUUCCUUGUAUUCUCUUUUUCUUAUAAUGUAAAAGCUGAAGAGGUAAAAAACAAAUAAAUUUGCUUCAUAUUUUUUCUAUGUUUGUUUUGAAAGAAAGAGAAAUAUGGUAGGGUUUAUAAAUAAAAUAUAAUUUAAAUAUCAAUUGAUAAAUUAAGUGUAUUCAAAAUAAUGGUAUUUUAGAUAGCAAAGGUAUUGAAAAUUUAAAGUGAUAAAUUACCUUUUUAUCAUUAUAAAUAAAUACCAUAAUUUCUUUUUAAAUAAAAUAAAAAAUAUCAUUAUUUCUUCUUUCAACAAUCAUUCUAUUCUAAAAAUUAAUUUAUUUAUAAUUUUUUUAAUUAAAUAAACAAAAUAAAAAUUUACUCAUAAUUGAGUGAUUAAUGACAUCAUUUAUAGUAAAAAUUACUUUUUAAUUUUAUCAGUUUUAUUUAUACUUUUGUUUAAUGCAACAUACAUAUACAAAUUAUAUUCACUAUGGAUGAAUAAUUAUAUCACUUAUUCUCAUUGAAUAAAACAAAACAUAGCUAACAACCAUUGUUAAGUACCCGUUUCAGCUUUUAUUAAUUCUCAAUUCUUUUUUUUGAAGAUAACCGAAUCCAUAAUUUCAACAUUAGAAAUCUUGUAUUUCAAAUUAAAAAAUUUUCAAAAAGGCUAAAUUACAACUAUAUGCUGAAAAAAAAUUGAAAAUUUAUGUUGUUUUCUUCAAAAUUUAUCAAUUUAUAUUGUUUUUUAUAAAUAGAAAAGAAAAUGUGUCUUAUAGGACGUGUUUUCUCUGAUCUUCCAGAGAAAACAUGAGACGCGUUUUAUUCUCUUUCCUAAAAAGUGCUCUGUAGGAUGCAUUUUCAGAUAGUUUAAAAUUGUUUUUUUUCUUACAGUUUGAAACUAGAAAUUUAUAGGUUUAGCUUUUCCCGUGUUCAAGAUAAACAUUGUUAUAGUUUUAAUGUAUGUAUGAAUUUAUAGUAGUUUAAAAAUGUAAUUAAAUCAGUCAUAAUUUAGGGGAGGUUGAUGCAAUUAACUCAUUUCUAAUGGUGCUAAUAAUUAAGUCUGCUAUAGGACAAAGUGAAAAAGUGGAAAGCAGAGUUAAAAUAUGACCCAAAGACUCACCGUUUUCUAAGUCGUCUCUUAUCAUAAUUGCAUAAUAAAUGGAUAGCAGUACCAACAUUUCUAAACCAAGAAAACCCAAUUGUCUUAAGAGUUCAUAUUUGUGAAGGUUUCUUAACAUUUUAGUGCAACCUUGAUUUUUAUUUUUAUUUAUUUCCUUUCCCUUAAAAAGAAGAAAAGACCUUCAAGUUUUUUUUCUUUUUUCUUCUUCCGUUUUGCUUACUUUCUUUUGCUCCCAAAAACCAAAAAAUAUCCCUUCAAAUCCCAUUUGAUGGUUUUGAAGUAGCAACGAUCUUCUCAGCACCUAGUCUAGUUUGAUUUUGAAGUUCCCAAGUGAGGUCAAUGUAUUUAUUUAUCCUUAAUUUCUUUAUUUUUGGUUUUUUAUAUAUAAAUUUGUCAUAUAUUUCUUCAUCUAAUAUUAUGUUUUUAUGUUUUUCUUGAACUAAAUCAGAGAAAAAUAGACUGUUUGGAUUUGCUUUUUUUUUUUUUCACACUCAAAUUCUUGGAAUCAUUACUUCAUUUUGAAGGGGUAAGUGGGUAUGUUUCUUAUAUUUUCCAUCAUUACAUGCAUAAUAUUAAUUGGAUGAUGAAAAAAUUGAAAAUAUCGAUGAUUAAAUUUCAUUUAUAAUUGAGUCACUAUCGUUAAAAUUAUUUUUUAAUUUUUUUAUAAAUUUACUCUUUGUAUUAAUAAUUUGCACUUUAAAGAUAAAUUUCAUUUACAUAUUUUGUUAGUUAAAAACCAGUAAAUUGACUCUUUAUAUUUAUAGGUUUGCACUUUAAAGAUAAAGAGAUGCUUGCAAUUAAAAGAUCUAAUUCAAGAUCCACAAAUGUCAUACAUAAGCCUCCAAAGUUUAAGGGAAGUAGAAUUUAGAAAAUAUGAUAAUUUAAAGUAUCCCUUCCCAUUGUCUGUAGCUAAUACCCUUGAGUAAUUGCAUACUUUGAAGAUAAAGAGUUACUUGCAUCUAGAAAAUAUAAUCCUAGAUCCAUAAGUGUCGUGCAUACGAAGUUUUAGGCAAGUAGAAGUUUAAAAAAAAUGUGAAAAUUUAAAGUUUCUCUUACCACUAUUUGUUGCUAAUUGUAACACCUUUAACCCGUAUUUAUUGUUAGAAUAGGGUUUCGGAGCAUUAUCGAGUAAUCAUAAUCUAAAUUAUUCAUUUUCAAACAUUUCAAAAAUCAUAUUAUAAUUCAUCAUUAACAUGCAUAGAGUCCCCUAUUCAAGCCUUGGAGGGCAUAAAAUUACUUUAGAAUGGAUUUGAGACUAAAUUAGAAACAUUUAAAAACUUUAGAAGAAAGAAAAAUUUUAACUGCAGGGUUCACACAGCUGUGUGGCCAGGCUGUGUGACUCACACAGCCAAUUCACAUGCCCGUGUGUCUGGCCAUGUGGGCAUUCGAAGUAGGGACACACGAUCGUGCCGCAGCCCAUGUCCCUACCCGUGUAACUCACUGGCCAAGCCACACGCCCGUAUGUUAGGCUGUGUACCCUUCAAAAAUGGCCUCACACGCCCGUUGCUAGCCAUGUGUCUCACAUGGCCAAGUCACAUACCCCUGUGUCUGGCUGUGUUAACUUAAAUUGUAUCUUAAACAACAAGUUUACUAUUUCCUACUUGCUUGGGCAUUAAGUAACUCAAAAACCAUUCAUUUAACCUAUUCAAAGCACAAUCAAGCACACCUAAAACAUGCUAAAACAAUCAUCCUAGGUGCCUAACCAAUGUACCCUCAUUGGUACCACAUUUAUGUCAUCAAAAUAUAUCAUCAAUGCAUCAUUCAAAUCUAGUUUACAAACAUGCCAAAAUCCAUCACUUUGGCCUAGCUCAUAUCUACCUAAAACAUCAACUUUAAUUCACAUACACAUAACAAGUAUUGGUUUAAUUCAACAUACCAUAUUAAGGCUUCAAACACAAACAUAUAUUUACAUAUAUACCAAAACAACAUAGCACUUAUAACCUCAUUUACAAUUCAUCCACAAAAUAACUAUCAACUAGACAUCCUAGGUACAUGCCAACACAAAAGAUGAACAUCACCACGUUUGAGAUCGGGAUCGUUGUUGGAUGCCAUAUCAGCGAUCAAAAGAGAAGUACCUCACUUGCGUAUGAAAAACAAAAUCGUACGCUGAGUAAAACUCAGUAAUAUUUCUAUAAUCUGAACAAUUAAAGACAUAAAGAUACAUGAAUGCUCAAUUUGAAAUGCAUAAUCAUAUUUCUAACAAUCAAGCAAUUGUAAAUUAAUCAACAUCACAAUUUCAUGCAUAAUAUCACAUUAUAUCAUGAUUUGCUCACUUCACUAAUAUUUUUCCAUUAAUUGGUUUAACUUAUAACUCAAUUAACAACGACAUAUUUCAACUAUAUUCAAUCAAUGAGUACAUUACUCAUUUACCUCAUUUAUAAUCACAACUUUUUCACCUUUCAUUUAUCAAUUCACUUUUCCAUUUCCAAUUCACAUAUUUUGUCAUUUCAAUAUCGAUCAUAGAACUUGUUAUUUAAUUAUCCCUAUUAACCCGAAUUGAACUCGGAUGGUUACACGGAUCCAACCAACACACAAGUUUGACACCCAGUGCUUCAUCGGAUAAAUUUGAAGUAAUAGAUGCGCCUAACACUAUAUAAAUUGACACCCAGUGUCUUAUCGGUUAAACUGAAGUAAAUCGACACCCAGUGCCUCAUCGACUCGAAGUCGAAGAAAUUUUUAAACUCUUCCUAUCCUAUGGCAUGCUAUCUAUAUCCGACUUAGCCCGAUACAAUUAAUAAGGUUUCAUUUCACAUCUCAAAUACAACCAUUAUCCAAUAUCAAGUUUUCAUAUAAUCACAUUAUCACAUAUACAGAUGAAUUCAAUUCAAUCUAUAAUAAUUAAUACAUUCAUAAUGUAUAAACCACUUCAAUCCAUUUCAAUCAACUACAAUUUCAAUUCAAUAUCAAAGUGUCAAGAUACUUACCUUAACCACUUACCAUAUGUAUUAAAUCAAAAUAUAACAAUUAAUAGCUAGGUUCGGAUUAUAGAAAUACAUAUUGUGGAUUUCGAGCUAUUUGACGUCGAUUUUAACCUUCCUCUUUUUAGUCGAGGAUUCCAAUACGACGUUAGCUACAGAAUUAAAACAACUAAAAUUCAUCAAUACUACAAAAUUCAAUUUCAUAAUGAUUAUUUCAAUUUUUACUCAAUAUUUUCCUAAAUUCUAAUUUGUCCCUAAAUCGAGACUAAUUUUUAAUUUUUACAUUUAAUUCUAUAAUUUCAUACCAAUUUCACUUUAAAAUAAUUAAAUUUCCUAUUUUCAAUUAAAUCCCUAAAUUUCAAAAUUUUCACAAUUUAGUCCCUAUUACUCAAAAUUUACAAUUUGUUCUACAAUUUAGUCUUUUUCAAUUUCUAGCUUAAAAAUCUAUCAAAUUAAUCCCUACUACUAAAAAUAUUUAACAAUAACAACAUUUAAAAUCUUAAUCAAUACUAAAAUUACAACAUGGGUCGAGUAGCCCUAGGUACUGAGAUUCUAAAAACAUAAAAAUCACAAAAAGGGACUAAAUUAUAUCACUAUGGAUGAAUAAUUAUAUCACUCAUUAUUAUUGAAUAAAACAAAACAUAGCUAAUAACUAUUGUUAAGUAUCAGUUUCUGCUUUAAUUAGUUCUUAAUUCUUCUUUUUUUUUUGUUGAAGAUAACCGAAUCCAUAAUUUCAACAUUAGAAAUUUUGUAUUUAAAAAAAAUUCAAAAAAGGCUAAAUUGCAACUAUAUGCUGAAUUUUCUUCUUUUUUUUUUGAAAAUUUAUGUUGUUUUCUUGAAAAUUUAUCAAUUUAUAUUGUUUUUUACAAAUAGAAAGGAAAACGCAUCUGAUAGGACAUGUUUUCUUUGAUCUUCCAGAGAAAACAUGAGAUGCAUUUUAUUCUUUUUCCUAAAAACGCGCUCUAUAGGAUGCAUUUUCAGAUAGUUUAAAAUUAUUUUUUUCUUACGGUUUGAAAUUAGAAGUUUGUAAAUUUAGCUUUUCCCGUGUUCAAGAUAAAUAUUGUUAUAGUUUUAAGGUAUGUUUGAAUUUACAAUAAUGUCAUGGAGUUGGGUGACUUACGAAUUUCAUCUGGCACGUGAGCAUGAAGCCAUCAAUCGAGAAGCUGGAUUGCAUUGAAACUCAAGGUCCCAGUUGACAGUGUUUCUAUAGUCACCGAUUGAAAUGUAACUAGGUCUUCAAUUUUACAAAGGUUAUGUUAUCAAUGAAUAGAGCAUAAAUGGGCCCCAAUUGAUAGUGGUUAUGCGAGCACAACAACAAGUUUCUCAUCAUCAGGGGAGGAUGCUAUUUGCCACAAAAACAGAAGUAUGAGGAAGAAAAAUACAAUGGAGAAUCAAAAUUGGCAGAAAAUUCUAAACAAAAUAUUGAUAUUAAAAAGGCAAGGAUUCAGCCAAAUAAAUUGGAGAAGUGAUAGGCAAAAGGGCAACAUAAACAGAAAAUAAAACUUGUGUUUUAGGUAGCAAUAAUGAUGGAUUAUGAGAGAAAAUUGAAGAAUAAUGGAGAGAAAAAAUGAAGGGGAUUACAAUAGCUUGAGAAAAAUAAAUAAAAUAGGCUAAACAUAAAAUAAAAUGCAAUUUAUGCCUAGGUUAAAAAGGGCUUGGAAGGCAACAAGGUUUUAGGGAGCAGAAACAUUGAAAAAAUAAAAAUUUGCAAGGGAAGGGAAUUAACUCAAGUCUUAAGGUCAAUUUCACUAACUCUUUAUCACUAGGCCAAUUACUCAUUCUUUUCAUAAAUGCUCAAACAAAACCUUAAAAAUUAGGGCAAGACAACUCUCAGUUCACUAGCCUGAUUUCUUCUGACUCAAUUCCUUCCAACCCAAUUUUUGGGACAUGACAAAACUAUUAGUAAGUUUAUGUUUCGUUUUAGUCACUUAACUUCAAAAUGUUACAAAAUGGUCAAUAAACUAUUUAAUUCAUUUAAGUCAUUGGUUUGUUUUUUUUUUAAGUUUGACUAAUGAGCUCCAAGCGAUGAUUUGACAAUUGAUGUAGUGAAUCUAUACCCAUUGACGAGUGAAACAUAUCUUAGAUCCAAGUUAACCUACCAUUUAGUGUAGGAGAUUGGAGAAAAAAAGUUGUUUGAAUUUUGGUUCACAGAUUUGUGACGUUCAAAACUGUUUCAUGAAUAUAAAUUAUGUUGCAAAAGAGAAGAGAAAUGUGAGCUUUCAAUUAAUACAAAUGGUGCAAACAAAGGUCAUAUAGUAACAAUUUUAAAAGCCUGAUGACUUAAAUGAAAAUUUUUGUAUAAUUCAGUAAUCAUUUUAUAAUUUUUUGAAAUUAACUAAAACGUAAACUUAUUAAUAAUUUAAUAACCUCAAUUGCCAUUUACCCAUAAAACUAUUGAGACCAUUAAUGAUCAUUAUUCUAAAAAGUGAUGCAUUAAUUAUAUCUUUUAUCUUUUAUAUAUUGUUUCGAUUAAUACCUAAAUUAUUUGUACGAGAAAAAAAUCAAAAUGAAAUGCAACAUGUUCUGAACUUUUAUUAAAGCUCAUCAUUUUGUUGAAGAUACCCCAAUCCAUGAUUUCAACAUUGGAAUUUUUGAAAGUCCCUAGUAAUAGUAUGAAUUAUGAAAUUUCAAAAAAGCAUAUUCUUAUUUAUUGUUAAUUUCAAGGUAAUUUUAAUAGCUAUACUUACAUUUGUCUUUAGAAAAUAGAAAAUUCACUUUAAAUGUAUAAAAAUAAAUAAAGAAAACUCAUCUUCAUUUUUUAUAGCAAAUAAGAAAUAUGAAACAAAAACUAAAAAGGAAAUACAUAUUUUAUUGAAAGACGCUUUAAAUGAAACAAAUAUGAAAUACAUAGGAGUGUUCAAUUGCUUAAUCGAUUGGUUAACCAAAUCGAAUUAGUAUUAACUGAAUUAAUAUUUUCAAAAUUAUUGAAAUUCUCAUGUGAUGGUUUUGAAGUAGUGAGGAUGUUCUGAGGACUUAGUCUAGUUUGAUUUUGAAGUUCCCAAGUGAGGUAAAUGUAUUUAUGUAUGCUUAAUUUCUUUAUUUUUUAUUUUUUAUAUAUAAAUUAGUUAUAUAUUUCUUGAUCUAAUAUUAUCUUUUUAUGUUUUUGUUGAACUAAAUGAGAGCAAAAUAGAGUUUUUGGAUUUGUCUUGUUCACACUCAAAUUCUUGGAAUUGUUACUUCAUUUUGAAGUGGUGAGUAUGUUUCUUAUAUUUUCCAUCAUUAUAUGUAUAACAUUAGUUGGGUGAUAAAUAUAUUGAAUUUUUUAUGAUUAAAUUAUAAUUUUUUAAUUAAAUAAUCAAAAUGAAAAUUUACUCAUAAUUGAGUGAUUAAUGAUAUAAUUUAUCGUAAAAAUUACUUUUUAAUUUUAUCAAUUUUAUUUAUACUUUUAUUUAAUGAAUAUUUAAUGCACCGUGCAUAUACAAAUUAUAUACACUAUGGAUGAAUAAUUACAUCACAUAUUAUCAUUGAAUAAAACAAAACAUAGCUAAUAACCAUUAUUAAGUACGAGUUUCAGCUUUUAUUAGUUCUCAAUUUUAUUUUAUUUUUUGUUGAAGAUAACUGAAUCCAUAAUUUCAACAUUGGAAAUUUUGUAUUUCAAAAAAAAAAUUCAAAAAGGCUAAAUUACAACUAUAUGCUGAAUUUUUUUUUUUUGAAAAUUUAUGUUGUUUUCUUGAAAAUUUAUCAAUUUAUAUUGUUUUUUACAAAUAAAAAGGAAAACGCGUCUUAUAGAACGUGUUUUCGCUGAUCUUCCAGAGAAAACAUGAGACAUUUUAUUCUCUUUCCUAAAAACACGCUCUGUAGGAUGCAUUUUCAGAUAGUCUAAAAUUAUUUUUUUUUCUUGCGGUUUGAAAUUAGAAGUUUGUAGAUUUAACUUUUCUCGUGUUCAAGAUAAACAUUGCUAUAAUUUUAAGGUAUGUUUGAAUUUACGGUAGUGUCAUGGAGUUGGGUGACUUACGAAUUUCAUUUGACAUGUGAGCAUGGAGCUAUCAACCGAGAAGCUGGAUUGCAUUGCAACUCAAGGACUCAGUUGUCAGUGGUUCUAGUCUCCGAUUGAAGUGUAGCUAGGUCUUCAAUUUCACAAAAGUUAUGUUAUCAAUGAAUAGAGCAUAAAUAGGGGCCUAGUUGAUAGUGGUUAUGCAAGCACGACAAUGAGUUUCUCAUCAUCAGGGGAAGAUGCUAUUCGCCACAGAAACAGAGCAAUAAGAGUGUUCUGAAUAUUACUCUGAAAUGGUCCUAAAAAUUACAAGAAUCUCCUCUACAGUCUAGUUGUUCGAAAUGCCUCUAGGAAUGUAAAAACAAAAUCUUGAUAGGUUUUUUCUGUUUUUGUUUGUUUUUUAAUUCCUUCUUCAAAGGCACAAACAUCUUUACCUUCUAAACCAUCGAUAUCUUCAAAGAAUUCCAAUUCUUUAUCAUCCAUCAGGCUCUGUACUAGAGUUCUGAACUAGACGCACUUUUGGAUUUUAGGAAAUUUAUUGUAUGCAAUGAAAUGUAAUGUUAAUGAAUGGAAAAGAUGCAUGCAAAAAGGUGUUAAUUCUAGUUCAAUUCCAUUAGAACAACUUUACUAGAAAACAAGUUUCUUUGCAUAAAGCGGAUACAUAUACGGCCUCGCCUUCACACUUAAGACCUUAAUUUUCCUAAGAAAUAAAGUUAAUUCUUAGCCUUGAUCCGACUCCGAUUCAUAUUUCAGGCUUUGAACGACCGGGGUCUGCAAGUGGUCAGCCACUUCUCGUACUUGAACCAAAGCUUCGCUCAUGAUAUGGUCCAUAUCUCUGACCUGCCUCUCUCACAGGCUGUUACCUUUCUCUUGUUGCCUUUUCUUAGACCAUAUUUGCAGGGUCGUGUUGUCUUGGGUUUUAUCAAGAGACUCAUUUUCCAUGACGAGCUCUCUAUUUAGCAACUGAACUUGAAUCAACACCUUUUUUAUAUGAUGAAAAAUGCAAUGCAAUCAUAAACAAAACAAAACGAAACGGGUUAGUACAAAGCAAAAGUAAGCAAGAAAGAAACAAAUAGAGCACCUAUUUGGGAGACCACUAGGGUUUGGUGUAGUUCUACCUAGGAUAAGCUCUUAGGGCUCACUAUAUGCGGUUCGGUUCUAAAGUAAAGGUACCAGAACCAGAAGAUUCCUUGAUCCUCACCCAUUAUAGGCUCAUAUGGAUCGAGUUCAGUUCAGGGGAAUACAUUUCCCUAUGGCUACACAGAGAUGAAAAUCUCACAAAGACAUAGGUACAGAUGUAUCCCGAAAGUGACCCACUAUCCUGCACGGAGGUGAAAACCUCACGAAGGAAUAGUUUCUCACUCCUACUUAAAAGGGUAUAACCGAACGGUUAUGCAAAUGCAAUAUGCAAAAAUAUGUCGAGAGACUUGAACAAAUAAAGCAAAUAUAGCAAAAUGACGCAAACUAUAAAAAAUGAAAUGCAAUGAAAAAUCGUACAUUUAAACCAAGUUUUCAAUUUCAACAAAAAGACAAAAAGUAUCAACUCGUGGCUUGACUCUCUUAUUUUAGUCCCCAGUGGAGUCGCCAAGUUGUCGAAACCAUUUUUUUGAAAAGGGAUCGACUUAAAUUUUGAAAAAAAAAUGAAAAUGGAGUCGCCACCAAUCCUUUUUAUUUUGGUGUGAUUGGAUCACCUCAUAAUUAAAUCAUUUUAAUAAAAAUUUAAAUUUACUAAAACGAUAAUUUUUGGUCUUAUAAAAUCAUGAAACGGGUUCAGAAGUCGGCUACGCACGAGAAAGGAUUAGCACCCUCGACACGCCCAAAAUUGGUACCUUGUUGAUUAAUUAGUGUCUUAAUAUAAAAAAUGUGCAAAGAUUUUAAAAUACGAUCCUUGUAUUAAAAAAAACUUGUAUAAAUCAAAUUACAUGUUAAGACCCUCUCAUUUCGGAGAGAGAAAAUGUCACACCCAAUGAGUUAGGGCAUGAUAUUUCACAUCCUCAAAAAUGAGCUUGUCCUUAAAAAAACUCAUACAAUAAAAUUCAAAAGGAUAUUCAAUUGUUUAAGUCAGAUGAAGAAAUCGUAGUCCAAUACGUUAGGGCACAAUUUCUCAAAAUUCCAAACAUUGAAUAUUGCCUUUAUUAUCAAGAUUUUCCUUUUUUUACGAAUUUGGGUAAAAAUUAAUGUAAUAUUUAACGAGAUGUACGUUUAAUUUAUGCAAAUAUAGUGUGAAGGCGAACAAUUUUUCAUACAAUGUAUAGUACAAUAAUAAUGAUAUAACGUAAAAUAACUAUGUUAGUAGAAUAUUUAAAGGGUAAAUAAUAAAUCAUAGAACACAAUAAUAAUAAUGACGUAAUUAUAAUAUUAAUCACCAAAUAAUAAUAACAAUGACCAUAUUAAUUACUUAUUCUAAUAUUAAAAAUAUAAAAAAGAAUUAAACACUAAUAAAAAUGAUAAUAAUAAGGAUGAUAAUGAAAUGUACAAAUUGAAAGUAAUAAAUGUAAUAUAAAAGUAAGAACAAUAAAAGAAAAUGACAAAUAAUAAAUGAUAAACAAAAAGUGUGAAAACAAAAAAAUAAAAAAAAUAAUGGAAGUAUUGAGUAAAUAAAAACAAAUAAAGCAUUUGAUUUUUUAAAAAGGAUUAAACAAACAAAGAAAAAACAAUAAACAAAAUAGUUUAUAUAAAAAAUAAAAAUAAGAACAAAAAAAUGAAAUUAAAUGGACCUAGGACCAAACUGAAAUUAAAAUAAAAUAAAAUGACAAAAUUUACAAGAAAAAAACAAUCAGGCCCAAACGAAGCGCGCGCAAAGAUGCAGGGUCGGAAGGGAAAUAUUCCCAUGUAUUUUGAACGGCGCCGUUUCAGGGGACAGCAUCUGUGCAUGGUCCAGGGACCAAAUUAAAUCGGAGACAAAAUUUUGUGGCCAAAAUCAAAAGAAGAAAAGGACCGUAUUGAACACGCCGCCAAGGCGGGGAACCAAUCGCUCAAAUAGACCAUUAAAGUUAAAACGGGCGGAUCUACCUUGCGGGUCGAGUCGGUGCGCGGGUCAGGCUAAAAACGGCGUCGUUUUGGUGCCUGAGAGGCUUGCCCAAAACGGCGUCGUUUUGCUGGCCUAUAUAAGUAAGUUUUUUUGACAAAAAAAAUCAUUUAGCCCUUUGUUCAGAAAAAAAAAAUCUUUAAAACUCUCUCCCCCUCUCUGGUUUUCUCUGGGCACUGCCCAGAAUCCGGUGAAGAGGGCCGCCGUGGCUCUGCCGCGCCUCCGUUGUGUACGGUGGUCGGACGACCAGGUAAGUUUUCGUUUCCUUUUUCUUUUAUAUUAUAUAUUAUAUAUAUCUAGUUUUUUAAAACAAAGGGAAAUAAAAAACUUGAAUAUAAACAGUUUUAAAAAAAUGAAAAUAAAGAAAAUAAAAAAAUGACCUUUCGCACGUUUCUAGUUUUUUUUUAUCUGCUUUCGUUUUUGUUGUUUUUGUGCUUGAAUCUCCUUUUUUAUUUCAAGCAAAAUCCGAACCCUUUUACAAUGAUUUAUCGUGGCUUAUUAGUUAAAUUAUUUUCAAGCAACGGAUUGAUUUGACAUUAAGACAUUGAUUUCAUCGCUAUGUUGGGUGAAUAUCAUUGGCUCGUGUUAAAUAUGGGACGCCCUUCUAAAAAAUCAAGAAAUUCAAAAAUUCCCGUGUUAAAAUAAAAUGUUUAUCUUUUGUAAAUUAUCAAAUUACAUAUUUAAAAAUAUAUAAUAAUAUGUAAUUUAUCAAAAUUCUUGUGUUUCAAAUGAAACAAAUAUGAAAAACAUAGUUGUAGGAGUGUUCAAUUGCUUAAUCUAUCGAUUAACCAAAUCGAAUUAGUAUUAACUGAAUUAGUAUUUUUCGAAAUAAUCGAAAUUCUAAUUUUAUGGUUUUGAAGUAGCAAGGAUCUUCUCAGCACUUAGUCUAGUUUGAUUUUGAAGUUCCCAAGUGAGGUAAUGUAUUUAUGUAUGCCUACAACAAUUUAUAUUAGAAUUUUUCAUAGCUUUGUUAUUUAAUGUGAUUUAUAUUAGAAUUUGGAUUAUUGCUUUGUUAAGGACUACAACAAUUCGGUUUAUUGAUUUGUUAAGGCCUCAGAUGCUUCUGAAAUUGAUGCUCAUUUCCAUUUGGUUUAUACAUAGAUAUGAAAUAAAAAGAUUAAUUAGUGAAAUAGUUGAAGUCUGACCGUGCAGCACUCAACUUCAAAGUCGGCACCUCUUCUAUCUAUCUAUAUAUUUUUGGGCUCGAAUGAAAAAUGGGCAAAUAUUAUAAAUAUUUGAUCAAACUUCCAUAAUAAUUAAGUUUAGCUAAUUUCAAUUGUUUCUUAAUUUCUCCUAGUUUCAAUACAAUAUUGAUAGGUUUCAGGUGUCUUGAAACCUAAAACUGAAAAAAAAAGAUACAAUCGAAACUAGUUAUUAUGAAAGUAGCAGUAGCAACAUCAAUAAUUUAGAUCCCGAUAUUGAGGUAAUCUCAUAACACAAAUCCUUUGCUACUAAACCAAGAAAACCCAAUUGUCUUAAGAGUUCAUAUUUGUGAAGGUUUCUUAACAUUUUAGUGCAACCUUGAUUUUUAUUUUUAUUUAUUUCCUUUCCCUUAAAGAGAACAAAAGAUCUUCAACUUCUUUUCUUUUUUCUUCUUCAGUUUUGCUUACUUUCUUUUGCUCCCAAAAACCAAAAAAAAUAUCCCUUCAAAUCCCAUUUGAUGGUUUUGAAGUAGCAACGAUCUUCUCAGCACCUAGUCUAGUUUGAUUUUGAAGUUCCCAAGUGAGGUCAAUGUAUUUAUGUAUGCUUAAUUUCUUUAUUUUUGAUUUUUUUAUAUAUAAAUUCGUUAUAUAUUUCUUCAUCUAAUAUUAUAUUUUUAUGUUUUUCUUGAACUAAAUCAGAGCAAAAUAGACUGUUUGGAUUUGCUUUUUUUCACACUCAAUUUCUUGGAAUCAUUACUUCAUUUUGAAGGGGUAAGUGGGUAUGUUUAUUAUAUUUCCAUCAUUAUAUGCAUAAUAUUAAUUGGGUGAUAAAAAAAAUUGAAAAUAUCUAUGAUUAAAUUUCAUUUAUAAUAGAGUCACUAUCAUUAAAAUUAUUUUUUUAUUUUUAUUUAGUGAAUAUUUAAUUUACCGUCGAUGCACAAAUUUUAUACACUAUAGAUGAAUAAUUACAUCACAUAUUAUUAUCAAAUAAAACAAACAUAGCUAAUCACCAUUCUUAAGUACCCCUUUGAGCUUUUAGCCAAUUCAAUCUUGGAACUUUUGUAUGUUUUCUUUUAGAAAAUGGAAAUUUUGAAGGAAAUUUCGAAAAGCCUAUUCUUAUUUAUUAUUAGUUUUGUGGAAAAGAACUUGCUGUAUAAUAGAAACAUCGGAAAUACAUUUGUCUUUAGAUUUAGCAAAAAUGAAUAAUGGAAACACUUUUUCAUUUCUGAUAGCAAAUGAAAAUUAAGAAAAAAAACAUUCAAGAAAAUAGAUAUUUUAAAUGUAGUAAAAAUCAAACAAAUAACUCAAACAACCCUUCAAAUGUUUACAUAUUUCGUUAGUUAAAAACCAAGAAAUUGACUCUUUAUAUUUAUAAGUUUGCACUUUAAAGAUAAAGAGAUGCUUGCAAUUAAAAGAUCUAAUUCAAGAUCCACAAAUGUCAUACAUAAGCCUCCAAAGUUUAAGGGAAGUAGAAUUUAAAAAAUGUGAUAAUUUAAAGUAUCCCUUCCCAUUGUCUGUUGCAAAUACCCUUGAGUAAUUGCAUACUUUGAAGAUAAAGAGUUACCUGCAUCUAGAAAAUAUAAUCCAAGAUCCAUAAGUGUCGUGCAUAUGAAGUUUUGGGGAAGUAGAAGUUUAAAAAAUGUGAAAAUUUAAAGUAUCUCUUCUCACUAUCUGUUGCUAAUUGUAACAUCCCUAACCUAUAACUGUCGUUGGAAUAGGGUUUCAGAGCAUUAUCGAGUAACCGUAAUCUAAAUCAUUCAUUUUCAAACAUUUCAAAAAUCAUAUUAUAAUUCAUCAUUAACAUGCAUAGAGUCCCUUAUUCAAGACUUGGAGGGCAUAAAAUUACUUUAGAAUCGAUUUGGGACUAAAUCGGAAACAUUUGAAAACUUUAGGAGAAAGAAAAAUUUUAACUGCAGGGUUCACACAGCUGUGUUGCCGGGCCGUGUGACACACACAGCCAAGUCACACGCCUGUGUGUCUGGCCGUGUGGGCAUUCGAAGUAGGGACACACGGUCGUGUCCCAACCCAUGUCCCUGCCCGUGUAACUCACUGACUUGGGUCAUACGGCCAAGCCACACGCCUGUAUGCUAGGCUGUGUACCCUUCAAAAAUGGCCUCACACGCCGUUGCUAGCCAUGUGUCUCACAUGGACAAGUCACAUACCCGUGUGUCUGGCUAUGUUGACUUAAAUUGUAUCUUAAACAACAAGUUUACUAUUUCCUACUUGCUUGGGCAUUAAGUAACUCAAAAACCAUUCAUUUAACCUAUUCAAAACACGAUCAAAAACAUGCUAAAACAAUCAUCCUAGGUGCCUAACCAAUGUACCCUCAUUGGUACCACAUUUAUAUCAUCAAAAUAUAUCAUCAAUGCAUCAUUCAAAUCAAGUUUAUAAGCCAAAAUCCAUCACUUUGGCCUAGCUCAUAUCUACCUAAAACAUCAACUUUAAUUCACAUACACAUGACAAGUAUUGGUUUAAUUCAACAUACCAUAUUAAGGCUUCAAACACAAACAUAUAUUUACAUAUAUACCAAAAAACAUAGCACUUAUAACCUCAUUUACAAUUCAUCCACAAAAUAACUAUCAACUAGACAUCCUAGGUACAUGCCAACACAAAAGAUGAACAUCACGACGUUUGAGACCGGGAUCAUUGUUGGAUGCCAUAUCAAUGAUCAAAAGAGAAGUACCUAACCUGCGCACGAAAAACAAAACCGUAUGCUGAGUAAAACUCAGUGAUAUUUCUAUAAUCUGAACAAUUAAAGAUAUAAAGAUACAUGAAUGCUCAAUUUGAAAUGCAUAAUCAUAUUUCUAACUAUCAAGCAAUUGUAAAUUAAUCAACAUCACAAUUUCAUGCAUAAUACCACAUUAUAUCAUGAUUUGCUCACUUCAUUAAUAUUCUUCCAUUAAUUGGUUUAACAUAUAACUCAAUUAACAAUGACAUAUUUCAACUAUAUUCAAUCAAUGAAUACAUUACUCAUUUAUCUCAUUUAUAAUCACAACUUUUUCACCUUUCAUAUAUCAAUUCACUUUUCCAUUUCCAAUUCACAUAUUUUGUCAUUUCAAUAUCGAUCAUAGAACUUGUUAUUUAAUUAUUCCUACUAACACGAAUCGAGCUCGGACAGAUACACGGAUCCAACCAACACACAAGUGUGACACCAGUGCCUCAUCAGAUAAAUCUGAAGUAAUAGCUGCGCCCAGCACUAUAUAAAUUGACACCCAUUGUCUCAUCGGUUAAACCGAAGUAAAUCGGCACCCAGUGCCUCAUCGACUCGAAGUCGAAGAAAUCUUUAAACUCUUCCUAUCCUAUGGCAUGCUAUCUAUAUCCAACUCAGCCUGAUACAAUUAAUAAGGUUUCAUUUCACAUCUCAAAUACAACCAUUAUCCAAUAUCAAGUUUUCAUUUAAUCACAUUAUCACAUAUACAGAUGAAUUCAAUUCAAUCUAUAAUAAUCAAUACAUUCAUAAUGUAUAAACCACUUCAGUCCAUUUCAAUCAACUAUAAUUUCAAUUCAAUAUCAAAGUGUCAAAAUACUCACCUCAACCACUUACCAUAUGCAUUAAAUCAAAAUAUAGUAAUUAAUAGCUAGGUUCGAAUUAUAAAAAUACAUAUUGUGGAUUCCGAGCUAUUUGACGUCGAUUUUAUCCUUCCUCUUUUUAGUCGAGGGUUCCAAUACGACGUUAGCUACAGAAUUAAAACAACUAAAUUUCAUCAAUACUACAAAAUUUAAUUUCAUAAUGAUUAUUUCAAUUUUUACUCAAUAUUUUCCUAAAUUCUAAUUUAGUCCCUAAAUCGAGACUAAUUUUUUAUUUUUUACAUUUAAUUCUAUAUUUUCAUACAAAUUUCACUUUAAAAUAAUUAAAUUCCCUAUUUUCAAUUAAAUCCCUAAAUUUCAAAAUUUUCACAAUUUAGUCCCUAUUACUCAAAAUUUACAAUUUGUUCUACAAUUUAGUCUUUUUCAAUUUCUAGCUUAAAAAUCUAUCAAAUUAAUCCCUAAUACUAAAAAUAUUUAACAAUAACAACAUUUAAAAUCUUAAUCGAUACUAAAAUUACAACAUGGGUCGAGUAGCCCUAGGUACCGAGAUUCUAAAAACAUAAAAAUCACAAAAAAAGGGACUAAAUUAUAUCACUAUGGAUGAAUAAUUAUAUCACUUAUUAUCAUUGAAUAAAACAAAACAUAGCUAAUAAUUAUUGUUAAGUACCAGUUUCAACUUUUAUUAGUUCUUAAUUCUUCUUUCUUUUUUUUUUUGUUUAAGAUAACCGAAUCCAUAAUUUCAACAUUAGAAAUUUUGUAUUUAAAAAAAAUUCAAAAAGGCUAAAUUACAACUAUAUGCUGAUUUUUUUUUUUUGAAAAUUUAUGUUGUUUUCUUGAAACUUUAUCAAUUUAUAUUGUUUUUUUUCCAAAUAGAAAGGAAAACACAUAUUAUAGGACGUGUUUUCUCUUAUCUUCCAGAGAAAACAUGAGAUGCAUUUUAUUCUUUUUCCUAAAAAUGCGCUCUAUAGGAUGCAUUUUCAGAUAGUCUAAAAUUAUUUUUUUUUCUUACGGUUUGAAAUUAGAAGUUUGUAGAUUUAGCUUUUCCCAUGUUCAAGAUAAACAUUGUUAUAGUUUUAAGGUAUGUUUGAAUUUACGAUAAUGUCAUGGAGUUGGGUGACUUAAGAAUUUCACCUGGCAUGUGAGCAUGGAGCCAUCCGAGAAUCUGGAUUGCAUUGCAACUCAAGGUCCAAGUUGACAGUGGUUCUAUAGCCUCCGAUUGAAGUGUAACUAGGUCUUCAAUUUUACAAAGGUUAUGUUAUCAAUGAAUGGAGCAUAAAUGCGGCCCCAAUUGAUAGUGGUUAUGCGAGCACAACAACGAGUUUUGUCAUCAUCAGGGGAGGAUGCUAUUUGCCACAGAAACAAAAGUAUGAGGAAGAAAAAUGCAAUGGUGUUUUAGUAUAAUCAAGUAAUUCGGUAGAAAUGGAUAAAAUGCUACUACAUUUUUCUUUCCUUUUUACUUUUUUUCUGUGGUGUAUAGCUUCCUCCAUUGAUGAUGAAAAAAAUCCUUAUCGUGCCUGCAAAAGUACCACCAACUAGGGCCAAAUUUAUGUUCUGUCCCCUGGCAGUAUAACCUUUGUAAACUUGAAACCUUAGUUAUAUUUCAACCCGAGACCGUAUAAUCACCGUCAACUUGGAUCUCGAGUUGCAACGCGAUCUCGACUGCUCAGGUGAUGACUCAAUGCUCACAUGGUAGGUUAAGUUUGUUGGAAUAAAAAACCGAUAACUUUGAAAUUAAUAAACUAACCUCCUCUUUUGUUUGUUGGUCUAAAUUUAGUCAGAUGUCCUCGAGCUCGGUCAAUAUAUUGUUGUGUCUGGCGAGGUUAUUCCACCUAUACCAAAACCAUGUUAUUUCAACAUUACAAUGAAAAUUCUGAUACAGUAACAAUAUUAUGAAAUAAAUUUUAUCAUGUUACGAAUGAGAAUUUAUAAGGGGAAUUUCUAUCGCAUUCUGUAUUUUUCAUAAUCUUUACAAGUAGUAUACUCCACUAUAUAUAGAGAGAUUAGACUCUUCAUAUUCUAAUACAUAAAUAAGAAAAGGGGGUUAUAAGGAGAUGAAAGGUUAAAAAUUAAAGAAAAUGAAAGAUUAAAGGUCAAGGGAGAUGAAAAGUGAAAAGUGAAAGGUUGAACAUCCGCUUAAUAACAUUAAUAUAAAUAUUUUAAAUGUAGCAAAAAUCAUAAAAAUAAUUGAAACAUCGCUCCAAAAUCCAAAUGAACCAAAUCCACUCAAGCAAUUACUGAAACUUCAAGGAAAAUGUGAGAGCAUAGAUUAUUUAUUUUUAAUAAGUUAAUUGCACCAAAUAUUUUUAAAUUAUUACCCGCAUUCUAAAUUAAUUCAUUAAAUUUUAAAUCAUUUUAGUUACAUCUCUAAACUAAACAGAAUAUAUCAAUUUAAAUUUUUUUAAAUCAUUAAUUUAAUGAUAAAAAGACAUCUUCAGUCACUCUCAAUUUUAAAAUUGAGUAAAUUAGUCACUUUCAAAAAAAUUGGAACAAUUUAAUCUCUGUCAAUUUUGAAAGUGAGCAACUAAGAACAACUAAUCACAACGUUCAUGUCUUUCGUCAAUUGUGCAUAAUUUUGAUUGGUACAAUAACACAUUUAGCCCUUGAUGUUUACAUAUUUUGUUAGUUUGGUCUUGAUUCUAAAAAAAAUCAACAAAUUCAGUCUCAACAUUUACACAUUUACAAAAAUAUUACAGGCUAAAAUUGUUAUCAUAUCAAUCAAAUUUAUGUAAAAUUGAUGAAAAACAUUAAUAUUGUGAUUAAUUACUCACUUUUGAAAUUGGUAGGGAUUAAAUUGCUUCGAUUUUUUUAGAGGGACCAAUUUGCUGAAUAUUAAAUUUGAGAGGGACUAGAGAGGUCGUUUUACCUAGUUUAAUAAUUAAAUGAUAUGUUAAAUCUUAUGUGAUAUAAUUUAAAAUGAAUUUUUUUAAAAAAAAAUGAAGAUUGUAAAAAUAGUUGUUUUAAAAAUCUUGGUUUUGAAGUUUUUACAAAUUUUGUAACGUUCAUCAAUACUACAAAAUUCAUAUAUAAUCUUAUUGAAUUAAAUUUCACAUUUUGUACUAUUUAUUUUAUUGAAUUGUUUAAUCAUAUUAAAUCUUUAGUAAUUUCAGUUCAAAUUGAAUUAUUGAUGAUGCCAUAAAAUAUUCGUGUUAAAAUUUUCUAUUGGUAUCAAUUUCACAUUUUAUCUUUAAAAUAUCAUUUAUUAAAAAAUCACAUUUUUUACAUUUAAUAUAUUUUUUUAAUUUCAAAAUACAUGAUGACAAAAAUCAGAAGAUAAUUGAAGCAACUAAGCAAGCAAAUAAGUUAACUCAUAUAUAAAAUAUUAAUAAAUAAAUUAUGAGGGGAUGAAAAUUAGUAAUAAAUUUGAUUACAGUGAGUAACAGUGGCUAUAAGAAUUCAAAAUCAUUUUUUUUUAAUUUAACUAUAACUCAUUAAAACCCAAUUUGCGUCAUUAUGAUGGAUUAAAGGAAGUAGGGAAGCAACAAUAGAAAAAUAUUGAAAAGGAAAAAAAACUUCGAAGAUGAACUUGUUCCCAUGCAAUAGCCAGGAAUUCUUGGUGGUAUCGAGCCAGAACAACAUGUUCUUCUUGGAUACCCUAAUUCAGGGCCAAAGAAUAUCCUAUCGCUACCAUAUAAAUAUUCAUUUCAACUUGGGGAUAAAUAAAGUAUCUGUGUUUUUUUUUUUUGUUUUUUUUAUCUCUCAAAGAUUUUAUAAAAUGGACUUUCUAGAGACCCUCAAUGACCAAUCUGGCAUGAAUUGUUAAGGACCCAAUAAGGCCAACAUUGAUCCCUGAGACGUGUCAAUUGGGCAAAUGUGUCCAUAGUGACUAAGAUGGAUACUUCGUAUCUGAAAAUUAGCAGUUCGCCCAGUCAAUCCUCCAAGGCCCGAAUAACUCAAUUUUCUCUCAUGCACUAUUUGUGUCAAUGGAUUUGUUCGAUCCAAAACUUGAGACAAUAGGUGUAACCUGAAAAACAAUUCAUAAGUGGUUGUUAAUGGAAUCAAAGUUACCGAAGAGUUGGUAUCAAUUUAUUUCAGAAUGAAUGGAAAGGACAUUUCCAUGGUUUUAGACCUCAUAUCUAUCUUCCAAAUCUGGAGAGCAGAUUAAAGGUUUUAGUAUCAAGUAGAAAAGUAAGUAUGAAAUACCCAAAAUGCCAACUAAUAAUGGCAGACAGCAAAGCAAAAAGCUAAAAGAAAAGAUGGGAUUUCUUACUAAACAAUUCUGCCUUUGUGGAACCCACCACAGAAGUGAAUGCCUCAUUAUUUUGCCUGUUUUUGUCUUCACUUUCUUCUUCUUUUUGGCUAUUGUACCCGCAACAUUCAUUCUUCUUCACUGUUUCUAUCAAGCAUCCAGUCAAGGCAAUUUCCUUUGAUUUGCUUAAUCCAUGACGUGCUUUUCAUUGCUUAAUUCGUGACUAUGCAAUGAUUGUUUUUUAUUAUCUGCUUCAGUUAUAGUCAAGGGAGUCAGCUUCACUGCUUCAUUUUCAGUUCUAAUCUCUCAAGACUUUUCAGCCACUAAGUCAGGUAAUUUGUGCUUCCCAUUCUUUGAUCCUUAAAUAUGCAAUUCAGCUCAUUGGAAAAUUUGUUUCCUUAUUAUCAACUCAUGACAUGAUUUCCUUUGCUUUUACAUGACAAGAAAGAUGAAUAAUUGUAAUAAGAUCUGAAGCAAUGAUUUCCUCUACUGAUUAUCAACAGUUUUAGAUUUCAAGUCUGGAUGAUCAGCAGACGUAAUCUACUUUAGAUAGAAAUUAAUACCAAAAGAGCUACCCAGAAGCAAUAUGAUGUUGAAAUCUCAAACUGUUGAACAUUUUACCUCUUAAUAUUCUGUUGCACACUUGAAUCUAGCAUUUUCUAUACAUUGAGAGAUUAAUUCUGGAUAUACAAAUUUCAUCAUGUUUCCGUCUGCCACCCAUCCAUGGCUCCAUCUAAUAAACGCCAUUGCUUGAAACUUGCAUUCAUGCUUACACUGACAUAUCAAAAAGCCAAUACAUUCACAGAUUUUAAUUCUCUGCUACUGUUAUAUAUGAUUGCGUUGCAUGGACAUAGCAAUGGAGUACGUAGAGCCUGUUCUUGGCAUUAUUAUAUGUUUCCUAUAUGUUUCUUGAAACCAAAUUAAUAAUAUUAUCAAAUUGAGUUUCAUGCCCUUGAAGAACAUCUAGAAUUGAUAUUAUAAAGACUUAUGAAAUUGACCUUAAUGCCUUUUUUUAGUCAAAAGAAAAGAAAAUAAUUAUUUUUCAAAACCCAAAUUAUAUUCAGUUUUUUUUAUAACAUAAAAAUUAUGUCAAGAAAUAGAAGAAUUAAAAAGCAGAGAACAAAUAAUUUUCCUUUAUGUUUCUUCCAUAUUCUUUUAAAGAAUGAAUAUUGGAUAUCUUAAUGUAAAUAAUAUAGAGAAAGUUUGGAGGGUUUAAAAACAUUUACCCCUCAUUUUCCCUUACUUUAUUUAUUUUUUAAAAUUUUAUCUACUUUUAUUUAAUUUUUAAUUUUAUAAUUUUCUGAACUUUUGAAAAUAACUUCAACUUUUUACAUUUUACAUUAGUGACGAAAUUGCAACUACUUUUUUAUAGUUAAAUGACAAAAACGAAAAUUACCAAUAGUUUAGUGACUAGUGUAGCAUUUUUUUGGUACAAUUAAUGAUCAUUCGAAUUUCAACUAUUCCUAAAGAAAGUAAACACCUAACCAAUAAAUCACAACUUGAGAUAGCUUAUCCAGGAAUUUAUAUUCACAUUUUACAAACCUUCAUAUGUAAAAUAUUACUCAGAGUUGAAUCCAAAUUUUAAAACCAACAACAAGCCAUUUACUACAACACCAACAACUAUACUUUGUUUUUAUAGGGUGCCAAUAACAACACCUAUUACAACUCAUUUACUAGUAUAUUUAAUUUCAAGUUGUAACAUAUAACUAGGCAUUCUUAUACCCUGCUUUCCCAUACUUUCCCAUCAUCAUCAUCAUCAACAUCGUUGUUGUUACAAUUGAGCACCAAGAUCACUGCAAUUCUUGUUAGUAUUGUCCAGAAUUAAUGCAAAGGACAUUUCUAUGGAUUUUAGACCUCAUAUCUAUCUUCCAAAUUUUGAGAGCAGAUCAAAGGUUUUAUUAUUACAGAUUUAAAGAAGAAUCAGAUUGUAAAUCAUCGAUCAACUGUUGAGAAAAAUCAGUAUCAAAUACGGUAGCUGCACCGAAAAUGCCAACUAUAAUGGCAGAAGCUAAGGAAAAGUAAAAAAAAGAUGGGAUUCCUUACUUAAUAUUUCUGCCCUUGUACCCACAACAUUCUUUCUUCUAUCACAAAAUUUCAACCAUCCACUCUACCUACUUUCCUUUCAUUUGCUUAAUAGUUCUGCCUUUCUACCCACAACAUUCUUUCUUCUCCACUGUUUUUAAUUUCUUUUCAUCUCCAAGGUCUAUCACCAAAUUUCAAGCAUCCCGUCAAAGGUAAUUUUCUUUCAUUUGCUUCAUUCAUGACAUGCUUUUCCUUGCUUCAUUCAUGACUAUGCAAUGACAGUUUUUUAUUAUCUGCUAGCUUUGUAAGAUAGUCAAGGAAGUCAACUUCACUGCUUCAUUUUCAGUUCUAAUCUCUCAACACAUUUUCAGUUCUAAUCUAUCAACAGUUUUAGAUUUUAAGACAGGAUAGGAUGACCGGAAAACAUAAUCUAUCAUAGAUAGAAAUCUCAAACUGUUGAACAUUUUAGCUCUUAAUAUUCUGUAAUGAACUGUUGCACACUUGAAUCUAGCAUUUUAUAUACAUCGAGAGCUUAAUUCUGAUGACCAGAAUUUAAUCAUGUUUCUGUCUGCCACCCAUCCAUAGCUCCAUCUAAUAAACGCCAUUGCUUGAAACUUGCAUUCAUGUUUUCCUUUUCAUGCUUUCACUGACAUAUCAAUACUUCAUAAAAUAUCCAAUUCAUUCACGGAUUUUCAUUCUCUGCUACUGUUAUAUAUGAUUGCAUUGCAGGGACAUAGCAAUGGAGUACGUAGAACCUGUUGUCGACAUUGCAAAUUGUCUCGGAACUCCUGUUUGUAAAUAUUUGCAAUAUCACAGAAAGCUGAACGAUUAUGUGAGAAACUUCAAGAGGAUCAGAGAUGAAUUGAAUUGCAAAAUGGAAGAUAUAGAGCUGCAAUUGAAAGCAGAGCUUCUUCGUCCUCUGGGGAAGAUACCGAAGAAGGGAGUUGAAAAUUGGUUGAAAGCUGUGAAAGAGAUCAUUAGGGAAGCACAAGUUGUUGAAAACAAAGUCAGUAACGGGAUAUAUCUCUGCCGUGCUUGCAACGGGAGGCUGGUUGAUGAAAAGACUCGAGAAAUGAAGGAAUUUCUUGAUAAUGCUCCUAAUGCCUCUGAAGGUCUUGCCAUGGAUGGUCCAAGUGCUGGGUUGCCACUGGAAACAUCAGAACUAGUUGGAGAGGAAGCUGUCAGAAAAGAGAUUUGGGCAUGUUUGAUGCAGGAGGAGGUAAGCAAGAUUGGGGUUUGGGGGAUGGGCGGCGUGGGUAAAUCGACCAUCAUGAAGCACAUCCACAAUGAUCUUUUGAAAGAACAGCGAUUUGAAAAGGUGGUUUGGGUUACUAUAUCAAAGGACUUCAAUAUUGUGAAGUUACAAAAUGAUAUUGCAAGUGCAUUGAAUGGAAAGAUGCCCGAAGAAGCAAACAAGGUCAGACGAGCAGCAAUCUUGUCUGAAAUGCUGAAGAGAGCAGGAAAACAUGCUCUAAUCCUAGAUGAUGUGUGGAGUGAAGUCUCGUUGGAAGAAAUUGGGAUCCCUAAGCCAAGUAGCAGCAAUGGAUACAAGUUGGUGUUGACAACCCGUGUGGAGCAAGUUUGUAAGUCUAUGGGCUGUAAGGUGAUAAAAGUGAAGCCCCUUUCAGAAGAAGAGGCAUUGAUACUAUUCUUGAGUGAAGUUGGACCUAACAUAGUGCAGAAUCAAACUUUAAUGCCAACUUUGAAGCUUGUUGUCAAGGAAUGUGCAGGUCUGCCUCUUACAAUUGUCGUCAUAGCUGGUACAUUGAGAGGAGAAGAUGACCCUCUUAUUUGGAAAAACACACUCAGGGAAUUGAAAGAGAGAAUAUGGAAAGUGAAAGAAGGGGAAGAUAAAGUGAUCGAGAGUUUGAAAGUUAGCUUCAAUCACUUAAAAGACGAGAAAAUGAAGCAUUGUUUCUUACAUUGCGCAUUAUAUCCUGAAGAUUUUCAAAUUGGGAAGGAUGGGCUAAUUGAGUGCUGGAUUGAAGAGGGAUUCAUAGAUGAUAUGAGUACAAGACAAGAAAUGAAAGAUAAGGGCCAUGUUAUUUUGAAGAAAUUAGAAGAUAAUUGCUUGUUGGAAAAUGUUUCGAGUGAAAGAGUAAAAAUGCAUGAUGCAGUGAGAGACAUGGCAUUGUCGAUCACAAGAAUGAAUCCUCGAUGUAUGAUACAAGCAGGUUCGCAAUUAGAAGAGUUACCAGAAAAGGUGCAGUGGAGUCCGGAUAUUGAGAAAGUGUCACUUAUGUAUAACUCCAUAUCAGAAAUUUCCACAGAUGUGCUGCCCACAAAAUGUCAACUGCUCACAACCUUGUUAUUGCAGCAUAACCCUAUAAAGAAGAUCCCGUAUUCUUUCUUCAUAAACAUGCCCUGUCUUUGUGUCCUAAAUUUGUCCUAUACGGUGAUCGAGAGUUUACCAAAUUCCAUCUCUGAACUAAAGAACCUCACAACAUUGUUGCUUUCUGGCUGUUCUGGAUUAAGAGAUCUGCCUUGUCUUUCGAUGCUUCAAGAAUUGAAGAAGUUGGAUCUUUCUGGGACUAUAAUUGAGGAAGUCCCUGAAGGAAUGGAUAUGCUGAUAAAGCUAAGAUAUCUUGAUCUUAGAGUGCGCACUCUGAAAGAGAUACCCGCUGGACUUUUACCAAAACUAGUUCACCUUCAGCACUUGGGUUUUUAUGAGAACAAUGAAAAAACAAGUCUAAAAGCAGAGGAGAUGGAACCAUUGAAGAAGUUGGAGUGCUUUACCGGACGUUUCGAAAACAUCAAUGAAUUCAAUAAGUUCAUCUCCUCAAUGCAACAAAGUAAGAAAAAUCUCAUCAAUUACCAUUUACAGGUGGGCUCAUAUAAUAGUGUGGAUUGUGAAAGGGGUAAAAGAGUAUCAAUUGGAGGAGUCCAGAAUUGGGAAGGUGAGUUAAUUAUGCACCCAAUUGAAAUUCAAGAGUUGAAUAUUGUAAAGUGCGACUAUUUGAGAAGCUUAGUCGAUGACAAUUCUUCCUUCAAAAAUGCGAUUGACUUGAGGGUUUGUUGGAUUUGGGGGUGUGAAGGGAUAGAGUGUGUUGUUUCCCUGUCCUCUUUUGCCUCUUCUUCCGCUCAUCCAUUUCAGAGCCUCGAGGUGUUGGGUCUUUAUGAUCUGCCAAAGUUGAGUGCCCUUAUUAUGAAAGAUGAAGGAAUUGGUUCAGCAACAACAUCAACAUUGGCUCCGUCUGCCACCUUUUCCCAUCUCAAGGAAAUUACGAUAUUCAAAUGCUCAAGGAUGAAGACGUUGCCUCCACAUUGGUUGCUUCCAAACCUCCAAAACCUGGAAGAAAUAUCAGUGUCACACUGUGAUAAGGUAGUAGAAAUAUUGGGAGCAGCACCAUCAGAAGUUGAAGAAAAAGGGAGUGAUGCAUUAAUCAAAUUCCAUCUUCCCAAAUUGAGACAAUUGAGACUACGUACGUUACCAAAUUUGAAGAGCAUUUGCAGCAAAAGUGGAGUCAUGGUUUGUGAUUCUCUCCAACUUAUCCUGAUUAUUAAUUGUCAUAAACUGAAGAGAAUUCCUCCAUUUGUUCCCCUUGUUGGGAAUGGGCAGCCAUUUGCAUAUGCUCCACCUUCUCUUACCAUCAGGUCAAGCACAAAAUGGUGGGAAUCGUUGGAGUGGGAUGACCAUCCAAACUUUAAAAAUGUUCUCAAGCAUGAAAGGUAGGAACCAUUUAUAGUUAGUUUAUUUUUUUUAUUUUUAUAAAUCUAAUUUCUCCAUUUUAAUAAAAUUUCAGAUGAAUUUGGUGAUGUUGUUGAAGAGAAAGAUAAAAGGGUUGGUGGGAAAGAAGUAGGGGGGAGGAUUGUGCAAAAGAGUGGAGAAAAGGAAUGAUGGAAGAGCAUGGAGACUGAGAAGCAAAGGUAAAUAAGAGAUCAAACUGUCUCCACUUUGUAAACAUUGUCCCUCUCUUACCAUUCCUUCUGUUCUCUUUUUCGUAUAAUGUAAAAGUUAUGUCAAGUAACUGAAGAGGUAAAAAACAAAUAAAUUUGCUUAAUAUUUUUUCUAUGUUUGUUUUGAAAGAAUGAGUAUUGAAUAUGGAUAAUAUAGAGAAAUUUUGUAGGGUUUAAAAAAAAGUAUCAAGAUGAAAAAAAAUAUAUAAUUUAAAUGUCAAUUGAUAAAUUAAGUGUAUUCAAAAUAAUGGUAUUUUAGAUAGCAAAGGUAUUGAAAAUUUAAAGUGAUAAAUUACCUUUUUAUCAUUAUAAAUAAAUACCAUAAUUUCUUUUUAUGCUGAAAAAAAAUUUGAAAAUUUAUGUUGUUUUCUUGAAAAUUUAUCAAUUUAUAUUGUUUUUUUACAAAUAGAAAGGAAAACGCGUCUUAUAUGACAUGUUUUCUCUGAUCUUCCAGAGAAAACAUGAGACGCGUUUUAUUAUCUUUCCUAAAAAGCGCUCUGUAAGAGCAACUAAGGACAAUGAAUCACGACGUUCAUGUCUUUCGUCAAUUGUGCAUAAUUUUGAUUGGUACAAUAACACAUUUAGCCCUUGAUGUUUACAUAUUUUGUUAGUUUGGUCUUGAUUCUAAAAAAAAAUCAACAAAUUCAGUCUCAACAUUUACACAUUUACAAAAAUAUGACGGGCUAAUUUUGUUAUCAUAUCAAUCAAAUUUAUGUAAAGUUGAUGAAAAACAUUAAUAUUGUGAUUAAUUGCUCACUUUCAAAAUUGGUAGGGAUUAAAUUGCUUCGAUUUUUUUGGAGGGAGCAAUUUGCUGAAUAUCAAAAUUGAGAGGCACUAGAGAGGUCAUUUUACCUAGUUUAAUAAUUAAAUGACAUGUUAAAUCUUAUGUGACAUAAUUUAAAAUGAAAAUUAAAAAAAUGUAGAAAUAGUUGUUUUAAAAAUCUAGGUUUUGAAGUUUUUACAAAAUUUUUAUUGUUCAUUUUUUUUAAAAUUUCAGUUUUAUUUAAUUUUAGUUUCUUUAAAAUUUUUAUUUUAAAAUUAGCUAUAUAAAAUUUAACGUGUCAUUUAAUGAUUUUAAUAAUAAAAUGAUAUGAUUAAUAUAACAUCAAUAGUUUAGAAAUGUAAUUAGAUCAGUUUGAAGUUUGAAAAUAGAUUUAAAAUAAUGGUCAAAAUUUAGGGGUGGUUGAUGUAAUUAACUCAUUUCUAAUGGUGCUAAUAAUUAAGUCUGCUAUAGGACAAAGUGAAAAAGUGGAAAGCAGAGUUAAAAUAUAAUUGCAUAAUAUAUGGAUGGGGCCAUUACCAAACGAUGAAGCAAAAGAAAUGAAGGGCCAUCAUACUUUUAUUUAGAAAUUUUAUAAAUUUUAGUUGUUAAACAUGUCAAGUAAUUUGAUUUGGUGUGGUGGUUAAGUGCCUUGAAUGUUUGCUUUGGGUCUUGGGUUCAAUUUUUUUGUUAAAUUUUUCCUAUUUAUAUUAUGUUGAACUUGAGCCUUAGGUCUUAUCUCUUAUUUUCAAUGAUGAAUCUGGUAAGAGUUUAGCUUAUCACCAAUUUAAAUUUUAUAAAAUCUGGUAAGUGGGAUUUAGAUUAACUUAAAUCUUUUUAUUUAAUUUUACUAAAUCUCUAUUUUCACUCAUUGUUUCAACCGUCCACACUCUCACCCCACUUUGUAUGCUACUUUCUUUUGUUUCCCUAUUCUGCCGUUUUAUCUUCUUUUCUCUUCCUCCUUUCUCCUCUUUGAUUAUUCCUGAAUACUACCAUUUAUUUUGUGAGUUCUGUCACUUGGAUUGUAUUCUGUUUGCAGUGUAAGUUUUAUUUGGUUACUUUUGUUCUCUUCCCAUUAAUAGUUUAGUUUUAUUUCGUUUCUUGAACAAGUUGAGUUUGUGUUGGUAUUUUCUGUUCAUUAUCAUGAUUAGUAUUUUUGUGGUUCUCGAUUAGGCGAAAGGUGUGAGAAUCCUAACCCUCCAGCAAAGUAGUCACAAUUUUUUACGUUGUUUUGGAGAACUAAGUAUUCGAAUUCUAUUUUAGGGGCUGAAAUUUUGAUUCAACGAUGUUAUUUUGGAUAAGUAUUGUUAGUUAAUCCGUGUGGUUUGAUGAACGUUUAUAGGAUUCGUGAGUUCCAAUAGAGCGGUUGAUCAAAUCAGCAAUAGGUGUAUGAAAUUAACCUGAAAACUCAAUCGAAACUCGAGAAAAUUAAGGGCCACACAACUAUGUGGGUAUUUUGGCCAAUUUUAAGCCCCAAUUAGGGGCCGAUUAAAGGACUCAAAUAUUAUUGGGUCCAUAGCAAUCAUAUAAGCCCAAAAAAAAAUGUAAGUUUUAGUAUAUAUAUACAUGGCUAAGCUUAGGAGGUAUGUUAAGUAGGUUGUAUACAAAUCAUAUGCUAUGUUAUGUUCCUUAUAAAAAUAUGUGUAUGCAUGUCAUAUGACUUAUGAUAUAUGUAUUUAUGAUAUUAUAAUUAUGAUUAUGCCUAUGUUUUGGGAUGGGUUAUGAUAUGAUGGAGGAAGUAUUAUAUGAUAGUUUUUACUACAACUAUGGCCACUAGACCAUAAAAUGUCUAUCUGACAGCUUAGUUGCAUAUUUAUGAGUGGCAUACCGUCACAUAUUGGUGUGAUUGGAUGGAUGGACUCUUAUAGUCCUAAUUGGUGAUAUUGCAUGGACGGAGAUGGCAUGUAGCAGUUGGAGGUAUGAUAUCAUAUUAUAUGAGAUAUGAUAGGAUAAGAUAAGAUAUGAAACAUGUUAUAACAUGAUAUGAAAAUCGAUAUGAUAUAAGAUGUGCUCCGAUAUGCUAUAAGAUGUGCUCCGAUAUGCUAUGAUACAUUCUGAUUUUUAUAUAUACGACGAUGUGUGGGUCAAAUCACAUACUGGAUGUUAAGCUCACACCUUUGUUAAUUCUGUUUUAGGUGAUCUUCAAAGUUAGGAUUGGAUGAUGACUAUAGAGCUCGUAUUUCACUCUUUCGGUUUAAGUAUGCAUUGGACUCUCUUUUGUAACUUUUUGGGCUUUUGGAUAUUUUAAAUUUAUUUGGGACGCUAAAAAUUAUUUUGGCAUUUAUUUUUCAAAAGUUUUAACUUUUACCGAUACUUAAAUCAAGACAACUAAAAAUAAACCAUAGUUAUAAGGUAAAUUUGCUAUAAUGCUUUCUGCUGCAAGUUUUAAGGUCAAUUUGCUAUAAUGCUGUCCGCUGCAAGUUUUAUUGAAAUUUGCUAAGAUGUUUUAUCUCACAAACAAAGUAAGUAAAUUAAAUGCAUUUUGGUAAAAUUAACAAAUAUUGCUUACUUCAAUGUAUUCACGGGUUUUCAAAAAUGGUACAUCUUCAACGGGUUAAUUAAACUUGUUUUCUUUUGAGUUAAAUAGUUUUUGCCAAAAUGAAGUAAUAUUGUUUUCACACGCAAUGUAAUCUCCACAAUCUGAUUAUAACAUUUAGGUCAUGUUUGGAUGUUAGAAUUAGAGCUUUAAAAAAUAAUUACUUUUUCUUUUAGAAGUUAAUGUCAUUGUAGGGUUUGAUGGGUUAUCUUCAACUUUAACAGUUAAGCUUCCAAAGUCGAUGAUCCUAUUUAAAUAUAUAAAAAAAAUUUAUAUUUAAAAGAUGUUCUUAUAAGGAAAAAAAGAUGUUAUUUAUGAUUGUUGCAUGCAAUUAUAUUAUUUUAUGAUUCGGGUUAUAUAUGAUUGUUGUCAUGACAUAAAAGUGUUUAAUUAAUAUUUUUAAAGUUUUAAAAAAUAAUAAUAAAUAUUUUUUAAUAAUUUUAAAAUUUAAAAGAUAAGUUAUAUCUAUUUUUAAAACCAUAAAAAUUAUUUAAAAACUAAUGUAUCAUCCGUAACAAAUCAUACAUCAUUAACACAUAUUGGGGCAUGGGAAAGCUUUUAAAAAUUUGAACUCAAAUAGUGCUCUACAUGGUUCAUCAAGGCAUGGCAAGUAAGCGAUAGUUGAUUGCCUGUAUUUCUCUCAUAAUUUGUCACUGCAAAAUCUACUACAUUUCAAAUUAACUGAUGUCAAGUAGAAAACUAAAGCAGAAGAGGAUCAAGUAUUUCCCUCACUAUCUGUUUCAAUGCUAAAAUUCCACCUCUCCUCUCCAACACCUCAUUGGUAGCCUUACUCAUCAUAACCAACACAACCCUUUCUUUUAUCUCGCCACAUAAAAGAAAUUCAAAAUAAUUUUUAAAUUUUUAUAAAUUUGCAAAAAUUUAUAUUUUAAAAAUUUCUAAAAAUAUAUAUAAAUAAAGUUGAAAUUUUAAAAUUUUCUGAAAUAAUAAUUUUAGCACUUACAUAAGUUAAUUAAUGAUUCAAAUUUAUCAAUAUUUAUUUAAGUUUUUUAAUAUAUAUGGUUUUAAAUCUAGAUGAAAUAUUUUAAUUUGACAUGUUUAAUUUUUUAAGUUAACUUAAACAAUUUCACUCUAUUUGAAUUUCAUUUCAUUCGAUUUGAUUUGAAAAAAUUUCAUCUCAAGUUAAGGUGAUAAAAUAAAACCUAUAAACUCGAUUAACUCAAAAUGUUUUCACUCAAUUGUGAGGUGAUUGAUCAUUUUAUUAGUAAAAAGACAUAUAAUUAUUCAUCUAAUAUUAUAACUAUUCAAACAGUAUAAUUCUUUUUAAAAAAUUAAGUGAUAUAAUUAUUGACCAAUGACCAAAAGAUUUAUCUUUAGAUUAAUUACAUCCAUUCAUUUAUAGUUAUUAUUAAAUAAAUAAUUAAAAAACUCCUAUCUAAUUUCAACAAUUAAAAAAAACUUUAAAUUAAAAUUAAAUUAUUAAGAUUCUAAUAAUAUAAAAAACUAAAUUGAAAUUUUUAAAAGGAUAUAUUAAAUAAAUUAAUAAUUUAUAAUUAGAUAAGAAAUAAAUAUUUUUUAUAAAAAAAUAAAAUACUUUAAUUUAAAAGGACAUUUUGGUCAAUCACUUUAAUAGUUUUUGUAGUGAUUAAAAGUUUAAUUGAUACCCCUAAACCAUAACUAAAAAGGAUGGAACCUUUUGCCAGAUUGCUAUUAGUUGUAACAAUCUAAUCUGUUGGCAUCCACCAUUAAUGAUUGAAUAUUGUAGCAAAGACCAUAACAAUUGACUUCCAAUUUUGGUUCUUUUUGUCUUGUUCUUCGUAAUUUUCUUACUGAGUUGGGACUCAAUUGAUGGUUGACGCAAACUCAGUAAAAGGCUUUAACACAGUAUAGAUUAAAAAAAGAUUUAAACUAAAAUUUUUAAAACAAUUUAGGUUAAAUUUAGUUAUUCAAUUAUAGGUAAGUUUUAAUUUUGGUUACUUAACUAAAAAAAUUACAAUUUGAUCACUAAUGCUUUCAAAAUUUUUUUUUUGUCACCUAACUGUUAAGUCAUACUUGUUUUAGUUGGUAUAAUAAUAAUUUCAGUCCUUAAUUUUUUAUAUUUUCUGUCAAUUUGACUCAAUUUUUGUAUAAAAUUAUAAAAAAAACUCAAAAUUAUUUAUAAAAUAGAAAAAUGUAUAUAAAAAUUCUAGAAAAAUAAAAUAUUGAAUAUGUUGUUUCAUAACUAAAUUGUAUGAGAAAUAAAGAAAAUCAUAGUUCAAUAACAUCCAAUAACAAAUUAAAAUCAAAAUAAAAGGAAAAAAAGGUUAAAUUAUUAUAUGUUUCCUGAAUAUUUCUCGAAAAAUAAUUAGGGGUUAAAAUUUACAUGCUUAAAUUAUUAACGAGUCUAUUUUCAAUAGAAACAAAUGGGAACUUCAUCCAAAUUUGUACUAAGAGGUAAUUAAUUUUUAGCAAAGAAUGGUCGAAGUUGUCAGACAAUAGAAUAGGGGUAAGUUUGAAGAUUUUACUGUACUUAUUGGCUAAACCAAAAAUUCUGAAAACUUUAUGGUAGAAAGGUAUCUGAGCCUAUUUCAAAGACAUCAAGUGGAUUUUAAUUCGAAAUUCUGUAGCUCAAGAUAUAAAUAAUUUAGUAGCAGUGACUCAAAUAGACAGUUUUAAAGGAACACAUAAGUAAAUAGUGAAAAACAUAUAUAAAUAUUUAGCUAGCACGAGUUACAUUAAAAAUGGAUCACGCGGCCAAAGCCAAUUUGGGCUGAGUAGGCCACAUGGGCGUGUGAGCCCAUUUUUCUGAAAAGUUCUGUAAGGUUGCACGGGUCGCCCAAGUCAAUUGUGGAUCUACUGUAGGGUCGAUAAGCUCUAUUUAGACCCCUAUAUGUGUGAUUUGUCUGACUGAUUUCUAUACUGAGCAUGACUAUUAAUUGCAUAAUUGCAUGACAUAUUUUGUAUGUUGCAUUGCAUCGGGGUGGGUUGAUGAUAUUUGGAGGAAGUGUCUGAAAGGCUAUUAAGCCUGUUAUCUGGCAGCAUAGCUACAACCUUUUGAUUAUAUGCUGCAUUUCGGUACAGCAUGGUGUGUAGGGAUGUGUGGCUUGAUUUAAUCCCCACAUGGUGUGUAGGGUUGGACGGAGAUGGUGUGUAGAGGCUAGUGGGUAGGAUUCUAAUUUACUGUAUCUGCAUUCUGUAUCUGAUAUGAGUCAAGGCCCUAAUGUAUUUUUGAGACUGUAUCUGAACGGGCUAAGGUCCAAACUGAUUCUGUUGAUUAUCUAUAUGCAUGUUUUAUGUGAGGAUUACACACUGAGUUUGCGAAAACUCACCAGCGGAGGACUCGACAGUGGCCACACGUAAAUUUCGGACUGUUUUCCGUUAAUGCAUAGAAUUUAUUACUUAUUUGAGGUUUUUGAUGUAUCUUCUGGACUAUGGAUUGGUUGGCUUUAAAUUUUGGGAUUUUAUACUAUUUUUUAUGGGUUUUUUUUUAAAUUACAACUCCACAAAACACGGUUUUUUUCUAAAAAAACUAAGGAUUUUCGUAAAUAGAAACGAUUUUCCCUAAAUUAAUUGGUUACAAAAGUUUCCGCUAAGAGACAAAUUUUAAAGCAAAUCAACAAGUUUUUUUUUCUGAAUUAAAUAAAAGCUAACUUACUGUAACGAUUUUUAAACUCGACAAUCUUGUCUUCAAAUCCCUUUCCAUGUGACAUCGCCAGAUUCGGCCAUAACGUCUAGGCCGAGUUUGGGGUGUUACAAAAUUAAUCAUACUUGAUUGGAUUAUGAGAGUGAAUUUUAAUGAAAGAUAAUAUGUGAAGAAAGAAGAGAAAUAAAAGGGAAAUUGUACCAAAAUAUAAAAAUAGAAAAACAAUGGCAGAUUGCUUCAAAUGCAAUAUACGCAAGAAUGUGCUAAAUUGUCUUUUUAAAUCCAAAGUGUGUAUUCAUGCCACAAUUAAAAACCUUUAUAUACCGAUCCCAGAGAAUCAAUUUCACAUGAUUUUACUCCUAGAAUCAUGCUUAACAAGCAACAACUAAAUCAAAAUUUUCUAAAUAUAGAAUUUGUCAAAGUAAAAAAUCUAAUAUUUUUUAUCAACCCAAAAAUAAUUUUGCAACUUUCAAUUCAACCCCCCAACUUGUUUUUUUUUCAAUUUAGCUCGAUCUGUUUGUUUUUGAACUUCGGCACUCCAAUUGUGUCCAUGAUAAAAUUCAGGCAAUAAAUCAUAAGUUUAGUAGAAUUCUAUUAAAAAGUUUACCAAAAUUGGGUAUAUUAAAUAUAUAAAAUUAGGUUGCUAUCAGAUUUGGAACUAAUUAAUAAUAACAUAUGAAAUAUGUAUUAUAUUAAAAUAAAAAUUAGAAUAAAUUGUGAGUAAAACGAAAUCUAAACAAAAAAACACAUCAGAUUAAAAAUACUAAAUGAAUACAAUUGUUUAUCAUUGUUUUGUCUUCAAUCCUGAGUUGGUGUUGUGUUUAUUUGUGACACUAAAUCAAUAACAUUUUUUAAUAAAUAAAAAAUUAGAAUACAUAUAUACUUAUUAAAGUUUAAAGUGAAAAGUAAAAAGUAAAAAUUGCUUUAGUUCAAAAGUAAAUGAAAAAUAUUUAUAUGCAUGGUGUCCUUAGUUCAAAUCUUGUAAUGGAUAAUUUUUUAUUGAUUUAUAAAUAUAUGAAAAGACGAAAAUACCCUCAUAAUCAUAUAUCUUACUUUGCAAAUAAAAUCUUGAAUAUAUUGUUGAAUGGCUAAAUUGUAUGAGAAAUAAAAGCAAUUAUCAUUCAAUAGAAUCCACUAUCAAUUUAAAAACAAAACAAAACCAAAUUAGUAAUAUUAUCAAGUUGAGUUUCAUGUCUUUGAAGCACAUCUAGAACUGAUAUAACAGAAGCUUAUGAAAUUGAGCUUGAUGCCAUUUUUUAGUAUCAAGAAUACAAAAUAUACCACAAAAUUUUAUUACAUUUAAAUUAGUAAUAUUAUUCACGUCUUACAAACAUCAUAUGUAAGAACAACUAUAUUUUUUUGCAGGAAGCCGACUAGUAUAUUUAAUUUCAACUUGUAACAUGUAAUUAGGCAUUCUUAUACCAUACUUUCCCAUUAUUAUGCUGCUGCUGCUGCUGAUGUUGUUGUUACAAUUGAGCACCAAGAUGACUGCAAAACUUGUUAGUAAUGUCCAGAAUGAAUGGAGGACAUGGCAGAUUAGUGAAUUAUUACAGAUUUAAAGAAAAAUCAAAUUGUAAAUCAGCUGAUAGAUACAACUGCUGAGAAUCAAAUACCCAAAAUGCCAACUAUAAUGGCAGAAGCAAAGGAAAAUUAAAAAAAGAAGGGAUUCCUUACUUAAUACUUCUGCCUUUCUACCCACAACAUUCUUUCUUCUUUCACAAAAUUUCAACCAUCCACUCUACCUACUUUUCUUUCAUUUGCUUCUUUCAUUACAUGCUUUUCUUUGCUUAAUAGUUCUGCCUUUCUACCCACAACAUUCUUUUUUCUUCACUGUUUUUAUUUUGUUUUCAUCUCCAAGGUCUAUCACCAAAUUUCAAGCAUCCCGUCAAAGGUAAUUUUCUUUCAUUUGCGUCAUUCAUGACAUGCUUUUCUUUGCUUCAUUCAUGACUAUGCAAUGAUUGUUUUUUAUUAUCUGCUAGCUUUGUAAAAUAGUCAAGUCAACUUCACUGCUUCAUUUUCAGUUCCAAUCUCUCGACACAUUUCAGCCACUAAGUCAGGUAAAAAGGUAAUGAUUUCCUCUACUGAUUAUCAACAGUUUUAGAUUUUAAGACAGUAUAGGAUGACCGGCAAACAUAAUCUAGCAUAGAUAGGAAUCUCAAACUGUUGAACAUUUUAGCUCUUAAUAUUCCGUAAUGAACUGUUGCACACUUGAAUCUAGCAUUUUAUAUACAUUGAGAGGUUAACUCUGGUGACCAGAUUUUCAUCAUGUUUCUGUCUGCCACCUAUCCAUACCUCCAUCUAAUAAAGGCCAUUGCAUUUAUGCUUCCUUUUCAUGCUUACACUAACAUAUAAAAAAUUAUUCAAAAAUCCAAUACACUAACAUAUAUGAUUGCGUUGCAAGGGCAGAGCAAUGGAAUACGUAGAGCCUGUUGUUGGCAUUGCAAAUUGUCUUGGACCUUCUAUUUGUAAAUACUUGAAAUAUCAUAGAAAGCUGAAUGAUUAUGUGAGAAACUUCGAGAGGAUCAGAGAUGAAUUGCAUUGUAAAAUGGAAGACGUAGAGAUGCAAUUGAAAGCAGAGCUUCUUUCUCCUGGGGGAAGAUACCAAAGCAGGGAGUUGAAAAUUGGUUGAAAGAUGCAAAAGAGAUGAUUGCGGAAGCACAGGAUGUGGAAAAUAAAGUCAGAAAUGGGAGAUAUCUCUGUCGUGCUUGGAACGGAAAGCUGGUUGAUGAAAAGACUCGAGAAAUGAAGGAGUUUCUUGAUAAAGCUCUUAAUGCCUCUGAAGGUCUUGCCAUGGUUGGUCCAAGUACUGGGUUGCCACUGCCAACAUCAGAACUAGUUGGGGAGGAAGCUGCCAAAGAAGAGAUUUGGGCAUGUUUGAUGCAAAAGGAGUUAAAAAAGAUUGGGGUUUGGGGGAUGGGCGGUGUGGGUAAAACCACGAUCAUGAAGCACAUCCACAAUGAUCUUUUGAAAGAACAAAGAUUCAAAAGAGUAAUCUGGGUUACCAUAUCAAAGGAGUUCAAUGUAAUGAAGGUACAAGAUAAUAUUGCAAGUGCGUUAGAGGCAAAGGAAUAUUUAGACAAAGAAGAGGACAAGCUCAGACGAGCAGCAAUCUUGUCAGAAAUGCUGAAGAAAGAAGGAAAGCAUGUUCUAAUCCUAGAUGAUGUGUGGGAUGAAGUCUCUCUAGAAGAAGUUGGGAUCCCUGAGCCGAGUGACAGCAAUGGCUGCAAGUUGGUGUUGACAACCCGUUCGGAGCAUGUCUGUAAGUAUAUGGGUUGCACGGUGAUAAAAGUGAAGCCCCUUUCAGCACAACAGGCAUUGACAUUAUUCUUGAGUAAAGUUGGGCCUAAGAUAGUGCAAAAUCAAACUAUAAUGCCUACUCUAAAGCUUGUUGUCAAGGAAUGUGCGGGUCUACCUCUUACAAUUAUCGUCGUAGCUGGUACAUUGAAAGGAGAAGAGGACCCUCUUAUUUGGAAAAACGCACUCAGGGAAUUGAAAGAGAGAAUAGAAAAAGUGGAAGGAGUGGAAGCUAAAGUGAUAGAGCGUUUGAAAUUUAGCUUCGAUCACUUAAAGGAUGAGAAAGUGAAGUCUUGUUUCUUACAUUGCGCAUUAUAUCCCGAAGAUUUUCAAAUUGAAAAGGAUGAACUAAUUGAGUGCUGGAUUGACGAGGGAUUCAUAGAUGAUAUGGGUACAAGACAAGAAAUGAAUGACAAGGGUCAAGUUAUUUUGAAGAAGUUGGAAGAUAAUUGCUUGUUGGAAAAUGUCUCGCGUAAAAGAGUAAAAAUGCAUGAUACAGUGAGAGAGAUGGCAUUGUCGAUCACAAGAAUGAAUCCUCGAUAUAUGAUACAAGCAGGUUUGCAAUUAGAAGAGUUACCAGAAAAGGAGCAAUGGAGUCCGGAUAUUGAGAAAGUGUCACUUAUGUAUAACUCCAUAUCAGAAAUUUCCAUAGAUGUGCUGCCCACAAAAUGUCAACUGCUCACAACCUUGUUAUUGCAGCAUAACCCUAUAAAGAAGAUUCCAUAUUCUUUCUUCAUAAACAUGCCUUG
rnacentral:lncRNA from 1 species